GGUCAUUACUAAACAACUUGAAAAAGAUUAAAUUACUUGGAUGCCACAAAUGUGAAGGAGUCCCACCAUUGAGUUUAUGGGCCUCUCUCCAGAAUUUGAGUAUAGAGAAUUGCAAUGGAUUAUCAGGCCCGUUGAGUUUAGGGGCCUCUCUCGUGGAAGUGAUUUUACGGAAUUGCAAUGGAUUAUCUGGCUCAUUGAGUUUAGGGGCCUCUCUUGUGGAAUUGACAAUAGAGGGUUGCAAUAAUCUGACAUCAAUUGAAAUGAAAGGCAGCGGGUCCCUCACCGCCUCUCUUCAGAAAUUGAGAAUCUGGUUUUGUAAUGAAUUAUCAAGCAUACCUGCUCUUCCACAACAAUGUCCCUCUCUUCAAAAAUUGAGUAUAUUGGGAUGCCCAAAGCUAUCAUGGUUUGGUGUCAAAAGUAGUAGAGUUGAGAAGGAGGAGAAGUGCAUUAGUCUACAAUCUACUUCAGAUUUGCGCACCAUGACCUCCCUUCGACGUAUGUGGAUUGAAAGAUGUGAAAGAUUAGAAAGUUGGGUGAGCAGCCUGCAAUUCCCACUCUCUCUUGAGUAUCUGAUAAUAGUCAAAAUCCCUAAUUUAGAGAUUCUUCCAAGUUUAGACCAUCUUAAUUCUCUCAGGUAUUUGGAAAUCGGUGGGUUCUGGGAGGAGCUCGAUUCCUUCCCUGAUUUUGAAGUUGGAUCAUUAAUGCAUCUCACAAGCUUACAGUUGAAUGGUUGGCCUAAGCUCAAGUCUCUGCCUCAACAAAUUCAACACCUCACUUCUCUAACAGAUUUGUGGAUAGUUAACUUUGAGGGAGUGGAGACUUUGCCAGAAUGGUUGGGUAGCCUUACAUCCCUUACAUAUCUGAGGAUUCAAGGUUGCAAGAAUCUGAUGAAUUUACCAAGUGUCCAAGCUAUGCAACGCCUCACCAAAUUACAAACUCUAAGGAUUUAUAAUUGUCAUCCCCUUCUAAAUGAAAGAUGCAGGAGGGACAGCGGCACAGAUUGGCCUAAGAUUUCUCACAUUCCAUAUUUCAGAAGUAAGUUUUUUAAAUUAUUGAAAUCAAAUUUCUAAGCUGAUGUUAUAUGUUUAUCAUUUUUCUUAUUUUAUUCCGUGUCUCCACUAGUACUACACUCAAAUGUAAACUAGUAUAACAUAAUUUGUUUAUGCUUCUCCCUCUUCUUUUAAAUCAGUUCGGGGCAGAGACUUGUGAGACAAGAGUUGGAUUGAAGCUAUGCAACGCCUUGCGAUACUACAACAAAUGUGUAUUGGGAAAACCAAAUAUCAUGGUGUGCAAGGCCACACUUCUCCGAGAUUACUUGUAUUCCAGUUUUAUGUACAAACGACUCCAAAUGGCUCAAACUUUCGCAUUGAAAUUAAGUCAUGUAAGAUUUUCAAACCCACACCUCCUCUUCUCUUCUACUUCUAAUUGAUCAAUACAUUCUACUGUUGACUUCUGACUUACUAAGUUACUAUAUAUGUUGUGUGUUUCCCAGUGCCAUCUAUAUUUCUUUUGCUAUGCUUUGGCGGUUUUCAUGAUGCUCAAUAGCUAUAAACUGACUCCAGGUACUGAUGCGCACGAUAUUAAUUCUCUCGCUCUACCUUCAUUUCUCAAUAAUAUACCUCUUUUUAUAGUCCUUGGGCAUUCUCCUUUACAUGUUAUCUUUCUUAAUUCCGGCAACAUCAAUCAAUAUUUUAACUUUCUUUAGUUCAUCUGUAUGAGUGCUGAACCACUAGCUUGAUCACCCAUCAUGGUAUUGAAUCUUGUUUAAUCACACACUGCCAGCACCCAAGUAGUGUUAGAUGAGUAAUGCCAAGAAUUGCCAUCAAGCAUGUUCAUAUAAUAUUUAGAACUACUGCAAUUACUUUCUGUUUGUUAUUGUUAUCCUUAUGAAGAUUUUGGACUGAUAUUUUUAUGGUUACUUGUGAUUUAUGACCAGAUUUUUGUUGGAUGUAUGUCAACAAUCUGUGAUAAUUUAUAUAUGCUAAUAAAUAAUAAAUGCAAUAGGAAUUAACAGAAUAUAAAAAACAAACAACUUGAAGAUCGAGGCUUGCGUACCGCAAUGUCCUUAAAACAGAAAUUUCGCCCCUACUUAGUGCUUGUAGUUCUACGGACGUCUGUUCCACCAGGAUUCAACGAUCUAAGUCAGAAAUUCCAGCACCGAAAAAUUGACUUCUGGCGAAUAUUAAUGUGGUUCUCUCAGAAAGGAUGUUUAUGAUUGCAGGAGAAGAUUUAUGAUUUUUCUGUAUUUAAAAUGCCAUGCAGAUGGAUGUAUAUAUAAUGUGAUUAUACCUGUUCACAACAUGUAUGAGGAAUGGAUGUAUCUGUUGGGAGACAUCUGCUGAAAAUGGUGUUUUUGUUUCUGCGUUUUCACACUUCAGACUUCAUCUGAAAAGAUGAGUCUAUUGGUAAAAAUAAUUAAUUAAUUAAUUUAAAUUCGAAAUUUAAAAAAUAAUUAAUUAUAUAUUAAUUACCAAUUAACUAGUACACCCCAAAGCCCAACCCAAGGGUGAGCCCAAUUUUAGUCUCCAGGCCUAUUACUCCAAUCAUUUUCUAUAAAGUACAAAGCCUUAUAAAGUGAUAAAAUCUUUUGAGAAUGACUAAUGUGGGACAAAGAAAUUUCUACUCAAACUACUCAAAUUUCCAACAAUUUUCGAAUCGUAUAAACAGGGAUUUGAAUUUGGACAACUGUGGAUAUGGAGUUGCCCAAAGCUAGCGUCCUUUUGUGCCCAAAGUAGCAGAGUUGACAAGGAGGAGUGCAUUAGUGUACAAUCUACUUCAGAUUUGCGCACCAUGACCUCCCUUCGACAACUGAGUAUUGAAAAGUGGUAAAGAUAAGAAAGUUGGGUGAGCAGCCUGCAAUUCCCACUCUCUCUUGAGACUGUCAAUACAUGGCAUCUCUAAUUUAGAGAUUCUUCCAAGUUUAGACAGCCUCAAUUCUCUCCAUCAUUUGGAAAUCGGUGGGUUCUGGGAGGAGCUCGAUUCCUUCCCCUUCCCUAAUUUUCAAGUUGGAUCAUUAAUGCAUCUUACAAACUUAAUCUUGGUGGGUUGGCCUAAGCUCAAGUCUCUGCCGCAACAUAUUCAACACCUCACUUUUUUAACAUCUUUGAUAAUCUUGUCAAUUGAUGGAGUGGAGACUUUGCCAGAAUGGUUGGGUAGCCUUACAUCCCUUACAUGGCUGAAGAUUUCGUCUUGCAAGAAUCUGAUGAAUUUACCAAGUGUCCAUGCUAUGCAACGCCUCACCAAAUUACAAUCUCUCCAUAUUUCUGGAUGCCAUCCCCUUUUAGAGCAAAGAUGCACCAAGGACAGCGGCACAGAUUGGCCUAAGAUUUCUCACAUUCCAAAUAUCGACAGUAAGUUUUUAAAUUAUUGAAAUCAAAUUACAGAGCUGACGUUAUAUGUUUAUCACAUUUCUUCUUUUAUUCCGAGUCUCCAGUAGUACUACACUCAAAUUUAAACUAGUAUAACAUAUUUUGUUUAUCCUUCUCCCUUUUCUUUUAAAUGAUCAGUUGAGGUCUGAGACAAUACUUGGAUUGGAACUACGCAACUGGAACGAUGUAGUGCAGUUGGUGCAAACAGAGUCCAGGUACUGAUGCAUAAGAUAUUGUUUUUUUUUUCCAGAAAUGUGGUGUUUGUUGUUUAAGAUAUUGUUUCAUCCUUUCAACCAUUGCAUGCUAAUGACUUUUUAUCCUGAUCACAAUGGUAGUGGUGGAUUUACCACAUUUGUUGCUUUGAUCUCUUACAGUUUGCGUAUUUCAUUGAUUCCUACACAAUGAGGAAAUUUGUCUAUAACUCUAUAUUAUCUCAAGACUUGUUUUCAGGAUAACGAUGUUGAUAUAAUAAAUAGAACUGCUGUAAUUGCUUUCUUAUGAAGAUUUUGGACUGAUAGUUUUGGGUUUACUUGUAAUAUCUGGAUUGUAUGCAGAGUGAUUUGAAUACUAUUGAUUUUGUGUCUGUAGUUGAUAUUGCUCGAGUAACUUGAUGAACUGUUGAGUACCCAAAUUAUUUAGAGCGAUAUUAUUGUUGAUUUUUGUGUCUUUCCUAGCAGAACAUUUAAGAUCUUGGGACUUUUUGGGAUUCUAUGAGAAAGUUAGUUGAAAUGCAAUUAUCGAGAGAUAUUAUUGUUGGUGUGUUCCAAUGAGAUUAAAAUUAUGGACUACAGACUUUUUAUCCCGAUGAAAAUUGUAGCACUUCCCUUAGUCAUUUGAUUCUUGGAUAAUGAGGAAAGUGGAGCAAAUGUUAUUCCAAGACUUGUUAGCUGAUAAAACCAUGUUCAUAUUAUGUAAAAUUGCUGUAAUUGCUUUCACUCUGAAUCUUUGUUAUUUUUAUGAUCACUUGUUUCUUUUGAACAGAUAUUUAAAUUGUAUGCAGAGGGAUUUGGAUUGAGUUGACUUUUGUCUCUGUGAACUUGAUGAACAGAAUGGACCCAUACUAUUGCAGAAAUUAGGUAAAUGAAUCUUCAGGUCCAAGCCUUUUACUAUCAGUUGCAAAGUUGAAAUUUGUUUAUAUUUUUAUUAAGUUGUUUUGGUGUGUUAUCUUUGUACAGGCAGAAUUGGAGUCCGAUCAAAACUCAUGCAUGUAUCAAUAUCAUUCUUCAACUUCAAUCAUGUUUCCUUAUCAUCAAACCUUAAUUUGGAUACUGGAUCAAUAUCCUUUGUUUGAUACUCGUCGCCAAAUCGAAAUGCAUCCUUAUGUGUUUGCACAGAGAUUUGAAUUCAGUUGAUUUUUUGUGUUGUGUGGAUCUUUAGAAGCUUGGGCUUCCUAGCGUCCUUUGUGCCCUGCAUUGCUGUGAAAGGAUAGUGCAAGAAGCAGCCAGCUGUUGAAUAAGGUAGAGUUUGAGAUUUGAAAUUGAAAAACUAUUGUACUAUCCUAAUUGUAACUCUCUUUCUCUCUUCACUUGCCACCUAAAAGACUCUCUCAUGCUCCUUUUGAGAUGUAACUUACAAUAUUAUAGUAAAAACGGGAGAAACUACUAAGCAUGGGUGUAGCCGAGCUCGCAUGUAUGGAAGGUUCGCAAGAUGUCAUAUGGACUUGGUGCUUUCUUUAAUGAAAGAAACUCUGGAUGCUUUAUUGGGGAUGAGCGUCUGUAAAAUCAGCUCCAGUAUCUAAGGUGUUUUUUUCUCCUUUUAUUUUACAUUGAACAAUCUAAGCACACAUUUUUUUCCCCUCAUUUUAAGGUUUUCUCCAUUUCAUAUUCACCAUGUACUUAUUAGUCAUUAUGCCAUGAUGAUAACGAUGUCGGUGUAGGUCCUUAUUGGGUACUUUGGGUCACCCGUCCUGUUACCAUUGUUUCAACACCACAGUAUUUUACAGAUUCUUCGGGCUGUGAAGGUAAUACUGUCUCUUUUGAGCCACUUUCUUAUGCCAUUAUAAAGGAUUAACAUUUUUAUCAUUGAGAAUUAAUCGUGUUUAUAAUAAAUUGUGCAUUGCGGAUAUGAAGGAAGUAGCCUCUGUUAUUUUAAGCAGAAAAUUCAAGCUGCAAACAAGUUACUUCUACAAACACAUGUGCAUUCUCUACCCCAACUUUCUAGGAUAAAAAAUAACGUCUUUCAUUUUUCUGCAGUUGUGUUGUGGCCGAGGACAUCGGCAUAGGCCUUGCAGCAGACAGUUGAUGGAAUGAAGUGUAUCAUAACCAAAAGUGGGUAACUUACUUUCCUAUAUGAACGAAAGAAGAGUGCUUCCAUAUAUGUAUGCCACCUUCCUGAUAUCACCGAUUAUACUUCAAAUAUGAUAAACAUGUUCACUUCAUCUCUUAAAACUCCGGUUUCAGGUACACAGCUGAAGAAGACUUCCAUAAUGCAGAUUUAGUCUUUGACUUCAUUGGAGAUCUCCCGGAGGAGCGAAAUUUCAUUCAGUGCUGGUCCUCCAUCUACAAUACCUUUGGAUGGUGAUUAGGGUUUCAGCUAAGAUAAUAGACAAAUGAGUCUGCGUUCGAUAGUAAUCCUGCUGUAGAUAUUGCUGUUGAAGUAGUAUUUCGAUUGUAUACAAGUUUUUAUCGUUAUUCAUGAUUGUAUGUAGAGUCAAAGGAUUAUAUACAACUUUUUUCUUUCUUUUGAAAAUGAUGACUCAAUGUUAUUUAUUCCUCCUCCUUACAGACAUAAACAGUGCCUUGAUUUUUAUUUAAUUAAAGGGACCCCUCCAUGUGUUAAGCUCUUACAAAGUGGAGAGUUUACAAAGAAAUUAGACCAAAUUGUAAUUACAAACUUCAAUUAGGAAUACAUCAUUCUUGUUAGAUUUCAUGGUUCCUGGCACAUCUUCAAUGAGGUCACCCUACCACAUAUAUAGGAGAACAGUCGAGUACAUUAUUAUUAUUAUCGUGAUUUUUUAUAUCAAUGAUAUAAAAUUAUGUGUAUGUUUAUGUAUAGACUAUAGUUUAUGUAUAAUGUUGUACAAUUCGCAUGAGGAUAACCUUCUGGGACUGAGCUUGUCCAUUUUAUUGCAUGCAUUCAACUCUCUCCUCUCCCUCUCUGCCUCUUCACACAUUCCAUGCUCCAUUGUGAACACUUUACUUACUUGAAUUGAGAAAGUCAUGAAUUGAAAUGGUACAUUAUUGUUUAGGUAAACAUUUGAAACUUGAAUUAAUACUUAAUUUUUUUAUUCUUUAUAUGUUAGUAAACGUUUGAAAAUUCAACAAUUGAAAUGGUAUGGAUUUCUUGAGUACUCAUUAAUAGUAAGUCAACAUGUCAUAAGUUAAAAGAAAAACUAAUGAAAAGGGUUUGAAAACUUUGAGUUUUAAUGAUAAGGAUAAAAUAAAGGGUAAGGUGAAUAGUACCAGGAUUGAUUUUUUAGUGUAAAAAUGUGGUUUUUCGUUAAAGUGAACAGUACCAGAAGCUUUUCGUUAAAGUUCCCUAAGUUAAAAAGGCAAAUUUAUUAGGAGAAAUCAUGAAUCAGGAUGAUACCUUGUUGUUUAUGUAUAGUUGAUCUCAAACCUGAAUUGAAUUUGAUGGAUGUACCCCACCUAGGAUUUAUUAUUAUUAUUUGUGUAUUAGCAAACAUGAGAAGUUAGAAGUCAGAAUGAUACCAAUUUCUUAAUAUUCUUUCGUAACAAGUGAACAUAUAAAGAUGAAACAUUUUCCAAAGUUGAAAGCUUCAAGACAUAUAACAUAAGGCUGACAUUAAUUGUACAUGAUUAGCUGCUAGAUCAUGAUUAAAAUGGGUUGUCUGCCAAGUUGGGAGAAUGAGAGACUAAAUACAAGUGGAUACUUUAAAACAAUGUUUAAUCUUAUGACCAAAUAUUAAAGUAAAAUUCAUGUGCUAUUGUCUAUUCUAUUGUGUUUUUAGUACGUUAUAAUACACCUUUGAAUAUUCCAUGUAAAACCAACUUUCACAAACAUAAUAAAUACAAAGCAACUAGGUUAACGAUGUUUUAGGAGACUGAUCUAGAAAAUUCUUCUUUCACACCCAAACUAGGCAGAACUGUUUACUUGUAGGGUAUACAUUUUGUGUGUAUUUCACUCAUCACGUUUUAUUUCAACUCUCACGUGUUAUAGGCACGAAAAUGAUACAUCUCAUUUAAGGUAUAAAAAUCCUUCUCCAACUCACGAGGUACAUAUGGUUAUGUAUGUUUAAUUAUGAAACCUUUGAAAAGUGCUGCUACUAAGACAUCAUGAUCGUGAGUGGGGUUCCAAACCUUGCCUCACGGCUCUACCAGGACUAAAAUCAUCAGUUAGCUCACCUGAAAGUUCUUGCUCUUCCACUGGUUACCAGCUUAUGACCUGUGGGUAACGAAGGCAUAGGCUACGAUUGGUAAAUCUAUCUUGUGCCUUCUGCCCGCGAGGAAAGAAAGAAGAGCAACAAGGUUUAGUUCAGAUUUGACUUUUUGCAGCAUGGGAGCGGAUCGCCCAAAAAAUCCCUGGGAACAAUGAAAAAAAAAAUAUCUCGGUAACAAAAACUAUAGGGGGCUGGAAAACUCGCCAGAAACUGGAUAAACUUUGAACGUUUAUAACUUCUUCAAUACUCAAUGAAAUCAAGUGAUUCAAAAACUAAAAUCAUACUUAUCGACGAUACAAAGAGAAUGAUACCAUUUUUGAUGGCUAACUCGCCAUGGUUUGGCCGGAAAAUGGCUCGAAAGUGGCUAACUCAACGACCAAGACAGCCACUUUCAAGGAAUUUUCCGGUCAAACCACGGCUAUUUAGCCUUUGAGAAAUAUACCAUUCUUUUCAUCUUGUCGAGAAGUAUGAUUUUUGUUUUUGAAUCACUCGAUUUCGUUGAGUAUUGAAGAAGUUAUGAAUGUUUAAAGCUUACUCAGUUUCCAGCGAGUUUUCCAGUUUUCCCACGGACCAGCCACCUUUCAGGCUAUUUUCCGGCCAUCUCUGCUGACCAUUGGGCUUUCAAAUGGUAUAAUCUUAUUCUACACUUUCUUAUCUCAUUUUGAUAUAUUAUGGGUCGAAUUUGGUUAAAAAACGAUUAGGUUACGAAGUUUUGAAAAUUACCCAAACUUCCGGCCAAAAGCUCCAGGACACUUAACGGAGUUAUUAACGGAAUGACCAAAAUAAUGGAUGGUGGACAAUCUCAGAGACCAUUUAUAUUGAUUUUCAAUCUCAGAGACCAAAGUUAUGUGUUAUACAAAUCUCAGAGAUCAUUUUAGAUAAAAAAAACCUUUAAUUAGUGAGAAGGUAAAUUAUCUUUUUUUCAUGUGAUGAGCUAAGAAUCUAUUUUUGGAAUUUUUGCAUUUGGCAUGGGGUGUUGAUGAGCUUGCAGAUGAUGGAGCAGAUCUAAAAUGUAAUAAUGGUAGGUUGAGGGUGGUUGGCAAUAAAAUUAAAAAGGAGGGGGAUGGUUGGAACUUGGAUCCCUCCCUUCAGUCCACAACUCUUCCAUCAGAGAUCCCAUGUCUCAUUAGCUUCAACCUUCAAUUAAAUUGGUCACUUCUUGUCUUAAUUUAAGUCAUAUCAUCAUCAUCAUCACUUUAACACAUAACCCAAUGGGUUAGAUGGGUAGGAAACUUGGGAGUGUUGUAAUAGCAGCCACUCAAGUUCGAUUUUCAAUCAACUCAAACAUGAUCAGUUUUUAAAAUAGACAUAUUGGUCUCGAUUUAACUAUUGCAUGAAUUGUGAGGCCUGUUCUUGAAACCUGGGUUUUGCUUUUGUUUCUCUCUCGUGUAUACCAACUUCGUAGUUGAACACUUAAGUAAUCUUUGAGAGCAAACAUAAAGAUACAUACAUUACGUGUGAAAUUCAUAGGAAGCUAGCCAUUUUUGUGACCUAUUUAGAGUCACCAUUGCUUAUUUAUAUCCACAUUCUCCGUCAGAGAUCUGACUAUAUGCAAUGGGAAAUGGUAUUAUUGAUGAAGCUUGACAUUAUAACUUUUCACAUGUACGUGUUUUUGCGGGUUCAAAAUUUUGAAAACCCUCUCGCAAUCCUCUGCAGCAUGAAACCUCAUUGACCCAAAAAGCACCCUUACCACAGGAACCGAAGGAAGCUGAGGGAGCUACUGCCACUGCUCGUUUAGCCUACCAAUGGAGUAGGAUUCUCUCCUCUUUUUUUUUCCUCCCCUUCCAUCCUUUUCUAUUUGGAAGGUCACGGUUAAGUCACGUCAAUAUCUUAUAUUAAUUUUACAUUGAAAGAGAAAGACAAUUUAGAAAAUGUGAGAGAAGGGGAAGAAGGGAGAUGAAAAGAGGAGGGCAGAGAAUCCUAGUCCCCUACGAAUAUGGGAAUUUGAAAAGGAUUAGGAUUCUCUCUCCUCCUCUCACACUCUCUAUUUUGUCUUUUUCUUUCUAUAAAAAAUUAAUAUAAGAUGUUAAUGUGGCUUAACUGUGACCGUUCAAAUAUGAAGAGAGGGAAGGGGAGGGAAAAAAGAGAGGAGAGAGUCUCUUUCUCCAUUUGAAAAUUGAAUGUUGAAAUAAAGAGAUUUUUUGUUGUACCGGAACACUGCCUAGGAUUACUAUGUCACUAUAAUUAUGACAUAUGCAAUUAUUAUUAUUUAUAUAUAAACUUGAAGUUGGAAAUAUUAAUCAUAUCACUUAUCUAUAUUAUAAUACGCAAAGUGAUACACAAUCAAAGUCUAAAAUAUCGAUAAUAUCCCGAUAUUUUCAUCGAAAUUUCCGUAUUUUUGGACUACCGAUAUUUCUGAUAUCAUCGAUAUUUUAGACCUUGAUAGGAACUCUAUGUGGUACUUGAAACAUCCCAACCCCAUUUUUAUUUAAAAUUUGUUUUAAAGCCUUAAUUGGUGAGCCCGUGGGGCCCACCUUGUUUUAUUUUUUUGUGUUUUCUGGUCUCCCUCUCUCCUCUCUCAAUUCUCUCUCCCUUCCUCUCACCCGAGCUCUCUCUCCCUCGUCUCUCUCCUUCUCGUCCUCCCAUGAGCUCAUACCCAUCACCACACCACCCUCUCCGACGUCAACGGCGUCAUCAUCAUCAUCAUCAUUUCGUUCUCUCUCUCUCAGUUGCUGCGAGGACAGCAAAAACCCGGACAGCUCCGACGCAGACCGCCCCUUUCGAGGUCAUUUCCGGCCAAACCACGGCGAGUUGGCCAGGAAUCAAUCUCUUCGUCUCGCUGAGAACUACAACUUUCCUUUUUGUUUCACUCAAUUUCGUUGAGUAUUGAAUAAGUUAUACUCAUUUGAAUCUUACCCAGUUUUCGGCGACCUCCGAGGCUUUCGAGUCAUUUUCCGGCUAAACCACGGCGAGUUAGACAUCGUGUAAAGUACCAUUCUCUUCGUCUCUUCAAGGGAUACAACUUUCGUUUUUGAAUCACUCGAUUUUGUGGAGUUUUGACAAAGUUAUGGCCGUUUAAAGGUUGUGCAGUUUCCGGCCGAUUUCCGGCUUUCUCUCCCAUUGGGUCCGGCGACCCACCAAAACCCAAGCCCUUUGGGCCUUCCUUGCCGAGCCCAACCCUUUUGGUUGUGAGGCCUUUGGGCCGUGAGUGUGGUAUGUGUGUGUGUGUGUGUAUGUGUGUGCGCCGUAUGUGUGGCCUUUGGGCCGUGAGUGUGGUAUGUGUGUGUGUGUGUGUGUGUGUGUGUGUGUAUGUGUGUGCGCCGUAUGUGUGUGUUGUGUGUGGAUUUGGGCUUAAGCCCAAACCACCCCUUUAAACCCUAACCCCUUUUAACCCCAUUACCCUAAACCCUUAACCCUAACCGGUUCAAACCCUUUAUGGGAAAUAUUCUGUUAGCGAAUAUUCCCUGACGGAAUAUUCUAGGAAUAUUCUAUCAACGUUUACGAAAUUUAUCCAGGACUCUUCUUAGAGUAAUUCGACGUUCUGAAUCCGUUUUCCUAAAUUCAAUCGUUUAAGUAGAGUUUGACUAAAUGUGCUAUUUAUGUGCUUAAGGGCAAUUAUUGUGACGUUUUCGUCUUUGCUGGUGGCGCAGCUUUUGGCAACUAAGUACUGUGAGUGGACCAUUUCUAAAAUUACAUGAUUUUAUAGUUAAUUGCAUAAAUGAAUAGCAUGCCUUAUGAGUUUAUGUUUUGAUUUUAUGUUAAGCAUGUUUAUUGAAUAUGUUGAUUUUCGUCUCGUGUUUUUGGUGAGGAAUUAAUUGUUGGCCUAUAUUGAGCUAUAUUUUAAUAUAUCGUAUUUUCUAUAAAAGCCAUGAACUGGUAGACUAUCUGAUGGAUGACGAUAGGAUGCUAGAACAUGUUUUAGAAACCCUUCUUUAUAGUAUAGACGAUGAAUGACUUUAUACUAUGAAGUGAUUAUUUUUUAGAGACGUAACUAUUUGUGCGUACCUAAUGGACACUAUGCCGCCUGGGGCGAGGAUCUGGUGUUGGCAUUUAGGCCGGGAGAAAUAAUCCCUAGCUAUGGGCUAAGGGACAUGGAGCAGGCAUUAGGCCGAGAGUUGGUAAUUUCUGGCUACGGGCACAGAGACCACGGAUCAGACAUUGGGCCGGGAGUUAUAUUUAUUCAGUGAUCUUACUAGCAGCACACCGCGCUUACGAGACGAUCUACGAAAUGAUACACGCGAUGAUUUAUAUGAUGUUUUUUCGCGUUAUACCUGUCGAGAUAUUUUAUGGCAUGCUAGAGUUUCAAAAAAACCUAUCACUUAUUAUGUUAGUAAUUUUCAUUAUAUAUAAACCUGGGGGUUAGUAUAUUCAUAACUGUUUUUGUAUUAUGUAUAUAUAUGAACUUGGUCCACUCACCCUUGUUUUGCGCUCCCUUUCAGGAUUUAGAAUCGAGGCAUACAAUCCCGACGUCAACAUCUUCGCUUUGGCAUAUUCGAAUCCUCUCGAUGUAGGACCCAUUUCUUUAUUCAUUCAAUUUUAUCUUAAUUCUUUUUAGUGAUUAUGUUUAGUUGUAUGCUCUGAACACGUUCGUAAAAUUUUCUUAAUUCAUUGUAUUUUAAAUUCAUAACCCUUAUUUAUUUCUUAUUCUUAGCUUUUGUAUCAAUUAAUGGCUUUCGUCACCUUCGGGUGUCGACCAACACAUGUCUAUUCUGGUAUUCGGGGAAUAUCAGGGUCGGGACGUGUCAGUAUUAAGUCACUCAUGUAUCUUACUAUGCAAUGUAUAAAGUGUAAAAUAUUGUACUAAUUCAUUAUAUAUAAAUGAUUAUGGUGUGUUUAAACUUCUUUCAUUAAUUACUACAUAUUUUCUACACUCACAAUGUUUGCCAGCUCGCUAUAUAAUCAACUUAAAUCAGUUAAAUCCAUCAUGCAAUGCAUUUCCUUUCAAUUUUUUGUGAUAAACUAAUAGAUAAUUGACUAAAUGAACAUCCUGCAAAGUUUCAAUAAAAAUUUCCAAGUUUUUUUUAUAAUUUUCGUGGUUUUUAUUCAAUUUUUAUCGAUAUCGAUAAUAUCCUGAUAUUUCCGUGUUUUUGGACUACCGAUAUUUCCGAUAUCAUCGAUAUUUUAGACCUUGUACACAACGUAACGUUUCAAAAACAUAGGUAAACAUUUUUCGUUGAAAUGAAACAAUAGCUACUUUUUCGGCCACAAUAAGUCAUUUUGGUACAAUUAAAUGAUAGUUAGCCAGCCCAUGCAUGCAAUUGCAUCUACUCAAGUUUCCCUACCUAAUUGACCAUAAAAAGUUACCCCUGCCGAGUCGAUAUGAGUACAGUGAAGGAAAAGGUUUCUAGACGUACAAACACUGACGUGUAUUACCUUAACAAUUUUCUCAAAAGAGCGUAGGAGAAAACAACCAAGGUAACGGCUAGGAAGACUUCGAGUAACGUCUCAAUUCUUCAAAUUGAAAACCAAAUCGGUUCAAUAUUUUACCAUGUACUAUGAUACUAUUUUAGAGCAACGCUAAUGAGAUUCUCAAAAUAUGACUAUUCAUAUAUUUCAUGUUAUCUCACAGUUUAGUGUUAAUUAUUAUGUUAAUAUUAUAAAAUAUUGUGCUAAAAAUAUAGGGUGACAAAAAAUCUAUGGAGAGUCCCAUUUUUUUUUUAGAAAGUCUCCUUAAUAUUUCUCAUGUGAAGAAGAUGUAGGUUAAGUCAACUAACUAAAUAUUUAAGACAUUGUAGCCAUUCUUUUAUAUCCAUGUUUAAAUAUCACUUUUCAAAGAUUAAAGUAAUUUAAGAAAAAAGUGCUUCAACUCUUAUGUAGUUGAGUUUGAAUAUAUACAUAUUUUUUUAAUUAGAGUUGUUUAAAUUGUUGUUUUACAAAAAAAAUAAAUUAGUGUUAAGCCAAAACAAAAAAACAGUAGUGCUUUGAGCUGGGCUUUGUCUCUCUCAGUUUACUCACGAAGUGAGAGAGAUGGGCACACAGCUCACACACACAAAGGCAGUGCAGUCCUCUUCAUCUCCCUUUUCUUUUAUCCCUCUAAUUUACUCAUUCCUUCAUCUUCUUUCCCCUUCCCUUCUCCUUUCUCCCCUUCCACUUUUUCAAUUCAAACACUAAAUUUUCCUUUUCUCAAUCUCCAAAACCAAGCUUUGAAAUUUCCCUUUUGCUCAAUUGUCUGGUAAGAAAAUUUGAAGCACUUUUUCCUGCUUAAAAUCCCACCAAAUUCUCAAAAGUCUCAGACUUUUGUGCUUUUAUUGCACCCACAUUUCUGCUGAGUGAGUGGUUAUCUCAGAAGAAACCUGUGGCUGUAAUGCCUGGAUUGGAUCUGAAGCUUUUCACUUCAAGGAAGGAGCUUUACCCUAUGCUGUUCAGCUCAGGCAGCUCCUCGGCUCUCACUGCAUUCUCUGCCGCAAACUGCAGGUAAAAGAGAGCUUAUAGAUCUGAACUUGCUAUGCCUGCCAUUGUGAAAAGUGCUUUCUUUUGUGCUACCUCCUUGCAUGAAUGCCUUACUGCUUGUUCUUCCACUUAAUUUCUAAUCAACCCACGAAUGAUUUUUUCAGUUUCAUUCAUUUUACUAUAAUUAAAAUGUUGAAUUUGGUCAAUGUGGUUGCUUUGGACUAAACCCACUUUUCUUGUGACUGUUGGAUUAAGUUUUAAUUUGGUCAAAUUACUUAAUGUAAAUGCUUUGCAUUAUUGACUACCUAAUCUUCAUUUGUUCGUUUUCCUGCUGAACCAGGAGAUUGUGAGCCCUCCAGAGGUUGCAUUUUGAUUUUUCUCUUGUCACUUUCGUAGACUUUGAUCGAAACAGCUCCCCAUGAAGUCCUGUCCCUUUUUAGUUAUUCCCUCCCUUUUUGGCAUUGCCAUUCUUCUUCCCCUGGUUUUCUCUGACCUGACUUCCGAUAGGCAAGCGCUUCUUGACUUCGCCGAUGCUGUUCCCCAUCGUCGAAAGCUUAGUUGGAACCCUGCUACCCCUGUCUGCACAUCCUGGGUUGGCAUCACUUGCACUCCAAAUGGCACCCGGGUUACUUCCCUCCGACUUCCUGGAGUUGGACUGGUGGGCUCUGUCCCACCAAACACCCUUGGUAGGCUAGAUGCCCUCCGAAUUCUUAGCCUUCGGUCUAAUCUUCUCCGCGGUGUCCUUCCUUCUGAUAUUACCUCCCUUCCUGCACUCCAGCGCUUAUACCUGCAACGUAACAACUUCUCUGGUGACAUUCCUACCUCCUUUUCACCUCAACUCAAUGUAUUGGAUUUAUCAUUUAAUUCCUUCACAGGCAACAUUCCACAAACAAUGCGUAAUUUGACACAACUCACAGAAUUGAGCCUCCAGAACAACACCCUUUCCGGACCUAUACCUGAUCUCGACCUACCUAAGCUCAAGCGUCUAAAUUUAAGUUACAACCGUAUUAAUGGCUCUAUACCAUCAUCCCUUCAAAGGUUCCCCUAUUCAUCCUUUGUGGGAAAUUCACGUUUAUGUGGAGGGCCUCUUAAGCCUUGCUCCCUCGUCCUUCCUCCGCCACCUCCUACUUCCAAUCGACCACCACCAGUAGCUCCUCAUAAAAAAAGCUCCCAGAAAAAGCUGAAGUUGGGAUACAUCAUUGCUAUUGCAGUUGGAGGGUCUGUUCUGCUGUUGCUGUUAGGCCUAAUUAUAGUUCUCUGCUGUUUAAAGAAGAAGGACAACAGAGGAACUAGUGUAUUGAAAGGGAAGUCUUCUACCGGCGGAAGGAGUGAGAAGCCCAAAGAGGAGUUUGGGAGUGGGGUGCAGGAACCCGAGAAGAACAAACUGGUUUUCUUUGAAGGUUGUUCUUACAAUUUUGAUCUUGAUGAUUUGUUGAGGGCUUCAGCUGAAGUCUUAGGAAAGGGAAGUUAUGGUACUGCGUACAAGGCGGUCUUAGAGGAGGCAACAACAGUGGUAGUUAAAAGGUUGAAGGAAGUGGUCGUUGGGCAGAGGGAUUUUGAACAGAAAAUGGAGAUUGUGGGAAGAGUUGGACAGCACGCAAAUGUUGUUCCACUCCGUGCUUAUUAUUACUCAAAAGACGAGAAGCUUCUAGUUUAUGAUUGUAUCUCAAAUGGGAGCUUAUCUGCGCUUUUACAUGGUAUGCAUGUCACUACUCUAUUUCUUUCUUUUUUAUCUCUUUCAUAAAAAUAAACACACCAUUUGUAAGUGAGAACUUGUGUGCAUAUCUAAGAGAAAAUGCAGGUAAUUACCGUGAAGAGUAUAUAGUUUCUGUAGAAUACUUGUAGAGAAACAUCAUUUUAAAUUAAGGAGUUUUCAUCAACGUAGUCGAGCAGCAUACUCGAUAAUGAUGGUGUUAUGUUGGGAUUUCAGAGUUAUAAUUACGUGCUUUGCAACUCGGAUGCAUUUCAUCUGCAUGAAUCCCACGAGUAUUUGAAUUUUGGUUUGACCUCCGUAUGCCUAAUGGUUUUCUAGUCCUCAUUGGAGGAGGCAUUGUGAUACCCCAUUCUUCAACCAGUGUCACCUAUUACUUUUCCCAACUAUUUCUGUUUCCUUUUUGCUUGAUGGUAAAACAUGCUCAUCUGUUAUGCGUAAUAAAAGAUCAGGUUACCGUUCUACUUUCCAUCCCCAUAUCCAAUACGAAAGAUACAUCAUACUUCCGAGUUCAGCAACUGCUUUCAGUUUACUGAAGUGUGCAAAGGAGCUUGCUAUCUUCAAUUUUUCUUCUCUGUAUUGGCAAUCACUUUUAGUUCUUGUUUCGAAAGUCUGUAAUGGAUCUAUUCAGGACAGGCUAUUUAGAUCAACUUUUUAGAAAAUUCAGCUGUUUGUUGAAGCCACUGUCUUGUGCACCACACUCAAUUUUUAUUGAAUCUUAUGGCAGGAAACCGAGGAAGCGGAAGAACUGCAUUAGACUGGGACUCGAGGGUAAAGAUUUCCCUUGGCACCGCGAGGGGAAUUGCUCAUAUCCAUUCUGUGGGUGGUCCAAAAUUGACUCAUGGAAAUAUCAAGUCCACAAAUGUCCUUCUUAGCCAAGACCUCAAUGGGUGCAUCUCCGAUGUUGGCCUGACUCCUCUCAUGAAUGUUCCUGCCACUGCUCGGAGUGCAGGCUAUCGUGCUCCAGAGGUGAUUGAAACCCGCAGGCACUCUCAUAAAUCAGAUGUGUAUAGCUUUGGCGUCGUCCUCCUUGAGAUGCUGACUGGAAAAGCUCCACUCCGGUCGCCGGGGCGUGAUGAUAUGGUUGAUCUUCCUCGGUGGGUCCAGUCCGUGGUCAGGGAGGAGUGGACCGCAGAGGUAUUUGACGUUGAACUGAUGAGGUACCAAAACAUUGAAGAAGAAAUGGUUCAAAUGUUGCAAAUUGCAAUGGCGUGCGUGGCAAAGGUUCCGGAUAUGCGACCGAGCAUGGAAGAAGUUGUUAGAAUGAUUGAAGAAAUCCGGCAAUCAGACUCAGAGAACCGGCCAUCUUCCGAAGAGAAUAAAUCAAAGGACUCAACUGUGCAGACUCCUUGACCGCUCAAACUUGUUGCUGUUUUCAUUUAGUAGGAUCUGAGAAAUUCAUGAUAGAAACUGUACAUUUUUUGUACAUGCCUCGUAAGGUUUUCCCAAGCAUUAUUCAAUUACAUGCAAGGCUUUGUAGAGUGGCAAUUUAUCAGUCCAAUUGUGAAAUUUUUCCAAGUAGUUUAGGUGGGGUUUUUUGUUUUCUUGAUUUGUUGUAAUAUUGAAUUUUAACAUAAUGAAUUAAUCGACGAUCUUCAAUAAUUCAAUAGUUUUGUCUGAUUUUUGUUUUAGAGAAGUGAUUUCCGCACAUUCAUGUUUAUUUCUGACAUUUGGAUUGAAUAAAUCAUAUAGAUAUUCAAGUGACAUAAAUAAACAUUGGCAUGCGGAAAUUAUUUCCUAUUCCUAUAGUCACAUUUUAAUCACUAUAAAAUUGACGUUGAAAGUACACACCAUCACAUUAUGAGACAGCUAAUGUGGUUAGAAAUGUUGGUCACUUGGUCUAAAGCUACUCUUACGGAGAUGCACGUUCUAGGCCCUUGAAAAUAGGAGGGUAUAUAUAUGUAUUUAGGGGUUGCAUUUCCGUUGUAGGUCAGUUUCUCUCCAAGUCUGGCGAUUCCAAUUUCCUUUGCAUGCCAACUCCGAUUUUCCGUACAUAGAUUGUGGUCCUCGGUUUCCAGCCAAGAAAAGUACUAUGUUCAUAGAUUGUGGUCCUCGGUUUCCAGCCAAGAAAAGUACUAUGUUUCUCUAAACACAUGAAAGAUCCUUCAAAAAACUCGUCACCUUUAUCGUCGAUUGCUAUCCUCCGUGAUCUGGCAAGGAGGUGCUAGCUAGAGUUCCAACAAUGGCAGACGGUUCAUCCUUGCCUCCACCUCCUGGCCGCAACCAAUCAAAGGCCAGCAGUGCGCGGCAUGUUGCCUUUUCCGAAACUGCCUCAGCUCCCAGCAAGGUCCGCGAACAGCCCUAUCCGGUUCCCGACCUUGACCAUGAGCGCCCCAAGCGUAUUCGUCCAGGCUGCUACGCUUGCUGCGCAUGGUGCUGCUUGGUCUUCUUCGCCAUUGUGAUUCUCGCUCUCAUUAUUGGUUUCAUUUGCGUGGCCAUCUUCCAUUCGUAUCUCCCAACAAUCUACAUCCGAAGAUUCAACGCCACCAGCCUCAACUUUACUAAAAACCACAAUAACAUUGUCUUGAAGGGAAAUGUAGAUUUUCUUGUGGAGUUCUUUAACAAGAAUGACAAAACUGAGCUCAAGUAUGGCGCCUUCAAGAUCAAAGUUACGUCUGCGCACAUCCCGCUAGGUAGCACCCAGUUUUCUCAGUUUACUCAGGGCCACAAGAACACCAAGUUCUUGAAUGGAACUGUUAGGGUUAAUAAAUCCAAGAUUGACAAAGACGACGCAGACCAACUCAAGAUCGACAUGAAAAAUAGGGACAUGACACUGAAUUUAGGCAUGACCGGAAGCGUUAGCUUCCCCAUUGGAGGAAUUCAGUUUAAUGACAUUCCGAUCAUUUCAAACUGCGAUGCCAAGCAAAGGGAAAUUGAUUUCGGAAACAAGGCUAAAUGUGAUUAUAAGAUUAUCCCCAUAUAAUGAAAUCCUCGAUGAUCUCCAUCCGCGUUCUCUAUGUUACGGAUAAUAGUUUAGAUCCUGCGUUUUUCCUCAACUCUCUGACAUGAUCGUGGGAUUACUUUAGACGAGACGAGAGAUUCAAAGUGGUGCAGGAAAAACAGCUACCAAUAGUGAUGAGGGAAGAAUGGUUUGAGCCAUCAUAUAUCAUACGUCGAUUGGAUAUGUAAGGUUUGGUUGUUUUGUUAUGUAUUAGCCUAUCAGGUCUAAUCUUAAAAGCUUUUCCUUCUUUUUGUGGUGCUGGAUCUUUCAUUAGUGUUGAGAAACUUGUGUAGAAUCAUUAAACGUGUUUAAGGUUUUAAAUACUAGUCUUAUAUCGUGAUCAAAUGUAUUACAUUUCGUGUAAGGGGGUGCAAUCUGCAGAUGAAUGUCUAUAUGUUGCUUUUGUUUUGAUUUCUUUCCUCAUCACCUUAUGAGUUAUGGCCUUAAUACGCAGAAGAAUUAUAUGUUGACUAAUCAAUAGUUGACACUGCGUAGUGAAAUCUAUUUCUUACGUUGAAAGAUGUCUUAAAUUUGAAUCUCUUUCUCUUUCGUUGAUAAAAGUUGUUUGAAACACAACCAAGUAACAAGUGAUAUAUAAUAUUGUUUCUAAGGAUAAAUCUUGGAUGUACUUUUUUUUUUUUUUGUAGAGACGGAUUAGGUGAGAUUAGCUCUACGUCAACAGUCGCGUGCAAGGCACCAACCCUCUCCCAAAGGAGAAAGGACCGUUGCACCCAGAAACCCCCUGCCCAAAACAAGUUUAUAAUUCAUCUUCAUUCCUGCCUCGAAAGCUUAUGUUUGGACGAGAGAUUUUAUGACAGUGUCAAGAAAUUGAAGCCGAGUUAGCGAAGAAUGAGUCACAAAAUAUUAGACAAGGGAGAUUAUGAAUGCAUGACAUUAGAGGUGUGUAAAAAUGAUUUACAAUUCAACAAUAAAAAAAAUUGAUCUUUAAAAUUACCAUGACAAAGAUUAGGGCGGGCAACGCCACCAAAAUAAUUUUGCGUCCGUUUCUCAGGUGAGGCAGUGGGCGGGUCUCAAUCCUGAGUCCCAUCCUAACUGCCGGGGUGCCAAUGAGGUUCCAGGUCCGAGUGUCGAAUUAGGUUUUUGAAAAAUGGAUGCACAUAACACCCAAUCGAUAAAAAUUGAAAGGUCAGAAGAAUCCAACCCUAUACAGUCAAGUGAAUGACUCACUAUUAACAAUACUGUAUUGAGGUAAUUUUGUUACAAUAUUGAUAAUAUUGACAUGAUGCUUAUAUUGUAUUGAGAUUACGCUAAUAUUGUUGAUACAAUGUCUAUAAUGUGAGUAUAUUGUCUCCACGUCAUACAUACAUACAUACAUACAUAUAUAUAUAUGCUCUUUAUGCAAAGGGAUCUCCAUUUUUUUCAAAAAAUUGGGAUUAGGUGUGGGGCUCAUUCCAUAUUAAACUUUAACGAUCCGAAUCGUCUAUUUUGUAAGUCUCGAUUCAUAGAUCAUUCUUGUAAAAAUUCAAUUCAAUCCGAAACAAUUUGCUUAUUUAAUUCUCAAAAUAAAUUUUCAUUAUUUAUUAUUUAACAAAAUAUUCGUUCAUUUAUUUAAACCCAAUUAGAUGUGUUAAACAUUUCCGAUUUGGCUAAUAUUUUGCAAGGAUGGUAUAUGAGGUGCAACUUAAAAAAUAGACAGUUCGAAUCGUUAAAAUUCGAUGUGAUGUUUCAUUUUUAUAAAUAAAUGAGUGGGCUAAACCUCAUAAUGGGCGAGCCACAAUAAUGUUUCAAAUUCGCCUUUGGCGAGAAUCGAACCUAAGACCUCUCACUUACAAGUGAAGAUGAAUGUCACUAGACCGUAGUAUUAAGUGACCAAUUCUACAUGUUGGACAUGUAAUUUCUAACAUAACCUAUUAAACCAACACGAAACGACACAACCCGUUAAUGAGUAUGGUCGUUAUCAGAUAACAAGUUUGACAAGACAUGACUCGUUUGUCAGGUCAGAAAGGGACUAGAUUGCAACUAACAAAGGGUGCCGUGGCAAAACAGUUAAAGUACAUCCAGGAGGAUAUCCUCUUUAUGAGGAUCCUGGAGAUCCUCAAAUUGUGUCCGUUUAUCGUAUAUCGUGCGACCAGUUUUCAUCAGAUAAUAUUCAUGUUUAAUUUAAAAUAAAAGUAUUUGAAAUAAUUUAUGACCGUACAAUGUGAAGAUUCCCAGAAUCCUCACAAAGAGGAUCCUCAUUCAAAGUACAUUGUUCAGUAUUAAAUUGUUAUCAGUUCGAGCUACUUUUGUUUCUAAUUGUUCGUGGCUUCACUAACUCCCCAUGUAACAAGUGCAUAGCCUACUCUCUGAGGGCGAUCCAACCACAUCCAUGUUACUCAUAGAUCCGUCACAAAAUAAGUUAAAACUUGAAAUAUCACUUCUAAUAUACAAUCAUACUAAAAUUGAGUUAAAACUAAUUUAAUGUGUGCCAUGAUUGCCUUAUUGAUCCACUUAUAGAAGAUUUAGAUGGUCAAACACGAGUGACUUUCGAAUAUACUUGUGCUUCAAUAUUUUAGGCAAUAAUGUGAAAAUUUUGAAAGGUUGUGCCUGAUUAGAAACAAAAUAAAAUGUGAGGGAUGUAUUUUGCAAUGAGUAUAUUUUUGCUCAUCAUUCGUAAGUGGUGAUAAUGCUCGUCAAUCUACUUAUAAUUAUUAGAUGAGUUUAAAUUUUGAAAUUUAUAUUUACCUAUUACACAAAUUUUAAGAUUUAAACUCAUUAAAAAGUAAUAAUACGGUGAUAAGCAUCAACAUCACUAGAAAGGUGGAGGAAAAUAUCUUCUUUUGUAAUUAGCUUUAAGUGGAGGGUACGAAGGAUGUUGUAAUAUGGAGGAGGACAUGGAUCCCACGCCAAGUUGGAAUAUAAACAUAGAAAAUUCUAGGAAAGUCUUUUUUCUUUCUUAUCUUUUUCUAUAUAUGUGAAAAUACAAAAUAUAUUUCCCCAAUUUUUGCCCUUCUCAUCUUCUUUCAAUCUCGGCUUCUGUCAAAUCCCAAUCGCGCAAUCUCCUGGUAUUCUUCCCCUUCUCAUCCAAUUCUCAAGUACUCUGACAUUUUUGUUUUUGCUUUUAAUUUAUAUGAAAUAAAGGUAUCCGCUUUAAUCUGUGAUUUUGUGGGAAAUUAGGGUUUGGAUUUUGGGAAAUUUGGGUUUGUUUGGGCUCGUGAUCUGGUUUUGAUUAGGUUUUUUUUUUCUGGGUUUUUCAGGUUGUGUUUUGUGUGAUUGUGUGUGUUUGUAGGUGUUGUCAUGGCAUCUAAACGCAUCUUGAAGGAGCUCAAGGAUUUGCAGAAGGACCCCCCUACCUCAUGCAGUGCUGGUAUUUGCUCCUUUUCCUUGGACAAAUCCCUUGUCUUUUUGUUAAAAUUUUUUUUUUUGUCAUUAGUUAAGCUUGGGGGUGGGAGAAAUCGAACUUGGGUGAGGUGGGAGUUUCUUUUUGUUAAAUUUAGAUCCCAUAUAUAAAAUUGUCUUAGAAAUGUAGAUGGAAGUUCCUAUUGCAGCGGAUUAGCGGGGUUUUUUCGAUGAUUUCUACUGUUUCCAGCUUCUUCGAUUUUUGGCAAAAAAUUGGCCCCUUUUCAUCAAUUGGACAGAAAAGAAAAAAACUGAAAUUUUAACCCUUUGCUUUAUCGAUUAGGAAAUAAAGAUGUAUCAAAUUUGAGGAUGGUCCAUUUGGGAGCGAAACCAUCCUCCUUUAAUGGUUUAGCUGAUGUAAAAAGGUGAUGGUAGGAUAUUCUGGCAUUGUAGUGAGUUUUGUAUAGGUCUCGUAUGCUGGCUCAUGCUUCUUGUGUUUCUUGGGUAUAUGCAUAUUUUGAUCGCUUUACUGAACUUGGCAUACUAACUUCUUGUGGGUUUCUCUUUCAUGGAUUAUAGGUCCUGUGGCCGAGGACAUGUUCCAUUGGCAAGCGACAAUUAUGGGACCUGGUGAUAGUCCAUACACGGGUGGUGUUUUUCUAGUUUCAAUUCAUUUCCCUCCAGAUUAUCCAUUCAAGCCUCCAAAGGUACAAAUAGAAAAACCGGGUCCUCAUGUUUCUAUAUGUUGUUGUGGUCAUGUUCCACCAUAGAGUAUCAUUAUUGAAACAUGAGCUUUCGUGAGUCAUAUAAUGGGUGAAAUGGGUACCUGCACAAAGUCUUUAGUUAUCUAUUCGUACACGCAGGUGAUUCAUUACAAUGUUCUCUGCAGUUUAUGUGAGGGGAACUUCAUGUGUAUCAUAUCUGGAAUUUUAUUUUAGCCAUAAGCUGCAGAUGCAUUUAUUGGACACAGUUCAUUUUUAAGUAGUUGUCAUUCAUGAUGUACCAGGCCACAUUACAAUUAUAUUCAAGCUUUUUUCUUCUCCUGUAUUUUGUUUUGGAAGGGGUUGGGAGGGAUGUGUCAGUGCGAGAGAGACAUUGCAUUUUGAAGUAGUGUUGGUUACUAAUAUCGCAUUUCGAUUUUAUGUCUGUUAGCGGGAGUGUUAUAUAAUACUAAGUUGAAAUUGUCUACAAACUGAUUACUCCUUUAGGCUUUAGAUUCUUCUGCCAUCAACAUUCAGUCAGCCAAAAUAUCCUGUAUAUCAGCUGUAUCUUUGUUUAAAGUGAUUCUUCUUUUUAUUUGAUUUUAAUGUUAAAAUGUUCUUUUUGUUCACAAUUGAUAUUUGGGAUAUUCAAGGAUGUGUUUUCGAAUUCAAUAAAGUGGCAAGGUGUUUCUCUGUUCCCUCAGUUUUUCAUGAAUCGUGUUUAUCUUAGAAUACUUUUAAAAUUGUACGACAAAAGCUCAUUAUUGUAAAAUCAUGUUAUCUAUAGCAGGUGCCCAUUUUAUGUUUUUGGCUUCUUAGUUAUCUCUGGUAGAAUUUUAGAGGCUAACUCAAGUUGCGUGUGUAGUCUAAGGCUUUUGGUCUACUUGUGAUUGUCUCAGAAUUUGUCUCUUGAUAGUCUAGAAUGUAGAGUCUAACAACUCAAGUUCCAUUUCAGGUUGCAUUUAGGACCAAGGUAUUCCACCCAAACAUUAAUAGCAAUGGAAGCAUAUGUCUUGAUAUUCUCAAAGAACAAUGGAGCCCGGCACUAACCAUUUCCAAGGUUUGUGUAAUUAUUUUGUUCUUGUCAGAAUUCGUUUUGUGUGUGGGACUACAACAGCUGUGGCUUAUGUCCCCUUAUCAGAUUAAAAGGAGAUGUCCUGUGGCUGCAUCCUAAUGAACCUACAUCUCAUUCCAAGCCCUGUUGCAACAUGUGACUUGCAACUGGUGCUGUGAGACGUAUUCAUCAUGUGCGAUCCUACUUUUCACUCCAUGUCCUGUUGUAUCACUUGAGAUGGGAUGAGUGAUACGGCUCAAGCAUGUGGGUGUGCCUAAAAAGGAUGAGAUGUCAUCAUUUUACGGGAUGAAGUUAAAAUACAGAGCAAGUAACAUGGUAUACUCAACAUAGGAUGAGAUGUUGUCAUUUUGUGGGAUGGAUUUAACGUUGAUUCCUUUUAAUCUGAUAAGGGCACUAAAUUCAGUUCUAACCUCUUGUGAUAUGGGUUAUAAUGUGUAUCAAAUGAACUUGUGUUUCAGGUGCUGCUGUCCAUAUGCUCUCUGUUGACGGACCCCAACCCCGACGACCCGCUUGUCCCCGAAAUUGCACACAUGUACAAGACGGACAGGGCAAAGUAUGAAGCCACUGCUCGCAGUUGGACUCAGAAGUACGCGAUGGGGUAAAACCAAAGGUUCCGGCAUUUGUUAAAAGGCUUGCAAAUGCACGAACUCCAUCUCCUUUAAAGUGAACAUUGGAAAUAUUGAAAAUUUAUCUUUUCUGUGAGACUUAAAGUUGAUCAAGGAACAAGUUCACAUUUGUGAAUAUUCAUUUGAAGGCAUUCGAGAUGGAAGGAAAAAACAAGUGUAAUGUAUCGUUACUAUGAUAUUUAAGUGAAUGGUUUGUUUGUUGAAGAAAUAAUGCUUUUUAAGAGCACGAUUGCUUUAGAGUGCCUGGUUUAACACCGUCCAAAUGAAAGCAAUUUUUGUGUUCAGGUUGAUGAACCCGUUUGGAAGUGAUCCUCGGAGGGAUAGAAUCACUUCUUGGAAGAAGCACAUGAGAGGCGCUUCUCCAUAAAACUACCGCCCCUCGUGCUUUCCGAAGAGUGUCACUUCUAUCCCUCCUAGAAUCACUUCCAAAGAUGAAACGAUGUGUUACGCCGAAUCCAUUUGUAUGUGUUACUUGACGUGGGUUAGGCCAAGUGGCCAUAAAGUUUCCCGCUUCCUGGCUGGCUCCCAAGUUCCAGUCCCUUUCCCUGAGUUUAGAGCAACGAGAACUAUUCCUUACGUGCGUAUAUUGUGAUGCUUCUGAAGCUCUUUUACGAUGAAGGGAACGUCGUAUAUAUCUAUGAUAUAGAAUAAUGUACACAUAUUUCUUUUGUUUUUUUUUAUCAUUGGUAGCUAUAAAGCGCAGAACUUGUGAAUUGGAUGCGAACGAGUCACACCGAUGGGCACUUGUGGUUGUGGUGGUGCAAGGUUUGGCACCGAAUGAUGUGCUCCGUUUGAAUUUUUCAUGUCUAGAAGCCACGUGGCAUCAUGGGUUCUUCUCUUUCCAAGUUCCAAUAUCAAUCUUCUAGAUUUCCUUCUAUUAGGUGAAAAGUUUUCUAGAUUAACUUUAAUACAUCCGAUGCUGAACGAAAGAUUUAAAACACGAUAUCUUGGAUGCAUGAAAAAAAUUAUAGGUCGGUUGGAGUAAAGAGGUAGCCAAAGCAUACACCCCCAUCCUAGCUCCCGUAAUUCGCCCCUUGCCAUUUCGCGACCCUUUCUGAAGAAUUUGUCAAAAAUUUUGCUCCCAUACUAGUUAAACUUUAGGGUGAGUAAGGGCAAUAACCUUCGUUCAACGUUACGUGUAUCCACCCCUUAAUAUGCGAGUUAUAGAUUCUCGAUGCCUAGGUAACAUGGACAGUCCUAGAUUCUUAAACUAAUAAUACAAGGAGUUAGGUCAUGCAUGAUUUAAAAGAAACGUCAUCACAAACUGCUGGAAAAAAUUAACCCUAUUUUAAUUCCCCAUUAAAUUUAAGUGUGCACUUUGAGGGGGCAAAUUAAGAUAUCUUUGAUUAACUUAUCGCUUGGUUGACAAGCAACGAACCUCCAUCUCCAGUCUCUUUGUCCCAACCCUAAUCAUGCAUGAUUGCUCACUUUUCUCACGUGCUGGCUGAUGGAUUGGGGGUCUAUCGUUGCCUUUGCUUCCUCCCGAAGCAUAAACCAACCCUAUCAACUUUUCGACGUUUUUCAGUGGUUUUCAUUUAAUUUAAUUUAAUUUUGAACCCAUCUCUAUGUAUGUAAUGCCGCCACAAGGUGUGAUAGGUUGAAGAGAAAAGUAGGAUUACAUAUACAAUUAUUAAUAGGUUUUGACAAAUUUACUCUCUACCUAUGUUAUUUUGACUCAAUCCAACUCUUGAUUAAAAUAAUUCAAUGGUGUCUUCUUUUCAUGGCUCGACCUCUUGUAUAUAACGAGCCGUUUAUUUUUAUGUAAAAUCACAAUUUGACACUAUACAAUAAAAUAAAGAGAAUCUUAAAUAGUGGAGUCACAUGAUUAGACUUGUGUGACCGUCCAAUAACAAGUAAUUAAGUGUUACAACUAAUAUCAGUGUGUGGCUAGAUGAAGAAAAACACAAAAAUAUUAUAAGUGUAAAACAAAGUGAGAUCAAACAGAACCAGUUGCCGUACUGAAGAUUUUUAACCCAGAAUAGGGCUUUUUUUUCAGUAAAGGGAUUAGGUUUGAUGGGGUCAAAGAAAAUUAAAAUUGGGUCCAUAAGCUGAUAUUUGUAUACGAUGAUCGUGAUGUAUAUGGCCUGGCAUGCACCUAUCAUUCCAUCACCCAUGCGUUGAAGAAGAAAAAAGACACCGUUUGAGUCUCAAUUUUUAGCACACAAACUAAACAGUUUCAUAUACGCUGCAGAAGCUGUGGACAGUAAAAAGUUAAAGCCACAGCUUCCCGAUUAGGUGGAAAAAAGAGUCUAAAGAGAAGCAUGCUUUUGGAGACGCACCAACAUACCAAACGGAAAGGAUCCUCUACGGAUCCCUUCCAUCAAAUCCACCAAAUCUAUUAAUUUGGAUAUUUAAAAUUUGAUUCAACGGCUAUUAUAACUUUUAAAGAAGACUCAUAUUUUUAACUCUUGGAUCAAAUUUUAAGAGCUCGGAUUAGUGGAUUUGGUGGAAGAGAUCCAAAGAGGAUCCCUUUCCAUACCAAACACAGUAAAAGGCAGAGAAAAAGAGCUGCAUGCUAACUAGAGAAACCGCGUGGUCGGUUUCAAACAUGUAAAACGUGAAUUAGCAUUGUGUCUCCAAUUGUAUAUCUCUUUGUAUUCAUCACUCUCGUUAUGUGUACGUCAGACACAAUGCAAGUUACUUUCUCUCAUUUAGCAAAACUUAUUGUGCUAUCUUAAGCAGAAUACAAGUACAUCCUCUCAUUUAGUAAGACACAUAUAGGUCUCAUAUGAAAACACAUUACUAGAGCAUAACUAUCAUUUACGAUGUACGUGUAAACUAUUUACACUAAUAUUAUUGUAUAUAGACACCACCUGGAGUUCAGAAAAUAGACAUACGAGGUGUUUUGAGAACUUUCCGAAUGUUUUGCACGGUUCUUUUUCUAUCAACCAAGUGUUUGAUGUAAUACCUGCUAAGCAUUAUCUCGACAGAUUGCGUGAACAACACUGAUCAACAAAUUAUCUUGAUAUCACUCAUCAAAUGUUCGACGAAGUACCUAAGUGAAUAAACUGAUUUUUUUUUUGCGCUGCAUACUCUAUUUCUAUCUAAAAAACUUGAACCUUUAAUAUGGGAAGACCCAAGAUUUGAAUCUUGUACACAAUAUAAAAACGAGAACUUUAACGAAAACCUCCCAAUAUUGUUCACGUUAACGAAAAACCAUAUUUUACACUAAAAAGUCAAUUCUGAUACUAUUCACUUUACCCUUUAUUUUGUCCUUAUAGUUAAAACUCAAAGUUUUCAAAUCAUUUUCAUUAGUUUUCCUUAUAAAAACAGUUUGUUGUUAAGGAUUUUUUAGAGAAAAGUUAUGCAUCGACCGACCCUAUAUAUACACAGAUGUGUUGGCUGAGGAAACUCUACUUUGCUAUAGAAUUUCAAUAUUAAAUUGGAGAAGGAAAAAAUCAGAGAGGGAGGACUAAUUGGAGGAAAAGUUAGGCAAUUUGUGAGCGUGAGUAGUGGGGUUGUUUUUGUUUGUGGAAUGAAAACGAGAGGUAAGAGGAACCGAGGAAGAGGCCAACUGACACGCGUCAACAGAGAGGUUUGUUUUCCCGCUUAACACUCCAGACCAUGACUAAUGACCCAUGGCCCAUGACUAAUGACCCAUGGCCCAUGACCCGCUCACAUACGUACUCCCCCAGUCCCCCUCACUCACGAUAUAAUUUACAACCAUUCCCUAAGUCAAAGUAAAUAUAAAUUAAAUUAAACAAAAGAAAACACCAGACAUAUAAAGGGAGUUUUAACGAAAAGCCCGUGGUACUGUUCACUUUAACGAAAAAUCAUAUUUUUACACUAAAAAGUCAAACAUGGUACUAUUCACUUUACCCUUUAUUUUAUCUUUAUCGUUAAAACUCAAAGUUUUCAGUCAUUUUCAUUAAUUUUCCUAAAUAUAAAACAUAACAAACAGGGGUCACAGUGGGUAAUUUCACAAGAAAGCAAUACAUUUUCGUUACGACUUAGUUUUAUUGGUUUUGAAAAUAGUAUGUAGCUUAAUUAAUUAAGAGUAUUUAUUUAUGCACUUGAAAUUAUGAGUACAACUUUUCACUUGCCCAACAUCACUUGUAGAAAAAUAGAAGGAAACUUUAACGAAAAAAUCAAUCAUUAUAUUAUUUAUUUUACUCUUUAUUUUGUCUUUUUCGUUAAAACUCAAAGUUUUCAAGCCAUUUUCAUUAGUUUCCUCAAAAUAGAAUUGGUAUUCACACUUUACAUUCAUUCUCUGUGCACCUCUAUUUAUUUUGAGAGUUGUUAUUGACAUUAAAAAGAUUAUUCUCCUUCCUAAACAUGUGGAAAAAAAAACAAAGGAGAACAUGUAUUUUCAAAAGUAUGAAUACAGACUUUUAAUCAAAAGUAAAAUCGGACGAGACUAAACACACAAUAAGUGGCGGAUAAAUUAAUUUUCUAAAGUUUAUGCAGGCGUUGUAUAUUUUCUUAAAAAUAAUACUGAGAAUACCAAAUUUGGAAACCAAACCAUUUCCACAUUUGUGUAUUCUAUUCCUAUCCUAUCCAUGACUUCCAUGCACUAUAAAUACACUUUACCCUUCCCAUUUUUCUCCGUUUUCCUUCUCUCCCAAACCUGCAAAGGGGUUUUAUCAGUAGCUCACUCUCUGCCAAAAGCCUCCAUACAGCUCCCCUUUGCAGUUCCUCCCUCUUCUCUUUUGCUCCUUCUUCUUCCUUCCACUCCAAAAAGCUUCUCACUUUUACCCUCUCUCUCUGUCUCUCUGUCUCUCUGUCUCAACCUUCUACAAAUUCAAAACCUCACUCACUUCAUCUCAGUCGUACUAACUUUUCUACAUGCUCUCGCCGUCGAUUCUUCAUGUUGCUGCUUCCGACCAAACCCACAUCUCCGAUUUCAUUUCCUCCGCCUCUAAAUCCAUGACAACCUUCCAACCCACCUCGUCCGCACACUCAGCGGUCAAAUUUUCAGAGCAAAUCACCACCGUGACAAAACCCAUGAUCCAGGAACCCGAUAACCCGAUCCGAGUCCCGCCAAAGCUCGUCCGGAUCAUCCUCACGGACGCCGACGCCACCGACUCCUCCAGCGACGACGAAGACAGCGGCGUACGCAGAGUCAAACGACAUGUCAGACAGAUCAGCCUCGAGCUCUCCUCGCCUUCCUCUUCCUCGCCUUCAUCUUCGUCGUCGUUUUCUUCGGGUCAGUCGAAGCGGGCCAGGAAAGACCCGAAACCCGUAAAGCGAACCGGGUCGAAAUCGCCGGCAAUGGAUGCAUCGCGCCAGAAAAAGUUCAGAGGCGUACGCCGGCGGCCUUGGGGUCGAUGGGCUGCGGAGAUCCGAGAUCCGACUCGUAAAAAACGGGUCUGGCUCGGAACCUUCGACACAGCGGAGGAAGCCGCCAGUGUUUACGACAGAGCUGCCAUCCUUCUCAAGGGUCCAGAUGCCAUCACCAACUUUUCUAACGCCGUUACAACGGAAGAGAAAGUCGUUGCCGAUGUGGUGGUCCCAGCUCCUCCGCAGCGAUGCGGGUGCGUAUCUCCGCCGUCCAGCGAGGCUCUCUCGUCGCCUACCUCGGUCCUCCGUUACGAGGAGCAAACGCCGUUUGAUGGUUUCAUAUACGGAGAUGUUGACGACUUCGUGUUUGAUAUCGACUUGCCGUUAAGCUUUCCAGAUAUUAUGUUGUCGAGUAACAACUUUGUGCGCGACGAGUUCGGCGAGUUUAACGUUGACGAUUUCUUAGCUGACGUCGUAAGUUGAACCCAGCAGUACUCUACACGUGUAACUACAAGUAGGCAGGAUUAUUUUAGUUUGGGACUGUGCUGCAAUUUGCAAGUGAAGUGAGUUUUGUUAAGUGGCGCAAGCAGUACAUGGAAUACCGAAAAUGUCCUCCGGAGUGUGAUGUACAAUCACUACGAGUAUAGCCGAUUAUCUCUAAUAUAUACGGCGGUUUUGUGAGAACUCGUUUUUGUAGUUUUAUUUUAUUUUAAAUUAUUUGUGUUUAAUUGUAAUUAAAGACGGAUUAUUAUAAAUUUUUAUUGAUAUUUGUCAAUUGAGAAUAGAAGCUUGGAGACUAUUGGAGUGGGAAAGGAAUAAAAUUAAAAAUCAUAAAUGAAAUGGUGCUUUUGAUUUCUUGGACAUGAAGCUCAUUGUUGAAAAUUAUAGAAGUGUGAUAUUCAUACUCUAUUUUACUUCUUACACACCUUUUUAAUUUUCAGUCAUCGAAUUGAAUAAACUGAAGAAGAUCAACGAAUAUAAAUUAUUAAGGGACAUGUGAGCAGUUUAUAUUCUUUUCUAUAUUAAAUAUUACAUUUCGCUUAUUUUAAAAAGAAAUAUAUUAACCUAUAUUUACAAUGCUUUGAAUUUUAAUUACGUUAUAGUGAUUUGUAGCGAGUCAUUCACUCGUUUUUCUAACAUUGGGCUCGUUUGAAAGUCUUUUUGAAAUGAUUGAAAAAAAUUUAGGUGAAAUUUCUUUGGAAAUGAUCCUUAACAAAAGUUCAAGUGGAUCCUAAAAAACACUUUAAAUACCUUUUGCAAAAAAUAAAUAUCUGGUGCUUCUUUCUACGCACUUUUGAAACUCAAAAUCAAUUCACAUAAUACGUUUUCAAUAAUUUUAAAAGUAUUUUCAAAUGAGUCUAUUGAUGCUAACAACAAAAGUGUAAUACCACAACGAUAGUCCAUUAUAAAUACGUAUUACUAUUAACAUCUACAUGAAUCAAACAUUUUGUUAUACAUACAUGAAUCGAACCUAAAAUUUUCAUAAUUAAAUAUCGAAAACUUUACUGAAUUAAAGACUAUAAUUGGUCCUAUAAUAUUCAAUUGAACCGAAAUCUAAAUAAAAUACUAUUGUUAGUGGCACACUUGGAAGCCUCAACAGUCAGGACACGUGUUUUUCAAAAUUUUCAGGUCAAUUGCUUUCGGAAUUGAGACAUAGCAAAUAGUAGUCUUUUUCUUUAGAGUUUGGCUUUUGUCGGAUAUUCUUGAUGGCUCCAUCAAAUAUUAGAAAUAUCAAAAUUAAACGACAAAACCUAAUUGCUUUUUCUUUUAUUUUCUUUUCAAGCAAUCUAGUUGCUUUGUUUUUGUGGAUUUUAGUGAGUAAAAGUAGAAGUUUGGUGAGUAAUUCAUAGGAGAACAAAAAUAUCGAGUAGUAUCAAUUUUGGCUGUAAUAAUUCUCGAAUUCAGGUUCUUGGAACUAAAUAUGCGCAUCGUUAUGGGUGGUGGAGAUGUCUAAUCCCGUUUACCUGUUAAAGAACAUACAACUGUGAGUAAGCUAAAGAUCGGGAUGUGACAGUCUAAGGUUCUCUGAUGAUCAAGUUAGUAAGUGAUAUUAAGAGUGGGCAAGAGAAUGAAUAUGUAAAUAUUAUGUUACCAGAGAUGAACUCUAAAAGAGUAUAUUUAUAUUGGUCGAAGAGAUAAUCUUUUAUGAUAGUAUAAUUCUUAUUAAACCAAAAUAAUCCCAUAUGAUAUCUAGGAAGUAGAUAUUGCAUCAUUUUAGGACUUAAGAGCGAGAUUAAUUGCAAGCACACCAAUCCUUAGAUGGUAAGGACUCCAAGAUUAUAGGAAACCUACUUAUUUCUUACAGAACAAGCACGGUCAAUUUUAGCAAAGUCAUCAGACUUUGCUCAUUGAUUCCAGAAUAGUACGAUAGUGGCAUCAUUUGCCUGUUUAGUCAAUUCUGCAUCGGAAAUUGUUGAGCCUAUGACUGGACUUCUGAGAUAUGCCUAUCCAAUCUUCUUUACUCCGACACUGAAAAAUUAUGACCCCACACAGGUUAACUACUGCUAACUUUUGAAAGAAGUCGCAUUCUCAUCAUUUACCAAACACUUUAGACGUUAAAACAAGUUGAUUAUCAUUAACCCUAAUCAAUUCAUUCUUUGUUGUUUGAGAUUUGCAUCAUUGCAUGUAUAAACAUUUUAUGAAAGUGAUUUUCCGCACAAUCAUUUUCUUCUUCUCCACGUCCAAAGGAAAAAAGGGUGUGAAAAUUAUUCCCCGUAUCCCAACUUGUAGAACGGCUAAAACAAAGAGAAAUAAGAGCCAAGUAGGCUAGUGUGUGGGGCAUAGGGUCCACAGUGAAUGGGUGGCUAGUCACUAGUGGCAAAAUAAUAGCCUAUUGGCUAUUGGCUUGGGGUCACACUAAUGCAUGAUGGGAUGUCAAAUGGACUUGGUACCAUUCCAAUACAUGAAUAAAGCUGGCUACCGGCGGCUACAAGGUUGGAAUCGUAAUGGAUAUUUUGAUUGGGGACUGUUUGCGGAGCGGCAAAUAAAUUGGUUUUUUUGCGUGCUUUAAAAGGCACAAUAAGCAGAGAACCAGUCUCAUGAGCAGGAAUUUGGUGGGUCCUACUGGUUGGUGACCAAACGGAUACGAAAGUGACAAAAGCCCAAAUCUGGCCCAUCCAUCCACAGCCGCCCCCCACUAAUAGCGAUUAAUUAAAAUUUUUAAUUCAAUAUUAAUCCCAUUAUAUGAGAUGUAGUUGCCUUAUUGCCAACAGAUUUUGGUCUUAAUUGUUCAGGUUUUUCCUUUGAUGUGCACUAAAGUCCGCUCCACAUGCUAUUUAUAAAAAUGGUUGACGUAAUAUUGUACUAGUUCUAUAAGUUAAUUUCUGCAUAUCUUUGUCAUAAUUCGUCACUAUUUGGUUCCUAAUUACUCUUCUGUCUCUCUAAUGAAUUUUAUAUGUAGCCAAACCGCAGCACAGUAUACACAGCAUAACCAUGGAUACUAAGUUCCGAUUUUCCAGUGGGACAAUUUUGUACCUAGGUCAAGGUGUAGCGUGGUUAGAAUAGUUAAAUCGACUAUAGUUUAAUAGUUAUAUUGACGGUUUAUUAUCCUCUAUUUAUAUAGGUUGGUCAUAAUUUCGUUAAUCGCUCUUCACCAUGAAGUCAUUAAAGAAAGUUGAGGUUUCACCAUAAAACUAAUUGGCAAUAUAGAGAAUAGCUCAACUUUUUAUAAGUUCUUGCAUGAUUUGUUCCUCCGCCGAUGUGGAACUUUGUCCUCACAUUCUCACGCACCUCUCACGUAUGACGAAUUUUCAAGGCAAACACGUGGGCAACAUGAAUUGGAGGACGUGGAGCACUUGUGUUAGUUGGGCUUCACACUUGGACCAACUUGCUCUGUUACUAUCAAGAAAUUUGAGGUUCCACCAUAAAACCAAUUAUGAAGAGUAGUUAAAUUACUUAUAAUGUGGAAUAAAUACCCUUAAUAGACUGCGUCACGUGUGGCGAAUUUUCAAACCUAGCGCGAUAACAACACAAAUAAAGUGACAUGGAUCACGUGUGGCCAUUAGGCUUCACAUGAGAUAACUUGCUUUGAUAUUAUGAUGAAAAUUGAGGUUCCACUAUAAAAUCAAUUAACAAUACGAAGAGUAUUAGAAACCCUUGUAUUAUUUGAUCCCUCACUGAUAUGAGACUUUGUCCUCACAUAUUCCCACAAUCAUAAGGUAUCCAUAUUAUAUUCAAAUCGGAUAGAGUAUUGUAUUUACCAAUUUACCAUUAAGUACGAGUUUGUUCUGAAGAUCCACCCCUCGUAAUCAUUUUCGUAGAAAAAUCAUUUGCUCGCUUAGAAAGACAUCUGGUUGUAUAGAUAUGGAGAUCAAGAUUUGUCGGCAGGAUUAUAUAUAUAUAUAUAUAUAUAUGUUUUCUUCUAAUCAAACAAUUGAGGUGGAACGCACGAGACCACUCUCUAAUUAUGUAUGCUAUAGUACCUUCGUUUUGGUUAGUGACGGAGUAAGAUUUUUUGUGUGGGAAGGCUAUUGACAUAUAUAAUUAAGUAAUUUGAAGUCAGAAUAUGAGAGAUUGAAGUAGUUUGCAUAAAACUUAAAAGACCCUAAAUUCAAUAGAGAGAAAUAAAAACAUUACAAACCCAAAACCCAAAUAUCAGGUAAAGAGUAAACAAGAAUUAAAAAAAAAAAAAGUUAACUAACGCCAAAGAAAAGUUGACAAAAUAAGGAGGAGGAGUGAAGACUGCAUUGUAAUAAGAGGGAUGGAGAGAGAAAUGAGACUGGCCUGGAACAGAGAAGAGUUUGGAUUGAAAGCACACUGAAAUUUUAAGAGUGUUAGACUGAUAUACAAUAAUAACAUCUAUAUUAUAAUAGCAAGAGGAAAAAGAGGCAGAAUAGCCCAGAGACCAUUCUGGUCACUUAGUGGCUCCGCCGCUGGUUCUAGUUUAUAGAAAAUUAUUACAUAUACGUUUCACUGCCCCUAAAGAUUUAAGUAUGCAAAAAAAGGAAAAAACUUGCAUAUAUCAGGGUGCACAUUGUGUAAUGUUUCUAUAAAUCUCUUUUCACACACAAAAUGAAGAAAACAAUAAGUUCAAAUUCAAAGGUUAAUAUUGUAUUUUUGCUCGCCACUCUAAAAUCCCUAUUAAAUACUAUUAGAUUACUUCAAAUUUCUAAAUUUGCGUAGUAUAUAGAUUAAACCAACUCUUUGUAUUGUUUCAUAAUUUAGCUUACCUAUGUAGUAUUUGGAUAUGUUAACCAUGCAUUAAUUAACCCGUGAAAAAAAAAAUGACUCUUGGAGUGAACUCUUGGAAUGUUAUCAGAAACCCUAAAUUGAGAUCUCGACAUUAGUACAGUCUACAAAAAAGUGUGACAAGAGACAGUAUUGGACCGAGUCUUGAGUGGCAUGCAUAAACAUAAAAGAAGCCACAAAAUUCAAAAUUUUAAGAUAUUUAAGCCGAUUUCCGUGACGACCCACCUGCAAAAUAUAGAUGAGAACAAGGACAUAUAAUAUAUAUAUAUAUAUAUAUAUAUAUAUAUAUAUAUAUAUAUAUAUAUUGCAUGAUGUUUCCUAGAGUGGAGGGUAAUGCUGGUGUAGGGUACUUCAGUCCGAUAAAUGUUUCGAUUUUUCAAAAUUUAUGGCUCCAAUUGUUGAAGGAGCUACGAAUAUACUAAUUUAAAUAUAUAGAGUAAUUUGUAUUAAAAUCGAAUAGUAUGCAUUACAGUUGACUAUUGCAGACCUUCUUACGUACCGGAGUUGGUAGUUUAAUUAGGGUUAGGGUUUUCUGAGUUAGUAGCUGACUUGUUCAAGAAGCAAUGCCUCAGCAAAAACCUAGUUGUAACGGGUUUCAGAAAUUCAUACCAUAUCACCGCGACAUUUCUAUCAAGCCAGUAUGAAAUCCGUACAAUACAUAAGUUGCUAAAAUAUAGAAAGAUAGUGUAUUAAAGUCAUUACAUUUAAGUUUUUUUUCCGCACAUUAUAUUGCCAUAUAUAUUUUGUAACCUAGUGCCCUAUAUAUUGCCAUGUAUGAAAGAAAUUUUAGGAUCCGUCAAACAGAUCACGUGUCUGUAUAGAAGCAGACUUAAAAAACCCUCCUUAACCCACUUCUUCUAAUUUCUCAUGCUAACUUUGACUCACUUUUAGUCUCACUCCCUAUCACACAAACCCCAAUCCAAGUGAUGUACCCAAGAACCUCUCUACAUGAAUUCCCCAUGUAUGGUACUUGCAUAGUACUUUACUGUAUAUUCACUUACAAUAUUAUUGGGUUAUCUUGGUUUACUGGUUGGACCGUUCUAGGGUUCCAAAAUUCCAUGGAAUUUCGAUUAUUUCAACUCCGAACCACAUGUGUAAUAAUUUUUGCUUGGAAAUCGAAGACAACGAAAAAGAGGUGGAAGGUUCGGCGAAGUUGAAGGCAUGUCGUAAAAUUGCUAUUGACUUUUCCAAGCUACUGAUUUUUUGUGAAAACAAAAGCUCUUCUCCCUACCACUAACACACUAUUGGACUAAACAAAGACCGACCAUUGAUCAGGUCGUUCACGUUUAAACAAAAUAAUUGAAGGAAGGUCGGCGAGAAAUUUCCAACGAGUGGUGGAGGAAAAGGCCAAAUUGGAAAGUGAAAACGCUGUUGGAAAAAGCAGAAAAACAAAGGAGGAAACAAGCAGCUUUGACCUCGAAUCGAUUGAAAGAAAGGUGGAUGUUCAAGGUUCUUAGAACUUUCCCAGUCCAUUUUGCAUCAAAAUAAUCGACGCAGCAAGCUCCAGUGUUGGUGUCGUCCUUUUACCAAGUUUUCGGUCGUAUAAACAUAUCUAUUGGUGGGAAAAAAUUUUGAUUUAUUCAGAUUUUUCAACCUUCAAACUUCAACAGUAAAAGAAGGGUCACUGGGUAACUAAUCACUACGUUGUCAUCGAUUGCACUAUUUCACCUUAUACAUGUGAGAUUGUAGAAGUUCUACAAAAUUUUGACACAUCGCGGUUAAAUCUGGAUUUGGGGGAAAAUGGAGUAAUCAAGCCGAAUCUCUGAAAAACACAAAAUAUUGGGAAAGAGAAAAAACAAAGGUGAAUUUGAAAAUAAACACUUACGGUUAGAAAAAGCACAUUUUAUGUGUUUCUCCAUCAUCGAAAAAACAUACAAUUAGAAUAUUAUAUUGGUGAUGAGUUGACGGUUCCGUAUAAUAACCUUGCCAGUGUUUGUCUUGAUGAUGUGAAUUAUGACGGAACAUAAACACAUAUAAACUGUACUGAUUUAAGACGUGCUUUAUUUUCCUUAGAACUAGUCUCAUAUAUAUAUAUAUAUAUAUAUAUAUAUAUAUAUAUAUAUAAGAACCUUGGUAUGCUUCAUGUAGUAUAUAAAAGGGUCCAAUUUGGUGGUAAAUUGAACCCUGUGCUCUAAAUGUGUAUACUCCACUUCUAGCAUUUGCAAAAUUUUCAUUAACAUUUACGACCCUUAAAGUAAAAGAAAAGACAUGAUUCUAGGCUCGAACAUACAGUUUGAAAUGCCUUUCUUGUGAUGUUUCAUAUGAAAAUAAUUGAAGAAGUUCAAUAGGUGAUGGUGGCUUUUGGGGAUUUUUUUUUGGGGGGGGGGGUGGGUAGUGGGCAACUUAGUCUUCCCAUUCACGCAACAUAAGUUCUUAGAUUUGAGAUGAAAGAAAUUGGUUUUACGAUAUAACCUCUCAAUCAAGUUCUGGUCGGAAGAUAUUUUCAAGCUUGAACUUGAUUUCCCUUAGCUCAUUCGUGGACCGACCUUUAGCUAAUGGUUGACUCAAUUCAACUCAUUAUUUUUAAGAUGUACACUCCUGAGAGGAUUGCGAUCAAUUUGAAGAUUUUCAGUAAGAACUCUAACCUUUACGUACGAAUCUAGCUUAAUGAACUAGUCCAGUUUAAACCAAACUCACAAAAAGAAAUGAGUUGCCCGCGAACUUUAAACCAAAACUUAAGCUCGACUCAUUUUUCUAGCAAACCUAAUGUUUGUUGUUUAAUUCGUUCCUUUACAAACAGAGCUUAAACAAGCGAAUACACAGAGGACUCCAUCGAGCUGGACUAGGCUUACAAAAAGGUGGGUCUAUGUGACAUCAGCCCAAACCUUGAGCAAAGAAGUCUUCCAAUUUGGGCUUACAAGAAGCGACAAUGGAGAGGCCAGAUUGCCACAACAAUCUUCUUAUUUUAUUUUUUAAAAAUUUACUCAAGUGACUCGUUUAGAUGUACUUUUAAAAUAACCGAAAAUAUUUUUGGUGAAAUUAUUUUGGAUCUCCAAAAGCACUUGAAAUGAUUUCUACAAGAAGCACCAGUUAUGUGCUUCUUGCAGGAAGCACUUCAAAUGUUUUUUUAUUACUCACUUGUAUUUUUGCUAAGAAUUAGUUUCAAAAGCACUUUCAUCAAACUUGUUUUCAGUUAUUUUAAAAACACGAGCCCUUACAUUAAUGAGAGCAGUAAAGAAUACAAAUAGAGGAAGUAAGAAAUGAGAAUCGGAUCGACUCAUUCCUCGGUAGAUCUGAAUCCUGAUUUUCUACCAUUAGAUUCCAUAUGUAUUUAGUAAACACAAGAAAGAAAGCCCAAAAUUGCUUUGAAUCUUUGAAUGCAGAAGGAUUAAAGAAGUAGUUUUUGGGUGGCGGCCGAAGAAUAGUAAACCCAGAGCCCAAGGCUCAAUGGGCCUUUAGCUUUCUAGGUAUAAAUACCAUUUCCAACUCCCUACCAAACAGGGAAACACUCACAGUCGCAGCCACACCCGCAGCGGAAGAGGGAAACCAGCUCUCCGGCACAUGUCAGUAGUUCCUCUCUCCAAUCGCCGCCGUCUUUACUUUUUCUAGGGUUUCAAAAAUCCCCAAAUUUUCUUCGUUUUUUUCUCUUGGUACCGCGCGGGGGUUUCAAUUUGGGAUGUCUGCUAGGUUUUUCUUUCCUCUUGAAAUUGUUGGGUUCGGGAUUGAAUUAGAUUUUGUUUUGCUUUUUUUUUUUUUUUUUUUUUUUUUUUUGCAGCAAACAUUAUGGCGGACGACAAUCAGAAUGAGGUGAAGGACGAGGUGGUAGCAGAUGUAUGUUCAGAUUCUUGCAAUAAUAAAUGAAUUUGCACUGCCUGCCCUGAUUUUGCAGUAUUUGUCUUUUCAAUAGCAGUAUCGUAUAUAGUUCAGAUGGUGUUUUACCGUAGUGGCGGAAAACAAUAAUGCAUGUGCACCCCUAUCAUUGAACAAUUUAACCCGCUAACGCUAUCCUUUGUCCCAAAAUAAAAUAAUUCGAUUCCCUACCUGUCGUGCAUUGUGUUUAUGUGGGAAUUUGAGAUAGAUAUGGUAUUGUUCUGGUUUUUGUUCAAGACUUGCUGAAUUGUUAAUCUGAGUAUUCUGAUAAUAAAUUCGGCUUCAAUGCCUUAUUAUUGAAUAUUGUAUAAGUUUUUCGCAAUACGAAAGUUGGAUUAGAUUUUGCCCUUUUCUUUGAAAGGUUCACCUGAGAAUUAUAUAAAAGAUUUCCUUUGGUAGCAACUAAUUGUAGUACAAUACCGAUCUUAUCUAUUUCCUUUGUAUAGAAAUAGUCGAAAAGCAGGUUGGAGUUUAUUGCAAUAAAUUUAACAGAAGCUGAAAAUGUAUUGAUGUAAUAAAGAUUAUGUUGUGGUAGCAGCUCCACGAAGUGUGCCUUUAGUAUAAAAAUGCAAUGGAAAAAAGCGGUGCUGAUUCAUCUUAGACUUAGAGAGGAAAAAGUUAUCCACAUUGUUUUGCAUUCUCUAAAGGUUGCUGCCAUUCCCUGUCUAGAAGUUGGUGGUUCUGAAUGGUAGAGCUAACUAUUGUGAUCUUCAUCCUCUUGUGCAGAUUGCUCCCUUUGAUCCUACUAAAAAGAAGAAAAAGAAGAAGGUUGUUAUUCAGGAUACUACUGAUGAUUCUGUGGACAAGUUGGCCGAGAAAACGGAAACCUUGACAGGUGGUUCAAUUGAACAACCAUUUUUUAUUUUUGCUGUAUUGUUUUACAAGUACAUUCAUUGAGACUUGUAUUUUUUGUCAUUGCAGUUUCUGAGGGGCAGGAGAGUACGUUUACUGGUUUGAAAAAGAAGAAGAAGAAGCCAGUAAGUUACCAAGAUUUUCCAUUGUUUACAAUCCAAAUAUUUUUUCUGAGUAUUGAUUUUUAGUGGUGCUGUGAUUAUAGGUUGAGACCAGUAUCUUGAAUGAAGAGAGUGGUGACCCAGUGGAAGAUGUGAAUGGUAAGACUUUUAACUAAUAAGUUUUUUAGGCUUAUGAAAGGCCUGCAACCUUUAUGUCUUAAAAAAAAUUGAUUGAGAUUUUAUAUAUUUGGCCUUUUAGAGCACACUGGUGAGGAUGAGGAAGGAGAAGGGAUUGUUCUAGAGACUCCAUCAUAUCCUUGGGAAGGGAGUGAUCGUGAUUACACUUAUGAAGAAGUGUGUAAAUUAUAUCAUUUAAAUUACAACUCUCUCAUAGUACAGUGAUGGUUCCUUGACGUCUACACAUGUAUGCUUUAUUAAUUUUACCCAUGUAAUGCAUGCAGCUUCUUGAUAGGGUGUUUAACAUUCUUCGCGAAAAUAACCCGGAUCUGGCUGGAGACAGGCGUAGGACAGUGAUGAGGCCUCCACAAGUUCUUCGUGAGGGCACAAAGAAAACCGUUUUUGUGAAUUUCAUGGAUCUAUGCAAGACGUAGGUUUCAGUUCCCUGAACCAAAACCAUUGUUUAUAUCUCAUUUGCUUUGAUCUGUUUUGUUCUUCUUAUUUAAGUUAUUGUCCAUUAAUCUCUUUCUAUUGUUUCUUUGCUUUUCUUUUUAUGUACUAAUCCGAGGAAAGGUCUCCGAAACAAUUAAGUGGCAAAGAACAUAUGUGUAUACAACUGCUUUGUGUUUUCAUAAUCAAAUGUGCUUACUGUUUGACAUAUGGACUGCGCAUUGUUAGUUGAUGAGCCUAAUGUUAGAUAUUACCAAAUUAUUACCUAAAGCUAUGGUUGAUUUCAUCUGUUUAGUUAAAAGGAGUAAACCCUUCUAUCUUGAAAUUACAGGAUGCAUAGGCAACCAGAUCAUGUCAUGGCUUUCUUGCUUGCCGAACUGGGAACUAGUGGAUCACUUGAUGGACAGCAGAGGUUGGUUGUUAAGGGAAGAUUUGCCCCAAAAAAUUUCGAAGGAAUACUGCGGCGAUAUGUCAGUAAGUACCUCGUUCUGUGGUUUGAUUAUUUAUUUUAGAUGGGAAAAAGGAUUUACACAUGGUCUUUAUAGAUUUGGAAAAAGCGUAUGAUAGGGUCCCAAGAGACAUUCUUUGGAGGAUUUUAGAGAAGAAAGGAGUACGAGUAGCAUAUAUCCAAGCUAUAAAGGAUAUGUAUGAAGGAGCAAAGACUGCCGUAAGAACUCAUGAAGGACAAACCGAAAGCUUUCCCAUAACUGUAGGAUUACAUCAAGGCUCAUCCUUAAGUCCUUACCUUUUUGCGUUGGUAAUGGAUGAGUUAACACGACAUAUUCAAGAUGAUAUUCCUUGGUGUAUGCUUUUCGCAGACGAUAUAGUGUUGAUAGAUGAAACUCAAGAAGGGGUAAAUGCAAAGCUUAACCUUUGGAGAGAAGUGUUGGAAUCUAAAGGUCUUCGCCUAAGCCGAUCAAAGACAGAAUAUAUGGAGUGCAAGUUCAGUGCAAAUGGAGGCCAAAACGAGUUAGGGGUGAGGAUCGGAGAUCAAGAAAUACCAAAGAGCGACCGUUUUCGUUACCUAGGAUCUAUCUUGCAAAAAGAACGGAGAAUUAGAUGGAGAUCUCAACCAUAGAAUACAAGCUGGAUGGAUGAAGUGGAAGAGUGCAUCCGGCGUGUUGUGUGACCGCCGUAUGCCACUGAAGCUCAAGGGAAAAUUUUAUAGGACGGCAAUAAGGCCGGCGAUGCUGUAUGGCACAGAAUGUUGGGCGGUGAAACAUCAACACGUACACAAAAUGGGUGUAGCGGAGAUGAGGAUGCUUCGUUGGAUGUGUGGGCACACGAGAAAGGAUAAGAUUAGGAAUGAGGAUAUCCGGGGUAAAGUAGGAGUAGCCGAAAUUGAAGGAAAGAUGAGAGAAAAUCGGUUACGGUGGUUUUGGACAUGUGCAAAGAAGGCCUACUGACGUUCCGAUUAGAAGAUGCGACUAUGGGACAGAGGUUCAGGGCCGAAGGGGUAGAGGAAGACCUAGGAAAACUUUGGAAGAGACUCUAAGAAAAGACUUAGAGUACUUGGAUCUAACGAAGGACAUGACACAGGAUCGAGCACAAUGGCGUUCUAAGAUUCAUAUAGCCGAUCCCACUCAGUGACUUGGAUUUUCCAAGUCUCCAACCGAGAAGUUUUCCUCACUCGGGAAAUUAAGGGAACACUACCCCAACCUACAUGCUCCACUCAGAAAGCUUCAACAUACAAGCUUUAACAAAAGAAAAUUCAAAGAACUUAGCGAAGAAGGCUUUGGUGUAUUUAACACAAUACGUUGAAAUGAAGGAAAAGCUUAUUUAUUGAUAUCCCCGAUAAGCUACAAAUAUGUACAUAUACAUGAGUCAAAAUAAGCACACACAAGAGGGAGCCUUCACAAAGGUUGCUUAGGAGAAGUCUCAGCAGUCGGUAGAGCCCCAGAAAGAGAAGACACCGGAGGGGGAUCAUUUGGAGCCUCAGUACUGGACAGAACCCUAGAAGGAGGAGGCAUCAGAGGUUGAUCAUUUGGAGCUUCAUUACGCGGUACAGCCCCAGAAGACGAAGACAAUAAAUGCCUUUGGAACAAACCUACAAAUCUCUGAUGAUCAAGUAAAACCUGACCAUCAGUUUCCUUCAUCUGGUCAAGCUUCCUCUUCAUGUUUGUAGCAUAGUCAUGUGCGAGCCGGUGCAACUGUUUAUUCUCAUGCUUGAGCCCUCUAAUCUCCUGUUUGAGACUCAUCACUUCAGCCGCCAAUGAUUCAACUUGGCGGGUUCGAGCAAAUAGGCGUUGGGCCAUAUUAGACACAGAACCUGCAUACUGAACACUGAGAGCCAGCGAAUCCUUAACAGCUAACUCAUCAGACCGUUUGGAAAGUAGUCUGUUAUCUUUGGGAGUGAGAAGGUUCCUGGCCACCACCGCAGCGGUCAUAUCAUUCUUCAUCACGGAAUCCCCAACGGUAAGAGGACCAGUAGGGGAGAUGAAGGAUGGGCGCCAUAUGUUGUCUGGAGAAGGCGGGGUUGCCUCUUCAACAAGGUUCAAGUCAAAACGACGGUCGGAGGGGCCAGACAUUUUCAAAGGUGUUGAAGAGAGAAGAGGUCGGACAAAAUCAAGAUCUUAGAAGUGCAAGAAUGAAGCUUCUACUGGUGGAGAUUCAAGUGUGCUUUGGAACUUAAUGCCAGCUCCUAUAAAAAUCUGCACUCGACGAAGCUUCAGAAAUCGAAGAGGCGCCUGCUCAGAAAAUCGAAGAGGCGUUUGCUUUCUCAAAAGCUGGGCUGCUUAGAGAUCACGAGGGUUGAUCUCAGAAAUCGAAGAGGCGUUUGCUUUCUCAAAAGUUGGGCUGCUCAAAGACCACGAAGGCCGAUCUCAAAAAUCGAAGAUGCGCUCGCUUUCUCAAAAGCUGGGCUCCCCAGGAGACCACGAGGGCCGAUCUCAGAAAUCGAAGAGGCACCUACUUUUCCAGCCUUUUCCAGCCUUGUCAACACCUGUCACACACGCACACUCAGUUUUGCGGAAAUUAUGGGCAUUCUGUCAAAGACUUCUGGGGAAGUAGAAAACACAUGAAAUCUUACUGUUCAAUCACCCACUUCCCCACACGCAACAAUAGUUUCAUGGGUACCACAGAUAACUUUGCCAAAGUUCUCUGCCAAAGUUGAGCACGUGAAGCUUGCAGCUCCCACUACAUCGCUCUGACCAAGAAGGGUAAAAGAAUAGCAAAGAAACAGCACUAACAAAGUUUAGACCCAUAAAUUUUGAAGGUCUAGCUACCAUAUUAUUACCCACAAGGGUAAAGGAACAGUACCACUGCUGGAUAAUUGGAAAGUCCCUGUGUGUGUCAACCUCUGUGCUUCGUGGCAAGGUAGACUAGCAAACAUGCCCAACCUUUACUCACAUUCGAGAAAACACUCCCAAUAAGAUUGCUUGCUCCAAAAUCCUCUGAAUCUCGAGAGCCAGACUCCCAACAUGACUACUUUCUUAAAAAUCGAAGAGAGGGUAAAGGAACAGUACCAUUGCUGGAUAAUUGGAAAGUCCCUGUGUGUCAACCUCUGUGUUCUUCGUGGCAAGGUAGACUAGCAAACAUGCCCAACCUUUACUCACAUUCGAGAAAACACUCCCAACAAGAUUGCUUGCUCCAAAAUCGAAGAGGCACCGCCCUCCGAAUCUCGAGAGCCAGACUCCCAACAUGAUUACUUUCUCAAAAAUCGAAGAGACACUGCUCCCCGAAUCUCGAGAGCCAGACCCCCAGCAUGAUUGCUUUCUCAAAAAUCGAUGAGGCAUCGUUCUCCGAAUCAAUCGAAGAGGCGCUCGCUUUCUCAAAAGCUGGGCUGCUCAGAGACCACGAGGGCCGAUCUCAGAAAUCGAAAGAGGCACCUACUUUUCUAGCCUUGUCAGCACCUGUCACACGCACACUCAGCACACUCAGCUUGCAGAAAUUAUGGGCAUUCUGUCGAAGACUUCUGGUGAAGUAGAAAGCACAUGAAUCUUACUGUUCAAUCACCCACUUCCCACACGCAACAAUAGCUCAUGGGUACCACAAAUAACUUUGUCAAAGUUCUCUGCCAAAGUUGAGCACGUGAAGCUUGCAGCUCCCACUACAUCGCUCUGACCAAGAAAGGUAAAAGAAUAGCAAAGAAACAGCACUAACAAAAGUUUAGACACAUAAAUUUUGAAGGUCUAGCUACCAUAUUAUUACCCACAACUGUAAAGGAACAGUACCACUGCUGGAUAAUUGGAAAGUCCCUGUGUGUCAACCUCUGUGCUUCGUGGCAAGGUAGACUAGCAAACAUGCCCAACCUUUACUCACAUUCGAGAAAACACUCCCAAUAAGAUUGGUUGCUCCAAAAUCGAAGAGGCACCGUCCUCCGAAUCUCGAGAGCCAAACUCCCAACAUGACUACUUUCUCAAAAUCGAAGAGAGGGUAAAAGGAACAGUACCAUUGCUGGAUAAUUGGAAAGUCCCUGUGUGUCAACCUUUGUGCUUCGUGGCAAGGUAGACUAGCAAACAUGCCCAACCUUUACUCACAUUCGAGACAACACUCCCAACAAGAUUGCUUGCUCCAAAAUCGAAGAGGCACCGCCCUCCGAAUCUCGAGAACCAGACUCCCAACAUGAUUACUUCCUCAAAAAUCGAAGAGACACUGCUCUCCGAAUCUCGAGAGUCAUACCCCCAGCAUGAUUGCUUUCUCAAAAAUCGAAGAGGCAUCGUUCUCCGAAUCUCGAGAGCCAGAUACCACAGACCACUUUUUCAAAGUGCUCUGACAGAGUUAAAACAUGUGAAACUGGCAGCUCCCACUACCGUGCUAUGACCAAGCAGGGUAAAGGAAUAGCAUUACUACUUGUUGUUAGGGAGACUCCUAUAUAUGUCGACCUCCAUCCCCAACGGACAGGCAGACCUGCAAAAAUGCUCAACCCUUCAUCAUAUCUGAGAGGGCACUCCCAACGAAGCCUUUCGAAAUAUUCAGCUUUCUUUCCCCCCGAUAAUACCUCUGCAAACAAGCUAUACUAGAGCAAGAAUAUCUCAUAUCAUCAGGGUUAAAAGCAAGAGUAUCCCAUAUCAUGCUUUUUCCCUGUCUUUUCUUUUGGCCUUGUUUUUUACCUGCAAGACAAGGAGAAAGAGAGCAAUCAGUCAGCACUUGGAAUCAAGCUUCCAGCCAGGAACUGACUGCCUGGAACCCCUUACCUGAUUACUUACCUGGCAUUGCUCUCGAGUACUCAUCUUCAACAUCUUAUGUUUCCAGGGAAGAUUCCGCAUCUGCUUGAGGAACAGAUAGGGCAAGUGCGAAGGAUACAAGGAAGCAUGUGGAGACAAGCGUAACAGCACACGUGCCGAUACAUUCAUUACUCUGUCAAAAGCAAAAGUAUCCCAUAUCAGCAAGGUGGAACGUACUCUCUAGAUUUGAUGGACUUGUUUUGACCCUCAAAAUUCUUCAGUCGGCCUUAUACUCUGGAGGAAACCAGAAAAACCCUCCAGCUCAGUUCAAGAAUAAGCCUGUGGAAAGUUAGUACUUCUUCAAAAGCAAAAGUAUCUCAUAUCAUCUCUUCUCAUUUUUCUUCUCUUUAUCCUUCAUGCUGCUGCAAGAUGGGGAGAAGGUGAACAAUCAGUCGGAGCUCUGAUUGCUUACCUUGUCUGUCACCUCUUUCAGCAGACCCCCUAGCUCGGCGACUUGGGGGACUCCUACUACAUGGUUUGUAUCGCGCUUGACCAAGCCUGAAACUACAAGUAAGCUUCAAGUGAAAUUGAUACAUUACCUUGUGCAUCUCCACCAGUUAAUGAUACCACCCCUGGAUGGAGGAAGAGUACUUCCAGAGAAGAUGCCACAUCUACCUAUGAGACAGAUAAGGCAAGUCAAGACGACACCAACACUCCGAUACUUAGAAGUUUCGUGAUUACGAGAUCAUUCUCCCACAAUAUUUCCUAAUGUCAUUUGUACUAAAUCAUUCACUUGUACUCACUAAAUGAGAGCUUGAACCUAUGUACUUGUGUAAACCCUUCACAAUUAAUGAGAACUCUUCUAUUCCGUGGACGUAGCCAAUCUGGGUGAACCACGUACAUCUUGUGUUUGCUUUCCUAUCUCUAUCCAUUUAUAUACUUUCCACACUAAUUACCGGAGAGAGCAAUCUAGCGAAGAUCACAAAAAAGCGAUCGUUUUUCGCUACCUAGGAUCUAUCUUGCAAGAGAACGGAGAAUUAGAUGGAGAUUCUCAAACCAUAGAAUACGAGCUGGAUGGAAAGAGUGCAUCCGGCGUGUUGUGUGACCGUCGUAGGCCACUGAAGCUCAAGGGAAAAUUUUAUAGGACGGCAAUAAGGCUAGCGAUGUUGUAUGGCACAGAAUGUUGGGUGGUGAAGCAUCAACACGUACACAAAAUGGGUGUAGCAGAGAUGAGGAUGCUUCGUGGGAUUGUGUGGGCACACGAGAAAGGAUAAGAUUGGGAAUGAGGAUAUCCGAGGUAAAGUAGGAGUAGCCGAAAUUGUAGGAAAUAUGAGAGAAAAUCGGCUCCGGUGAUUUUGAACAUGUGUAAAGAAGGCCGACUGACGCUCCGGUUCGAAGAUGUGACUACGGGACAGAGGUUCAGGGCCGAAGGGGGUAGAGGAAAGGAAGACCUAGGACAACUUUGGAAGAGACUCUAAGAAAAGACUUAGAGUACUUGGAUCUAACGGAGGACAUGACACAAAACCGAGCGCAAUGGCGUUCUAGGAUUCAUAUAGCCGACCCCACUUCGUGGGAAAAGGCUUUGUUGUUGUUGUUGUUGUUGUUGUUGUAUUACAAUUGUUAAUCUGGAGUCGUUUGAUGGGAGAGUGUUCUGCAUACGCCCAUGCAUCCUUAGCUGUUAUGUCUCUUUUUGUAUGUGCUCGGUUGUUUGUUCACACAUUUAAUUAUUCUUUCAUUUGUACUCAUGCAACUUCUUUUCUUUCAGAUGAAUAUGUCAUUUGCCUCGGGUGCAAAAGUCCAGACACUAUACUUUCAAAGGAGAAUCGUCUCUUCUUUCUCAGAUGCGAGAAGGUAACAAUCAUAUUACUAUAGCCUUUUCUAACGUUAAUGGUUACGACAAUCUGGCAUCCCCCUGGAUUCUAAUUUAUACAAAGUUGGUCGUCCACAACAUAAAAGAAAAUAAAGAAGGUUUUCAGUGUUUUUAUGCUGCUGCAUAAUAUAUUGUUGUAGAGGCCUAUGAUGAUCUAAGAAUUGCCUACAUUGUCAGAUUAUUUGUCAUGAUAGAGUAACCUAAAUUAUUUCUGAGGCCUCGCGGAAAAGUGUUAUGUUUAUUAAGGGGUGGUGGAACUAAACCCUUGGGGUUUCGGGUGAAGUAUUUUUUUCUUCUUCAGGGGGUUUUCGUUAUACUCUUAAAAUAUAUAGCUAUGGCGUUUAAGUUCAUCCGCCCGUAGUUUCAACCCUAAUAAAAUAGGGAUAUGCUACUGAUCGUUCCAGUUUUACAAUUCUUGAACUGGAGAUAUAUCGCCGUGCUUUCAAUUGAUAAUUUAUUUGAUAAUUCUUUCUGUUGCAGUGUGGUUCUGGACGAUCAGUUGCUCCAAUUAAAGCUGGUUUUAUGGCUCGUGUUGGGCGAAGGAACGCCGGGACAUAAAUUUAGCCUGUUGUCGACUCGUUUACUAGCUGUUAUUGAGUUUCGAGUUGCAUGUUUGCUAUCUACAACACUAACAAUUUUCCUGUGACAUUCGGAUGUUGAGAAUUUUCGAGCACUGUUUCAUAUUUAUAUAUUUUCUUAGUGCUUAGUGACCUUCCUAAACUUAGCUUUUGCUGAUAAUUGUUUGCUGUUUAGCAAUCACUUCGAUAUAUCUUCUCCAAUCCCUCAUUGUUCUUUCUUCUCCAUCUCUCUCGAAAUUUAGUCGGUCACUCCCAUGUCGAAAUUUAGACGGCACGGGACGGGACAGGGAGUAGGAUGCAAGACGAGUGCUCAAAGAGCUCUUGGCAUUCUUAUUUAGGGAGCACAGUGGAAAAUUGGUUCUCCAUUCUGGAAACAUGAAUUCAUCUUUGGUCAGGUUCGUCUGCCAAUUCGGUAUCCGUCGAGCGUCGCGGUCAAUUUGUUCUGUAAAUUACAAAAGUCCGGCAGAAAAAUGAACGUCCCGUUACCACUAAAACGGCAUUUUUUUUCCAUGAACUCGAAAGUACAUGGACGCCCCUGCGGCGGCUUCGUGAAUUUCUCUAACCUGGACGGUGGUUAAACUCGAAGGAUCACUUGCGAAGGAGGGAUGGCGGCAUCCCACUAUAAGCAGGAAGCGAUCUAGUUCGCAAGAAACUGCUGAUCUGACUUGAUUAAGAGCUGGUCAGUGGGAUGUAACCUGUAAAAUUCGAAUCGGUUUAUUCUUAAUCCAUAUUUGCAUCUAGUUAUAAUUGGAUUACGUACUAGGAUCAUUAGAUUUGACUUGUCGAUCCAUAUCCAAUAAGCAUCAAAUCACAUCGGAUUAGAUCAUUAAUAUAUAAUCCAAGACACAAAAAAGGUUAAUUAUCAUUGGUAACUUCAUUUUUAUUAUAUUCACCUUUUUUUAAUUUGAACUUUUCAUAUUAUAUAUAUAUAUAUAUAUAUAAUAAAUAAAUAAAUAAAAAACGUGCGUGCAUUUCGAAUGCAUUAAAAACUUAAUUUAUUGCUAUGCACAAGUAUAAUAUAUUCUUAUAAAAAUUUAUUUAUAAUCAAACUUAUCGAAUUCAUAUCGUAAUUAGAAUACUCAGUCCAUAUUCUAUUAAUUCCAUCAGAUGCAGAUUAAAAUUCAAUUCAUUGACAUGCCAUUUUUCUUUCUUUUUUUGGUCACAAUCCACUGGCAGGUCUAGGGAUGUCCAUAUUAUUGAAGUUGGGUGCCUCUUUUGUAUCUCACCAAGUGAUUAAAGUUGCAUAGCCUACCUAACAAAUGGUAUGUAAUUCUUAGUUUUUUCCGGAUUCACAGUUUGAAAAGAGAACGGACAUUUCACCACUCUCGCAAUAUAUCUUGACGAUGUUGAUCGCUUCGCUAGAUACCUGUUGAAAUAUUACUGUAACUUCCAUCAAUGAUGGUGUUGCUGAGGAGAUGCAGUGGCUUUGUUAGCAAACCAGAAGUCCGAUUUGCAGAGGUAGAUGCAACCGAAGCACUUCCAAGGCGUGUCUUUGUGCACCCUGAGUUGCAGUAUCCACUGUUCCUUCCAUAGUUGGCCCUUUGCCAAAGCAAAUGAGCAGGUGCCUAAUUAAUAAUUAAAGAGUAAUGCUACACUUACUAUCUAUUUGUACUAUCUCUCUAAUUGAGGUAGCCUCCACCAACGCAUGUGGAUUCUAUCUCUAUUAAAGAUAUGGUACAAUUGGAUGGUAAGAAUAAUAUUUUUUAUAAUUAAAACAUGCACCCAUCAAGUGGUUAUAAUUUUUAUGCUUUCUAUUUAAUAGUUGUAAUUUGAGAGCUUUAUUAAAAAGGGUUUGCGCUAAAUUUAUUUUAACUAGAGUCAUCAUAUUACUUUGUUUAAUGAAAACAACUUAAACUUUAAUAAAAAAAAAGACUUAAAUUUUAAUGAAAUGGAUAGAAGUUGAAUAUAAUAAAAAUAAAAUAGAAAAAUGUAAUAAAAACUGACAUGCGGGGACUAGUGCAUCCAUCAACACAUUAUUUCUACUACACUAUUCUGAAACUGAACACUCUUUAUGAAAUUGAACACUAAUUAUUUCUGAAACUAAACACAAGUAAUACAUUUCUUAAACUGAAUAUGGUAUCUCUCCCAAAAGUCUAACAACUAUUCAUCUCUCUUAUCUUCUUGAAUUUUCUCAGCACUUUAUCACUUUCCAGACACCUUUUCUUCUAAUUUUCUUCGAUUCUCAUCAAAUUUUCUCUGAAUCUCUGAAUUUUCUUAGCUUUCUUCAACUUAAGCUGCCUCCUUUGGUUUCAACGUUUCAAUGUUCCAUACGUUUUUCAUCUUUUAUGUAUUUUUGUUAAUUCAAUUGAUUUUAUAUAUAAUUUUUUAUAAAUAUCUUUCUCUACUACUACAACUUGCUGCAACUGGUAUUUUCCGUAUAUUGUUUAGUGCGAUUAUCCCAUCGUUCUGCAUGUUCGUCUUCCUUCAUUUUAUGAAGAACUAAAAGGGGUCUCCUUGAGAAAUUGAAGAUUUUUCAGUUGAAGGAUUAUGCUGUGCGCAUCUUCAAGAUUUUUCAGUUGAAAGGAUUUUUAACUUCAGGAUCAAUUCUUCAGCAGUGUUGUUAUAUUAGAUUAGAGUGAUCGACUUGAGUUUAGUGUUCAAUUAAAGGGAUCAACGUCAAGGUUGGUCCAGAGAUAUUUGAGGUCCGGGACGACGCCCAAAAAUAUGCCCUAACUUCAUAUAAGAAAAUUAUUUAUUUUCACACGUAAGACAUCAAUAAAAUUAUAAUUAGAAAAGUAGUUCAAACUCAAUAAUUUAGAAAUACAUAAAGACUAAUAUAUUUUGUAUCUAAAGAAGGAAACCAAAAAACUCCGAGCUUACAUGUAGAUAGACGAUGAGUUUUGUUUUUCAUCUAAACUUUUAAAGUGUUUUUGUAUAAAUCGUGAUGUGUUUUUUCUUAUUUACUAACCUUGUCAAUAUGACUCAAAACAUAAUGAUGCUUUUGAGUCUUUAAUUAAUAUGUAUAAGUAAUGAAUGAGCACUAAAUUAAACCUUUUGAUGACAUUUCAUAUGAUUUACAAAUUUGCUCUAAAGAUUUGGUCUACUUAUUAGUUUUUGUAGAAGAUUAGACUUGAAUUCAAACGAAUAUUUAAAAAUAGCAACCCACAUAGCUACUAGUCUAUAACUAAAAAUAAAUUAACAACCAAACAAAUUUUCGUAAAAAUUAAAAAGAAUAAAUACGCAUAUAGCAUUUCGAACUUCGGAAAUCUUGUUAAUUUUAAACAACAAAAAUCAUUGCUUCUAAUUAAACAUCUUGAUCCUUUAACCAAAUUUUAUAAAUUUAUACUCUUAUGAAAAAAAAAAUUGUAAAAAUUGGAAAGUAAAUAAGCACAUGUAGUGUUUUGAACCCAAGACCUCUUCAUUAUUUUCAAAUGACAAAGCACACCACAUCUAGUUAAAUUUCUUUGUUAUUAAACCAAAUGUUAUAAAUUUACACUCUUAUGAAAAUAUAUAAAAAUAUACCACCCUAAUAAUUUUAGUGUCCCAAAUUUUUUUAGACCCCUGAUGGUCGCCCUGCCAACAUUGGGCUUGGGCUAGGCCUGAUCAACGUUUGCAGUUGUUGCAAUGCACAAGUUCAUUCUCUGCUAGGUUGGGUAGCUUUCCACACGCUUCAUUAGGGGGUUAUUUUUUUACUUUUCUCUUUAUCAUUAAAUAGAGUUAUAAGAUGUUUUUUUAUUAAAAUUCAAAGUUUUGAAGCCGUUUUCAUUAGUUUUUCUUUAUAAUUUCUUCCUUAUGGUAAUAAGUUAAUAAAAUUAAACAUCCCAAAGGGGUAAAAAUGUAAAUCACUCUUCUGAACUAUCAAAAGGGAAAAUGAUAAACUUGGAUUUUGUAAAUAUGAUUUGAGAGUAUGCUUGUAUUUUCUACGUAGAAUGUUCUACUAAAUAUAUAUUUUGCUCAAUGGCGGAGCCAUGAAUUAUUUGGUGGUGGGCUAAGCUAAAAUUAUAACUAUGAAAUCAAAUUCUCAAUUUUUUUUUUGUUGCCUACAUAAAGUUAUAUAAUAGUAAACCUAAAAGUCAUAAUUUGAAGCAAGAAAUUUAUAAUUUGUUUUUUAGGCUUUUAACCUUAGAACUUUCAAAUGAAUAAAAUAAAGAAUCGUGUGUGGUAUGGAAAUUUUAAUUUCUUACUAUUAAAUUUUAGUAUUACUUAAAGUGAUGAGUUUAUUUAACAUUUACUAACUCGUAUUUUACCUAAAAACAGCUCUAAGAUUCAAAAUUUUCAUUUUUAGGUAGGGUAUGACAAUUAAAAAUCAUAAAUAGCUCAAUAAUUAAUAUUUUUAAGCUUAAAGAAUUUCUCACUAUGCUACAGUCCACCGAAACCUUAUACUUGGCUCUGUCGAUGACUUUGCUGAUUCUCAAAAUAAAAAAUAAAAAAAGUAUUUUUGCUGAGGAGGCCUAUGAAGAUUUAUGUCGACAUCGGCUGAGAUUUGUCUCGUGUAUGAAAGAGUAAUACCUAUAUGAGGCUUCCUCGUUAAAUUUAUUUAUUUUUCUUUCUCUUGUCCUUAUUAUUAAAUAAAGUUAUUAAAUGAUUUUUAGUUAAAAUUCAAUGUUUUAAAAUCAUUUUUAUUAGUUUUCAUUUGUAAUUUCUUCCUUUUAAUAAUAAGUUAACAAAAUCAAAACACACAAUAGGAUAAACUUGGCUUUUCUAAAUAUGAUUUAGGAGUAGACUUGUAUUUUCUACAUAGCAUGUUCUACUAAAUAUGUAGUUUGCUCAAUGGAGGAGCCACGAAUUAUUCAAUGGGUAGGCUAAGCUAAAAUUAUUAUUAAGAAAUCAAAUUCCCAAUUUGUUUUGUUGCCUACAUAAAGUUAUAUAAUAGUAAACCUAAAAGUUAUAAUUUGAAGCAAGAAAUAUAUAGUCUAUUUUAGGCUUCUACUUUCAAAUGAAUAAAAUAAAGAAACAUUUGUGGUAUGGAAGUUUAAAUUUAUUACUAUUAAAUUUUAGUAUCAGUUAAAGUGAUGAGUUUAUUUAACCUUUAUUAACUCUUAUUUCCCUGAAAACAACUCUAAGAUUCAAAAUUUUCAUUUGUUAGGUAGGCUAUGAAAAUUGAAAAGCAUAAAAUAGCCCAAAUAAUUAAUACUUUUAAGCUUAAAGAACUAAAACUCUCUCGUGGGUGAUUUUGCUGGUUCUCAAAAAAAAUAAAAAUAAAAAAAAUAUUUUUGCUGAGGAGGCCUAUGAAGAUUUAUGCCGACAUCGGCAAAGAUUUUGUCUCGUCUAUGAAAGAGUAAUACCGAUCUGAGGCAUCCUCGAUAAUCGAUUUUCAUAAUUUGAUUUACUUAUAUUUUUAUAUUCUACACUACCCAAAAAAAUAUUAUCCAUUUUUACGGGAAAGAGCUGAGAGGGAACUGGACGAAACUUACAUGCAAGGAGACUUUAAUUGGAUCGCAAGGGGAAAGAUAUAUAAAUAAUUUUCUAUAUGCCUUGUUAUGUAAUUAGUUCUCUUAUGUUUGCUUAUGGCUUUGUAAACAUGUAAAGGUUUUGAUAAAAUAAAUGUUCACCAAUAAAUUAAAUUUUGACCCGUUAUGGCUUAGUGGCACACGCCAAGGUUCUUACUAAAUUGCACACAUGGUAUGUGACUCGUCAAAAUUGGAUGAGUUAACAAGAGUGACACGUGUAAACAUUUAAAACUUCCGUAAAACAAAUCAAAUUAAGAGCAAAAGGGGACAAAUUACCCUAAUAUAGUCGAAGUAUAUCAAUUAGGGUUUAAUUCCCUAAUUCAAUGAUUAUGAUUUAAUUAAGAGCUAAAUUAAAUCAUUAGCUCAAAUUAAAUCAAAUUAGAAAGUCAAUCACAUAAGUUACGGAAUUCAAAUCAAGAAUUCUAAACUAAUAUUUUAUCUCUCUAACCAAGACAAACACUAAAAUACUCACAUUUGUGUUCUUUAUCAAGCUUAUGGAGAAUCAACAAUCACAUCAAACAUACAUGAUGAUUUGUCCACCACCGAAGCUGUAAAUCAUCCACCACGUGACACUACUUGCGGUCCAGUUUCAUUCAAAAUUAAGUCUUGAGUGUCAUUGAAAGGAACCUCAACCCGAUUCAAGAUUGGAUCAAAUCUCUAGGUUGAAGAUUGAUUCAAAUUAAGGAAUAUUCUUGUAAAGAAUAGACCACUUAAAUUAUAACCUAAACAGUAAUCAAUACAAAUUAUUGUAUACAAAUAUUUUUCAGUUAUUCGUUAUAAGAAUUUCUGUGUUUAUAAGCUCUUCAUUGGUUUCUUUUCUUGAGAUGGACAAGUCACUUAUAUAUAUCGGGGUGUAAAAGUCCAUAUACCAUACCUUCAAAGCAAAAUGUUCUCUUUCUUCUCAUUUGCAUUGGUUUUUUUUUUUUUUUUUUUUUUCAUAUCAAUUGGGAGGAGGAGCUUUAAACUUUGAAUUUCGAAAUGAAGUAACACUCAACUAAAAGCAGCUGGUUGGUGAAAUGUUUCUAAUAUGUUGAACUUCUCUGCCUCUUCUGUAUCUCAUCAAGUGAUAUGUGUGUGUGUGCAGUGGCGGAUCCACAGUAGGAUCAAUGGGGUCGCACGACCCCUUGGAAGCCAUGGAAACAACCUUAGAGACCCCUUGGAGCUGCUGGUGUGACCCCUUGGCUGCACACCAAGUGUUCGACGAAGGGUCUGAAAGAACUCCUCAGCUGGGCUGGUUGAAGACAAAGGCGCGCGCGCCUGUUUUUUUUUUUAAAACAACCUGGGCAAAACAACGUCGUUUUGGGCCAGGUCUGAACAAAAAAAAAAAGCCCAGCGUGUCAUUUUCAGCCCUAUUUCACACAGAUCCGAAGCCAUUCAUUCCAAAACCUCCAAAUUUCUUUUGUUUUCUCCUCCUCCAACCCUAAGUUCCAAACUCAAUCCCCCCCAAACCCUCAACUCCAUCUCCUCCCUUGCUGCCGCCAUUAAGGUGCCUUUGUGUUGCCGUCGUCGUCACUGUGGUGGUGGUGCCACCAGCUUUGCUCUUUGUAUUUGCUCAUUGUUAUUGUGAAAUUUCACAAUUCAAGUAAGUUCUAAACCCUAUGUAUGAUAUAUUUAAUUUAAUUGAAACCUAAUUCAUAUUUAUUUUGAUUAUAUUGGUGGUUUGUUUAUAUUGUGAGUAUUUAUUUUGAAUAUUUUGUAUAUGUAGAAUAUAUUUAAUUUAAUUGAAAUUCAAUUCAUAUUUAUUUUGAUUAUAUUGAUGGUUUGUUUAUAUUGUGAGUUUUUAUUUUCAUUAUUUUGUAUAUGUAGAAUGCAAGAUGAGAUAUUUAAUUUAAUUGAAAUCCAAUUCAUACUUAUUUUGAGUAUGUUGAUGGUUUGUUUAUAUUGUGAGUAUUUAUUUUGAAUAUUUUGUAUAUGUAGAAUAUAUUUAAUUUAAUUGAAAUUCAAUUCAUAUUUAUUUUGAUUAUAUUGAUGGUUUGUUUAUAUUGUGAGUUUUUAUUUUCAUUAUUUUGUAUAUGUAGAAUGCAAGAUGAGAUAUUUAAUUUAAUUGAAAUCAAUUCAUAUUUAUUUUGAUUAUGUUGAUGGUUUGUUUAUAUUGUGAGUAUUUAUUUUGAAUAUUUUGUAUAUGUAGAAUUAUUAUGGAACAGUUUUUUUAAGAGAAAGUCAUCAUCGGGUUCGGGUAGUUCGAAUAAUGUUGAUAGUUCAAAUACUGUUGGUUGUUCAAGAACUCCAAGUUCAAGACAAAGUCAGUUAGAUGGUGUUUUGGGUAAUCUUGAAGCGGAUCUUGGAUUGAGAACUCGAAUAAUAGAUUAUGAUGUUAAUAUGAGAGAUGAGGUCCGAAGAUCAUAUCUACAAAAAGGACCUUGUCAACCUAGAGGUCAUAAUUUCCCAAUAACUAAUAUGUCGGGACUUAAUCGACGCUUCAUUCCCAAAUGGUUUGAUGAGUUUGAUUGGUUGGAGUAUAGUAUAUCUAAAGAUGCGGCAUUUUGUCUCUAUUGCUAUCUCUUUAAAACCAAUUUUGCACAAGUGGGUAGUGAAGCUUUCACUGGAGAUGGAUUUAAGACUUGGAAGAAAGGGAGAGAAAGAUUUAAGAUGCAUGUUGGACCGGUUGGGAAUGUUCAUAAUAAAGCUAGAGAAGCUGCUACAAAUUUGAUGAAUCAAGCUACACAUAUUGAAACGGCAGUGAGCAAACACUCCGACCAAGCUCGUAAGGCUUAUCGCACAUGCUUGAAUGCAUCAAUCAAGUGCACUAAAUUUUUAUUGAGACAACGUCUUCCUUUUCGUGGCCAUGAUGAAAGUGCCACUUCAAGCAAUAGGGGGAAUUACUUGGAGCUAUUGCAAUUCCUUGCAGAUAAUAAUGAUAAAGUUAGAGAAGUUGUGAUGGAAAAUGCUCCGGGGAAUCUCAAAUUACUAGCUCCUACAUUCAAAAAGAAAUUGUGAAUUCAUGUGGGUGUUGCGUUAUGUGGAUGACAACGGGCAUAUAAUUGAAAGAUUUGUGGGUAUCCAACAUGUUACCAACACUAUUUCAAGUUCACUAAAUGAUGUUAUUGACACAUUAUUUUCUCACAACAGUUUGAGCAUUUCCAAGCUACGAGGACAAGGUUAUGAUGCUGCUAGCAAUAUGAGAGGUGAGUUGAAUGGCCUUAAAACAAAGAUAUUGAGAGAACAAUCUUGUGCAUAUUAUGUUCAUUGUUUUGCUCAUCAACUUCAACUAGCUCUUGUUGCCGUAGCAAAGAAGAAUAUAGACUUUGCCUCUUUUUUUGCAACGGCUAAUAUUAUGAUUGCCUCUUUUUUUGCAACGGCUAAUAUUGUGGUUAAUCAUGUUGGAGCAUCUUGUAAGCGGCGUGAUUUACUUAGAGGGCAACUUCAAGAAGAGCUUGUGAUAGCUUUUGAAAAUGAUUGUCUUAUAACGGGGCGAGGCUUAAAUCUAGAAACAAGUCUCAAACGUGCCGGUGACACACGAUGGAACUCACACUAUGGUACCUUGAUUAGCAUCAUUUCCAUGUUUUCAUCCGUGGUUCAUGUGCUUCAAAUGGUUAUUGAUGAUAAUCCCAAUGAAAGUGCGGGUGAAGCAAAUAAGUUAAUGAGAGAAAUACGUACUUUUGAGUUUGUGUUUCACCUUUUCUUGAUGAAAGUCAUAUUGGGACUCACAAAUGAUUUGUCACAAGCAUUGCAAAUGAAAGAUCAAGAAAUUGUGAAUGCAAUGGCUUUAGUGAAAUCAUGCAAGGAAAAGCUACAUUGGAUGAGGAAUAAUGGGUUCGAUGCAUUGGUUGAUGAAGUAUCUUCUUUUUGUGAAAAACAUUAUAUUGAUGUUCUUAACAUGGAAGAUGCAUUUAUACUUCCAGGGAGGUCAAGGCGUAAUGCUCCAAUAAAGACAAAUCGUCAUCAUUAUCGUGUGGAGCUCUUUAUUUAUAUCAUUGAUGAACAAAUUACGGAGUUAGAGGAUCGCUUUAAUGAGGUAAAUACCGAGUUGCUUAUUUGUUUGGCAUGUUUGAGUCCGAAAGAUUCAUUUGUAGCUUUUGAUAAACCAAAAUUACUUCGUCUUGCUCAAUUUUAUCUUCAAGACUUUUCGGAUGAGGAUCGUUUGGCACUUGAAGAUCAACUUGAGAUUUAUAUUCAUUAUGUGCGUUCCAGUAAUGAUUUCUCUCAAUUGGAAGGGAUUGGUGAUCUUGCAAAAAAAAUGGUGGAGACAAGGAUGCAUCAAGUAUUCAAUUAUGUAUAUCUACUCAUUACAUUGUCUUUAGUUUUACCAGUUGCAACUGCUUCAGUGGAGAGAGCAUUUUUUUUGUUAUGAAUAUUGUUAAGGGUCCACUUAGGAACAAAAUGGGAGAUCAAUGGUUGAGUGAUAGCUUGCUUGUUUAUAUUGAGAGAGAUAUUUUUGCUUGUAUUGAAAAUGAAGCUAUAAUGCUUCGUUUUCAAAAUAUGAAACCUCGUUGUGGACAAUUAUAGCUUGUAAUAUUGUUUCCAUUAUGAAUUAUGAAUGAAAGUACUAUGAUUUCAUUUUCAACAUGUUUUUCCAUCCUAAAUUUUUUUUUGGACUUUUACACUACGACCCCUUGUGGUAAGAUUCCUUGCUCCGCCACUGUGUGUGUGUGUAUAUAUAAAAUUUGAAUGUCACACAGAGUAUAUAUAAAAUUUGAAUGUCACACAGAUAAACUUUUAUGGGUUUAUUGAUCUUUAAUCGCGAUUAUAUUACAAGAAUUGAAAUAAGUAGAAACAAAAAAAGUCUCUGAGACAGUUGCAGAAGUAAUUAAGUGUUUGUUGAUCCUUAUUGAGAUGGCCGUGCCUCUGUCUCCAUGUCCAUGCAUGCAAGGAAAAGCUCUUCACAUGAUGUUGGACGUCGCUAUGAAGGCCAAGGUUGAGAGUGAUGCAACAAAUGGUACGUGCAUCUUUUGGAACACCUUCAUGCCACUGCUUUUGUAAUCCACUGUCGAAAUAGCUGCAUUUUCAACAGUUCCCAAUUAUAAUGUUCUCUUUUACAGUACUAUAUUGUCAAACUAUGAAUCGAAACUACACAUUUAAUUAAGGCAACAUUAAUUUGAUUAAUGGUUCAAAUUCACAUUCGGGUAAGAUAAUGUUUCUGUCUCUCUUGAUAUAUCUUGUGUAAGUUGAUAUAUAGCUAGAAAAGAAUACCUGAAUUAUUAUUCUUACAUCCCUCAGUGAUGGUUGUGUUGAGGACAUGCACAGUGGCAUUGUUAUGAAACCAGAAGUCCCUUUUGCAGAGGUAGAUACAUUUAAGAACCUCCAAGGCGUGUGCUGAGCAACCUGAGCUGCAGUAUUCUCUGGACUCAUUUGCGGCCACGUCCACUAUUCCUGAGAAUGUCAGCUGCCCCUUUGCCGAACAUUGAGAAGGUGCCUAAUUAAAACACCCAUCAAACAGGUCAAAUUUUUUGUUCUAGGUUGCUUCAUUUAGGUGAAAAGAGUAUAAGAUUCUCAACCCUCCAAAUCCUCUUCCCUCUCCUCCCCUCCUCUCUCACUUUCCUCUCUGUCUUUUCAAAGAAGACAACACAAGAUGCUCUUUUGGUCACACGGAAACUACGGUCACCAUAAGUAGAUGUGCUUUAAUUGUUUAAAUUUCUACCAUUGCUAUCACAUUUAAGGAUGACUGACCAUAAAUUUUUGUUGAUCAAAUAAACAAUAAAUAGAACUUCGAAUGUGUGUGUCUAUGUAUAUAUGCAUGUUAAUAAAACUUCGUAGAUGUAAUACAUGCAUGUCUGUGUGUACGUGAGCUUACUGUUCUGUUCAUGCAGUAGUAAGCACUUUCCCAAGCAUAGAAUGGACUUAGAUUUACAUUGUCUGUAGGGUCUGUUUUAUCUGAAAAUUAAACCAAACAUUUCAUCAGUACAAAUAAUUCAGAGUUUGCGUUUUGCAUGCAUGCUACUUAGUUACAAUCCAAAUAUAAAUUAUAAAUAUAUAUCUCUUUUUUCACAAUUUUAUUUUUCAGAUCAUUUGCAAAAUAACGAUGAACUAGAAGAGAAUUAAUACAUACUAAAGGCCUGAGCAUUUUGAAAUAGAAGGAAAAUCCCCAGAGAAAACCAAACCAACCCAAUUUUCCCACCAAUCUCCAUCACUUAGCAAACUGCGUGCUUCUUCUUCUUCUUCUUCUUCCAAAUAAUUAUUUGCGUUGAGUCUAAGAGAAUUUCUGUACUACUGCAACAUUUAUAACAUCAACGAGCCCUUGAUUUAUGUGUUAGAAUUGGAGCUAAAAAUGAAGUUUUGGCCAAAGGAUCAAGACAAUGAUGUGAUAUGAUCAUUUCGCUUUCAGGAUAUGCUGAGUAUAUAUGUAGCAACAUUGAUUAGUUUGAUUUAACCAAGGAUAAUAAAACAAAGUGUAAAUUUCAGAAGACAAAAUAAGACAACUAGCUAUUUUGGCACUUUAUUUCCUAGAUGAUAAUAACAAGUGGUCUAAUAGUUGGGCUUUAGAAGGAUACGGGUAAUAUUCUCCUUUUACUUUGUGUUCACAUAUUUUGUUAAUAUUUCAGAAAGAAAAGUUAUUGUCUCACUACUAUUUGCACUGAUACUAUAUCCCAAAUUUUACGUACAACACAACUGAGGUGAGAGUUAUAUAAGAAAAGGCAUCAAUGUAAUUAGAAGUGAAAUCAUUCAUUAUAUAUUGUAUUUUAUUUUGUCAAUUUUCCAAAUGCAGAAUUCUUGUAUUCUCCAACAAACCUGAAUUUUUUUAUUUUUGUUUUCAUCGAUCCCUAAGAUUACAACUACGAUCCAAUCCAUGUCAUUAAAAUUGGUCAAUUUCCAUCUCAACUGUCUCAUUCUAAUUGAAAGUUCAUGUACUUCCUUAUUUGAUUAAGGCCAAUGGUUUAACUGAUGUGACAAAAAUUAAGCGAAAACUUGCAAUUCAAAAUUUUAAGCACAUUUGAUGGAAGUCGAUGCUUUAACCAACAAACCAAAGAGCAAAAUGGGGGUGGAGAAAAAGGGGAUAUGAUCGCUAUGGAGAACAAAGACUUGGGAUGGUGGCCAUCUCUUGAUCAUGGCAUCUUCCAGCUCAGGCUUUAGAACGUGGUCCUCCAUGUUCUUGAUGUAUACUCCUGGAACACGAUCAGCAGUCCUCGUUUCCUUCGAAUCGAGCGCCUUUCAACGCCAUAAGGUGCUGACCUCAUCAGCAUUGAAGCUACAGUUGAGUCCUAAAACAUAAUUCAAUGCCAAAGAAUAUUAGAAUAUAGGAAUGCAUCGUUUUUACAAACGAUAUAAAAUCUUUUAUGAAUCCAUAUAAAUUACGGAUAUGAUGAUUCGAAAUAGAAUAUGAAUACAUUACGUUGCCAUAUUGUGUUAACCGUGUGAGACUAUCAAACAUUAUAUUGCUUCUCUUUCGUCGUGUCAACUUUUAGUAGUUGAUAAGCGUGUGCUUGACGGUGUGACUCACUCUCAUUAACAGCCGACUGAAGUGAGUAAUAGUUGUCUCUAGCAAAACUCAUGCAUAUAAUUCGGCAGCUUUUGACGGUGUGACUCACUCUCAUUAACAGCCGACUGAAGUGAGUAACAGUUGUCUCUAGCAAAACUCAUGCAUAUAAUUCGCAGCUUUUCAUUUCCCGGACAAGAAGUCAGUGAGAGGCUGGUUAUAGUUUUGGAAAGUGAGGAUGGUAUUAGGGUCAGAUUGAUGAAUACCAGCACCUUUGAGGUCAAGACAUGUGAGUAUGUGGCCUGAAGCUUCCAUGAGACACCAGAUCUUGUAUCAGCACCAAGCUCCAUGCCUUAUGCCAUGGAUUAGAACCGUGAUGAUGAUGAUGAGGGUAGUUUAGUAAUAUUCCACUCUUUGUCCUCUCCUUACUAUUGAUCUUCCCCCUGACAUAUUAGCUUCAAAUUUUGUUUUUGUUUCCCUGGCCUCUUAUCUCUCUCAAGUUUCAAGGCUUUGUGCAUGUAUAAAUAUCUGAGCUUUUAUUUGUUUCAGACUUUUUAAUCAAAGUAGUCUUUGAGAUGGGUAUAUAACUUCUCAUUUUGGUUUCUAAAAUUUAAAAUCGAUAAAAAUAAUCUUUGAAAUUGUCCACCAACAAUCAUUUUGAAUAAACCUCAUUUAAUUGAUGGUACUUUUAGAGGUCGCACUUGGUGCGAUGGCAAGUGCCUUCGCUCAUAAGCGGUAGGUCUCGGGUUCGAGACUUGGGAGCAGCCUCUCCAUAAAUAGGGGUAAGGCUAGCCGACAUUCACCUCUCCCAGACCCUGCGUAAAGCGGGAGCCUUGUGCACUGGGUACGACCUUUUUUUAAUUGAUGGUACUUUUAUCAAAUCAACUACUCAUGAAUGGGUGGUUUCAUUUUUGCAUGUGAUUAACUUAAGCAGGAACUACGAGACCAAGUGGGUUGUGUUACCUAGGUAGCUAUGGAACAAAAAAAAUCCUAUAUUUGAGAGUUGAGAUUGACUUAUGGAUAAUGUUUAUUAACACAAUUGUUGUCCAUUGUUUCGUUAGUGAUCAUAUCAUGUCUCAUUUUCUUUCUGAUUUCCAAAAGAAACAAAAUCUGAUGACACAAUCUAACCUUAUCCUUUUUUCCCCUUUGCAUGCUACAUGUAAUCGAUGAGGAUAGAGUAAGAAAUGGUAAUGCUAAGGAUAGGAUAAUACUCAUAAUGGGACAAGGUUGUUCCGCCACCUGAAAAUGAUCUUCAAAUGAAGAUUAUGAAAUUGAAUUAUUCCAAGUACAAAAAUUCUACGAUGAAGAUACGUUAUUUUCAGGUGGCAGAACAAUCUUGUCCCAUUACGAAAAUUCUGAUGAUGAACAUAUCAAUGGUGUAAGUACAAAGUAACAUAUUGAUGAUGAACCAUUGAUUUAUUUAAUACAGUUGACUAACCGAUCUCCGAUUUAAAUGCUUUUUUUGUAAAAAUGAUCUUCAAAUGAAGAUUAUGAAGUUGAAUCAUCAAUAUGUUACUCUGUACUUACACCAUUGAUUUAUUUGAUUUAUUUCAUAUUCUAUUUGAAUAUCCACAUGAUAUGAUGGAUACAACUACUAUACGAGUAAUUCUUUUUACUAUCAGGUGAUAUCAUGUGGUGCUCAAAUAUGACACAAAAAUGUGACCUUCCACAGGACCGAAAAAUAUACAUGAGGUGAUUUACCUACAUUACGAUUACUACUUGAUUAACAAUUAUAUUUUCUUAAAUUAACAUACCAAUAAACAGUGGCGGAGCCAGAAACUCAUACUAGGAGGGGCCUUAAUCCAUAUGAAAAAAAUAAGACAAGAUAUAGCAAUAUAACUAAUGAGAGAAAAUUAAAGGUUUCUUUUUUGUAUUGGCAUGAAAAAUUUUAAUCAAACAAAAGUGGUACAUCUUUAACAUGUACGAAAAAUUUAGUGCUGAGAUAAUUAUAAAGUUAACAUUAAUUUCAAACAAAAAUUUAAAAUCAUAGCUCAAUAUGAGAUUUUUUUUCAACAUAAAUUAACUUGUUUUAUAAAGAGGGUUUAACCAAAUUAGGUUCCCCAUUGUGUGGUUUAGCCGAACUACUCCUCGCUUUAGUGUAAAAUAUAUCAUUGCACAAAAAAAAAAAUUUAUUAAAGUACAUGAAGGAGAUUAACAGCAAGUUUCAAACCCCUGGCGUGCAGGAACAUUAAAACCCCAACAACUAACGAGCUACAUGCUCUUUAUAAAACCAACAUAUAGCGUAUAUAAUUUAAAAAAUAUUUCAGGAUGGGCCCGUACCCAUCUUGGUCUCCAUGUGGCUACGCCACUGUCAACGGAUUAUUUUUCGUGUUUCAACAUUUGUGUAUUAAGUUAAUUAGUAAUAUAUACCUCAAUCAUGUUAAGGCACUCAUCUGACUAAGAAUUUCAUAACACAUGACUUAUCAUGUUUUAAUAGUUAAUAGUAUGACAAAGUAUCAUAGAAGCAAGUAAAUGACACGAGUAUUAACAAUAAAAUCAAAAUAAUGUAUUUUUGUAGGUAAAAGAUAUUUAAUUUGACUCUAGCGAAUAACAAAUUCAAAAUUAAAUUAUUAUGCUGAUUAUUAAUCCCACGAUGCCUUAAGUAAAGAUGGGGAUGGAAAAUGAGUCCACAUCAAUUGGACCAAAAAUUUAAUUCUUGAUGUAAAUUUGGAAGAAAUCAAAAUUUUGGGCGGUGAGGUCAAGUGGAAGAAUUCAAUAAAGACAGGAGGCAUAUAUAAUUUUGAUAAUUCUAUGUCAACUAGAAAAUAAUAACCAACAAAAAUAAAACAAAAACUGAAACUAUUGACCAAAAGAAUUAAAAAGAAUGGUGCUAUCUAAUUACUUCUUUUUACCUUUUAUAUAUUUCCUGUUAAUUUUGUCACAUAUUUCCUGUUAAUUUUAUCAUUUAAUCUUGGGUAAAUUACAUAGUAGCCCCUCAGGUUUGAGGUCUAUUACAAUCUUAUACAACAUCUUUAAAACAUUUCACUUUCAUACCUCAAGUACUAUUUUAUUUCAAUUUCAUACAACCGUUACAUUUUCCAUCCAUGGAUCUGUUAAAUGAUGACGUGGCUGCCACAUAUAUGCCACGUGGCUGCCAAAUGUUUGUCAUGUGGCAAAUAAAAUAAUUUUUUAUUUUUUUUAAAAAAAACCUCUCUGCCACUUUUUUUUUUUCUUCUUCUCUUCUUCUUCCUCCUUCUUCUUCUGGGUUCGGUCCCUUUCUUCUUUUUUUUUUUUUUUUUCAGGUUUAAAAAAAAAAUUUAAAAAAUUAUUUUAUUUGCCACGUGGCAGACAUUUGGCAGCCACAUGGCAUAUAUGUAGCAGCCACGUCAGCAUUUAACAGAUUCAUUGAUGGAAAAUGUAACGGUUGUAUGAAAUUGAAAUAAAAUAGUACUUGAGGUAUGAAAGUGAAAUGUUUUAAAGAUAUUGUAUAAGAUUGCAAAUAAACCUCAAACAUGAGGGGUUACUAUGUAAUUUAUCCUUUAAUCUUUCUUAUUUAUUCAAACACCUAUAAUUGAAAAGAAUGUGUACCAAAAAAAAAAUGUGUGGAUAGCAAUAUUCUUAAAAAAAAUGUAAAAUUUGAAACGGACGGCAGAUAUAAAGCAGCGAUGCAGGACGUUGAGAAGGGUCACACGUCACAUGUUUGUGCCUUGCCUCUUCGAACUUGGUCAAUUGACAAUUUGACAGAGUGAUGAGACACCAUAAUUGUUUAUUUGAUUUUCUUGUCCAAAAAUGCCAAAAUAUUCAAAUUAAAAAAAAAAAGUGAUCUUGACUUUGUUGAAUCAUUCCAUUUUCCAUGCAACUUUUCGCAAUCUCAGCUCCAUUUGAGAGAGCUGGGAGAAGAAGCAAACAAGAUCAAAAGGGAACAAAAAAGUUCUCUCUCUUUCCCAUUUGAAACUUUUGUGGAGUGGAGCCUCAAACCCAAAUUUUCACAUUUCCCAAACACUCCUCUCUCUCUCUCUCUCUCUCUCUCUCUCUCUCUCUCUUCCUUCCAGCACUGGGAUCUGUUCUCUUCAGUCUGCAAGAACAAAGCUCAAAGGUGAGAACUUUAAUGAAUUUUCCAUCUGGGUAUUUGAUUUUGGUCAUAAAGAUGGCUGCUUUAUGUGAUUCUGCUAGUUUUAUUAGCUCGUUAGCUUAAAUCAGAAUUUACAAUUUCUCGGUUUCUUGAAGUUCUUAUACAUACAUGCAUACUCACAAUCAAACUAUACAAUUUCCAGCCACUUCUGAUUUGGAUUACAAGUUCAGAAUCAAGAAUAAUUGCUGAAUUUUUUAUCUUUUAUUUAUAAUUCCUUGUUUCUUUGGUGGUAAAUUAAGAUGUUUAUAUAUAAUAUAUAAUUGAGUAAUUAUUAAAUCUCCUUCUACCAAAUUUACCCCUGUUGGAAUGGAAGGUGAGGGAUGUGGGGCAGUUAGCUGGAGCCUGGACAGUCUUUGUUUCCGACAGAUGCAUUCCUUUCCCGCGGAUUCAGAUUCAGAUUUUUUAUUUGUUUCUUUUUUUUCUCAUCGUUCCGACCAAACACCCAUGGAUUCAGAUAUUUUCUUUUCUUUUACUUUAUUCCUUUUCUUGUUUUAUUAGGACAGUUUAUGGGCCCAUGAAACAGUGUUUCGGCCCAGUUUCCAGUUCUGUAGGCCCAACUGAACUCGGCUUGUUUUUGCCCUCUUUGGAGUCCAGCUUUUGCUGGCAUUGUUUUCAUGAAGUGUGUCAAUGACAUCUACGACAGCAUACAUGAGUUAGGCCAGUUGACAUUGUGACGAUGUGAAGGUAAAAGAGUCUUACAUUAGUGAAAAAAAGAAACCUUGCAAUGGCUUACAAGAGGUUGGGUUACUUUUCGUAUAACCAAUUGGUUUUACUGUGGAACAUUACCUUUCUUCGGACAUUUGCCUACCUUUACCAACUCAAGUUCGAAUUCCCCUUCCCGUAGAUUAGAGCGGUUUAGAAUAUCUUUCAGUAAGAAAAAAUGACAUCUAUGGUAAUUUUAUCUAUACUAUUAUCCUAUUAUGAGAGCUCUCUUUGUCAAUUUAGGUGAAGUGUGUAACUUCUGAUUUGAUUUUUUGACAUUAGAUGUAAAUACUGAUGUUGUGAACUAAUCUGUAUGUGGGCUUGGGACACAGGUUAUUGUAGCGAAAGUAUCAACUCGAAGUUUCAACAACAUUAGCAAAUGGCCAACUCCUUGGUAAGAACUGAAAUUCAGAAUUCCAUCAAACACCAGCUUUGCUAAUUCUGCAGUUUCUGAUAUGUUGUUGUAGUUAGAGAACUGAACGAUUCAUCUGCGUAUGCCAUGAUCACAUUGUCCAGAUGAAUUUGAGUUAAAUUUGAUCGUGUCAUAAGACGGAAUGACUGAUCAGCCCUGCUGCAGCAUUAUGUUAUGGAUAGAAAGAGUGUUGUCAACUUAAACAUGGUUGGUGGGAUAGUGGUACUGUACAUGCCAAUAAAAAUGAUUAUGUUAAAAUUGUAGUAGGAAAGCAUACUAUUAGCAAUGUCAUUGUGUGACUUUUAUACUAAUAUGAUAUAUGCAAAACCUAGAUUAGAGCACAAAUUGUUAGCAUUACGAAGGUUUAGUGUUGAAUGAAAUAUUUGCAUCGUAGAGUCAAGCAUCUAAAUAGCGGAUGGUCUUUCACGGAUCAGGCAUAAGAUAUCUUGUUUUUUAUAUUUCAGGUUGAGUCCAAUAAGACUAUGAAGAGGUUCGAAUCAAGAAAGUCUCAUUCGUGGUGGUGGGAUAGUCACAUCAGUCCCAAGAACUCUAAGUGGCUUGCAGAUAAUCGCGAGGGUGAGCAACAAACACCUCUCUUGGUCUUAUUUGUAACUUUGUAUGUGUAUUUAAUUAUUUAUUUAUUUUUAAAAUGUCACAUGCAAUGCCACAAAGGCAUAGGAAAGAGAUGUCUAAUGAUGAAUAUAUCGAGCAUCGGUAUUAUAUUUGGUUUUGACUUAUUUACGAGGAAUUCUAGGUUAAGUCAGAUUCGUUUUACUAAUUUGGGCUAAUGCUUUCUUCUUCUUAUACGUUAUCAAAGAUUUCUUGUUGCACAUUCUAAAUGAAGACAAGGUUAAAAUGGGUAAAUCGGACUACGGUUGUAUAAUUUUAGUGUUACUUCUCCUGGUCUAAUGGUAUAGGGGUUAUUCAACCCCAACUACCCAAACCAGUGGAGGAUGUUGGUUUUCCAAAUUAUGCAUGUUUAAGUAUCUAAAGAGUUGAUUUUUUUUUUUGUCAAAGUUCUAAAGUGGUGAUUGCUAUAAUCGAUUUUUCGCCAAAAUGCCUCUCAUGAAAAUGACAAAACGAUCUUUCUCCUCAGAGAUGGAUCGGAGCAUCAAACGGAUGUUGAAGCUGGUUGAAGAGGAUGGUGAUACAUUUGCAAAAAAGGCAGAAAUGUAUUAUCAAAAGAGGCCUGAAUUGAUUGCUCAUGUUGAAGAGUUUUAUCGCUUGUACCGGUCCCUGGCUGAACGUUAUGAUCAUGUGAUAGGAGAAUUGCGGAAGAAUGCACCCUCAGAUCUCCAAUCCCAGAGUUCAUGCCUUUCUGACAUUGGUUCAGAACUGCCAUCUGCAUUGCCAUCUCCUGAUUUCCAACCUGGAAGACUAGGUCGUCGGAAAUCUGGCCCUCGUGCUGCUGGCUUUGAUUUCUUCCUUGGCCCUGGUGGAAACGGCUCAGAUAAUUACCAGAAAGAGGGAGACGAAUCAUCUUCAUUAACCGAUUCCGAGCCAGAAUCUGAUGAUUCUUCAGUCAACAAUUAUUCAACUCCCUUGUCAAAUGGUCUUGAUCAUGGGCAGACGAGAAAGAUAAUUGAAUUGGAAAUUGAGCUUCGUGAAGUGAAGGAGAAGCUCCGGAUGCUACAGGAAGAGAGUGUAGACAGUUCAUUCACGGGUGCAAAACCUGAUCAUUCCAAUGAAUUUCCUGCAAAAAUUGCAGAAUAUGAGCAGGAGCUGACAACCACAAAUGAAAAAUUGCGGGAGUCGGAAGAAGAGAUUGCCAGGUUGAACAUCAAGCUCAAAAGGGACGAGUCUCCGCAGCAUAAUAAUGGUAUAAAGGUUGCACUUGAACCAGAGUCUCCACAACAUAAUAAUGGUCUUAAGCUUGCACUUGAAUUAUCAAAACCGAAAGAGGCCAAGAUACAUGAGGGUGAGCGAGACAGGGAGAUAAAUGAAUCGCCGGAGAUUCAUGAAAGGGUUGAUGGGUCGGGAGAACUUCAAGACCCAGGUAGCAAGAUUGAGGCAUUGACGAAAGAGCUUAGAGCCACAAAAGAUAGACUUCAACAUUCAGAAAAAGAGAUUGCAAGUUUGAGACAGCAACUUGAGAGUAAUAAAGCCUCUGAGGAAAUCCAACGCUUGCAGGGUCAGCUUGUAUCCGCUAACAAGGAUAUUUCUUCGUGGAAAACGAAGUUCAACGCAGAGAAACGAGAGGUGUCCAAGCUGCAGGAACGAAUUUCAAGGUUGAAAAAUAGUUUAACAGACCGGGAUAAUGAAGUCAUGGAUUUGAAAAUAGCAGUGUCUGAUGCCGAGGAGAAGAUUUUCCCCGAGAAAGCACAGGUUAAGGCUGAAAUAUCUCGAUUGCAAUUAGAACGGACACAUUCAGAGGAGCAAAUUAAAGACUGGGAAUCUCGUGCUCGGUUGUUGGAAGACGAAAUCAGACGGAUGAAGUCUGGAAAAGCAGAAAUGGAGGAGAGACUGAAUGGCGAGAUCGCGCAGUUGAAGGCAGACAUCCUUGAGAGAAGCAACCAAAUGGAGAAUUUAAACAAGGUCCUUGAUGCAAUGAAAACAGAAAGAUAUGAGCUUAGCACCAAAGCCACAACGCUACAGGCAGAGGUGAGUUCAAGAGACGAUCGGAUCAAUGAGAUAAACAAGACUUUGCAGCAUAUGCAGACGGAACAUCAGGAACUGCUCAACGGGGCUGAAGGGGAGCGUAAACUGGUGGAGGAGCUAACAGAAAGAGAAAAGGAACUCGAAGAGGAGAUUCAGGGGCAAAGAAUUGUGAUCAUGGAAGGAGCAGAAGGAAAAAGAGAAGCUAUAAGGCAGCUAUGCUUCUCGCUUGAACAUUACAGGAACGAAUACCAUAGGCUUAGACAGGCUUGCAUGGGGAACAAGAGAGUUCCAGUUUUGGCAACUUAAGCUAAACACAAAACAUGAUGUCAUCGUUUGUAUAGUACAUAAUUUUUUGAGUGCCUGUUUUUUGUAUCGGGUCGGAAAUGGCCAGCCGAGUGAUGAGCUAUAGGCCAUGCUCUCUCAUGGUUGAAUGAAUGUGAGGUUUGUGUAGUGUAGUAUACAUAUAGAUGCAGAGGGGUCCCGGCUUAAGGACCCAUUUGAGUCACUAAUUUUCCCUGAAAAAUGGUGGAGGGCAGAAAAUUUGUGUGAUAAUUCUGGUUUGGUGUUUGGUUUUGGGGUUGAAAUUGGCACAAUUGAAAGUGUGUUUGCAAACUUUAGACGCAUGAUUGCAUAUUCAUUUGCUCUUUAAAAUUUAGGGAAAAAAAAAGGCCGACGGGACUUUGGAUCUUUCAUUUGGUUUUGUGCCUCCUAGGCUUUCAAUAUGUGCCAUAUCUUUCUCAAUUUUAUUAAUUUCAUUACGUGUAAAGUUGAUGACUCUUUUUAUGAGCAUAUACGUCAACCAAAUGUUUUAUCCACAAGAAAAAUUAGCGAAAGAUUUUAAUAUAUUGUCAAAAACAAGAUUUAAUACUUAACUAAUCAAAUUAAAUUUGAACUGUUGAAUUUCUUUAGCUUACACUUUGCAAAUUGACCCCAACAAAAAAUAAAGAAAAUAGGAUACAAUAUUCGCGCCAGGAAGGGGUCGAACCUUCGACUUUCUGCUUAGGAAACAGACGCUCUAUCCACUGAGCUACAGGCGCUUGUUGUUGACAAUAACCCUUCAUUAAUUCUUAUCAAUGGAUAACAUGCUUCUUGAACCCAAAUCUUUUGGAAAAUCCCAUGAGGAAGACUAUAUAGUAAGUUGUUAUCAUGUCAGUUCUCUUACAUUUUUUUCUCUUACACAGGAAAAAUUCUUAGAUAAAAAGUGCCACAUCCAACUGCCUUUCACAUAGGAGAAAGUAUUGGAAACGACUGCCACAUGGUGGUGCGCUCAAAACGAGUGAAACUCUAUGGACUCGCAUGCAGACCCAUUUAGGAGAGGCACCGGCAACCCCUACCAAGAAUUUAUGCUCACGUUGGUCGCUCUCGAUUUUCUGCUAGCUCAACAUGCGAAACUCAACAUAAAACCAAAAAAAACCUUGACCUUAGGAUUUCUAGCACAAAUACCAUGAUAAAAUUUGUUUUAACCUCGGCGUCUUAUUUAGCUAUGCAUACAAGACGUUAAUCAUGUUUGUUUAAAAUUAUUUCUAAAAUGACUAAAAACGUACCUUUGAUUAUGCCUAGAAAAAAAAAAUUCAAAGAACUUUUGGGUCUUAAAAGCUGUUCUUCAAUGAGCAUUACCAAGUGCUUUUUCACUAAGGACUUGGAAGUUUUGGUAAGAAUUUCGACAUGUCAUAAGAAAAGGCACUUGUAGCAAAAACGUUUACGACAAGUGCUCCGUAUAUAAACAGUCCCAAACGAUUACAACAGCGACCACCAUCAAAUUUUAGCUCCUAGACGAGGUUGGUUAUAUGAAUCGUAAAACGCUACCGCACUUGAUUUUUUAUUUUUGACUAUAUUCUAGCUCGCUUAAACAAUAUGCAGAAUGUAGAAUAAUAUGACGUCAAAAAUUGGAAACUCAUAUGCAAGAUAUAGCAAAAACCACAACCAAAGCUUAAAGAGAAUAUUCAAUUAAAAAAAAAGUCCUUUGGAAAUUCCAAAACAAGCAAAUUAUUGAAACAGAUGGGAAAUUAGAAUCUCUCCUCUGAUCGGUUGGCUCAUUGAAACUUGAAAACGACGAUGAAAAUUGCGUUACGACGGAUCCAGAUCCAGCAGCAUCAUGAAAUUUAUUGGCCUUCAGUCUCAGCAGGCUUCUCGAAAAAUGUCUUCUUUAUCCAAUCAAACGGCUGUUAAUUUUUUGAAAAUUAAAAUAAAUAAAUAAAUAACCAUUAGAAUCAUAAUGUUUCUGAAAUUUUCUAAAUUGUUGCUCAAUCUACGGAUUUACUGGGAAAAAGAAUAAAUAAAUAUGCUAUAUUUGAUAAAUAAAUAAAUUGGGGAUGAGAGGAAUUGAAGUGGGAAGCGAGAGGUCAGACCUGGACGAACCAAAGAGCGCCGGUGCCGGCGGCGACGCCCCACAUGGCGGCGGCCUUUACAUCGGAGGAUUGGGGAAUCGAGAGUUUCGAGAAACGUGCUGCGAGUCCGCCUGCCAUUUUUUGGAUCUGAAUUCACAACAAACGCAAAGAGAGGAGCAACGGUGACGCGCAGCAAAGAAAAGAGACUUUGAACAGGCCGCUGCGUUUGAAGUCGCAGAGAAUAUUUAUAAAAUAGGCUAAUUACACGUUGCAUCCAACUAUUUUUUAAAUUGACAAAAGAACCCCUCAAGUUACUAAAUGUUUUAUAUUGGCCUCUCGGUCAAUCUAACUAUCAAUUUAACCAUCAUUUCUUAACGUAUUAAUCAAUGACAAUGAGGUUACUUUUCCGGCAUUGGAGAACUUAGAAUUAGGGAAAUUAAGGAAGGGAAAUCGAAUAAACUAGCCCUUCAGUUAAUCCGAUCUCUAAUUUUGAGGUAUUUGAUUACAAAUUUUAAGGAGAAACUCGCACUCUUCUAAUUUCAUGUGUUACUGAAACGAUUCUUAUACCCAUAUUUUUCGUAUAUGGGACCGAAACCGUGAGAUUCUAUAUGCCUUUAGUGAAGCCAUAAUCCAUUCAAAUAUUGCAUUGCGAUACAAACAUCUCAAGUAAACUUCAUUUUUAAGAUAUACAACGGAAAACCUAUGAGCCAACCCUACAGACUCUAAAUCCGUCAAAUCGUUCAACCUUAGUACAGAUUCUGGGUACACUAACAAAGUAAACGACAGACCUGAAACGCGAACAACGCACAAGGAACUAAUCGUGUUCAACACCCUUGUAGUCCAAGCCUCAAGUCAGAAGCAACACGCCUCUAUCACUUUACCGAGGUUGCAAGACAAGCAUGCGUAAAGCAGCAUAGGCACGUUUUCAGCUGACCGAGGCCACGAGGUAUGGAUGGGCAAAGAGGGAAGACUGAGGGAACGAGGGAGGGGGGAGAGAGUCCGGGCACUUCUAUUCUUAGCUUCCACGCAAACUACUUACCAACGUCAAUCUUGAAGCCCCAAGAGUGAAUCUUCGCUUGUAUUUAAAAACCCACUGAAGGUAGACUUCAUCAAUCGUCCCAAGCACUAUCUGCUGCACCUUCUUUUUUAUUGUUCGAAUCAGCAAACAUGAACCGAUACUUAUCCUCGAUGUUUACUGAUGCUGGUCCCGCUGUUGAGCUAUUGGAUAAGGCAACCCUAGCUUGCUUUUGAGCAGCCGCUGCUUCUUUCUCUUUCCUUCUUGCAGUCUGAUAGUCAAUAGCAAAAAUUGUCAAGCUUAUAAACACACGAAACAAAAUUUUCUUUUCUUUCUACCCAGAUUAUUUGGAAAUGAGAAAGAAAUUCUGUGCACUAGUACGAUGCAAAAGCAAUAGAAAUGUCCGUUGAUAGCAUAUCUCAGAAUUAGUACCUUCCCAGUUGCAAAAGCCACAGCAUUCCCAGAUCCAGCAUCUGAUAUUGCUUUCUUUAUAUUUGCCACGAGGAACUACAGUGUGCCAUCAAUAAUCGAGAAUGAAGAGUUAUAUUCUGCUAAUGGAAGAGAUAGUGCGAAGAAGCAAUAAGAGAAGGUGGAGAGCAAGGUACCAUAUCACGAUCAGUGUAAAAGGAAGUAGAUUGUCCCAUUGAUCCUGCUCUUCCCGUUCUUCCAAUCCGGUGCACAUAAUCUUCCAUGCUCUAUAUUGAGGUAGCCAUAAUUGAAGCUUCAGGUUUGCUAUUUCACAACAAAAUUAAUAGCAACUGAAAAGACCAGGCUAUUGAGAUGCUAUCACAUGAUAGCAAAAAGACUUAUGAUCACCAGUUGACAUUAUUCAAAAACCAAAGGUCACCACCCUAUUAGUUAAGGACAAUGGCGGAAAUGAAACUCCGAUAUGAGCUGCCUAAAAUUAUAGCCAAUUUUCAGAUAAGCUUCUAAGUUGGGUUAGUGGAUUCCAGAUAUAAAUCAACCAAGGGCCUUCCAUCACAACCAGCUAUACCUUUGGAAGAUCCAAAUUGAUAACAUGUGCAACUCCUGAGACAUCCAAACCGCGAGAUGCAACAUCAGUCGCGACCUACACACAAUGGUCUCAAUCAGAUACUCGCUGAUUGGCAAUGUUAAAGCUGCCUUAUAUUCAAGCAGAAUCAGACAAAGAUGAGCAGAUAUAAAGAAAAUGUGAAAAUAAUAGAGCACAAGGCAGUGCAUGUACCAAAAUACUGGUAGUGCCUUUUCUAAAAUCACGUAGAGCAGCCUCUCUUUCAGUUUGAGUACGACCACCAUGAAGAGCAACUGCAUGCAACCCUUGUGCUACCAAAGCUUCAGCAACUUCAUCACAUCUCGUCUACAUGCACACCCAAAUUCCAUGUCAAAUUUCAUGAAUGAGCCAUACAAGUUUAAAAAUGCAGAGCCUCAAAAAGAGUUAGUAAUGAGAGAACAUUAAGUCACACCAGAUUAUUAAUUUUUCCAUCUAGCAAGCAAGGCAUAGCAUCUUGCACUACGAACAGGAAAGACUUCAAAUUGAAUUUGCACAAACUUUUCACCAAUACAAAAUUCAUGAUGAUGACCUUUAAACCAUAUCAUAUAUGACUUUUGCUGUCCACAAUAUAGAGAUUUGGAAGACAUGCAAGCAACAGAGGAACUUGUCCAUCAAUUAUUUAUACCCAUCACCAUUAAUUAUAAGUUUGAAAUGAUGUUAGUCAUAAUCAAGUAACGAGAACGUAUGAAGCAUAAUUUACCUUCCUUUCAACAAAUACAAUAGUUAAGGGAAAGGGAUGGCCAGUUCCUUCAACCCGAGAUGCCUCCUCUACGAGCAAAGCCAAAAGCCGAUCAGUCUACACAGACAAAGCACAAUUGUCAAGUUAAAACGAGGCCAAGAACUCUCCCAGUAAAAGAUCUGUGAAAUAUGCUAGCCAAAGAUGAUAAGAUCAUCAUUACGCACAGAAAUAAUCAGGGAAGUGCCAAAUAUACAUAGAACAACUCUCCAUACCAUAGGUGUAGCACUAAAUUCCUAGAAACCUCAUCCCCACGCCAAAAAGAAAGAAAAAGGAAAGACAACAUCACAGACUGCACAAUGAAAAAAAUGCAGAGAAACCAAUAUUGCUUAUUCUGGGUGAACCAACCUUCUCACUCUCAGGAACCUUCUCCAAAGUCUGAGUUACGUUUGCUGUAGGGCUACUCACUUUUCCCACCUUCACUUGCACUGGUUUAGUUAAGUAUUCCUGAAGACAAUAAAAGCUAGAAUAAGUUUUCACUGAAAUUGAGCAUGACAGUCUUAACUAAACCAGAGAGCAAGCGAGCAUAAUGAUCUUAAAGGUAUUCCAAUACUAGUUUUGGUAUAUUAGAAAAUAACAAACUACAAAUUCAUUUCAAACUUGGUAUAAAACUACGUUGCAUUAAAGUUAUAAUGUUUCUAUUCAUACAAUCAAGAUUGUCUGGUUAGUAAUAUGUCCAUCUGGUAAGCAAAGCAAUAAAUAGGUCUGUAUACCAAUCUGCCUGUUGCAGAGCAAGAAAAUACAUGAUGUUACCACCAAAACAAGAGCUAAUGGCUUAUAUGUCACAGGAAAGAAAGAAGAUUCUCAGACCCAACGUACAGGAAAAAUAAGCCAUAGAAACAUAAGAUUGUAAAAUGAGAAGGUUGAUUCUAUGAAAGAACCACAGUAAGGCCUUUCCCUUAUUUAGUUACAAAAAAUAUGAAUAGAAUUACUUAGUUACAUUAACUAUGAUAAUGUUCAUAUAAACUUGUACAAGAAGGUAAUCUAGUGGAAACCUUACCUGAGCUAAUUCUUCAAUCUCUUCAGGCAUAGUUGCACUGAACAGCAAAGUUUGAUGCUUUUCAGAAAGGUUCCGCAUCACCUAAAAUGGCAUCAAAAUAUGUGACAUAUCAUUUCAGAAUUAAACAGGGAAUCAGAUAGUUGUUCCAUUUUUAAGGAAAAAUAAAUAGAAAGUAAAAGGCACAUUCAUGUCAAAAGUUGAGACAAAAUAUACCUCUCUUAUCUGCGGUUCAAAUCCCAUGUCAAGCAUUCUAUCAGCUUCAUCUAGAACAACAAAAGAAAUUCUAGUGAGAGAAGUGUUCCUUUGUUGUAAAUGAUCUAUAAACCGUCCAGGAGUGGCAACCACUACAUCAACUCCUGCUCGUAGCUCAGACCUCUGUCAAUCCAUCCAGUAGAAAUACAGAACAAAACAAGUAUUAGCGGAGACUAAUAAGAUAUAUAUUCCGUAAAAUGACAUAAAAUUGAAAAAAACAUUGCACUAAAGGGAGGUAUGAGGUUAAGUGUUUUCUUUUCAUACCACAGGUCAGAGGGGAGGAGGGUGGAGGGGGGCAUCAGGGAGAAACAUAUGUUCAUAAGAAUCUAUAACACUAGAAGCAUUGAUUCAAACCCUAACCCACACCUAGGCAUUAUCAAAACUAAGAGAUAACGACAAGCACUAACGAAUUUCCAGAGUCACAACACCUAGAAGAUCAAGAACAAUUAUUGAAAUAAAAUGUACAGUUAUUCCCCCAAAUCAAUUACCUGCUCAGAUAUGUUGGUUCCACCGACCACAAUUGCAGUUCUGAAGGACUCGAGAGAUGCACUAAAAGCUUUGACCUGUAAAACCACAAUAUAACUUGGCACUUACAGAAAAGUACUAAGAACAAAUUCCAGACUAACAAUCAUAUAGUCAUAAAUUCAUUGUGAUCUUUUGCAGCUUAGAUCACCUCUUUUUCAAUUUGUUGGGCAAGCUCUCUAGUCGGAGCCAAUACCAGAGCUAGUGGUCCAUCACCGCGCUGAACAGGAGGUUGAGCCAAGCAAUGCUGUACAUCGAAAAUGAAAAUUAAAACAUGCCUUAAACCAAAAACUACUUCGCAUGCACAUAUAGUCCAGACUACAUAAGAAUACUAAAUAACGGGACCACGGACCUGUAUCAUGGGAAUGGCGAAUGCAGCAGUUUUUCCACUGCCAGUUUCAGCACAACCUAAUAGGUCCCUCCCACUGAGGGCAACCGGCAUAGCUUGAGCCUGAAUGGAUGUCGGUGUAGUGUAUCCGUGAUUGUCGAUAUCCUUCAUGAUGCUAGGGUGCAAACACUGAGAGUAGAGGAACAACACGUCCGUUAAUCCAUAUGGAUAUACAAACUAGGCUAAUCCAAAAAUAGAAGUAAAAAAUCUGAUUGAUAAAACACAAAGACGAAUCACCAUAUCUGUGAAAGACUCAAUCGGUGCCGGAGCAGGAGCAGAGUCGGGACUAGCAGAAACAUCCAAAUUAAGCCGCAAACAAACCUCUUCAAUCUACAGGCAUGUAAUUCCGUAAAUUUCAGCUAAUGACGACGAUAUAAACAGACUGAUAACGUCAAUAAACAGAAAUUUGACUGACAUUGUGAAAUUAGCUGUAGCAAGAACCCUAAGCAAAUGCAAAUUGCACAAAAUUCAGAAAAUGCAAGGAAAUAACUGGAUGAGCGUCGAACCAUUUCAGGCUUCAUGCCGAGGACGCGGUCGGAGGGCUUCCAUUGAGGGACGACGGAGUCAGGGCGAGCUCUGCUGGCCUGGGAGACAGCGCCGGAGCUCCCGCGGGAGGAGGCAUUGGAGUGCGAGAAGCUGGAGAAGGAAGCACCACCGGACGACUUAUCGUUGUUGAUGUGAGAGUUUGAGGAGGAGAGCUUGCUCUGAUCGUCUAGGGUUCGGAACGAGGGUUUGGCGGUGGUGGUGGUGGUGGUGGUUGUGGUGGUUCGUGAGCUCGACCUCAGGUGCGGAGGCACGUACGACAUUGUUUUGCGGAGAGUUUUCUCGGAAAUCGGAGAGAGUGUUUGAUUUUACGGCGACGACGUCGACGACUGUGAGUGGAGUGAGUUGAGAGUAUAUGAAAAACGAGAGGUGCGUGUUUGGCCAAUCUUUCUCAAUCGAAAGGAUCAUACCACGAAAAUGUUUUCACUCUCUCGCUAGCAUGGGCCUGUGGGUUGUGGGCCCUUUUGGGUCUUUGUGGGCAUAGAUCUCAGUCCAUAUUUCUGGGCCAGAAUUACAACCUCGUUUGGGUCCUCUUAUAAUUUUGGGCCGGACUCAACCCACAUUGGAAUUAGGUUUCUUUCUCCCCUUCUUGUACUUGUGGCCCUUGAGGAUCAAGCUUUAGGAGUCAAGGUCUCCCUUUUUCUCACUUGACUCUUUGGUUUUAAGACUGUUUGGUCAAGAGAACGAGUGAUUUUCCUCUCUGAUUUUCAUCGCCCAACCUACAAGCAGACAACCAAUCAGUCCACUUGAAUGAUUGAAUUUGAUUUUAUCGUCGGUUUGCAAACCCUAGAGGUCAAAGACCCAUUUUCGCACAACUUAUUUAUGAGCACAUCCAUCAGUAAGUAGCGUGAGAGCUCUCAGCCACAUCAAUAGCUCAUGUGCUCAUUAGCAUCUGUCUCUAUGAGGUUGAAAUGUGAAUCACAUCAAGCACAUUACGUCUUCCACUAUAUUAGGAUAAGGAGUAGAGUUUGAUUCCAAUUUCACAUCUUUUGGUCCUAUGAAUUGAGUUUGAUUAAGAGAAACGGAAAUAACAAAUACAAAAGUAGAAUUAGAUGAGUCUCACAAUUAAUAGAUAGAACUUAACUCCCCCAAACCGACAAUGGUGUAAAAAUUGUGUUAUAUUUUAGGGAGUUUUAACGAAAAGCCCACGGUAUUGUUCACUUUAGCGAAAAACCACAUUUUUACACUAAAAAGUCAAACCUGAUACUAUUCACUUUACCCUUUAUUUUGUCCUUAUCAUUAAAAUUUAAAGUUUUCAAGCCAUUUUCAUUAGUUUUCCUUAUAUUUUAAUAGGAAAACUAAUGAAAAAUAAUUUGAAAAUUUGAGUUUUAACGAUAAGGGCAAAAUAAAAGGUAAAGUGAAUAGUAUCAGGUUUGACUUUUUAGUAUAAAAAUGUAGUUUUUCGUUAGAGUGAACAGUAUCACGAGUUUUUCAUUAAAACUCUCUAUUUUAUAUCCUAUAUACAUAAAUCAAACUCAUAUAAGCCACUGUAGAUGCCAUCGCUAGAAACCAAACUUGUAUUCACAAGCAUAUCCGUGCGGCUCACAUGGCAUGUCACCAUGUGAGACAAACCUAAUUAGUUUUGCUGCUCCCACAGUUUUAUGGGAGAGGCAACCUCAUUGUAAUCGUUCUUAUUUCUGUGGGCUCUUAUUGCUUUAUAUUUAACAUAUGAUUGUAAUCCGUGAAACUGUCUAUGGAUAAUAAAAAAAAAAGCAACAUUAUGCUCAUCAUGUGAGUUUCAUCUCUAUUAGAGAAAUGAUACAAAGAAUAAUAAUUUUAUAAUAAAAUAAGUGCAUUUUUGCUCAUUACCAUAAACCAUGUUAUAUGUUCGUCAUACACCUCAUCAUAUGUUAGUCGCUAUUCUAUUUAACUUUUUAAUAUUGAAAAAGAGACUAUCUGAAAGCGAAACUCUCGAUGGACUAUCUGCCACCUCACACAUCAAUGUUAAUUUUCAUGCUAAUAUUAUAAAAAAAAGAUAAUGCUAGGGAGACAAAAAAUUUAAAGUAAAUUUGUAAACCAACAAAUGUGUCACCAAUAGGAAAUAAAUACGUUAAAAUCAAUACUUAAUUAAUAAUUCAAUCAUCAACAACCAUAUCAUUUGAUUUAAACAAAAAUUUUGUUUAAAAAAUUGUUCUCUCUGAUAUUAUCUCAUAAAAUAUUGUGCCAAAAACAUGAAAUUGAGUCCGUGAGUACACGGAGAAUCCUACAUCUAAAAGAGUCUUCCUAACAUUUCUUAUAAAAUAAUAAUAAUAAUAACAACUAGUGAUGUAGCAACUGACAUAAAGAUGACGUGGAUGAUUUUGAUGAUUGAAAAAAAAAAAAAAAAGAGAAUGAUUGGGGAGGGAUUUGGAUCCUCUCUCCUGAGCCCGAAUCCUCUUGAUUAAGAAAUGUGGGUCAUUUGAUGAAUAUACAACAGCUAUAAUUAUUAUAAUUUUAAAAUAAUUUUUUUAUUUGUAGUCGUUGGAUUUUCAUACAACGGUCCACAUUUCUUGGUCAGAAGGAUCCUCAUCUUGGGCUCAGUAGAGGAUCCAAAUCCAUUGGGGAGGAGGUAGCUUGAGAAAGUGCGUGCCAUUGGUUGAACAUCCUUUUCAAUGGUUGUAGUAGGUGAGAUGAGCUGAAAGCCCUGCAAACUUGUCCUCAACACGAAUUCACAAAUUUGUACCUAUCUUCUUCUUCCUUCUAACCUCAUUUGAUUAGUGAUUGCUUUAGUUUCAACGAUUAAAAUUAUUUAUUAAUUUAUGUCCUUAUAGACUCAAUCUGUCGCAUAACUUUUACUUUCUUAUGAGGCUUUUUUUUUUAAUAUAUCUUUGCAUGUCUUAUUAAAGCCGCAAUAAGAAUAUUCCAAUUACAUAUUAAAUUUUGAUUUGCUGGUGAGAAGGAUCGAAAUAAAGAAACACAAGAACUUCGUUGAAACAAAUUUUGCCUUCAUCGUGUCUGCCUAUGUCUUUAUCAAGUGUUGCUCGCUUAGAAAGUGUUUUACGAGAAGGUGUGUGUGUGUUUAUGUUUUAUUCUACUUCGCUUUUAUUAAGAGUAUGCCUCUUCGUUUAAUAGUUUCGUUAUGAAAAGUGCUUUGUACAAAUCUCUUGUCCUUGCAUAUGCUCAUCCUACUCAAGACUGUUUUAUGAAAGAGCAAGUCUCCCUUUUUCACCUUACUCGUAAAACGUAUGAUAAAGUGAUUAUUAUGCUACAUUACCCUAAUGGUUUAAUUAGAGCUGGUUUGGUUUGGGGUUGCUUAAAUAUUUUUAAAAGCAGCUUUUUAUCAAACUUGAGGCCUUAAUUUUGUGUUUGGUAAAUGAAAAAAGAUAUAAUUCACAAUCAUGGGUCCAAAACAAUAUAAAGCAGAAACAGCUCUACACUUUUUUCUCAGAAAAAACGUUUCUUUCAUUGGAAGCAUGUAAACAAUACUAAUAAAUGAAAAUUACAUAUUGAUAAAAGCACUUUUGGCACUAUCUUUUACCAAACACUUACCUUUUGUUUUCAUAACUAUUUAUUCUCACACCACAACAGAAGCAAUUUUGAAAAACAAAAAAAAACACAGCAACCCGAAAACUAGCCCAAACUAGUCCUCUUGGCUUAUGCAACUAAGGACCAAAAUAUUAUGAUUUAUUGCUCAUACAAGUUGUUCUUGUGUGUGUGUGUGUGUGUGUAAAAUCACAAAUAUAGGUAGAAAUAGAGAGAUUUUUCAGUGUGACCGGCAUACGUGAUAGUACACCACGUGUUAUUAUUUAAAUGGUGGGAUAUGUGUGUUAAAAAGUUAAUAUCUUAAAAAAUAAAAUUUCUCACUAUUUACAUAAAAACACGUGAUGUACCACUCAUAUUCCCAUCACAAUUAAAAAUUUCACGUUGAAAUGUUGACGAGUCUAAGAUGUAAGGUGAGAGAGCAAUACACAUGCACAACGUGUAAGGUAUUGGAUGAUAUGGCGUGGUAGGCAGCGCAUGUAAUUAGGAAGGUAAUAUGAUUACCAUAAGGUACGACCACGCACCGUUAAAUCUAAAUUAACGGCAACCUAAUACGACGCCGUCUAAAGAUUCUAGGAAUGCUAGAAGAUCUGAAAAUGCAUUGACAUUUAUUUUUUUACUCUCCCCCAAUAAAUUAUAUUAUCUGUUUUUGUAACGUAAACUUCCAUUUGAAGUCGUAGGUUGUGCCUUGUGCGUGUCUGAGUGCCAUAAGACAUUUCGUGUCGAUAAGUUAGUACUAGUCUUCCAUCCGAGUAUGAUUUUCCGGCAAUGCUGAUGUAAACGGGCAGGCUCCGUUUGACCUGGUUGGGAAAGUUCGGAAUAUUUUUCGGUUGAGGCUUCAUUUUAAAACUAACCGAGAAUGAAGGAGUGACUCAACAAAUGUUCGAAAUUUCCUCAAUACAAUCGAUAUUUCGGUGAAAAGAUAUGGAAACGGAAAGUGAAGUUUAAAGUUCACUCCAUAUCAGAUAAACUUGUAAAUUUUGGCUAAUAUCGACAUAUUUUGUUGAUAUUUUCGACAUAUUGGUUGAAUAUCGGAGAAAAUUUUAUAUUUCGUUUAAACCAAUACUUGACAUUCUCUAAUUAUUAUUAUUUUUAAUUUUAAAUUUCCACAUUUUUGAGCAAUUUUCUGUCAUUUCUAUCAAAGUCAACCAAUAUCGAUAUUUCCAUAAAUUUGCAUAUUGAUCCGUAUUUCCAACGAUAUUAAUAUUUUAAACACUACUUAUAAGUCUAUGCGAAGUAUCUUUAAUCUGCAAUUUAUGAUUUAUACUCCUAACAAGCCUCUCUUACAUAUAGUCGUCUAAUUCUAAUGAUAAACAACAUGUUGAACGAAGUAGAAGCACAUGGGCCGUUGAGCCCUACAAUUGAGAAAAAAUAAACAUUUCUCUUAUUAAAGUUGACUUGGGGUUUUCUAAAGAUAGUGGAGAAAGAGAUUUUUUUUAUUUAAAUAAUCUCUACUAAUUAAUAAAACACUAAUUAUCAAUUAUAACUCUAUGAAAUUAUCAGUUUAACCCUCUAAUUAAAACAGAAUAUGAAUAAGAAAUAUGGGGCAGAAAUAUAAUUUCACACAAUCAAAUUUUGCUGUUUUUUUUUUCAAAGUCUCACUUACAUGUAAUCCUAACAUAUUUCUAAUUAAAAAUUAAAAAAAAAAUUUAUGUGUGCCCAUAUUCUAGUAGUUAAUAUUUGAGAAUUUGAGAUAGAUUUAUGUACAAAGUCCAACGUCAUUUGAGUGAGCAAUACGACUUUAUAAAGAAAAAAAGAUGAACUAUAUGUCUAAGCAAUCAAUUGCUCCUUCAAAUUCUUAAGGGCCAUCACAUCGGUGAUGACUGUAUUUUUUAUUUCAUUGAGGUGUAUCAUAUGAUUCACAUGAAAUUGUUAUUGAUAUUUGAAAAAAAAAAAUUAUUUGCACUUCUCGAAGGACAAUUUUUCUCCAAUGUUGUUUCAGAGAUAACUAGCAUGAUGAAUUUCUUGGAGUGUCAUAUCAAAGUGUAGUUUAUCUUCGUGCAAUUUUUUCUUUUGAGGGACGAAUACAAGAUGAUGAGAUGUUGGGUAGAAAUCCAAUAUCGUAGUGGAUAAGUACAUGUGGUCUAAUACUAGUAGAUAAGAUGUUGGGUUUUCAUUCAUAUGUUUGGGGUUUGAAACUCCCUAUCUCUUAAAUUAUUGUAAUACUUUCGAACCAUUCCCCCUCCCUUAAUAAUAAUAAUUUUUUUAAAUGGCAUUUUAGUUAAAAAUUGUCCCUCAUAUUUGAAAUCGAUAAAAGUGGUCUCUGAGUUUGUUCACUAUCAAUCAUUUUAGUCAUUAUGUGAGAAUUCUUUGUUAAAUAAGGAACAAAAUGACAAAAAUACCCUCAAUUUACUAAACAAUUGACCAAAAUGAUUUGACAAAAAUUGAGAGUAUUUUUUGUCAUUUUUUUCAAUUAUUUAACGGAGAUUUUUACAGAAUAACCAAAAUGAUUAAUGGUGGACAAAUUCAGUGACAUGUUCUAUCGAUUUUAAAUUUCAAGGACCAAAGUCAGAAGUUAUGCAAAUCUCUAUAACUAUUUUGACUAAAAAAAAAAAAAAUAUAUAUAUAUAUAUAUAUAUAUAUAUAUAUAUAUAAAGUGUAAAUAUCAAUUUCCAUAUAUUGUUGCAAACCAACUUAAUAUACUAUAUAUGCUAUUAUUUUUUUUCUAAGUUAAACCAGAUUUUCUUUGUGCAUUGAAUUGUGGAGAAAAAUGCAUGUAAGCAUUUUCUUUGUUUGGAAUGGAUUUGAUAAAAUUUACUGCCGUAAUAAUGCUUCUUAUUUCUAUUGGCAAAACAUGCUUUGCACCUGUAUGUAUGGUUUAGGACAUGUAUCAAUUUAAUUUCACACGUUUUAAAAUUUGGCAAAAAAAGCAUGUAUGUGAUAAGUUUUUACGUGUUUGACUCUCCAUUUAUGAAACUAUCAAGUUAACCGCAAUGUGAAUGAGGAAAAUGUCACUUUAGCCAUGCUUCUUGUUCAACUGCUUAUCAUUUGUUUGGAAUAACUUUCAAAUGCAUGUUGGUAUUUUUUUUACGAGAAGCGAUGGCGAUUUUUCAUUAGUAACAAAAACAAUUAUAAGGAUUGUCACGUGGGUUUUCAUCGAUCUAGUGAUAUUUUGCACAAAUAAUCAUAAAGAUUAAUUCCUUACUAGGCUACCGCAAACAGCAACAGCACUGACGCUAGCACAAGCACCAAUAUAUACCCACCACAAAUACAGAACCACGAACUUAAACUGGGGCAGAGUAGUGUCAUUCCCAAUAAGCGAAACUACAUCAAACCAUCGCUUAAGAUCUAAUUAUGUGUCUUAAAAAUAUUGUUCUAAAAAUCUCUGCCUAGCUUUGCCUAGGCGUUAGGCGGCUGGUCACCGCCCCGAUUAGUCUCUAAGCAUUUGAAAAUUAAGAAAGUACCCCUAGACCGGCUUAGGCAUCCACCUCGCUCGCCUUGCCCGUCUAAACCAGCCUAAGUUGUAACUCUGAUUUAGACAGAAAACCGAUAACUUUCAUUUUGCAUUUUAAUUUUUCAAUAAAAUGUAAAAAACUUGUUGAAUACUUGGAUGAACACUCAUUAUAUGAUUUUUCCACAUAUUUUCAAUAUGUUCUAAUACUUUAUAAUUUAUAUAUCAUUUUAUUUUGUAAUUUAUGCAUUUUAAUAUAAUUAUAUGUGUUUUUCAAGUAUAAAUAAACACUUAUUUAUACAAUAUAUAAUAAAUUUACUUAAAUUCGUAUUGUCCCCCUAGGCCCUGCCUAACCACUUAGGCAUUAGGCCCCAGCCCACUGCCUAACUACUGCCUAGCGUUUUUUAGAACCUUGCUUAAAAGUGAAGCUUGGAUUUUGGGAUUUUUUUGGUCAUUAUCUUUAACUUUAGUGUACCAUUCAUACAUCCAAGAUUCAAAAAAAGGUGAGAACCAACAUAGAAUUUGGUGGACUGAGACUUUAUCGAGAAGGAUGUGCAAAAUUCAACAUUGGACGAAGGACAACUCAUACAAUUGACCUAAUUGCUUCUCAAACUAUUUAGAAAAUCAAUAUUUUGGUGCGACUAGGGAUGGGCAAUGGUUAUGCGGGCGGGUAACCGCUGUUAAUUUACCCAUAACCGUUUAUGCUCAUACCCGCAUAACCGUUUACCCGUUGAGUAAUUGCCUAAACGUUACCCAUUCCCAUAACCGUUUAUAAACGGUUAACCAUACCCAUAACCGCAUACCCAUUUAACCGUAACCGUUUAAUACCCGUUUACUUAUUUAUCCUUUUUAACCUGUUUAUCUUUUUUUUUACCAUUACCCUUUUUUCACCCGUCUACAUGUUUUUUAACAACUUGAAAAUUUAAAAAAAAAAUUGUCAUAAUAUUUUUUUUUACAAUUAAACACCGUUAUAGGUACAUUCAUCAUACAUUUCCAUAUUUUAAUUUUUUAAGUUCUUAUACAAUUCUAAUAAUUGAAAUAAUAGUUUACGGACGAUAUUUUUAAUUGUUACCAAUGAAGGUAAAUAUAAUAUUUGCUAAGUAUUAUUGGGUUACAAAAAUUGUUUAAGACAUUUAUGUCAAAGCAUUUCUGUCAAUUUCACGGUUACCCGCAAGGAAUUUAAAUUAAUUUGGCCAAUUCCUUGAUGAUGAAAAUCAUCAUUCAUGUAGUAGUGUUAUUGAGAGAAUGACCGAUGAAUUCCUUGCUAAUUUAUUGGGUGCUAAGUAUUAUUGGAUCGAGAACAUGGUUUGUGUUAGUUUUACAUAUAUAAAAUAAAUGGGUAAACGGUUACCCGUUUAUAACCGUGGUUAAUACCCAUAACCGCCCAUUUAAAUUUCACGGGUAAACGGUUAUACCCAUAACCGUUUAUUUAUCUAAAUGGUUAUUCAUAACCGUAACCGUUUAAUUUAAAUUGGCGGAUAACUGCGGUUACCCAUAACCAAUGGGUAUUUGCCCAUCCCUAGGUGCGACCCACUCCCAACUUUGGCCAAAUAUUAUCACUAAGCUUUUAUUUUUUCUUGUUUAUGUUUCCAUAAAUACUAUAAAUCUUUUCCGGGGUAACUAGAUCUGUAAACGGGUCGGGUUUGUUUGGGUCAGGUUCAAUGCGACCCGUUAAGUUAACGGGUCACCCGAACUCAACCCGUUAAGCUAACAGGUCAUUCGAACCCGACCCGUUUCACCCGUUAACAAUUAUUAUUAUUAUUAUUAUUAUUAUUUGCAUAGAGUUUAUUUUUUGUUGUUAAGACUUUACUGAAAUUACUAAAACAUCAUCAACUAACGGGUGCUAACGGGUUCACCCGUUAACGAUCCGACCCGUUAAGCAUCAACCCAAAUACUAAUAUUAACGGGUCGGGUUCAAAAUGACAGGUCUACGGGUAACAUUUCCAUAUAUAUAUAUAUUUGAGUGUAAAGAAAAGGAAAUUUAAUCACAAAUAAGAGUUUAGGAAAAAUGAAUCAAAAUUAAUUCUGGUGGUCGCAGCAGCGUUACCAUACGAUGCUAAAGCAACCAAGACAACAGAAACAUACACGGAGACGGACCAUUUCAAAUUUUCAAUCGAUCACAACCAAUCCAACAAGAAAAUUUUUAUUGUGUUAGAAACACAAUUCGAUAUAUCAAAGGUCAUAAUACAAAUGAUUUGAUACUUAAAAAAAAACUUUUACUAUUUAUAUUGUGACACUUAAUGUGCUGGACUGUAUUCCUCUGGAAAAUUUCACCAAUCCUUCGGCAUCUCCAUCUAACGUGUCAAAACCUUAGUGGUUUUGUCCAUACAGAUAGCUCCGUGGGCUCCACAAAACUCCUUACAAAACAAAAUUUGAAACUACAGAGCUCGUUACAAGCAGACACAGACACAUUACAGUUGACAUGCGUUGAAAAAUAACUACAUUUGUGAUAUUAAUGAAGUAUUUAAGUAUAUGUGUAAAGUGGUAAGACUAAUUUUGGUAGAGACCUCCCUUAGACCAUCUCCAACCCUUGGGCUAAAAGCCAAAUUUUUUAGCCCGGAAAAUUUAGCUUUUAGCCUAGAAACAUCUUUUCUGCUCCAACCCUUCUACCCUAAAAUUUUAGCCGGAAUUAUUAAAGAAUGAAAUUAGCCUAAAUUUUUUUCUUAAAUCAAUUUUUUUUUUAAAAAAUAAAUAUGUAGAUUAUUGUAAAUUAAUUUUAUGAACAUUUUAAUCUAAAAAAAUUUAAAUUCCGAUAAACAUUUCGCAUUUAGCCCGGGGGGAAAGCUGGGGGGUAUUUGGCCCAGAAAUAGCAUUUGGCAUUUAGCCUAAAAUUUUAGCAUGGAUUGGAGAGUGUUUGGGGGGUAAUUUGGGGGGGUAAUUUGGCUUUUAGCCCAGGGUUGGAGAUGGUCUUAAGAUCUUAGUACUCAUAACAAUAACGUAAUGAUAGGUGAAAACAUUAAAAUGCACGAAACUCCAUUACUCAUUUAGGAUGCACAAGAGUCAAGGUUCUACAAGAAACUAGGUGCUAGUCGGGCAGCUGGUUGGAGUCUAACGGUUAGGCGGGGUCUAGGCAGAUUUAAUUAAAUAUAUUAUAUUUCAUAUAAAUAAGUGUAUGUUCAUACUUAACAUAUAUAUAAUUUCAUCAUAAAAUACAAAAUAGAAUAACAUAUAUAUUAUUAGCUAUUGAAACAUAAUGAAAACAUAUGGAGCAAGCAUAUAAUGUGUGUUCAUUUAAGUAUUUAACAAGUUUAUUACAAUUUAUUGGAAUAAAUAAAAUGCAAAAUGAAAGUUAUUUAUUUUCUACUAAGUGAAUCGCAACCUAGGCGGGUCUGAGUGCACUAGGCGAGUGUCUAGGCGGUCUAGGGGCGUCAUUUCUUAAUUUUUAAACACCUAGGCAUUAAUCGGGAUGAUGACAAGCCGCCUAGUAGUGACAAUAGUUUACCAGAGAGCUCAAUUAAGUCAUUCUAGCUUAACUUCGUUAUACUUUUCACAAAAUUAACACUUAUAAAUGUUGCACUCAUAAAGAUAGAUUAGUCUUUUAAAAAUACAAUUUAACGCAUACUUUUCACGUCUCGACCAUGAAUCACAAACUGUUAAAUUUAAAUGGCGACAAUUGAAACUUAGAGGUGAAGACAUCAAACUUUUUAUUUGGUUGAAAAAGGACGAACAUCAAACUUCUAGCCGAACAAACAUUUGAACGUCUCCCAACUCCCUCCACCUACCCGCUCCUUUACCUACUCCCCGCACGCCCGCACACUUCUCUCCAACCCCAUUUCCGUCAAAACUAACGCCGUUACACUCCGCAUUCACGCCUUUACGUCUUCCAACCACCCCCCACAGACACAUGACCACGCAACCCACCUAACGUCCGCGAAACCGUCCCUCUAUAAAACGCAAACCCAAAGCCCCCCAAAACGUCAGUUCACUCUCCCACACAACUCUCUGCAUUUCUGCUCUGCCCACCCACUAAAUCACUUGACACACCCACAGAGGCAAUGGACCUCCUCCUCCUGGAAAAGACCCUUCUGGGUCUCUUCGUCGCCGUCAUCGUCGCCAUCGCCAUUUCGAAACUCCGCGGCAAGAAAUUCAAGCUCCCGCCGGGUCCCAUACCCGUACCCGUAUUCGGAAACUGGCUCCAGGUCGGUGACGACCUCAACCACCGCAACCUCACCGACAUGGCCAAGAAAUUCGGCGACUGCUUCCUCCUCCGCAUGGGGCAGCGCAACCUCGUCGUCGUCUCCUCGCCGGAGCUGGCCAAGGAGGUCCUCCACACCCAGGGAGUCGAAUUCGGGUCGAGGACCCGAAACGUCGUCUUUGAUAUUUUCACCGGUGAAGGCCAGGACAUGGUGUUCACCGUCUACGGCGAGCACUGGCGGAAAAUGCGGCGUAUCAUGACCGUCCCCUUCUUCACCAACAAGGUCGUCCAGCAGUACCGCUACGGAUGGGAAUCGGAGGCGGCGGCGGUCGUCGAGGACGUGAAAAAGCACCCCGAGGCGGCGACCAGCGGAAUGGUGCUGCGGAGGCGGCUGCAGCUGAUGAUGUACAACAACAUGUACAGAAUCAUGUUCGACCGGCGAUUCGAGAGCGAGGAGGAUCCCCUGUUCGUGAAGCUCAAGGCGCUGAAUGGGGAGAGGAGCCGAUUGGCGCAGAGCUUCGAUUACAACUACGGCGAUUUUAUCCCGAUCUUAAGGCCGUUUUUGAGAGGGUAUUUGAAGAUCUGCAAGGAAGUGAAGGAGAAGAGGAUUCAGCUGUUUAAGGACUAUUUCGUGGACGAGAGGAAGUAAGUUAAUUCAUUUUAUUUAUUAAUUUUAAUUAAUUUUACUUUUUACUUUAAUUUUAGUAAACGUUAUUAGGAUGCAAUUCUCAACUUUCCUAUUUGGAUCUCAAAAAGGGUAAAUAGCUGUUAUUUACCACUAGUUAUUCGUCUUAAAAAAAAUAUUCUCUUUAAAAGAUAAAAAGAAAGAAAACUAAUAAAAAAUAUUUGAAAAUUUUAAGUUUUUACGAUAAAAAUAAAAUAAAUAGUAUCAAAAUUGAUUUUUUAUUUCGUUAAAAUAAAUAAUACCGAAAACUUUUUGUUAAAAUCCUUUAAAGAGAAUGUUAGAUACAUGAAAUUAUCUUUAUCGUUGACACCUUGACAUAUCUGUCUCACAUAUAUGUAGGGCUUGUCGGACUUCCAGAGAGCUUAGUUAAAAGAAUUUUUAUUCAUUUGUCAUUAUGUGUUAAGACUUAAGCGGGUGAAAAUGAUAUAUCGAGAAUGAAUUGCCUAUUCAUAGUACAUCACGCUCGAGUUUGUCUUUUAUACUCUUUUGUGUGAUUGCAAUACGAAAUGAUACGGCGAUUAAAAUGAGCGUGUGAAAAUUGCUGACUCGUUUUUUUUUUCUUGGUAUUUUUGAGCAGGAAACUUUCGAGCACAAAGCCUACAACAAACGAAGGGUUGAAAUGCGCCAUCGAUCACAUCCUCGACGCGCAGCAGAAAGGAGAAAUCAACGAGGACAACGUUCUCUACAUCGUCGAGAACAUCAACGUUGCUGGUGAGUAGACCACCCCACUCCUUAUAAUAUUAAUUCUUAACAUGACAACAUAGUAAAUCUAUUUGGAAAAGGAUCCUCUUCAGAUUUAUUUUGUGAGGAUCCUAAGAAUCUCUACAUCAUAGUCGUUCAUCAUACAUCGUGCGAUCAGUUUUCGUCAGAUAUUAUCGUUCGUAUAUUGUGCAGUCAGUUUUCGUCAAAUAUUAUUUAUUUUUAAUUUUAUAUUAAAAAUGUCAAAUGAUUUCCGACUGUAUGAUACACGAGGAAUGAUUAAAAUGUGGGGAUCUCUAGGAUCCCACAAAGUGGAUCCGGAUGGGAUUCAAUUCCAAUCCAUUUUUACUGAUAUAACGUGGAUUAAAAUGAUCAUUAGAAUUGUUAUAACUUAUAACUCAUCAUUUUGAAUUAUAAUAUUUAAAUUUAAUAAAAAUUAAUCCUAAGAUUAGCCACCCACCGUCAACCUAUUUUAUUGGAUUUCUCAUAGUAUUAAUUUAACUCUGAGCAAAAAUGAAAAAUCCUAUAAAUAAUUAUUUUACGUAAUUGGAGGCCGGCAAAUUAGAUAAGGUUAUGUGAUUCAUAUUUAUGGGAGUACAUUAAUUUGCAAACCAACUUUUCAUCCCCAACCUAUAUAUCUUUUUUUAAUAUUGUGGUAAUUAAAUAUUUAUUUUCUUGAUGGAGUCACUAAAAUAUGAAAAAUAAUCAUAUGGUUUUUUAGCUCCCACGUAUGCCAGUGCUUGACAUGUGAUGGAAGGUCUAAAGGCCCCAAUGAUGUUACGUAAUAUUGUUUUUAGCUUACGUAAUAUUCCACAAAGUUUCUAUUGGAUACGUGGGCGUCUUAGGUUGCCCCAUUUUGAUCCAGUUGGCAUACUUGUUUAGGUCAAAUAUUUAUGUGUCAUCGAUAAUAUAUCCUCGUGUAAGUAUAUUCUUGUGUAUGUGUCAUCGAUAAUAUAUCACCAUGCAAGUAUAGCACUUUCACAAAAAGAAAAUUAAAUUAUAAAAAGUCUUUGUUGCUUGAACAGUUGGUAUUGACAAAUCUAGGAGAAAUUUUUUAUUAUGAAUGGAAAAUGGAUAGUAUAUUACGUGUUUUUAUAUAAGUGGUGUAAUUUUUUGUUUUGUUUGUAAGUUCUUAACUUUUUAACACAUAUAUCCUACUAUUUAUAGAAUGCUACGUAAUGUACCAUCUCAUAUUUUUGUCACACUGAAAAGUCUCUUCAAAUCUAGGUUGAGCAGUAGGUGUGUUGGUGAACAAAUAUGUUGCUUUUGAUUUAAAUAUUGCUAAACCACUUGAUUGUGCCUAAACAUUGGUUGUUCGUAUCUUUUUAUAACUUCGUUUUAUAUACAAUUCACGUCUUUUUACCAACCUCAUGACGUCGACAUGCAAACAUGAUCGCAAUGGUUCUAAUACAAUACGAUGACGUGGUAUUAUUUUAGGUUACAAUACGUGAUUGUAUUUGAAUAUUCACAAUAUUUCUUUGCAAUAAGCUUUACAAAUUCAGUUAAGGUUGUUUAAUUUUAGGCCGCUAAUGUUGCGUUUCUGUAUUGAACAGCUAUUGAAACCACGUUGUGGUCGAUCGAGUGGGGAAUUGCCGAGCUAGUGAACCACCCCGAAAUCCAGAAGAAGUUGAGGAAUGAACUCGACACAGUCCUCGGCCGCGGAGUUCAGAUCACAGAGCCCGACGUUCCUAAACUUCCCUACCUGCAAGCCGUGGUCAAGGAGACUCUCCGACUUCGCAUGGCAAUCCCGCUCCUUGUCCCCCACAUGAACCUCCAGGAUGCCAAGCUCGGGGGGUUUGAUAUUCCGGCGGAGAGCAAGAUAUUGGUGAAUGCUUGGUGGUUGGCAAACAACCCUGCCCUGUGGAAGAAGCCAGAAGAGUUUAGGCCCGAGAGGUUUUUGGAGGAGGAGUCGAAGGUGGAGGCUAACGGGAACGACUUCAGGUAUCUCCCGUUUGGUGUUGGGAGGAGAAGUUGUCCUGGGAUUAUUUUGGCACUGCCAAUCCUGGGCAUUACAAUUGGACGUUUAGUCCAGAACUUCGAGCUUCUGCCUCCGCCAGGACAGUCCAAGCUCGACACCUCGGAGAAAGGUGGACAAUUCAGCCUGCACAUCCUGAAGCACUCCACCAUUGUGAUGAAGCCGAGGGCGUAGAUUGAUGCUUGGGGAGUAAGAUUUUGAUUCUAUGAAAUAUGAUGUUUGGGUUGUGAAAAUGUAAAUUUAUCAACUUUUUUCGUUCUUGUUCUUUGUUUACUUAGAUUUAUGAACUUCGAAUUAAUGGAAGGUUCAAGUAAUAAAUUUCUUUUUAUUAAUAAGUAUUUGGCCUAAUCAGAUAAACAGUCCUCGUGGUGAUAAGGUAAUCGGAAGAUAGUUCUUGUGGUAAAAAAAUUAGGAUUUAAACCCUUGUGGGAGAGUCCGUUGGCAAAUUUGGUCCAAAAUUGAUUUGUCCGUUACUUGUCUGUUAAGUAUAGGGAUAAAAAUGUAUUUUAAGGUGUACGCCUUCUUCUUCUUCCUCCCUCUGCAUUUCAUCUGUUUAUAUCUUAAAACAACCCCUACAAAAAAACCACAGAAAAUAAACCAUGAUCAUUAAUCUCUCAACUUCUCCAACCUCCUAUUCUUUCUCUCAUCAAGGUAUCCAAUUCCAAAUCACCCAUCUCCGAUUUUCCAUCAAAUCCCAAAACCCACCACCCAAAACCUCCAUCUUAUUCCAUUUGCUUACAUGGAUGCCUUGGAGAUAAGCUGCAACAAAGUGACCGUUCUCAUGGACAACAAUUAUGGGGGUUAACACAGCAGCCGCCUCCAAAACCGACUGAGCACUUUCAAAGUUGCCAGAGUUGAACCCAGGAAUCGCACAAGUCCUAAACUUGAACCUUUUCCCAUGUGGGCACCUGCCAUUUUCAAUGAAAAAUCGAUCCUUGCAGUGAAAACCAAGGUUUGGUGAAGAAAAUGAGCAGCAAAUGGAAGGAGAUAGAGGUUUUGGGUUUUGAUGGAAAAUCAGAGAUGGGUGAUUUGGAAUUGGAUAACUUGAUGAGAAAGAAAGAAGAGGAGGGUGGAGAAGCUGAGAGAUUAAUGAUCAUGGUUUAUUUUAUGUGGUUUUCUGGUAGGGGCAGUGGCGGAGCCAUAAAUUCAUGUUAGGAGGGGCAUACUUUAGAUCAAAAUGGACAUAAUACAUGUAGAAACUAUCUUGUUCUUUUGGUCGUCUUGGUAUCAAAUUUAAAAGUGAGUAACCAUGCAUUUAUUCUUCAUUAUAAAUGGGCAACUAUAUCAAGAGUUAAAACAUUAUUAAAAGCACAUUCAUGUAUUCUUCAUUCUUGAUAUUAAAUUCAAAGGUGACUGACCAUGCAUUCAUUUUCUCAUAGCGACCAAGAAAACAUUUUUCUAAAAACAUUAAGACAUGAGAGCAUUUGAAAGGUUUUUUGUGCUAAUUUGGAAAAAGGAAAUAUUUUUCUCUUCUUGAUUUCAUAGAUGAUAUAAUAGAGGGAAAUGUGAAAUUAACGAAAAUAAUAGUCUGCAAGCAAAGGGAAAAAUUGUAUAUGGGCAAGAAAUAGAGAAUAUGAUCAACUAAUAUUAGUAUAUAACUAUAGUUUCAAAUCUCUAAUGUUAAAAAUUGAAGGCUGUGUAUGUGUUGGAUUGAAGUUAAUUGGACUAACUAAUACAAUUACAAAUUCAAGUUGAUAGUGGUAUUAUAAAAUUAAUUAAUGUUAGUAGAGGUUGUCAGGAAAAAAAUUAUUUGAGGAUAGGCUCGAGCCUACCCUAGUCUAAAGGUGGCUCCGCCACUGGGUAAGGGGUUGUUUUAAAAUAAAACUAAUGAAAAGGGGUUGAAAACUAUAAGUUUUAAUAAUAAUGACAAAAUAAAUGGUAAAGUGAAUAAUACCAGGUUUGACUUUUUAGUGUAAAAAUGUGGUUUUUCGUUAAAGUGAACAGUACCGUGGACUUUUCGUUAAAACUCCCUUGUUUUAAGAUAUAAACAGAUGAAACGCAGAGGGAGGAAGAAGAAGGCGUAUACGUUAAAAUACAUUUUUAUCCCUGUAUUUAACAGACAAGUAACGGAAAAAUUAAUUUUAGACUAAAUUUGCUAACAAACUCUACCACGAGGGUUUAAAUCCUAAUUUUUUUACCACGAGGGCUAUCUUCCGAUUACCUUAUCACCACGAAUAUUGUUUAUCCGAUUAGGCCCUAAGUAUUUAUAUCUUAGUUUUGAUGAGUUUGUUUUUUGUUGAUAGUAUUAUACUUGAUGUUCGAAUAAUGAGCUUUGCCCCACAAGAAUAUGUGUGUGUGUCUAUAUAUAUAUAUAUAUAUAUAAUUGGGGCAUUAGAAUCCAAAUUCAUUGAUUAGGUGGAUUUGAUGGAAGAGAUGUAAGAGAUUUUUCAGUGUGAUUGGUACGGGGAUGGUACAUGUCACUAUACAAAUGGUGGGAUAUGUGUGCUAAAAAGUUAAUAACUUAAAAAAUAAAAUUUUCCACCACUUCUAUUAAAAUACGUGAUGUACCAUUUAUAUUCCCGUCACAAAAAAUUUCUCGCGGAGAUGAUCCCUUUCCUAAUUUGGGGGUUUGAAGUUAGGGACCUGUCAUUCAAUUCCGACCCUUUACCUAACUCACAUAUCGAUACAAGUUUUCAUCGGGAGACGAAAUGCCCACUAAGCCGGUCGUUCUCGCCACCAACCCCUCUACAUCGUUUCACGUUAUGAUUCUCUUUUCACUACCAACCUUUUCCCCUGUACUUGAAUUUAAUCCAUAGACCAUGUGGUUUGCUCAACCCAACCUUUGACUUAAAACACACUUAACCUAAUUUUAUCAUGAUUGGUGCUGUCCAUUGAGUAGACAUGUGAUGGUUUAGGGGGAUUUUCCACUAAAUUCUUAAUGCCUGACAUAUUUACAUAAGUGAUUUGAGUUCAUCAGUGGAUUAAGAACCUAAGGAUCGUCUCCCCCCGAGUGCAGACCAAGUACUAAACUGAUUAUGAUUUAUUUGAUCACGGUUUUGAAUUUUUGUAUCCCAUACCAAAAUUCAAUCAUUAACUGCAUGUUAUGUAAUUUAUUAAAUAUAAUUUUAAAAAAUAAUUCAUUUAGCAUGAUUGAGUUAGUGAGAGGUACAAUUCUAACUCCGAUUUCAAAAAAAGUUUAAUAAACAAUUUUAACAUAAAUAUAAUUCAUUCAAACUCCUCAACAAUCCAAUUUCUAGUCAAUUCAAUUCUACUUGUUCUAAUUACGGAUUAGUUAACGUGACAGUAAUUACUAUGUUUCAAUGUUCAACAAAAAAUACGACAAAUAAAUUAACACUUUGGAUAUUAUAUAUGCUACGUACAAUCAAAAGCACUUUUCGAUAAUGUUUGAACAAACAAAAAAAAAAUUGCUUCACAAAACACGUCCCCGUACAGUUUUUAAUUAAUUUUUUUGACAUUGUUUCUAAAUUUUUUAUACAAGUGCUUUCCAUAGAAGCACUUUUUAAACAAUGACUCGAUUCAAGGGCUAAAAAAAGCAGAAAAAUUCGAGAUUGGUAACAAGGAAAAAGAGAAGAAAAGACGAAGGAAGAAAAAAUGUAGGUUGUAACCAGGCCCUCAAAUCAGAGAGUCAGAGAGAGCAGACGUGCGGACCCUUCGCAAUUCAAUUUCCGUGCACAUAACCAUGCUUCCUUCAUUCCUUUUUACUCCAGAGCAUCGGCUUAUUGUGCACGGAUUCCAUAAACUAUUAGCCACGGAUCUGUAAACCCUAAUUAACACCCAACAAACCGAAACAAAAUCACGAUUUCAUGUAUUGUACAACUGAAACCGAAGGAUUCAAAUGAUAAAAAUUAAAAUUCAAAGGAUACGAAUGAUGGAAACUAAAAUCCAAAGAAUUCGAAUGCAAAAAACCAAAACAAAAGGGUCGGAAAAAAUAUAUGGGAGAAAGCUUUCGGAGCCGCGCUCCGCUGUUAUGGAGUGCUUCUCUUGUUCUCAUAUUUAUAGGGUUGGGUUGGGAUCUGUUUUGUUAGGAUUUAUGCGAUGUUGAUGGUGUGUCAAAUUACGAUGGGGCCACGGUUGUUUCUGUUAAUUAACGGGACUACCCUUGGGUUUGGUGUGUUCUGGCCUCUGGGGAGAUUUUGGGGUUGGGGCCCAAGCUCAGUAAUGUAGGAACGAUUUUGUUGGGCUUAGUAUUGGGGUAGUAGUUGAACUUUAUGGAAGUUUAAAGUGCAUAAUUAAAUUUUUGUGGAUCGUGUUUUACUGUACCGGUAGAAAGUAAUUAUGUCUGUGUAUUUUGGUGCGGGUUCAAUCUCCAUCAAUCCCCUCCGUCCUAACAUAUAAAUGUUUAACCCAAUAAAUGUCGUUUGUCAAAACAAAAAAUUAAUUCGGUUUUUUUUUAUAUUUUUCAAUAGGUAAUAUGCAUAAACAAAACAUAACAAAACAUUCUUUUAAUUUUUAUAAUUAAAAAUAGAAUUAUCACUAAUCUCACGGCCUAGCGAGUUUGAUGCUGAAUUAUUGUUGGCUUAUUGUGUAGCUUAUUUCAUUCUCCCACGUCAAUAUGGUUGCCCAACAUAGAGGUUUUCUUAACCAGCACAAAGUUAAUCUUAAUUCUUCUAUGGACUAGUUUGAUCUCCAAAAUUUGGUGGAAUGUGUAACUAAUUAUAUUCAAAUUAUAUCAAAAUCCUACAAGUAUUUUGGAGCCAAUAAUUUUUUUUGCUAGAGCGAUAACGUUAGUGGAUAAAAUAAUUUUUAUUAGGAAGAAAGGAAAUUGGUUAUAAUUGAUCCAUAGCAAAGUGCAUAUGCAUGAUUGUUUCAAGUUGGGAGUAGCAACUAGCAACAUAAACACCAAGAAAGAAUAUAGACAAGGAGAAAUCAGGUUGGGCUUAAGUUGGCCCAACUCGUGCUGAGCCCAACCCAGAUGAGAUUGGAUCCACAACCCAACUUGACGUCGUGACCGUACAUAUUUCAUAUUUUCAUUGAUAAACACGCGCCAAAAAUAACGGAAACAAAGUUUGCAGUUGGCUCCGAUUGCUUUCGAUCACAAUCGUCGAUUCAUCGUCACCAAACCACCUUCGUUUUCUUUCAAUUUCAAAAAAGCAAUUAAAACCUCCAAAUUUGCAGCGGCACCUCCAAAUUACCGAAUCGGUGCUCGCUCACUCAGCAACCAGCAAUCCCGAGUUUUUCAGGUGAAUCGGUGCAUCUCUCUCUCUCUCUCUCUCUCUCUCUCUCUCUCUCUCUCUCUCUUAGGGUUUAAGUUUGGUUAACUAGGAAGUGCUUCUUAGGAAUUCAACCUUAGUCUGUGAUCGAGUUGAGAUUCUGUUUGCGAUUUCAAGAAUUCAAUGUUUAUUUCUGAGUAAUUUGAUCGUUUCAUAGAAAAUUUGUGCAUUUUGAUCGUUGUUUGGCUCAAUUUUCAGGGUUUUUGUUUUCCAUUUCCAUUAUUCUGUAUGUGUUGGGACAUUUGUGUGUCUUCCUCAAAUAAUGCUUCACAUACUAAUUACUGUUCCAUUUUAACCCUUGGGAGUGAAAUUUUCAGAUUGAUUUUUUCAAUAUGUUGCAAUGGAUGGGAGGAUCGAGGCGGAAAGUAACGACUGUAAGUGUGAUUUAAAAUUAUUUCGGAUUCAUGUUCUAAUUUUAAAUCUUUCACGGCAUAUCCUGGAUUCCGAAAAUGGGAGGUUGAAAUUUUGUUCUGACAUUUUAGCAUUUGUUUCAUGCUUGUUACCUCUUUGGUUGAAUCGGGGAAACUUCAGUCAAGGAAGUCUACACAGCAGAGGUACACAAGACUUGUUUUUAUCAGUAACAAAAGUUCACAUAUUGCAUCUAUAAGGAUUUUGUAGCACCGAUGUAACAUUAGUAAUUGAAAUGUAAAAUUAAAUGGUUAUUAUACAAAACGUUUUGCUAUCGAACUGUAUGUAAAUUUUGGUGCAAUUUUUCCAGAAGAAUAAUGCUGUUGAGCAUAUGGUUCUAACUUUUAAGACUUAAAGUUUAUAUUCUGUUAGAUGUAGCAUAUCGAUAUGUUCUGAGUCUUAUGACCAUCCUUUGGAUUGUCAAGGCAAAAGCAGUACUUUGAACAAAGAAGACGACAACAACAGCGUCAGGGGCAAACAACUGGGUUAGAGAGUUACGCAGAUGGCCUAAACAUAUCUGAACAACAUCACAAAGAACAUCGAUCUUUGGAUAUUCUCAGUUUGCUGAACCUAUCAACAACUGCUCAAGAACACAAAUCUUCUUACCCUAUUCGUAAGUUCCUAAUAUCUUAAAAAUUCGGGAAGUCCGUAGGAGCAUUUUUCAUUUCUCCCAGAUUUUAUAUGGUCUGUGAUAGGACCCUGCAAUUAAAACUAAUUGAGCUUUACUCUUUAGCUUUGGUAUUGUGACUAUUUUCAAUAAGUAAACUAUUUUCUCUCUUUCCCUCUGUUUGUCACUUUUGCAACCAUAUAAGGAAGGGAAGAUCUUGAAGUCAAGGCUUUAAGACCGAAGUGUGAUAUCACAAAGGAUUCACCAAAAGUACCUUCAAAGAUGGUUGCUCCUCUCACCUCUGUUGAAGUUAACAAAGCAAGUAUGCUUUCUACUUUAUUUUCUUAACUUUUAGGGCCCUUUCUUCCCCAUCCCGUACCUCCAUCCUGUUUUGCCAUCUUAACUUUUCUCCGUCUGUACUUCUUUAAUGGAUACACUAUGUUUUAAUGGAUUAUUUUUAUAUGAUGAUACAGGAGCUGAAUCAGGCCUUCAAGUGGAGAUUGCAUCUCCGAAAAAGUGAGUGAUGUGUGUGUGUGUGCGCGCGCACGCAUAUGUGUACUUUUUGUGGAAUAUCAUCACACCCAUACAUACCUAUAUCUCUCCAAACUCAUUUUAAAGCCUUAUUUUUACUUGUAACUGAAUAAAUAAAUCCAAGCUACUUUGAUUUCAAGUGGUUUCAGUUUCACUAUAAACAGUCAGUUGACUUUGUACAUAUAGAUUGUGGUCUUGUUGCUGGUAAAUUGAUAAUAGUGAUCACAAUGGUGUGCAUAGUUGCUUCCAUGUGUGAUUGUUUUGCUAGAGUGCAUCUUUGUCCAGUGGAGAAUUGAUAUAUUAUUUUGCAUCACAGGGUUAAGCUUUGUGCUCCGCAUAAUCAUGACAAGUCCUUCAAUGAAAUUAAUUCUAAACCAGACACCUGGAGAGCAGGCACUGAGCAGCGUAAGUAUAAAAGCCACUUCCUUGUCAGUUUUGAACUUUCUUACUUUCUAACUUUUGGUAUCUGUCCUUACAGAUUUAGCUAGCGAAAACAGUUUAUAAGUUGGUUGUCAGUAGAACCUUGCCAUAGGGCCUUGAAAGCCACUUCCUUGUUAUUUCUGGUUUUUAUAUAAAUCCCUGAGUAUUGAAGCUUUUCUUCAUAAAUUGUUCCUUUCUGUUUCAGAAUGUUCUGUACUUGAUUUUCUUGGCGAUGAUGGGUUGAAUGACUACGUAAAAGAAAGCCCAGUACAUGAAGAUCAUGUUGCAUUUUCAGUUGAAGGUAUAAUUCUGUUAAUUCAGAUCCUUAAGUAAUAUCUUCUAUUUCGUAUUCAUUUAUACAACACGAACUACUGUCCACCAUUGUGUUGCUCAAAUUUUGAGUUUUCCUUUAUACUUAUGACUAAAAGCUCAAUUUGAAUUUUAAUUGGAAGAGUUGCUUCAUAAGGUUAUUCCCAACUCUCUGGAAGUAAGAUGCAGGUGUCAUAGGUUGUAGUGCUUCUUUACUUGAAAAACAAUAAAAAAUAUACUAAAAUAAUUGUUUGUCAAACAAUUGACAUCGUGUAAUUCCCAUCCCUUCUUAAUGAAGCUGUUGGGUCCAUGAGAAACAGUGCCUGCUAUUUUUUUCUCCUGAUGUUGAUAAAGUGUUUUCACUGCACAUCCUUACUUGUCAGGUUUGGGUAAAAUGGGAAUGGAAACACCAGUCCAUUCACCAAGACAGCCUGGAAGGUAACGAUCCCAACUGUAGUUCGGUCAGCUAAGGUUGUUGCUAUCUAGGAUGCUACACUUGUCAAAUAUUUCUUAUUUUCCAUGAAUGGCUUUCACCAAUUUCAUGGAAAUGUUAUAUUUAAAUGCCAAAAGACAUGUAAUUAGUGGAACUUAUACAUUUUUGGUCAAAAGUGGGGACUCCAAAUUUAAAAGAAGAUUCUAACUUUGUCUGCACAUGGCUUAAAUUUUUGUGAUUGUAGAACAUUCUCCUAUGAUUGCUCUUCACCCUUGAAUCCUGCCAGGGGACAAAAAUCAUUCAACAGUCGUAAGCAUCUGGAUGACUUUGAAAUUGAAAUGGUGAGAGGCAUUAUUGAUUGAAUUCUUAUCGUGUAAUCUUAACUUUUCCAUGCACUUUAACUCUUAAGUGACUUAUUUGUGCAGUCACUUUUAUAUCUCUCUGAUAUAAGAACCCUUGUUUAGAAUCUUUAUCCUGUACGACCCAUUUAAAAUUUUCUUUUGGAAGGGCUAGAUUAUGCUCUCUUCUUUGGGUAUAAAUUAGUUUCUUCUGAUGCAGGAUGCAAUGAUGCAAGAUAUCAAUAUUCCCCCAUAUAGCAGUGCUUUAGAGUUUUCUCCUGAUCCAAUGGAUUCAUUCAGUAGUUCAAAGCAAACUCUAUCAAAGGAUGAUGGUCACAGUGGUAGAUUAGAUAGUUAUUAUGGAUGCAGAAGAAUCUUUGACGAUGCUGAAAAUUUCAGAAAAGAUAAAUGGGAUGGUAAAUACUUCUUCCUUGAGUGAUAAUGUGCCCUUUAUUACAGUUGACACAUUGCAAGAGAAUGUAAUAUCUAACAUAGCAUCAUUUCCGUUAGCCUGAUAUGCAUUGUUGACCUAUUCCCUAUGGGUUAUCUAACAUUGCUCCAUGUAAUUAUUUAUUCUAGAUCUCUAGGUUCAAUUUGCAUGAAAAUCUGGUGAAAUUUUACUUUUGGAAAUAUGAUCUUUGAUUUUUUGAUUUCUAAUGAGUCAUGAGAACAGUGCAUAUAUUAUAUUCAACAUGAUAUGAACUUUACUAGUAGCAUGUAACCGCAACAAAAAAAUACUAGUAAUUUUUUCUGAGAUAUGCUUGUUUUCAUUUCCGUAGCAAGUAAAUGAGUCCAUGAAAAGAAAUGUAAUCAGUUAUCUGUGAUCUUUCUGUUAUUUACAUUAUGAUGGUUAACUAUACUAGUACUCUUCAUUCUGCUGGACCAAUGGCCUUCUGAUAGGGUUCAAAUAUAGGAUGAUAUGACUUAUUAGUUGUCUACCAGGUCGGCCUUGUUUCCCAGAGGAAUACACUUUUAAUGAAUGGGAACAUGAUUUAUCAUGGAAGAACUGGCAAAGUCAAAUGAACUGUGUUUCUGAUGAUAAUUUGAUGCACGAAAAGUACAAGAUGUCAGAUUUUGCUUUUGAAGGACCCUUUUCACCGAUAAGGUGCUUAAUUAAUUUCUACUUCUUCAGUUAUCCUGUUUUGAGAAAUCAUAUCUUCUUGAUAGAGUUGUGGCAUCUGUACAGGUCUGCUACAGGCAUCACACACAAGUUCGACGUCUUAGGUGCUCUCUGUCUGAAACUCCUAAUUGAACUAUGCGUGUAGAAUCCCUUAACUGGCCUAUGUGUAGCUGUGUGCAUAUAUAAAAAUACAAAUUGUUUGGGUUCAAGAAGCCAUUACCUAUAUAUUAUAUACUAGAACUUUUGCAUCCUGAAAUUGUUUUUGAUUGGUCCAUCGGCAUUGCAUGGUAGGAUUAAGCUGUGAGUUGUCCAUUUCUUAGACCAUGUUAUGAAAGAGCUUACAUGGAAACGUUGUGCUAAAACUGUGAUGUAUUAGCUUUAUAUGAAAUGGAAUUGUUUGCUUUCAUCUAUGGAUUUUUGUCUGAUGCUUUGCUCGCUUCUCUCUUAUCAGAGGAACCUUCAUAUUUCAAGCACCAAAAAUCAGAAAAGUAUCAUGAUUUUAUGGUUCCCAAUGGAGCAAGGUACGCCUUCGGACUGAGCUAAAUUUCUAUCCGUAAUGUAGACAUAAACUCAAGGGUGUCUGCUUGUGAUGUUAGACAGACACCACGCAGUAGGAAGGAAUUUUGAUUUUGGUGGUGUAACCAGGCAACCCGAUUGGUCUUGCUUUAUGAAUGAAAAUGAAAGGGACAAUUUGAGCUUGCUGAGGUAAUUAGCGGCACUCUUUUGCUUCACAUUGAUUUUCUUCCCCCACCUCUUACUCUGACUCAUACAGUCAUAUGUUUCAUAACCUUCUGUGUCUUUCAACAGUGAAGAGUCUUGCUCAUCAAGUGCAGGUAUAUCUAUUGAUCGAAAAUAUGUGGCGAUAUGAUAACCUUUACUCAUAAUAAAUUGCUGCUAUUGCCAAUAUGAUAACCUUUACUCAUAAUAAAUUGCUCCCUUUUCCAUUUUUUAACGUCAGUGAGGGACAAUGCGAUUGAUAGUUCACUGUCAAAGCCAACCAGGAAUUGGAGCAAGAGAAGAUACGACAAUGCAUACGCUGACCCAGGAUAUCAUUUGAAUAUAACUUCUACAGGAAAGACACGGAUCAAAAGCAAGCAUGUUGUUCAACCAGAGGAUAUUGCACAUGGGUCAGGAAAAUGCACGAAGAUGCCAGAUUCGUCGAAGUUCAAACCAUUCCACCACUCAAACUCUCCUCUCCAGGAAAAGUUUACCCCAAACAGCAAUUGGUUCCCUGAGGAAGGAUAUCUGUCGGUUGACAAUAAUUCAGGUUGCAGUUCUUUCCAUCAAAAGUCAGAGACAAACUGCCCAUCUGCAGGCUCUAAAAUUUUGUUUGGAGAUCCUUUCAGUGCAAGUCCUGUCCCAGAAUUACAUCUCAAUCCUAUAUCUCAUUUUAAACCCUGCGAACCUGUUGCAAGUUCACCUUCCGGCAGUUUGAUUUCUGGGAACUUUGAAUUUCAUGACUCUCCUAUGACCCCUAAGAUUGGUUUUGGACCAAGACAACCAGAGUUCCCUUACUCUCAUGGCGAGACACCAUCUCUGGAUUUAUCAGCGCAGGAAAGUGUCAGCAAAGAUGAGGGAGGAAAAGCUGAAUCGCAGCCAUGCCGAAAAUCUAAGCUGGAGGAAGAACAUUGUAUUCUGAACAAUUUGUUCACAGAAAAUCAACGAUGGAACAAGGACAGUGAAUGUGAGGAAGUAAAAGAUGCAGCUUCGGGACUAACAGCAAGCGUAAAACCAACCUUGCUUGAGCGGGCUGAGAAGACAUCGUCAUCUAUGAACUCUCCAGCGAAAUAUAGAAGCAUAAUAGAAAAGAAAGAGUAUGUGACACAAACAUUGAAGUAUUUUCUCUCCCUCGAGUUUAUAUGUUUGGUUCCCCAACUCUUUGAGUCUUACAACCUAUUCUAUGUUUGUACUAAAAGGUUUUCGUUGUUGACAGGGAUUACUGUGGUAACGAAAUUCCUAUCCCAUGUCUAAAAAGCAACGGAGGUACAUGUUUCUUCUUAACUGUCUUGAACUUCCCUUUAGUUUCUUGCCAACAAAGGUUCAGCAAAUGUUUGUUUCGUUUUGUUUCUCAAUUUUGUUGCAGACUAAUAUGCUUCGUUCGCUUGUUUUUUUACAGAAAUGGAAGAGGCUGAGCCUCAGGAAACGAAGAAAGAAAGUAAACAGCAAAGUGAUUUUGUUGACUCGUCCUGUCGGGUGAUGAUGCUUCAGAGCUAUGUUCAGUUUCUUUGUGUGCAGAAGGUACUGAAGGAGGCAGCUGCACACAACGGCAUAAAGAAGAUAUAACAUGUUUGCGACAUGGCAGCCGCGGCUGACUUCCCUUUGACGCGAGGAUUCUGUUGAAUCAAACUGCACGGUACAUUUUCGUUGUAAACAUCAUUUUCGGAUGUGUAAUGCAUAUCAUACCGGUCUAGUAGAUUUACGUUUUACAGUAGCAAAACGGAGCAGAAGGCAAAAAACCCCGGAUCGUAAUAUGAUUCAAAGAAAUUAACAACGGUUACAUUGUGUAUCUAAGUGUUUGACGAAUCAAACAGGACUGAAGUGUUGAUAGGUAUAAAUGUUAGCCUUUUGGGAUUCUGUUCUUGUAUAUUAAAUGUCCUUAUAGAGGUCAUCUUCCCCUUCAUCGCUAGGGUUUCCGAAUUCCUUCAAACGGCAUUGCAAUUUUAUGACGUCCGAUUGCCGGAGAGGCUUCAGAAAGAACUCUUCGGCUCCUUCCUCAAGGCACCUAUUCAGGUCAAGAAAAUUGAGGGAUCAGUAAACUGCUAUACAUUUCCUCAAAAUUAGAAAAUAAAUAAAUACAUUGAGAUUUCUAGGGGAAGAUUUUUACUUCUCGAUUCGAGUAGGUAUGUCCUCAGAUGAUACAACAACUACUGGUAUCUCCUUCACGGUUGGCGAAUCCUGUUUAAAGAGGGAGAUUGGCUGGGUUAGAUAAAUUUUCUAGUUAAAGCCAUAAUUAGAAGGUAGAUGUGCUCCCGCUUAGGCUUUGACAAUUUUUUGCACAUCGCAUUAACCCAAUAUGAAUCGACAAAAAAAUAAUAGGUUUCGGCUCGACCCGUUAACAAGUCGGGUUGUUAUCGGGUUAUCUGUUAGAAACUCGACAAACAUGACCUGUUUACCAGGUCUUAUACACUCGAGUUUGAAUAGAUAACGGGUUUGACAUGAUAUGAUCAAGGAGGAAAAAAUCGAUAAUAUCUGCAAAAUAUCGCCGAUAUUAUCGUUAUUUUGAGGUUCCGAAAUUUUUUAACUAUCCAAUCUAUUUUCGUUAAAAUAUCACGAUAUUAUCGAUAAUAUCGCAAUAUUUUCAAAAUUAUCGAUAAUAUCGCGAUAUUUUAUUAAAAAAAUACUUAAAUAUGUUGAAAAAACUCAACACAUAAUUAACUUGAUCAUGGCCCAAAGGCCAAACAAGUUUUGGUUAUCUCACCAGGGGAGUGUGAGUUUUAUAGGAAAAAUUCAUUGCUCACUUCCUUGCAUGGGCGAUGUGGGACUCGCCCAAUGGGGAAAAAAUCAAAAUUUCGGCCGAAAUUUUACACCCACUUUAAACGGCCAUAACUUUGUCAAAACUCAACGAAAUCAAGCAAGACAAAAACGAAAGUUGUAGCCCUCGAAGAGACGAAGAGAAUGGUACCUCACACUAUGUCUGAAUCGUAGUGGUUUGGCCGGAAAAUGCCUCGAAAGUCACUGAGGUGGCUGAGGUCGUCGGAAACUGGGUAAGAUUCAAAUGAGUAUAACUUUUUCAAUACGCAACGAAAUUGAGUGAAACAAAAAGAAAAGUUGUAGCCCUCGAAGAGACGAAGAGAAUGGUACCUCACACAAUGUCUGAAUCGUAGUGGUUUGGCCGGAAAAUUCCUCGAAAGUCACUGAGGUCGCUGAGGUCGUCGGAAACUGGGUAAGAUUCAAAUGAGUAUAACUUUUUCAAUACGCAACGAAAUUGAGUAAAACAAAAAGGAAAGUUGUAGCCCUCGAAGAGACGAAGAGAAUGGUACCUCACACGACGUCUGACUCGUUGUGGUUUGGCCGGAAAUUGCCUCGAAAUCUACUGAGGUCGCCGGAAACUGGGUAAGAUUCAAAUGAGUAUAACUUUUUCAAUACGCAACGAAAUUGAGUGAAACAAAAAGGAAAGUUGUAGCCCUCGAAGAGACGAAGAGAUUGAUACCUUGCAAGUCAGCCAAAAUUCAAUUGACACACUCCUAGCUUCCAAAAUUCAAUACUUUUACUUUAUAUCAAGUUGAAAAAACAUAAUCGGCAUCCAAAUUAAAGUUUAAUCUUAUUUAAUGUAUUGAUUUUCAAUCGUUAAUUGAUAUACUAUAAUUUGGAACUUCAACGCCUAGACGCAUGCUUAUGUGUAAGAAAUUUAAAUUGUCAAAUUCGGCACAUUAUUCUUCAUCAUUUUAUUAACUUCCCUUUUUUUUUUUAAUAUCCUAAAUAAAACCUCCAAAUAUUGUACUAAUUAAUUAUAUAUAAAUGAUUAUGGUGUGUUUAAACUUCUUUCAUUAAUUACUACAUAUUUUCUACACUCACAAUGUUUGUCAGCUCGCUAUAUAAUCAACUUAAAUCAGUUAAAUCCAUCAUGCAAUGCAUUUCCUUCCAAUUUUUUGUGAUAAACUAAUAGAUAAUUGACUAAAUAAACAUCCUACAAAGUUUCAUUAAAAAUUUCCAAGUUUUUCUUACAAUUUCCGUGGUUUCCAUGUAAUUUUUAUCGAUAUCGAUAUUAUCCCGAUAUUUCCAUCGAUAUUUCCGUGUUUUCGGACUACCGAUAUUUCCGAUAUUACCGAUAUUUUCUUCCUUGGAUAUGAUCCGUAAAGAUAACGGGUAUGACACGAACACGACAAGCAUGACCUGUUUACCAGAUCUUAUGCACUCGAGUUUGAAUUUUACUCCCAAUUUAAUUUAGUUUAAAAGUAAAAUAUCAUCUGUAUAUUUAAAAAAAAAAUUCAUUGAAAUGGCUUUUCAAUUAUGCACUAUACAUUUCAGCAUAAAAUAGUCACAUAAUUAAUUACCUUAAUUUUUUUCAGAAGCUCAUAACCGGUCAUUCCCGGCAUAGAGUAAUCAGUGAUGAUCAUGUUAACAUUCGAAACCUGCAAGACACAUGCAUUGAAUCUCAGAGUCAAAUAAAAAAAACAAGCGGUACUUUGGUCGCCCUCUUGAAUUUUCUCUCGAUAAAUUAGAGUAAUUUAGAAUAUCACUUUGUAUGGUGCGAUUCAAGAACUAAACCACUUACAAUGUUGCCGAAGUUUUGUUGUCCAUCAGCAAGCCCCAACAGCUCCAAUGCACCAUGUGCGUUUUCUGAAGUAGUCACUGCCAUAUACAAAAGGAGAACCACAUAUUAUUACCUCCCACAACUACACAUUCAACUUAAUGAACAAAAAAAUCUUCUGAAAAACUAUAUGGCAUAUAGUAAUAUCAAAUCAUAGAGUUCCUAGUUGAUCUUAAAAUACCAAUAAUGAGUCAAGAUUAAGAUAGAUUAGGGUUCCUUCAUUGUAGCAAAAAAAGAAAGAAAAAAAAGCUUAUAUAACUAAAACUAUAUUGCAACGAACUCGUAACUUAAGUAGUUAAGAGUAUUUAGUGGUACUAAUUUGGUUGUGUAAGGCUCUUUUUUCUUAUUUUCCUUAAAAAACAAAGCUAUGACUCAUUAACCAAUCACGUAAUGGAGAAGAACUUACAUGAAAUAGGUUUACCACUAUUUAAACGUUUCAGUUUAAUAAUACAAUGACAAUAGAGAUAAACUUAUACAUAACAUUAUUGAAUCGAGAUACCAGAAAAAUGGUAGACCUAUUCCACGUAAUUUCUUCUCCUUCUAGUGACCACCAUGACCCAACAACAACGACCAAGUAACUUUUAAAGUAGCAGUACCUUUGCAUGCAGAGUUGGUGAGCAAUUUUUCAAUGAUUUUGCGGUCCACCAAACUAUCAUCGACAGCCAAAACAUGUGGCUUUUCAUCGUCUUUCCACCCCAACCCCAUUGAUGCCGUGGCACAGAAGAAGAAGAAGCAGCAGCAGCAGAAGCAAAAGCCACGAAACCUAUUGAGCCUGAUCGGAAUCUAUAUAUAACCAGAGAAGGCAUAUAAAAUCAUGAAAAAAUCAAUUUGGUCACAGAUAUCUCGUCAUCUUUUUAGGUGUUUGUGAUAUUGUUGACCCUAGAAAUUACAAAGCCUACGUGGCGCGCAGGCCGAGUAUAUUCUAAGCUAACUACGUCCUUCGGUGAUUGCGGGGCGUGCCAACUCGUCGGCCGAGGCUCGGCCGAGGAGUAAAUUUGAUGAUGCUGCGUUGGGUCGCGCUACUGACUUCUGCGUCUUGCGAUUGCGGCCGAGAAAGGAACACGUCUCGGCCUCUUGGGUUCUCGAGCCUGAAGACAAGGCUGCUAUUUCUUACAAAGUUCACGAACCGAAUUCGGCUUGCAAUGUGCCGAAUGUAAUAACUGUGACACCUCACCUCGCCGAGAAGGCUAAUGAGAUGACCUCGACCAACAAGGAUUCAAAAACCCUUCUCGACCGAGACUUGGAUAGGUAAUCGACCGUUCUCGCCGCAGUGCUGUUGAUGCCAACGGAAGAUACUGCGAGAUCGACCGACUCUACGGUGACAGAGCUGUCUAUGCCGACUUAAGAUAUCACCGGUUGCUUCCACAGUGCUGUUGAUGCCAACGGAAGAUGUGUCAGCGAAAAAGGAAAAGAAAAAGAUCUCAAGUUGUGAGAGUUUGCGCAUGGCAAUUUUGUAUUGAUUUUGUGGGCUUUUUCCAUUGCUGAAUGUCUUGUAUUUAUAGUAGCAGAACACCGAGCCCGAGUUCUAAUCCUAUUCGAACUAGGUUUCCUUCUCCGGAUUAACGUUACCUCAAUCAGUCCUAUCUCUGCUAGGACUACGAAUCUAGUCCUUAACUGAGCCGGAUUCGCCUUCUAGUUUUACUGGUCUCGUCGAGGGUCCCUAUUGUAUUAGAACUCGACUUGCACUCUGAUUUAACCGAUCUAGGCCUAGAAGCCCAUGAGCUGAACGCCCCCAUGACUUUCUCGCCGUACGUCUUCCCGGGCCGAAAGUGAUACCUCCCUCGGCCCAAACUGUUAUUUUGGGCCCAAACAUUGCCCCCUCGCUUUUGAGGUCCUCGGCCUGAAACCUUCGGCCGAGUUUCGGCCUUGAAGAAGCGAAUCUACCACUCAGGAUCCCAAUACCCGAGUUCCAAGGCGCAUUUAUUGAACAUGAUCGCACGAUCUUGAUCCUGCUAAACCACUCGCCACGUGGCAUCCCCUAACAUGGCCAAUCCCCGAUAAUGACGUCUGAAGCGUGCGCCUGCCCGAACCGUCUCGCCAUUAUGACCACUAUCUCAAUCCGCGAGCCAUUUCAUCAGUCCGUGAGCCCUCCUGUCAUCGUGCAGGCGUCGAACCGUCUUUCGUCAUUAACUUUGCCGUCACACGCGAUCGUGCGCCCCCAAAACCUAAAACCGUCGGUCUUCUCAACCGCAUUCCCCAAAUGCUCAUCAUGAUCAACGAUUCCUCCGGUCGAUUUUGCCCUUUGUUUUGAAUUUCGAACGAUUGCUCUUCCUCCCAUUACUCUAUAAAUACCGAAAUUUCCUCAUUUGUACUUUACGUUCUCAAACUUCCUGAAAUCCCCUACCCUUGCUCUCAAGUGCAUUCCUCCAUUCCAAGUUUUCGUCCUCAAAUCCCCAACCCAGAAAACCUCCUUACGCUGUGCUUUUACAAUGGCCUCCUUCAUCUCCAAGCUUUCCCGGGAAUGCGACCAGCAUCAGAAGAUCCUUGAUCGGAGCUCGAUCAAGAAUAUACGGUUCGAGAACGACAUGAGCACCGUCCACCAAAUCCUGGGUCCUCUCUUCAAGGCAACAAUCCCGCCGACCAUCACUGGUCUUCUCCAGGAACACUGCCUUACACCCUUGCUCCAAGGGUUUGAAUGGUCGAGAUGGGAGGCGGCAAAGCCCCAAGGCUCCUGGCCCUCGACGACCACCACCUGGGCGACCUGGGUUGUCCGAAUGGAACGGCUCUUCGGCGAAAAAUGGAAAAUCCUGGGUAUCUACGACGCCAUCCUCCUUUCGUCGAUGGACAUUGUCCCUGACAAGGAGCUGCUCCUAGCCGCUCUAUGCUUCUGGUGCUCAGCCACCAACACAAUGGUCCUUCCCCUUGGUCCCAUUGGUCCCACCAUCCUGGACAUCACCGCCAUUUUGGGGACCUCGGCCACCGGGAUCCCUAUCGACGCGACCCUCUCCGGGCACCCGUCGAAUAUCGAUCUGAAGACGCUCUUCGACCGUCGAGCCUUCGAGACCCUGAAUAGUGACGGUCACAUCCCGUCGAGGGAUGAAAUACAGAAGCUCCACAAGAACUUUCUCAACUACAACACCCUCUACCUUCACUUCGCCGGUCGAGGGGAAGAGGACCUGCGAGAGGGAGAGCAUGAAGCCUUCCUCUUCUACUGGUACAACAAAUACAUUUGUUGUACCAAAUCAAACAAAUGUUUGGUCGAGAAUAUGCCAGUGGCCGAAGCCCUGGCCAGUGGUCACGUCCUGGCGCUGAGUUCUAAUAUUCUUGCCCACCUCUUCCGUUGCCUGGCCGAGGCGACUCUCCACACGGUGGACCCCCACCAGAAUGGCCCUCUCUGGGUCUUCCAGCUCUGGUUGCAGGUGUACUUCGCCUCCCUUCGGCCGGCUAUAGCUGAUUUCUCAGCAACAGAGGCUCUUGGUCCUCAGCUAGCCUCCCGACCAACGCCUCCUCAUCAGGCCGAAGAGGUAUUUAGGUACCUCUUUGCCCUUGACGAUCUCUCAAGCGACGAAUUCCUGAUUUGUCGUCGUCGCGAUUACCCCCCCUCCAUCAGACUGCCUACCUCGACGUGGGCGGCAGAGGAGGACGCUGCUCUUCGCCGAACCUGGGGGUCGUUCGUGCUUGCUCGCGACCUUCCUCUCGGCUGCGACGGGAAACGGUCGGGGUGGGAAGUGUACCAUCCGAACUUCCUUGCCCGUCAGCUCGGCUAUCUUCAGGGCUGUCCCGUCCCCCUUCUCUCUUCCCGCACAGUAUUGAGCCGCGGACGCGAGCCUCGCUCUUCAGAGAACGAGUGCAGGACUGCCGCGAAGGAGUUUCAAGAGUACUGCCAAAGAUUUCGCCUACGACCGGCCACCCCAGAAACCCAUUGCACUGACACCUUCGGUGAGUGGUGGGAAAAUUACACUCAAGAGUUCUUCGGUGCGCCGGUCGAGGAUGUACUAAGCAGGCUCUUCGGUAACCGACCUAAGAAAGCCCCGGCCCCCCACUCUCAAGGUAGUUGUUCAAUUCCCCCUUUUUCUUCAACCUUGCCUAUUGUACGCCUUACUGAAUUGUCUUUAUACUUUUAGGUAGUCGGCCUUUGAGAAAGACAGAGGUAGUUGCCGCUGCUAUGGCCGGGAAAAAAUCGGUCGUGGCCAAAAAGGACAAACCUGCUGGUAGGGCCGGGCUGAUCAAACGGCCUCGCCAAGAGGCCGGGCCGGCUAUCGAGCCUUCCCCGCCUGCCAAGCGGGUCAAGCAACUGGCGAAGAAAGGUGCACGGGAGAUCCACGUUAUUUCCAGCCACACGACGACUCCCAGUGCUUCCCCUUCUCCCGCCGCCGGCCAUUCUGGGGUCAAGAAACAGCCGGCUUCGGCCAUAGAGACGGUCCCAGCGCGGUCUGCUUCUGUGGCCGGCGAAUCAGUCGUACCUCCCUCUGUCGAGAAGGCACCUGUCUCACACCAGGCGGUUCCUACGACCGAGGAAACCUCUCCCAAGAAUCCAAAGCCCACGGUCUUCGUGCUGGAAGAGAGUGAGGGGAGCGACGAGGUCCCGCUGGCGCGUCGUCCUCCUACUCGUCAACGAACUCCUCCAGUAUCCGAGAUGGCGGUUUAACCCGGCCCCUCCUAGGCUAAUCGUGGCAAGCGCACGGUCGAGGAACCGACCCCGGCGGCCGAACCUCUCGUUCCUUCUCAAGACCAGGACGUCCCUGCCUCCACUGAAGCAGCUGCGCCAGUCGGCCCAUCGGCAGCCGACCGUGGCAAACGCCUGCUCGAGGAACCCGAGGCCACGGCGGAAUCGCCGAUCCAUCCUCAAGACCACGGCUUCCACAUCCCUCCACAAGAGGUUACCUCGGCUUUUGUAAGUACCUUCAAUUUUCCUCCUGAUUGCUUUUCUGCUUUAGAAUUCUAAACAAGGAAAAACUAAAUGUCAGGUGCCUGUACAUUCUUUUCACCGUUAAUUCUAUGCGCCGAAGGGCGUUAUCUAUAUUUCCUGGCCGCCUCAGUGGCCAUCAAACGUAGAUAACCUCCAUCGGCCUCGUGAAGUGAGAAGCAAUCUGAGACACUGGGCUCGGCCAUUGAGUUCUUUAGGUUCGAGCAACGACCCUGGGGACAUGGCCGAGGUCUCCUCUCAGCAGGUUAAAAAAACGACACCUUCUUGCUAUUCUUGUCAUGACUUCCUUUAAGCUUAACCUUGUUUAUUCGUGCAGGCUUCAUGGGAGGUUGAAUUCAAAGCUCUCCUCUCCAGUACGACUGCAGAGUCCGGCCCUUCGGCCGCUCCAACUGAGGCUGCCGAUCCAAGCGCCCUAACCCAGUUGCGAGAAGUCCUGUCGCUCUCUUCAUCGCAAGUACUUGAGCGCAACGGUCUUGAUCUGCUCGGCGUGUGUCUGAACGACCUUGGGGCCGACGGUCGCCUAAGCGGAGAUGCCAUUGUUCGGGCAUCGUCUGCUUUGGAGCGCGUUCGGGAGACAUUUGGCAUCUUCCAGACUGCUCUGAAGGCCGAACAGGACCUGCAAGCCGCCACGGCCGUUCAAGACACCCUCCGUCCGAAGAUUGACGAUCUACGGGCAAAAGGAGAAGCGUUAGCCGAGCUCGACCGUCAGAUGGCCGAACUAGCAAAAUGCCGGUCGGUCAUUGCUUCUGAACUUGCGAGGGACUUCGAGUCAGGCGGGAAUGAUCACCUAACUGAGUAUGCGGCGGCCAAAAAACGGGUCGAGCGCCUGAGGCUAGACAAAAAGAAUCGGCAAGCCGAAAUCAUCAUGGCCGACGUGCGGUGGUUGGAAUUGAAAGCUCUGCUCAGCACUCUUCUUCCCUCGUCUCCUUGAAUGUAUUAGACCUACUCAUUUUUGUAAUACCUGUCAAUUUUAAUGGAAUGACUUUUCCUACAACAAACUUUUUAUUCACGCAUUUCCCAUGUGACCGGAUAGUAUUUCUUCAAGAACUUCCCAUUAAUUGGUAAUUUGUGAACUACUCCAGUCCGGUCUUUAAGAUGAUACGCCCCUUUACCGUAUACCUUAUGCACAAUGAACGGCCCUUCCCAAUUCGGCGACCACUUGCCGAACCUUGGAUCUUUUAUUCCUACGGGCAACACCGUUUGCCACACCAAUUCACCCUCGCCGAACGUUUUCUGUCGUACCUUUUGGUUAUAGGCUCGCUCGGCAAUCUGUUUCUGUGCCACCAGUAAGUUAUAAGCGUCAAGUCGCGCUUCUUCCAAAUCUUCUAGUUCCUGUCUCAUGGACUGAUUAUAUUCGGCGCUAAACAAACUACUUUGUUCAAUUAAUCGCAACGAAUUUAUGCUCAACUCGACUGGUAGCACCGCAUCGUGUCCGUAAGUCAAUGCGUACGGGGUUGUUGCAGUCGCCGAUCGGGACGACGUUCGGUAUGCCCAUAAUGCCUCGUUCAACUUCAAAUGCCACAUGCCAUGCCUCUCUUUUAUUAUUUUUUCGAGGAUGCCAAUCAACACUUUAUUACUUGCCUCGGCCUGCCCAUUCGCCUGUGGAUAAUACGGUGUGGACUGUUCCAGCCGAAUUUUUCAAAUUGGCCGUGUAUUCCUUAAACCUUUCGGCUGUGAAGAUUGUUCCAUUGUCGGUUAUGAUCGUUUCUGGCACACCGAACCGGGUCACAAUGUGUUCCUCCAUGAAAUCGCAAACUUCUUUAGACGUUAAUUCGGCAUAUGAUUUUGCUUCGACCCACUUAGUAAAGUAAUCAGUUGCGACUAUUAUCCAUGCAUGCUUAGCAGCUCCAGAAGUCGGCGUGAUUUUGCCGAUUACGUCCAUGGCCCAUCCUCUAAACGGCCACGGCUUAAUGACCGAAUGUAGCGAUUCGGCCGGGACCCUUUGUAUAGGCCCAUGGAUUUGGCACUGCACGCAUCCUCGUGCAAACUCGAUACAAUCUUUCAGUAUUCUCGGCCAAAAAUAACCGUGUCGUCGGAGUAGCCAUCGCAUUUUUCGUCCAGACUGGUGAGCUCCGCAUACCCCUUCAUGAACCUCUGCGAUCGCUCGAGCACUCUCUUGAGGGCCGAGGCAUAGCAAUAACAAACCAUCUUCGCCCUUUCGGUACAACUCGCUCUGGUACGUGACAUAGUUCGUGGCGUGAGCCCGUGUCCUGCGACUGUGUUUUCCGUUAGGAUUGUCAAGGUACUGCAUAAUGGGCUUUCUCCAAUCAUCUGGUACUGCCUCGGCCGCGCAAAUUUCUAUAGAGUCCUGGUCCUGCCGAUCCAACAACGAAGGCAAGGACAUGACCCUGGUGCGUAUCACAUUGUCUCGACGGAGGAUUUGCUGAUCAACCAAGGCCGGGUAUAAUUGUUGUAAUAUUGGUAUCUCCCGGCCUAGCUUGCCCCCCAGGAGUUGUGCACCGGAGGCGAUUUGAGCCAACUCGUCUGCGUCGGUAUUAUGAACCCGAGAAAAAUAUGCUCGAAUGUAAUGCCGUCAAAGGACUCGGCCAAAUAGCUGGCGAUCAUGUGGUAAGGCGCCAGAGUACAACUCAUGCAGCGAAAAGACCCAUUAAUUUGGUUAAUUACUAGUUCAGAAUCCCCGAGGACGAGGACACGAGUGGCAUGUAGGUCAAGAAGGAGGCCUAGACCAAUGACCAGAGCCUCGUACUCGGCCUGAUUAUUGGUACAGUCAAAAUCCAAUUUGAGCGAAAAAUACCAACGAUCGUUGUGAGGAGACUGAAUGACGAUGCCUGCACCGGCCGAGGACGAAGUACUGGAACCAUCGAAAUACAUCGUCCAAUAGUUGUCGCGGGUCACCACCAUGCCAAUCUCAACAUCAGCACCCCCGAAAUCGUAAGGCGAAGGGUGCUGGGCAAGGAAAUCGGCCAACGCCUGUCCCUUCACAGCUUUUUGCGGCACGUAUUGCAAACUAAACUCGGACAACGCCAUCGUCCAUUUCCCAAUUCGGCCCUUCACAAUUGGCCGGGUAAGCAUGUACCGGAUAACGUCGGUCUGGGCAAUGACUUGGGUGACCGACGGGAGCAUGUAAUGCCGAAGCUUGGAUGCAGCGAAGAACACGGCGAGACAGAGCUUCUCAACGGCGGAAUAAUUGAUCUCCGGAGGACUCAGAUUACGGCUGAGGUAGAAGAUAGCCUGUUCCCGGCCGGCAUCAUUGUCUUGCGCGAGGAGGCAACCGAUGGACUCGGCGGCCGCCGAAAUGUACAGCUUGAGAGGCUUACCGCGCUGAGGAGGGACCAGGACAGGUGGGUUUGUAAGGGAAACCUUGAUCUGCGUGAACGCCGCCUGAUGCUCCUCAUUCCACAUGAACUUAUCGGAGUCCUUGAGCUUCAAAAGUGUGGAAGAGGCUUUCAUUUUACCUGCCGAAUUAGCAAUAAAUCGGCGUAAAAAAUUGAUCUGGCCGAGUAAGGACUGUAAUUGUUUCUUCGUUGUUGGGGGUGGGGCGGUGAUGAUUGCGCGUGCCUUGUUCUCAUCGACUUCAAUCCCACGAUGAUGUACGAGGAAACCAAGAAAAUUCCCGGCCGAUACACCGAAGGCACACUUGGCAGGAUUCAUCUUGAGGUUGUGCUGACGCAUACGGAGAAAAGCCUGUCGGAGAUCGUCCAGAUGUGUCUGUCGGCGUUUAGAUUUGACGACAACAUCGUCGAUAUAAACUUCGACGAUGGUGCCAAUUAAAUCAUGGAAGAUGGUGUUCAUCGCCCGUUGGUACGUGGCGCCGGCAUUCUUGAGGCCGAAUGGCAUGACAACCCAUUCGUAAGUGCCGAGUGCCCCCGGGCACCGGAAAGCAGUUUUGUGCACAUCGGCUUCGGCAAUAAAUAUUUGGUUAUAUCCGGCAUGUCCAUCCAUAAAAGAUAAGAUCGCAUGAUUCGCCGCGGCAUCGAUUAACAGAUCUGAAAUCGGCAUUGUAUACUCAUCUUUGGGCGUUGCCAGAUUCAGAUUGCGAAAAUCGGUACAGAUGCGCAGUGCACCACUUUUCUUUAAUACAUGAACAAUAUUCGCCAACCAUUCGACAUAUCGAGCUGUCCGAAUGAACCCGGCUUUCAAAAGCCGAACUAAUUCGUCCUUAACACUGAGUUGUACUUCGGUCGAGAAUCGACGAGGUGGCUGACGGAAAGCUUGAAUCCGGGCUUAAUACGUAAUUCAUGCUCGACCAAAGCACGAUCUAAGCCGGGCAUUUCAUGAUAACUCCAAGCAAAACAAUCUUUGAAUUCUGUAAGCAAGGCCCGCAACUCGUCCUUCAUUUGUUGAGGAAGUAACGCACUAAUAAACAAAAGUCGUGGGUCAUCGGCCGUCCCAACAUUAAUCUCUUCCAAAGGGUCCUUAACAAGGGGCCGAUGAUCUUCGAGCUCGACCGGGGCGGCUCGAAUUUUAUCAAAAGAUAAUACAGGCCCAUUAUCUCCCUCAGCAAGGAACUCGACGAGGUUGACACCCGAAUUUGGUUGUUUGGAUAUCGUAUACCAAUGGGCCAGCAGUCGUUCCAUAGUAGAUGAAACCGCGGCCCUACGUGCUUCCCGAUCGGCGUCAAACAUCGGUUUCGGGGAGAAAGUUAGCUAAUCCGAGUCUCGCCGAAUCCUGCUGGACAGUCUCGGCGCCAACCUCGAUAGCUUUCUGAACGGAAAUCCGAGUCGGCCGUCCUUCUUCAUUGAAGCCUUGCAACGUAAUAUAGCCGACGUGAUCGUCAUAAUACCGUGCUUGAAUCAUGUUGGCUUCGAAGGGCUGGCUAUCGGCCGGAUGAACAGUGACCGAUUUGCCGUCCCAAAAGACAAGCACUUGGUACAAUGAGGAAGGAAUACAGCUGGUUUGAUGAAUCCAAUCUCGGCCGAGCAGUGCAUUAUACUCGGUUUUGGAAUCAACCACAAAAAAGGCGGUCAUAUGGGUACGACCGGCAAUAUUCACAGUUAACGGAAGCACACCUUUGGUGUGGGACUUGUCGCCGACAAAACUGCUCAUUGUGAUCCCUGACGGAAUAAGUUCGUCAUUGGAACGGCGUAAGGCCUUCAUGAUGUUCAGGGGCAUGAUAUUGACAGUAGCUCCACAAUCGACAAAAACCUUAGAAACCGGAUAUCCCUCGAUGUGUGCCGUUACAUACAAUGGCUUUAAAUGGUGAAGCUUGGCCGAUGAUAAACGAGGGAACAAUUCGGCCAAAGCGGCCUUUAGGCUAUCAUCUCUUGCUGUUGACUCGCCUUCAGCAAUCGAUAUAAAAUCAACAUGGCCAGGUUCCUCGACAACCACAUCUCCAUCGAGGAAAUUUGGUUGAGCCGUGCUUGAUUGAAAAUCGGCAGGUAAUACAUGAACCAUACUAAUUUCCAUAUUAUCCAGGACGGACGGGCCCAUCUGGUCGAGACCCUCCUCGUUCGGUUGGUUAGCGACUACAGACUUGGUUGUCGUCAGAGUCGGACAACGAGAUUCUUCCGUCCCUUCAACAAUGUCACCCGGCGGAGCUGCUUCGGCCACUUGUUGGCUCCGCAUGACCGCCUCAGGUAAGGUCGAGAUUGACAAUGAGCUUGGGGUCAAGUCCUAAACCUGCUCCUGGUAGUGUAGCCGAGCAUCCCUAGUGUCGAGAUAAGCAUCAAGACGGGCAAUACGGGCGAUUUCAUCGGUCGUAAGGCCGAAGAGAGAAACUGCCGAAAAUACUUCAAAGUGAUACCGUAAAUACUGAAGGUCCUCUAGCGAGAAAGGAAGGUCAGCGACAUCGAUAUCGGUAUACGGGUCAACUUCAAAUCCAAAGACACGAGCUUCUCGAGCUAUGUGCUGAUGUGCUGGUGCUGGAACCUUGCUUUCAAUCCUGGAUCUGAGGUCUUCUGGAUGAUCCGCUCAGCAUCCGGACAAGCCAAGACAAGAUCAAUGGUGUCCUGACAUGCCUUCGGGCAAACCAUACAAAUCGUUGGCCGAAUGUUCCUUAUGAAAUUCUCGCAUAUAUUCCAAAGACUCCCCAUGGAACGGGGGGUGCAAAUUCCGUCGAAUUUUGACCAAAGGCUCUUGUAUAGCUAUCGGGGAUAGUUUGCUUUCGGCCUUUUGCCUGAAAUGUUCAACACGUGCCUUCAUUUCCCCUGGUCGAAUGAGAAGUUUGAUCCGCUUAUCAGCUUCUUCAAACAUGGUCUCGACGUCUUGAUCGACCAGCCGUUUCCCCUGAGCCAACUCUGUCAUAAUUGGUGGAGGUGGUCGAUUUUCAUUAGUGGCAACUGUAUCCUUCGGUCGCCACUUAGGGGCCGAAGUUUCUUGGGCUGCUUGUCGGCGAGCCAUGCAAUCCAUCCGUUGAUGCCGGCGUUUCUGAGAUUUGGACAACGCGGUAUAGACGCCCUUCGAAGAAUGGUACGUAUACCAACGUUGAUCUCUAGGCUCAGGAGGCUUGAAGGUCUUUUGACUCCGUGAUGAUCCUGAACUGCUAGAAUUACGCUUAUAGUAAUCAUCGUCAUAAAAUGAAGCAUCAAAAUCGAGGCGCCGCCUGACCGGGGGUGUCUCUUCCAUCCGUACUUUAGGACCGAGCCUCCCAAAAACCCCAUGAUGUUGGUCUUCAUUGGCUAUCUUUUGCCGAGUUACGGCCACGGGUUGCGAAGAAGGUUUCUCUUCUGGUUCACUGUCGACCUUCGCUUUACAUUUCCUGCACAGAACCGCUGUCCCACUAUCUUCAUCGGCGCUAUACUCCGUCAAAGAUUUGACAAUAGCGGGCCCCGUUAAGGCCGCAGAUGGUUUAUUUGAACGCGAAUCGGCCAUGAACCGUGGCCGAACAUUCUGAUUCUGCGGGCGUUGUGUCUCAACCACUUCAGCCUUGCCUUUCCCUUUGUCCUUGGGUAGGUACGCGUCGACCAUAUUUACUGUUGCCGUGGGGAACGGAUCAGUAUCAACACUCAUCCUCUUCUCGGGGAACUUCAGUUUGCCAUUAUCAAUCCAGCUUUGGACGUUAUCACGAAAUACGACGCAAUUGUUUGUCGUGUGUUUGCUCGAAUUGUGGUAUUUGCAAUACACCUUUCCUUUAAGCUCCUCGGCCUUGGGAAUGUUAUGACCAGGCCGAAGCUUAAUGAUUCUUGCUGAUAACAGUUGGUCAAAAAUUGCGUCAGCCUUGGUAAUAUCAAAAGUAUAAACCUUUGACGGUUUCGAUGUUCCUUCAGUGGCCGAGCGACUUUUGGCUUCUCUAGAAUCAACCUGAGUUAAUGCCUUGCAAAUGUAUGGUUUAUCUAUUACUAUCUCAGCCGCAUCCACACUAACACAUUCAUCCUCGGUUGAUGCAUAAUUGACAGUAGGGUUCUUGUAAAUCGUUCCCCGAGUUGGAGUCUUCGAAGUCUUUUCCUCGCGGAGCAAAUAAUCGUACUGCUCGACAUGUUGGGCCAAUUCGUACAUAUCCCGAAAAUUUGCCCCCAAGAAUUUCUUUUUGUAUUCGACGUCAAGACCAUUCAAAGCAAGCCUGACAAAUUCGACUUCGGGUAAGGGCACUCGGCACCAAUUCCUAGCCGAUUUAAACCUAGUAAGAUAAUCCAUUGGUGACUCAUCAGACGCUUGAGCCAUCCGUGCUAAUGAAGAAACUGACAUCUCCAUCCCCGGCCGAUAAAAUUGCUCGUGGAACUUCUCGACCAACUCCUCCCAGUUUUGGACGGAAUUAGGCGGGAGAUUGAUGUACCAGGCAAAUGCCGAGCCGGUCAAUGAAAAAUUGAACAGCCGUAACUUGUGGAAAUCACUAUUCACAUCUCCACAUUGCGCGGUGAAACGAGCCACGUGCUCCAACGAAGACAGGGACGAUUCACCAGCAAAAAGACUAAAAUCUGGGAUCUUGAAGCCCUUCGGGUAUCCAAACGUCUCCACGUAAGCUGGGUACGGAUGAAUAAACUUGGGAAACUUCGGCCCUUUCUUCAUAGCCGAGUCGAUCAUCCGCUGAACUUCGGUCAUAUCAACAGAUGCUGCUUCGACCCUUUGGUCGGUCCCGUCUGACCUACUGUUCGACCCUCAUCCCUUCUCCAAGUUAAUUGUUUUGAGCGGGGCAAGAAUAGGCCCGGCCGGUACAAUCGGUGCCGGGUUGUUUUCUGGUAAGCAAGUUUGGCGAAGAUCGAAAGGCCUGCUGCCACCAACUUGGCUAACCAGCAUUUCGAGCAGUUUGGUUUGCCGAUCAUUGGCACUGAGUAUCGCGUCCUGCAGCUUGUCAAUGCCUCGACUGAACGUCUGCUCGACUGACCGAGACUGCUCGUCCAGUCGCUUUCGGAGGAACGACCUCGUUGGUGGGUCUGUUCCUUCACCACCAUCCUCAUCACAUUCCUCUAUUAUCCCUUCAUUGAGAACGCAUGUGUUUCUGUUUGGGAUCUCUAAACCACGGAGUUGACCGCCGAGAUUAAGUUCUCUCUCUCGGCGAGUCGCGCUCGUGGACUCAGGUGUACCAACGCUAAGGGGAUUCUGCGCCUGUGGCACACUCUGUCCUAUGCUCUGACUCGGUAAAUCGGCUGUCGACUUUCCCAUAGCUGUUUUCUUUUUUACCGAUCGUGUUUCAAUUGGCAUGAACUUCGUAGUUUAGCACUGGGUCCCACUGGGCGUGCCAAAAUGUUGACCCUAGAAAUUACAAAGCCUACGUGGCGCGCAGGCCGAGUAUAUUCUAAGCUAACUACGUCCUUCGGUGAUUGCGGGGCGUGCCAACUCGUCGGCCGAGGCUCGGCCGAGGAGUAAAUUUGAUGAUGCUGCGUUGGGUCGCGCUACUGACUUCUGCGUCUUGCGAUUGCGGCCGAGAAAGGAACACGUCUCGGCCUCUUGGGUUCUCGAGCCUGAAGACAAGGCUGCUAUUUCUUACAAAGUUCACGAACCGAAUUCGGCUUGCAAUGUGCCGAAUGUAAUAACUGUGACACCUCACCUCGCCGAGAAGGCUAAUGAGAUGACCUCGACCAACAAGGAUUCGAAAACCCUUCUCGACCGAGACUUGGAUAGGUAAUCGACCGUUCUCGCCGCAGUGCUGUUGAUGCCAACGGAAGAUACUGCGAGAUCGACCGACUCUACGGUGACAGAGCUGUCUAUGCCGACUUAAGAUAUCACCGGUUGCUUCCACAGUGCUGUUGAUGCCAACGGAAGAUGUGUCAGCGAAAAAGGAAAAGAAAAAGAUCUCAAGUUGUGAGAGUUUGCGCAGGGCAAUUUUGUAUUGAUUUUGUGGGCUUUUUCCAUUGCUGAAUGUCUUGUAUUUAUAGUAGCAGAACACCGAGCCCGAGUUCUAAUCCUAUUCGAACUAGGUUUCCUUCUCCGGAUUAACGUUACCUCAAUCAGUCCUAUCUCUGCUAGGACUACGAAUCUAGUCCUUAACUGAGCCGGAUUCGCCUUCUAGUUUUACUGGUCUCGUCGAGGGUCCCUAUUGUAUUAGGACUCGACUUGCACUCUGAUUUAACCGAUCUAGGCCUAGAAGCCCAUGAGCUGAACGCCCCCAUGACUUUCUCGCCGUACGUCUUCCCGGGCCGAAAGUGAUACCUCCCUCGGCCCAAACUGUUAUUUUGGGCCCAAACAAAUAUAUAUGAUCAUAUAUGAACAUAUGAUUUGAUAUUAUUGGGUACUAGCUGGAAACAUUCCUCUGAUCUCCAAAAAUUUUGAUUCUAAUAUUAUUUGAUCCUCUUCUUUAUUUAAGUUUUUCUUUGAUAUGUUAAUUCUAAUCUUUUGAGAUCAACUCUUAGAGAUUGAUGAUAAUCCAGUCCAGCUCAUCAGGAUUUUUUGGUUUGUCUAAUUAAUCAUAGUUAUACAAAAUAAGUAUAUGCGAUCUAAAAGGAUACUGAAAGAUAUAUAGCACCAUAAUGAAUGGAAGAAUGCCCUCAUACAUGUACUAAUUAAGUAAUUACCAAUGUGGAUAACCAACAGUCCAUUUGAAUUUGAGCAUUUGGUUAACCAAAAGAGCCGUUGGUCUCUGUUUUCUUGGCCGUGGGCGGCACACCUACAUGGGUGGGGUUGCACUUUGCAUCAUUGAUGGUGGGUUGUAGCGUGUUCCUCAUGUGGCGUGCGUGAAUUUGGGCACUUGCCGUCCAAUUUCCUUUCUUCCAUCUUGCUUAUAAAUAAAAAAAAUAUUACUAAACUAAAAUAGUCAAAAUUACGGACACAUACAUAAUCGAGGACUAUUUUUUUUUGAAAAGCCUAUUACAUAUAGGCAGAUAAUAGUCUUCCCCUUUUUUUGGUAAAAAAAAGAAAAAAAAAAGAACACCAAGAAAUCCAAUAGACAGGUCAGAGCUCACCCAAACCAAAAAGGAGGAAGAUUCUUUCCUUUCUUAAUCUCUCUCUUUUCAUCCAUUUCUAUUUGAACGAUUAUGAUUUAACCACGUUAAUAUUUUAUAUUAAUUUUUAUAUAAAGAUAAUAAAACAAAAAAUAAUAUGUAAAAGAAGAAUAGGGAAAAAGAUGAGAAUAAAAUAAGAGAUAAUCAUUUUCCAACCAAAAAGCCCAUAACGAAACCGUCGGGUCAUCGUAUCACAUCACUGUCCUAAUAGGAAUACUCUCACUCCUCCCUUUCUCUCUCCUCACUUUCUCUCUCUAAAUACAAAUUUCUAUACAUGGAGUACAAAAGGAGACGACUUGUGUUAAGCGGCGUGUCUUCAAGUGUCGUGCAUGCAUUUUGUGCAUCUGUUGCUUUGCAUGCACUCUCUCUCUCUCUCUCUCCCUCCCUCUUCCCUCCCUCUCUCUCUCUCUUAAAUGCACGUUUUCUCUCCUGGUCUUACCCACACAGACCCCCAAAAACCCCACUCCCCACUAAUUACGUUCGUGAACGGUAAAACCCGGCUGACUGAGUUUUGACUCGUUUCUUCUUCAUCAGCUCACUGUAUCGAGCUCGCCGCCGCAGCCUCCGCCGUGGCUGGUUGGUUUCCAGAGUGGGUUUCUGCUCUGUUCUUGGAUGACUAGUCGUUUUCGAGAUUUGGGUUUCGAUUUGGGUAAAACAAGGUUUGUUCUUUGCUAUUUUUUUUUAAUUACGUUUUUGUUUAAUAGUUGCCCAAAUCUCAAAUGUUGUGUAUGAUUGUGUUUAAUGCUGGGGUUUCUGUUUAAAUUUCUAUCUUUUGAUCGAAAGAGCUUUAGGGAUUUGGGUUUGAUUGCUCUGUUUUGUUUGAUUUAAGGGUUUGGAGAGCUUGAAUUUGGGGCGAUGGAGUCCAAGAUUUGCAUGAAUCCUUCGUGUAGGAUGGCCAAUACGCACGAAUGGAAGACAGGUUGGCCUUUGCGAUCCGGUGGUUUUGCCCAUCUCUGCUACAAGUGCGGGUAAAUUUUUUCCCUCUUUUUAAUUUUUGCUUAGCAAAGUUUUGAUCUUUCAGCUGUUCAGUUGUUGGUAGUAGGGUGUUGCGAGGGCAUUAUGGGAAUAUGGGUUGUGGUUCUUUACGUGGGAUUUUAUGUGUAUUGUGGGUUAGGACUUAUUGCAUUGUUCAUGAACUGCUUCUAUUUUUAUCGUCGGCCAUGAAGGAAUGAGCGGAAUUGUCGACGAUCAACAUAUAAUCGGGUUAUAAUUAAAAUCCUUACUAGAAAUACUAAAAAGCUAGUAGCUUUUAAUUUAUUUGAUGUAAAGGAGAAAUUGCAAGAACAAGAAAAUUGUUUACCUUUUUAUUGCCUUAAAGAGUAUCUUUGAUAGUGUGCUGAGUUUUUGCUAUCCUUGUGGUCCGGCUAAUUUAUGUAUGAAUAAGAAAAUUGUGAAAUUAUUUAUUCCCAAGUAAUUGGAGCCGAAAUUAUAUCAGCUAACCUUUGUAGAACCUAACUAUAGCCAUAUUCAUCUUAAUGUAGUAGGCAGGAGUGCUUAUGUUUUCCUAUCAGUUGCUGUUGUUUCAAAUGUUCCAAUAUUUUGCAUUUUAUAUUACUUGCAAUUGUAUUUUAUCGUUUUAUGCGGAUUGAAAGCUUAACGGGAACAGAUGACUUCACUCUCUUUUGAACUGGAUAUUAGUCUUUCAGAAGUCACUUGAUAUCAGACGUUAGUAUCGUGGAAAGAAUUAUCCUCUUUUAGUUUGUUUGUUUGCUCCCAAUAUCUGACACUUUAUGUUGUAAACAUGCCAUAUCAUUAUGGUUGGUUCUUUUUUUUUUUGUAUUCUUAUAAAUACUUACAUAUUUCCCCUGUUGGUUUAAAUAUAUUUCCGUUGCUUGGUCAUGGCAUUGCGUGUACUCCAGAGUUGAGUAUGAGAAUUCAGUUUACUGCAAUACAUUCCAUUCUGGGGAAACUGGUUGGAGGGACUGCAAUUUGUGCCACAAGGUUAGCUUGCAGUUUGGUCAUGUAAAAAAAUAGUAUUCAAGCUCUCUUCACACCACUCCGUUACUCUCUCUGACUUUACUUUAGAAAAUUAUUCAAUUUUGUGCAGCCUCUCCACUGUGGAUGCAUAGUCUCAGAGACAUUGUAUGAGUGCCUGGAUUUUGGAGGUAUAGGGUGCAUUGGCUGUGCUUCUCAACCUCACGUGGUAUGAACAAUUAGGUUUUUGGUUAUUAUAUACCCAUUAUAAGUCACUAUCUUUAUCUCCACCGUAUCCUUUGUUUGCAUUAAACUCUCCCAUCUGCUUCCAUGGUUGAUAGUUAACUUCAUUCUUUAGAACAUAGAUUAUAUACGUACAUAUAUGUAUCUUAUUUCAUACUUACGUAAAUUCAUAACAUUGAUUCGUCUGUUUUCACUUGCUCAAUGGCAAACCUAUUCAAGUAGAUGGAAAAAUAUUAUGGUUGACAUACUGUGAAGUGCUCACAGGUUCCCAAUAGUAUUUUUAGAUAUCCUCUAUCGGUAAUCAAUGUAUACGUAAGCAAUUGGUCUUUAUCUGUCACAAUGUAUCCGUCUCCAUUUCUCACUCUAGCUCACAUACACACAAAGAUGACCUAUAGGAAUUUCAUGGAUUCUUAUUUUCUUAUGUGCAGAUUCAGGAUGGUGAUGUUUUAAAUGGAUUUGGUGGAUUGAAAAUAAGUGAUUUCGGUGAUCACCAAUCAACUGUUCCUCAGAAUGGAGCAUUAAGUGAUACUGCUAAUGAGGGAGAACUUUUGCAAUUGUGCCAAGUCAUGGAAGCUAAUGAAUCCAACCUUUCGUCUCAAUCUCAGAGAGGUGAAAUAAAUGUAUCUCCUGUGCAAACCAAACGAGAAGAAGUUACUUAUCCAAGGGGGGAAGUUGGCCCAGGAUUUUCUAGUAUCACUAGGCCAUCUUUUGGAUCAUUAACAUUUGCCAAACCAGACAAUGGUAGAAUAAUGAUAGAGGUCAAAGAUAUGAAUAAGUCGUCCUCUGAGCCGUCUUUGAGUAUGACUUUGGGAGGCCCAUCUGCUACUCCAAACUUUGCUCAACCCUUUACUGGGGGAAUUUUGGAGAGAAGAGAUCAGAGCAAGAUGUCUUCUUCCUUCCAACAGGGGCAAAAAAUUCGGCCUAUUUUUCCCAGACCCUUGAGACCUCCCCCUCCUAUCCAUAAUGUGCGUGUUGCAAGGCCACCUGCUGAAGGGCGAGGGAAGAGUCAGUUACUUCCUCGAUACUGGCCAAGGAUUACUGACCAAGAGCUGCAGAAAUUAGCUGGAGAGUAUCCUUAAUUGCUUUUAUAUUUCUAUUUGGUGCAGAACAUUUCUUAGUUAGUAAAUAUAUGCUAUGAUUAUCUGUCAAUUUGAAUGUAGUAUUUUCCUUAAAUGUUUUUCAGUUUGAAUUCUACUAUUGUGCCACUGUUCGAGAAGGUAUUGAGUGCCAGUGAUGCAGGUCGAAUUGGUCGUCUGGUUCUCCCAAAAGCAUGUGCUGAGGUAAAAAUUAACAAGUUAAUUUCUUUGAAGGCAUUUUAUGAAUUCAAGAUUAUGUUAUUUAUUAGUUUCGGGAAGUUUAGGUGGGGAUUAAUUUUUUUUCGUUUGCUUUCCUUACAUUUCCCCAUGUUUGUGUAUGUGUUCUUUCCCCUUUGCCACAUUUGUAUGAACUGGAAGUGAAUGCAGGCAUACUUUCCUCCUAUUUCUCAAUCAGAAGGCCUUCCUAUAAGGAUUCAAGAUGUCAAGGGUAAUGAAUGGACGUUUCAGUUCAGAUUUUGGCCAAAUAAUAAUAGCAGGAUGUAUGUUUUAGAAGGAGUAACGCCUUGCAUACAGUCUAUGGAACUUCAAGCUGGUGAUACUGGUAUGCUUAUCUAUAUUCUGGCUUAGAGGAAAGAUAAAAAGUCCACAUAUUUUCAUCUUUCCAGUUAUUUCAUUAGCUUUCUCAUUCCUUUCGUCAUAGAAAAAGACAGCUGAAGUCUAGAUUUGGAUGUGAUUCUUUUUGUUGCAGUGACAUUCAGUCGGAUAGACCCCGGAGGCAGACUUGUAAUUGGGUUUCGUAAGGCAUCAAGAUGUUUAGAUGUGCAGGUCAAGUGUCAUAAUUUCAUUUUUCUUGAAAUUCUUCACCCUCUUACUUUCAUACUGUGUUUGUGUUCUUUUGUUCUGAUGGAAUCUGACAUUUCUACACAAAUGUUAAAUAAUUAGGAAUCCCAAACAUCUUUCCUUCCCAAUGGAACUCCUGGGGAAACUUCCUGUCCUAGCGUUGUUGAGAAUCUGGUAACAGGAAGUGGUCACUCUAGUAUUUAUCAAAUGAGUACAGGAAGCAAAGACCUAAAUGCUCUAUCAGGACAUUUGCAUUUGGCUGAUGGGGAUACAAGUUUGCAUAGUAAUGAGAACCAUAGUCACUUUACAAGUGAGGAUCUGCAGCAGAAGCCUGUGUCGAAUUCUGACAAGAAGAGGGCCCGAAAUAUUGGGCCUAAAAGUAAGAGGUUGCUCUUGCAUAGUGAAGAUGUUCUGGAGCUGAGACUGACAUGGGAAGAAGCACAGGACUUGCUUCGUCCACCCCUGAGUGUCAAACCAAGCAUUGUCACUAUAGAAGAUCAUGAAUUCGAAGAGUAUGAUGUAAGUAUGUCAUAGUCAGUGUCCCUCUUGCUAUAUGAAGUCAUGUGUGUUAAGAUUCUUUGACAGAUUCAAUCCGUUAAAAGUUACAAACUCCAUUGUGUUCUUUGGUGAGUUGACUGAUCAAUGUUGUUCAUUUCUUCCAGGAGCCCCCAGUUUUUGGGAAGAGAUCUCUAUUCAUUGCCGAAUCUGAGUAAGUACUUCUGAGAUAUAACGUGUUAUGUUACUUUUAUCAUAUCAAGAAAGAGGGCUGUAUUUAAUUUAUACCUAGCCACCUGAAAGAGCAUCUUCAAGCUUCUUGAAAUAAAAAAAAACCACUAUUAAAAUGUAGUGAUUGAAACUAUUUGGCACAUAAGCAUGCGCCUGAUAAGUAGGCCCUCUACUGUAAACUGACUAACUUUGUCCUUGCAUUGUGAAAUCUGGAACUUAUAUCCAGGAGACAGGAACAAUGGGCUCGGUGUGAUGAUUGUUCCAAGUGGCGGAGGUUGCCUGUUGACGUUCUUCUUCCUCCAAAGUGGACGUGCUUUGAAAAUUCUUGGGAUAUAAACAGGUGCAACUUAAAUCUUUAAUCUUCUUCCAUGAGAUCACUGAGAGGCAAGAUUGAUUGUGUUUAUUUUAUAUCUUCGCAGGUGCUCAUGUUCUGCACCAGAGGAGGUGAGCCAAGAGGAAUUGGAUAAUCUUCUAAGACCAAGCAAAGGUAUAACUUGAACCUUUGUGUCCCUUCUCUUUUAUAUAAUACAUUUAUCAAACAUGCAUGCACGUAUCGUUCCCAACCACAUCUGUCAAAUUAGGCAUUGAUAAAUUUUUGUUUUUCUGUUUUUCACUCAGAUUUAAAGAAGCGAAGAAUCGUAGUGAACCAUAAUGAAGCCCAGGAACACGAACCUUCUGGCUUGGAUGCCCUGGCUAGUGCUAGUGCUGCCAUUCUGGGAGAUAGUGUGGAUUACGCUGAUGAACAAUCAGUUGGAGCCACAACCAGACAUCCGCGCCAUCGCCCAGGUUGCACUUGCAUAGUAUGUAUUCAACCCCCAAGCGGGAAGGGCAAGCACAAGCCAACAUGCACAUGCAACGUAUGCAUGACAGUAAAACGGCGCUUCAAAACCCUGAUGAUGAACAAGAGGAAACGCAAAUCAGAACGUGAAAUGGAGAAUGCCCACAGGGAUAAUAAUGACCACAAGGACGAAUCAGAAAUGAAUGGCAUGUCAACAGAGAUUGAGUUGCAUAUGAAUCACUCAUCGGAGAAUGGAAGCAGCUGCGAGAAGAGAAUUCAAGCUGACGUGGCAGAAAGUUCAUGCGCUGGACAAAUUGAUCUGAAUUGUGAGCCCAAACACAAUUAUGUGCAGGUUUCAGGAUUGACCUUGUUGAGACUUGCUGACGCCGUUGCUCAACAACCAGUAAAGAACAGCACGAAGGAAAGUGGCCUCACAAACAGAAUGUGCGAGCCACAGGCCGGUCUUGGUUCUUCUUUACGUGCACAAGAUACUGCGGAGACUGAUAAACUCCUGUGUAAUGAAGGCAGCCUUUCAUCCGUUGCAGCGGCGUGGGACUUGGAGGGUAGAGGUGAUGAGGACUGAAACAAUCCGGCCGUGGCCCUUCUUUUUUGUCGGAAAUAUAUCUUUAUUUGGCUUUAUUUAUAGGGCAGUGCUAUACAUCUUUACGAGUCUUCAUAGCCAGUGAAUGUAAUUUUGUUUCUUUGUUCGUCUGGACAAAUUUUACCUUUAUCUCUAAGGUUGAAACAGACGAAUCGAUGAAGGUUGAAAAUUGCCAUAUGCACAGUUGAUGAACACUUCCCUGUUGCGGGAAUCGGAUUCGGACGAGAUUACUUAAGAAAUCAAACCUACGGAAAAAAAUUUCCAUCAACGACGCAUUCACAGAUAACAUUUUAUCUACCCACGAAUUCGUCCCUUUCAUAACCUCUCCCGAGCCGAGCCGGAGCGCAAUCACUCCUUUUUGUGGAAGCCCUAUACAAGUGCCCCCCUGUCAAAUUUUUUAUUUUCCUAAACUAUUACGUUAAUCUUGAUAAAUAUUACAAAUUUUCAGUGAAAUUCCCAAGUGUCUCUCUCUUUUUUGUUUGCUCAAUCAUACUCAUGUUUAAUUUUCUCUUUUAAAAUGCUGCUCCAUCUUUGAAUCCAAACAGAUACAAAAUGCAAGAAAUCAUAGUUUAUUUGUCCAUCGACAAUAUUAAUCGGCCAUUUUUGUUUCAUCAACUGGGCGUUAAAAUUCACCAAGCAAAGAGUGAAGGCUUACCAUUGGCAUGGAGAAUACGAAUUGAUAAAUUACUAAUGGAAUUAGACUCUCCAGUCACAUUUUAUUUGGUGUUGCAAGGUCUCCUUGUUUUUUGGCUUGUCGAGAAUUGCUUUCAAGAUCUUGGCAAUACAAACUUCGACAUGUCUACAGAGAGAAGAACUUUGUGGCAGACAGUUUAGCAACCUAUAAUCUUGAUUUAGAUUUAGGUAAUUUUUAUUUUGAUACUCUUCGUUCUUGUUCAAUUAGUUUUAUUUAUGAGAAUUACCUUGAGAUGUCCCGGUCUAGAUUCAUUAUUGAGUAAGUUUGGACUCUUUCUUUUAACCCCGUUUUUCAAACAAAAAAAGAGAGUGAAGACCAAUGUUUUGAUACCAGCACACAUCAGUUAUUCACGUUGAUUUAUAUCCAAUUUUAUUGUUGAUUUAUUUAGUUUUUUCUUCAAAUAAUAGAAACAUGGGAUGCAGUUCAUAAUAAACUAAGGGUUUAAGAAUCAAUUUAAACCUAAUUUAUUCACGAUGUAUCUAAUUUUCUUUGAUUCAAACACAAAAGACGUCUUUAUCUAAAUUUGAGGAAGAAACCAUCGCACUCCAAGGGUCAAUAUCGGUUUGUUUUUAUUUGCUUUGUUUUAAAUCCCAACCUUAUAAAAAAUAACUAUUCACUUGGCGACAUUCAUAGACUUUUUUUCAUAGGUUUGUAAUAAAAAAAACCUCAUCAGAAACCAGCUUAACCAACUGUACAGAUUAGUAUUGCAAACAGGGAAGAUGAAGGGAGCCAAACAGAAGAUUGUGAUAUCCAUAUAACCCUCCCUGAAUCCUGAACCAGGAGCCAAACAGCAAGAAAGAAAAUACAAGGGCAACGCCCAAACAUCCCCAAAUUUCGAUAGAAACAGAGCGAUAAAAAGGAAACCACCAAUCCACUGCAUUUAUAAGAAGGGAAAUUUUAUUUCAACCUAUGCAACCUCUUUUUACCUUCAACUUAAAAUUUUGAAUGUUAAUUAUCUAUUUUACUCUAUUGCAUAAUUAUUAUUAAGUACAAAAUGAAAUUAAUAAUAAAACUCAAAUUUAUCAAUAAACCCAAACACUAUAAUUAAACCCUACGAUCAUUCUUUGUUUAUCAUACGUUCAUUAUGCUAAAACCCUAAUAGCUCUCAUAGAGAAAAAUAAAAUUUUCUAUUGAUGGAUGGUGAUUUUGAAGUUUGAAUUCUCUAACCAAGGUAUGACUCAAUUUAUGAAUUUUUUGUUCGGUCGAUUUCAAUUUUUUAAAGUUUAGAACUUGUCAAAUUGAACGAUGUCUUUAAGGUUUCUGGUUCCGCAUGUGUAUAUCUUUCAGGCAUGUUGGUUGGGUGGUGAGUCCUUCAUGAGCUUAUAAUUUUUUGCUUUAUGGAAGAUUUUUCGAGUUGAGGAAGUCUGGACUUUCCCAUUGAAUUGCCACUGAUGUGAAGGGAUUUUUUUUGAGAAAAAUCUUGAACCUUGAUUCUGCAGUCUUGUUGAUUCUUUUGGGGGUUUAUUUUUCGAUUUCCCAAGGACUAAAACAUUUUAUAAGCUAAUGAUUUAUUGGCUCAAAGUUGCCAACAUUGUUUCCUGCAUUGGAAAAUCUCUGCACUAAGCAAUUAUUGGAUUACAAAAUAUCCAUUGCCAUCUUUAGUUUUACUAACUUUGAGGGUUACAUCUCGGGAUCUAGGUGAGCCUUGUCCCUAUAAAUGGAGCAGCAGCUCCUUCUCCUUCUUAGUCUUCUUCUUCGAUUUCAAUCUUACAUCUGACUAAAAAAUUGAAUGGGUGUAAAAAUAAAUCUACAUACUGAAUUAGGUUUAUAGGGGUAUAUUAGGUAUUAAAUUUGGGUUUAAAGAGAUAAUAAUAGUUUAGUUAAAAAUCAAAUUGGUGAAAAGAGUAAAUUGGGUGUAAAAAUAGGUUAGAUGGGUUUAAAUAAAAUUUCCCUUAUAAGAAUCCUGUUGAAAGACGCUUUUCCUCUCAAAUCAAACCCCUAUCAAAUCAAACCACCAAUCCACUGCAUUUAUAAGAACAUGUGAAGAAGGGCUUGCAAGCGGUGGGCACUACAUUGAAGCAAAUCGAGUUUUGCGGGUACAUCGAUUAGAAAAACGCUGUUGAUCUAGGAAAUUUUGUAGUUCCAUAAAUGAAUUUUCUUGGUAUCUUUAAUCUGAAGUAUAAUUUUCCUUCAAACUCGCAUAAAAGUACAUCAUGUUCCCGCACUGCCGAAACUGACAGAUUUGCGGCUAGUUCUUGAUCCCGGAGAGAAGAUGGUCCUGCACCAAAUUUCCAACUUCUUGAGAGCAGCCUUAACUUUGUCGACCUUUGUGUGGCAGUUUGCUGCACCAAUAGUUGGCAAUGGGCAGGUUGUAAGGCCUGAUGCCCUAGCGGUAAGCACUACAUUAAAGCAAAUCGAGUUUUGCAGGUACAUCGAUUCGGAAAACGCUGUUGAUCUAGGAAAUUUUGUAAGGGUGUGUGCACCAGAGUUAGCAAAUGCAAUAGUCCACCUCGCAGGUAACCAGCCCAUGGUCGUUUUGGCAUUCAGCCUACAAUGACAUGUAAAGAAGGGCUUGCAAGCAAGGUGAAGCAUUUCCUCAAACAUGUCAAUCGUAGGCCAAACGCCAAAACGACCAUGGGCUGGUUACCUGCGAGGUGGACUAUUGCAUUUGCUAACUCUGGUGCACACACCCUUACAAAAUUUCCUAGAUCAACAACGUUUUUCGAAUCGAUGUACCCGCAAAACUCGAUUUGUUUCAAUGCAGUGCUUACCGCUAGGGCAUCAGGCCUUACAACCUGCCCAUCGCCAACUAUUGGUGCAGCAAACUGCCACACAAAGGUUGACAAAGUUAAGGCUGCUCUCAAGAAGUUGGAAAUUUGGUGCAGGACCAUCUUCUCUUCGGGAUCAAGAACUAGCCGCAAAUCUGUCAAUUUCGGCAGUGCGGGAACAUGAUGUACUUUUAUGCGAGUCUGAAAGAAAAUUAUACUUCAGAUUAAAGAUACCAAGAAAAUUCAUUUAUGGCCUAACUACUUAAAAAGCAUAUAAAGGACUAACAAUCCCUGACAGAUCCAGGCAGAGGUAGGUCAGUUGAGGAAUGGUUGAGCUGAUUCUGUUGAACAGCGUAUGGCGAAGGUCUUUGGUUUCAUCAAGGACUAGGGAUGGGCAAUGGUUAUAAUGGGCGGGUAACCGUGCUUAUUUACCCAUAACCAUUUAUAUUCAUACCUGUAUAACUGUUUACCCAUUGGGUAAUUGUAUAAAUGGUUAUACCCAUAACCAUAACCGUUUAUAAACGAUUAUCCAUACCCAUAACCGUGUACCCAUUUAACCAUAACUAUUUACCCUAGGGCUGGGUUCGGUUUGAAAUGGUUCGGUUUUUAGCAAAAAACGAAACCAAACCGAAAUUUCGGUUCGGUUCGGUUCAAAUUUUUUCGGUUCGGUUUUUUUCGGUUUUGGUUUUUUUUGGUUUGGUUUCAGUCCGGUUCGGUUUUUUCCAUGAUUUUUUUUAAUUUGUAACAAAUCUGCAACGAUUGAUUGCGAGCACUGAAGAUGCAAAAACUUAUUGGGUGUUGGUGUAAAUGAAUAUGAACUAGAACAAAUCUGCAAAUCUACAUUGGAAUAAAUCUGCAAAUAAAUACGAACUGGAACAAAUCUGCAAAUGAAUACAAAAAUUACAAUAUAAAAUCCCAACAAAUCUGCAAAGAUUAUAACAUGCAAAAUCCCAACUAAUAAUUAAAAGAAAAACCCAUUUUAAUUCAGUAAAUCACAAUAUAAAAUCCCAACAAAUCUGCAAAUGAAUACGAAAAUUACAAUAUAAAAUCCCAACAAAUCUGCAAAGAUUAUAACAUGAAAAAUCCCAACAAAUAAUUAAAAGAAAAACCCAUUUUAAUUCAGUAAAUCACAAUAUAAAAUUAUAAAUCAUAUUAGUUUUGAUUCAAAAAUUACCUGUGAGAGAUCGGAAAACCCGGAUUAGAAUCUUCCAAUUUGGAGGGGGUUCUGAUUCGAAAGGGGCGAGGGAAAAUCAUGGUUUGGAAGAAGGAAUCCGCGAGGAGGACAUGAAAAGACUGGAGAGGGAGUGAUUUGGAGGAAGAAAGGAAGGAGAGAGAGAGAGAAAGAGAGAGAGGCUGAGGAAGCAAAGGCAAAGAGAGGAAGUAGCGGAGGGGAGAGUGUUUGAAAUCUGAAAUGGGAAGUGAGACAAAGUGUGAGACGGCUAGGGUUUGUAGAGUUAAGAAAUUUUAUAAAGCAUUAAAUAUAAGAAACCUAUAAAUAGCUUACUGAUACAAUUAUAACACCUCAAAGCCUACAGUCAAGUUGGCUGGCAACAACUAAUCGCAAGCUGUAGGGAAGGGGUUCAAACCCUGGCGCCAACAUGUUUUUUUAGAAUUUAUAUAUGAUUUUUUUCGGUUUGGUUCUGUUUCCGAACCUCAAAAACCGAAACCGAACCAACCAGAUUCGGUUCGGUUCAGUUUGGCAGUUUCGGUUCGGUUUGAUUUUCGGCUUCGGUUCGGUUUGGUUUUCGGUUUUCGGUUUUUUGAACCCACCCCUAAUUUACCCAUUUAACCAUAACCAUAACUAUUUACCUGUUUUUGAACCCGUUUAUUUUUUUUUACCCAUUUACUUUUUUUUUCACCCGUCUACAUGUUUUUUUUAACAACUUGAAAAUUACAAAAGAAAAUUUUGUCAUAAUUUUCGUUUUCUGACAAUUAAACACCGUUAUAGGUAUAUUUUAGCACGUAUUUCCCUAUUUUAAUCAUUUAAGUCCUCAUACAAUUCCAAUAAUUGAAAUAAUAGUUUACGAACGAUAUUUUUCUGCUACACCCAAGCAAGUCUUUAAUUAUAAUCCAUAUGAUUACAAAGUAAAGCUUCUAAAAACAAAAAAUAGUAAUUAUCUUCAAUACUAGAUGAAUCAAAGCUCCAAAAUAUUCCGAAACUAAACACUUGAACCUUGAAUCUAUAAUUUUAAUCAUCCAUUAUAAUUUUUCAUUCAUAAGUAAAAGUUGUAGCAACAAUGUGGUUGGGGCACCGAAGGCAGACAACUUGAACUUGAAGUAGUUCAAACAUGUUUCACAUUCCACAUAAGCUCCGAGAAACAACAAAAGUACCAACAGCUCUCAUGACCUGUUCAACUGUGGUUGUUUAAGAAGAAGCACCACUGCGCAGAGGUAGAGAUUUCCCUUCUUUUUCCUGCUAGCCAGUUGAGUCUUAGGCUGUCCAAAACACUCGCGAUUAAUUCCGCCAUGAGCACGGUAUGUGCAGUGCCUUUGCUUCUGGGCUUUGUCUAAGCGAGGUCGCUGGUGAGGUCGAGUCGAAGUCGAGAAACGGAAAGAGAGAGUGAAUGAGUUGUGAGUUCUAUGAGGGUUUUUAAUUUUUUUUAAUUUUACAUAUAUUAAAUUAAAUGGGUAAAUGAAUACCUGUUAUAACUGCGGGUAAUACCCAUAAUCGAUGGAUAUCUGUUAUAAUAGCGGAUAAUACCCAUAACCGCCCAUUUAAAUUUCACGGAUAAACGGUUAUACCCAUAACCGUUUAUUUGUCUAAAUGGUUACCCAUAAUCGUAACCACCAACUUUAAAUGGGCGGGCAACCGCGGUUACCCAAACCCAUGGGUAUUUUGCACAUCCCUAUCAAGGACAUCAGGCUGCUCCUUUAGCGAAAGUUUCCAAAGUGUGGGUGCCCUCUCAAUUUGUAUGUCAACAAACCUUCCGUUGUACGAGAAAUUCCGCAGGUUUGGUAGAGAAACGAAGAUGGACUCAAUGUGAUGACAAUUUGAAAUCUUGAUUAGUUCGAGGGAUCGAGAAUUGUUAAGAACUAUUGUCUCCAAAGAUGGAACACAUGUGAGAGAUAACUCGUGGAGUUUUAGACAGUUUCGAACGAGGAAAGAAAUCUCCUAUCCUUCCAGCUCCACCUUCUGCAUACUCAAGAUUUUCAGGUACCCAAAACCAUCACCGGCAGUUCUGUCAAGGGCCAAAGGAAGGUGUUGCACCCUUAACCUGUAGCAAGUCGAGAAUAUAUCUUUGGCGUUUACUUGGUUCCAUCUUCCCGAAAAGUUGAAGAUGAGACAGUCUGUCCUCUUGGCCAAUGCAAACUGGACCCAAGAAUCUACCGAUGCUUGCUGCUGGACAUCCAAUGGAAAAACUACCUUGAAGGUUUCGAUUGUUGGAGUUGUUAGGAAUGUCGGUACUACAAGAUAAAGAAUGCACAAGGUAAAGUAGAAAAUGGACACCGAGCAUUUAUGUGGUUCGACAAUUUAUGCAUAAGUCCACGAAACAAGGAUCAAUCUUCACUAUAUGAAAAAGAUGAGUACAACAAGAGUAGUCUUACCAAGCCAAAGACAAGGCUUGAUGGAUACAAGAAAGUAUGACACACACUCACUCUCACUCUUGGAGUGGAACUCUAGCUUUGGACUUGAUCAUUUGCUACUCACACUUGGUUCUUAAUUGGUUACUUCACUACAACAUCACACACAUAUUUAUAGGUGAGGGUUUGGCAUUCUAGUGUAUUUUUCAAACCUCUAGCAUAGAUAAUUUUAGACUAGCCACAAAAUUGUAGCUUCUAGAUCUUUCCAUUUGCAACCAAGGAAGCUAGUACUCUCUAGCUUCUUCCAUCAACUUAAUAACAUGCUAGAAUUGUCUAGCAUGCUCCAACCACCUCACUUGCUUACUAGAAUAAUCUAGAACAUUGAUCAUGGGCUGGACCAUAAACCAACAAUCUCCCCCUCCAGUCCAUGAGGGAGGAAUUCCGAUCAUGACUCCAAGUUACCUGGAGUCCAUCCCAGCAGCCUUAAUGCAGAAUUCCAACUUUGAUUUUGUGACUACCUUUGUCAACAUGUCUGAAGAAUUAUUAUCGGUAUGAAUCUUCUUCAGUUGUAGCAACUUGUUCUCGAUAGCAUCUCUAAUCCAGUGAUAACGAAUAUCAAUGUGCUUAGUGCGUGAAUGAUAUGUAAUGUUCUUGCUCAAAUCCAGAGCACUCUGACUAUCACAAUAAACACCAUAAUCACUUUGCUUCAAACCCAACUUUUGGAGAAACCGCUUCAGCCACAACAACUCCUUGCAUGCUUCUGUAGUGGCUAUGUAUUCAGCCUCAGUUGUGGACAAAGUAACACACUUUUGCAACUUGGAUUGCCAAGACACGGCUCCUCAUGCAAAAGUAAACAAGUACCCAAACGUAGAUUUUCUACCAUCCAAGUCACCUCUCAUGUUAGCAUCUGUAAAUCCUUCCAAGAUUGGUUUGGAACUGCCAAAGCACAAGCACAUCUUAAAAGUCCCCUUCAAAUAUCUGAGAAUCCACUUAACAGCUUCCCAACGGUCUUUCCCUGGAUUAGAGAGAAACCUGCUCACCACGCCUACUGCAUGAGCAAUAUCUGGCUGUAUGCACAACAUUGCAUACAUGAUACUUCCUAUCGCUAAAGAGUACGGAACAAUUGCCAUUUUCUCAUUUUCUUCAUAUGUUUUUGGACACGACUCUUUGCUCAACUUGAUAUGAUUGGCUAAAGGUGAGCUUACAGGUUUGGCUGCUUUCAUGUUAAACCUUUCAAGCACCCGUUCAACAUACUUUUCUUGUGACAGCCACAACUUUUUGGAUUUUCUAUCACGAAUUAUCUCCAUGCCCAAAAUCUGCUUGGCUGGCCCUAAGUCUUUCAUGUCAAAGGACUUAGAUAACUCUUCUUUGAGCUUUUUAAUCAUAGAAGCAUCUUGACCGACAAUCAACAUGUCAUCAACAUAAAGCAAUAAAAUGAUGAAUUUACCUCUAGAAAAUUGUUUGAUAUAGACACAAGAGUCAACAUGAGUUCUCUUGUACCCAUCACUCACCAUGAAUGAGUUGAACUUCUUAUUCCAUUGUCUCGGAGCCUGCUUAAGACCAUAUAAGCUUUUCUUGAGCUUGCACACCAAAGUUUAUUUACCUUUGACUUCAAAGCCCUUGGGUUGCUCCAUAUAUAUCUCAUAUUCUAAGUUGUCGUGGAGAAAUGCAGCUUUAACGUCUAACUGCUCGAGCUCAAGAUCCAUGCUUGCUGCCAUACCAAUGAUAACUCAAAUGGAAGUCAUCUUCAUCACCGGUGAGAAAAUCUCAUCAAAGUCAACUCCUUUCUUUUGACCAAAACCUUUGACAACCAACCGAGCCUUGUACCUUGUCAUGUUGUCGUCCCUUUUCAAUUUGAACACCCACUUGUUUUUCAAUGUUUUUCUGCUCUUUGAUGGCUCCACCAGCUCAUAGGUAUCAUUAUUUAAUAAGGAAUCCAUCUCUGACUCCAUUGCCUUCAUCCAUUUAUCACUGUCAUUAUGAGCUCUGGCCUCUUCAUAAGUUUUGGGCUCUCUAUAAUUAGUCAACAUGAUAUACUCUGAUGAAGAAUACUUGGUAGACGGUCUUCGACUUCUGCUAGAUCUUCUGACCUGAUCUUCAUUCUCUUACGGGGCUGGAGGCUCCCCCUGAUUGGGUUCUCCUUGAAUCUGCUCCUCUUGACUAGGCUCCCCUUGAUUAGCAAUCUCAUGGUCUGGCACAUCUUGAUCAGGCUCCCCCUGAUCAGCAUUAUCUGGUUCUGCAGGCACUUCAUUUGCAACUGCUUCAGGGAUGUCAUCGUGACUUUCUUCAUCUGAAGCUAAUGGAUCAAUUCCUCUAACUAUUGAAAUGUCAUGUGUGAGCUAGCCAUGUCAAUGCAAUUCCAAGCUCUUUUAAAUCAUUAUAUGCAAACAUGUGAGUUUCUCACAAGACAUACGCUCAUUCACUCAUAAGUUUUGGUUAAUGUGUUUCACUCAAGUGAUCUCAUUGUACAUGUCUCCAUAUGCUUGCUUGUCCACCUAACUCGCUAUCAAUAUUUAAGUAAUACUUUGGAUCAAUAGGACUUUAUUACGGUUGUAAUGGGGCUAAAGGUGAUAGGCUAAUGAAAGAAAGGAUAUGGAAAUAAAUUUUUUUGAGAAAGUACACUUUAGUAGUUUUCCAACACCUCAAUAUCACACCACCUCAAAUUGAAAGCAAAAUAAUAAAACCUCGAGCACUUGCUACUCCCCAAAUUCAACUUCAAAAGGAAAUUUAUACUCCGCAGACACAUUUUCAACAAAUCAACACUCUCCAAUUUUCUCUUUUUUUUUUUUUUUUUGGAAAGAAACAAAUCUGCAAAGCUAUGCAUAAAUCUGCAAAAGCUACAUCACCCAUCAAAUUCACAUUUCAUUGUAAUACACAUCUCCAUCCAUCUUUCCACAUAAAUGAAACCCCAAGAGCACAACCCAUGUCAUACUUUCUUAAAACAAUAAGGAAUCGAUUUCUUUGUAUGGGCUCAACUCCAAUAUUGGAGCAUGGUAAAGAGAUGUCGCUAACAAAGAAAUGGCUUAGUUAAAGACUCAACAGGCUACCAUGGACACACAUAGCAUAUAAGGUAGGCAUGAAAGGCUCAAACAAUCCAAAGAUGGCCUAUAUCACUUCCAAGUUAUUACAUGAAUUGAUGAAUGAGACGCCAAAUAUAAAGCAAGUUCUAGAGAUACAUGUACAGUGAGAUCAUAUGCACAAGAAGGAAUGAGAUUGAUGCAUAAUGGUUCAAUCAUGUAUAGGCUCAAAAACUCACAAGGUUUACAUAAUCUCACAUGAUUCAUAUAUUAAGUAAUUAUCAACGUGAAUAACCAACUGUCUAUUUGAAUUUGAGCCAUUGGUUAACCAAAAGAGCCGUUGGUCUCUGUUUUCUUGGCUGACAUGUGGGCGGCACACCUACAUGGGUAGGGUUGCACUUUGCAGCAUUGAUGGUGGGCUGUAGCGCGUUCCUCAUGUGGCAUGCGUGAAUUUGGGCGCUUGUUGUCCAACUUCCUGUCUUCCACUUGCACAUGGGCUUUCCCACUAAUCCAAACUCAAAAGUUGGCCGGAAUUUGGCCCAUUUUUGAGUUUUAACCCAAAACCGAAAAUUGGCCUAAGGGUUAGAAUGAAAUUGUUUGGGGAGGGGGGGGGGGAGGGGAAUAGAAGCUUAAUUUUGAGACUUACUCUAAGAGUUAGAGUUGGUCUAAAUGUCAAAUUCUGUUUUUAAUAUAAAACAAUAUAUAUAUAUAUAUAUAUAAUUAUACAAUGGGCAAAUUAUAAUAGAUUGAUAUUAAACUUAUUAUUUACGAAAAUCAAAUAUAAUACGUCUUACUUAUAAGUAAAAAAAAAUAUCACUAAACUAAAAUAGUCAAAAUUACGGACAUUUACAUAGUCGAGCACUAAUAUUGAAAAUAAAAGUAAAACACAAAGACCAAAAAUAUAAUUUUUUUGAAAAGCCUAUUCAUAUAGGCAGAUAAUAGUCUUUCCUUUUUCUUGGUAAAAAAAAAAAACCAAGAAAUCCAAUUGGCAGGUGUGAGCUCACCCAAACCCAAAAAGCCCAUAACGAAACCGUCGGGUUAUCGUAUCACAUCACUGUCCUAAGAGCAAGUCCAUCGGGGCUUGCUUUGCCCAGCCCCCAGCACAAAAAAUAACCUGGCCCUCAGUCAAAUUGCUCCAGCCCACAAAGUUGCUUGGCACCCAGCCCAUGUGUCACAGCCCGUCCCGGAAUUUUAAUUCCGAGGACGUGAAAGUACUAAAUUAUCCCUAAACGGGAUUAAGGUGCGUAUUUGUACGAUAAUUGUUUUACCAAAAAUUCUACACUGUGUUAUUUUAUUUUGUAUUUGGACUUAGGUAGGGUCCUACCUCCCGAAUUCCUUCCCCAUUUCCCGUUUUGUGGUCUCCUUCUCUCUCUCUUCCUCAUCCCUCAGUCACUCUCACACUCCCUCAGAAACACUCUCUCUCUCUUACUCUCAUUCUCUCUCAAACUCUCGGACAAACACCAAGAUCAACCAUAAACGUGCACCAACGUCCAAUCUAAGAGCACUAUCGUGAUCUUGGGAACUUCACGAUCACGGAGGUAUAAGUUUUAGGUAAGUUCUAUUUCAAAAACCCUAGUUUUAAAACAUCCCGUGUAAUGGCACUAUUCACAAAACUUAAAUAUGGUUGUGUUUUAGGUUAAACAAAGAUCACCACGAGUCUUAGGAAGUUCCAAGGAGGCUCGGAGUGCCUCGUUUGAACAAAAUGGACGUCGGGAUCGUCGGGUUCGAGUUUGGCCGAAAUUGAAGAAUUUUGAAAGGUUUGAUCUUGUUGUUUUUAGGCCUUAAAACCCUUCCAACGUGAUUGUACAUGUUAAAUGCUUCAUUUUGGUAUAAAUUACGUGAAAAAUGGACGAAAAACGAAGGAGAAAAGUCGAUUUGAAAAUUUUCCAGAAACCGGCGACUCGCCGGAGAAGACAGAGAAUAUUCCGUCAAAACUGACGGAAUAUUCCAACGCCGUUACCGUUACCGUUGGAUACUUAACGGAAUAUUCCAGGAAUAUCCCUAACGCCGUUCACUGUACCGUCAGUGUGCCUGGCACGUGGCCGCGCGUGGGGGGCGCGUAGGUCCGUGCCACGUCAGGCGCGUGGGGGCGCGUGGGACCUCCAAAAAUUAUUUUAAAAAUUUGGGGAUGAUCCUGAGGUUGUGUAGGUCACGGUGGUAUAUUCAUAUACCCAAUUUGAGCAACAUAUGAAGAAUUUAUUACCUAGUUUGGUUUAGGUGCGUUAAAUGUGCGUUAAAUGAUUGUUUUAAGUUAUUUCACUUCUAGGUGGAACCUUUAACGAGGACGAGCACAUCCAGGGGCGUCAAGGGGGUUACGACCCGGCGACAUACCAGUGAGUGGGCAUUGCUUUCUAUAUAUAUACCUAUAUACUCGAUUUCCCCAGAAAUCAAAUUUAAAUGAAAAGUAUAGUGAAAUGAAAUGAAAUAUGAUUUGAUUGCCAUGCAUAGAAUGUUAUGGAUAUUAUGAACUGUCGUAUGAUGCAUAUAUGUAUGAUGGUGCUGUGGAAGCACAGGUAAGUAUUUAAUUAAUAUUAUGAUGAUGAUGAUGAUAUAUUGAGCUCAUAUCCUGCACCAUGGUUUAGUGCUUAUAGUAUUCACCGCAUCGCACGCUCGCCUUGGAUCCAAGUAGAUGUUGGUCGUACAGUCCACGCGGAGUGGGUACGACGGGCCAGUCGUAGAGUGUUAGUGAGAUUAUGACUGGUGGGUGACCUUAGGUUAUUGUAUACAGAUGAUUGAUGAGAGAAGCACUAGAGCGAAUAUUACCAUAAGUCGUUCAGAUUGCAUUAGGUGGUUCCGACUUAUGUGCAGAAGGCCGGACAGGUCACGCGGAGUGACUCCGGCAGAGUGAGAUUGAUAGAUGUUGAGCUCUAGGUUUAAUCGUUCAGGGCUAUUAGAGGGCCUCCGAUUGAUUAUUUGUUUUACCUGAUUAUUAUGUUAAUGCAUUCAUACUAAACUGUUGAAAUUGGCAUGGUACAUUCUUUAUUGAAUCUGUUAUAAGAUUGAUGAUCGAGACAGUGGAGACAUAUAUGCUAUAUACUAUUUUUCUGGGAAAGUAUACAGGUUUUCCAAAAAGGGGUUAUAAAUGUGGACUCAUGAAAUGUUUUAGAAAAGCUUUAUUUUCGCCCACUCACGUUUUCUGUUUUUCGCCCCUCCAGGUUCUAGUUGAUAGUUGAGGCGUUGAUGGCCUACGAGGACUGCUUCGGCGUUCUGACAGAAUAAAUAAAUGUAGGAUUUCACCCGAGGGUGUUGUAAAAUAACUAUGUUCCUACUUGACUGCACCUAGAUGCUUAUGCUCUGUUUAUGUGUGUUUAGUACACUCUUAUGCACAUAGAAUGCUAGGUUGUAAAUAACUGCAAUUAGUGGUUUUCGUUGACUCGUAUUUUAUUAUUAAAUCAUUUCCGCUUGCGUUAUGGUUACGUCACGCUCACGUGACGGCCAGCACGUCCUAGUCUUCGGGUUAGGGUGUGUCAGUUUGGUAUCAGAGCAUAGGUUGCAGUCCUGUAUAACUAAUGAGUUCUUUUAUUGAUUUUUGGAUGUUUUCUGUCAGAAUUAUGCCGCCUCGUAGAGAUCAUCGCCGUGCUGCUGAGCCUAAUUUCCCCGAUAUAACUCAGUUAGGGGCAGCAAUGGCUCAAGCUUUUCAGGCUAAUAUCCGUCCUCCUCAGAGAACACCCGUAGAGACGAUGUAUAAUCUGAAAUUGGAAACCUUUGAGGGAAAUGAAGGUUAUGAGGGGGCAGAAAAGUGGUUGGAUCGGAUUGAGCAGACCUUUCAAGUGAUGCAAAGUCAAGGAAACCUGCCAGCUAAUAGAUGGGUGGAGACCACCACCUGGUUUUUGGGCCGUGAGCCAGCGGCAUGGUGGAUAAAUCAGUCGAGGCACAUGGCACCUGAAAGGACAGCCGAAUGGAAGUAUUUAAGGAAAAUUUUAUGAAGAGAUUUGUUCCUCCGGAAUAUAUAGAUCGCAAGAAACAGGAAUUCACCAGUCUGAAGCAGAGAAAUAUGUCUGCACAUGAGUACUACAGGAAGUUUACUGAUUUAUCCCGUUAUGAUUCUGAUUUAGCGAGUAAUCAAUCAGAAAUGCUUCGUCGUUUCAAGCUAGGAUCUAAGAAGAGGUACAGAACGUUUGCCAAUGCACUUCCCUGUGCCGAUUAUCAUGAGUAUUUUGAGAUUCUGGUUCGGAUGGAAGACUCUGAUAAUCUUCUGGACAGUGAGGAUGAAGAGGAUAAGGGUAAUGGUCAGAAGAAAAAUGAGAAAGGUAAAGGUGUUUCCAUUCCAGGACCUCGUCAGAUGCAGAAUUUCAAGAAAAGUGGAAUGAGUUCGAGUUCUUCCAGUGGUGGAUUUAGUGCCACAGGUCCGAGGAGAUGAGGUGGUAGGUUUGGUAAUGGACCUAGAUUUUCUGGUCAGAGAGGCUUUGGUAGUACUGGUAGUUCGGGUCCUCCGUUAUGUCGCUGUUGUAAUUUCCGACAUCAUGGGGAAUGUAGGAGAAGCAGUGGUGCAUGCUUUACAUGUGGUCAGACAGGACAUAGAGCUAUGAAUUGUCCCCAGAAUCAGCAGAGACCCCAACAGCCUGUUAUGCCAACACCAGCACCGACUCAACAGAACUUUAAUUCAGGCAGUUAUGGCCAGAGUGGUUGUGGUGGUGCUUAUCACUAUCAGGGUGAUGCUGCUCCUUAUGCUCCGGGACAGUAUCAUUAUUCCCAGGAUCCUUAUUCUCAGAGUGGAUAUUCUCAGGAUCAGGGAGGUUAUACUUCAUAUCCGUCUAUGCCAGCUAGCGGAUCUCAGUGGUAUCAGGGGGGUCAGCCCCAACAGAGCGGAGUUGCUGCUAGUAGUGCAGGGUCGUUUAGGCCGCCUGCUCAGGCAGGUCAAGGACGUACUCAUCAGGGACGAGGUAACCAGAGUGGCAGAGGUCGUGGAGGACGACAGCCAGCUCAGGGACGUGUUAACCACAUCUCGCUGCAAGAUGCUCAGAACCAUCCAGACUUGAUUAUGGGUACGUUGAAUGUUCUUGGUCAUUUUGCUAGAGUUUUGAUUGAUUGUGGUGCUACACACUCUGUGAUUUCUCAUACAUUUGCUCAAAUGACGCAACCUCAUCCUUCACCUCUAGGGUUUGAUUUAGAGUUUGCUAUGCCUAGAGGGGAUAAAUGUUAUGUUGAUAGUUUUUACUCUGGGUGUCCAGUGAUGGUAGAUAAUGUAAUUAUGCCUGCUAAUCUUAUCCCGUUAGACAUCGUGGAUUUUGAUGUGAUUUUAGGGGCGGAUUGGUUGCAUUAUAAUCGCGCCCAUAUAGAUUGUUACGGGAAAUCAGUUACUUUUCUUCGUCCUGGACUACAUGAGGUUACUUUUGUGGGUGAAGGAAGUGGAGUGAGGCAUGGUGUUAUUUCAGCCAUAAGGGCAAAGAAGUUGUUAUCCAAGGGUUGUCAGGGAUACUUGGCACAUGUGGUGUUGAAUGAUGUUGAUUCCGGUAGUGUGGAGGAAGUCGGAGUAGUCAGACACUAUCCUGAUGUAUUUCCAGAUGAUUUGCCUGGAUUGCCUCCAGAUAGAGAUGUGGAAUUUUCGAUUGAAUUGCUUCCAGGUACGAACCCUAUCUCUUUAACUCCUUAUAGAAUGGCACCAGCGGAAUUAAGAGAGUUGAAAAUUCAAUUGCAAGAGUUGAUUGAUAAAGGUUUCAUUCAACCUAGUUCUUCACCUUGGGGAGCUCCGGUGUUGUUUGUAAGAAAGAAAGAUGGAACUUUGAGAUUGUGCAUUGACUACAGGCAAUUGAAUCGGGUGACGAUUAAAAACCGUUAUCCAUUGCCUCGUAUAGAUGAUUUGUUUGAUCAGCUCAAAGGUGCUUGUGUGUUUUCUAAGAUUGAUUUGAGAUCUGGGUAUUAUCAACUAAAGAUUAAAGAUGAGGAUGUUCAUAAAACAGCUUUCAGGACUCGUUAUGGGCAUUAUGAGUUUUUGGUGAUGCCAUUUGGAUUAACGAACGCUCCUGCAGCUUUCAUGAGAUUGAUGAAUGAAGUAUUCCAGGAAUAUUUAGACAUGUUUGUUAUUGUUUUUAUUGAUGACAUCCUGGUAUAUUCUAAGUCGAAAUCAGACCAUAUUCGACAUCUUAACUUGGUGUUAAGGAAAUUGAGGGAACACCGGUUAUAUGCCAAAUUUAGUAAAUGUCAAUUUUGGCUGGAUCAAGUGGCAUUUUUGGGACAUGUAGUAUCAGCUCAAGGAAUUCAAGUGGAUCCUCAAAAGAUAGCAGCAGUGGAAAGUUGGGAACAACCUCGAACGGUCACUGAGGUGCGGAGUUUUCUUGGUUGGGCAGGUUAUUAUAGACGGUUUGUUCAAGACUUCUCUAUAAUUGCCUUGCCAUUAACGAAGUUAACCAGGAAGGAUGUUAAGUUUGAAUGGGAUGAAAGUUGUGAGCAAAGUUUCCAGCAGUUGAAGUAUUGCCUUACUCAUGCACCUGUGUUAGUACUUCCUGAUGAUAAUGGUAACUUCGAGAUCUACAGUGAUGCUUCUUUGAAUGGUUUGGGUUGUGUUUUGAUGCAGCAUAGUAGAGUGAUUGCCUAUGCUUCUAGGCAGUUGAAGACUCAUGAAAGAAACUAUCCGACUCACGAUCUUGAGUUGGCAGCUAUUGUGUUUGCUUUGAAGAUUUGGAGACAUUAUCUCUAUGGCGAGAAAUGUAAGAUCUUUACAGAUCAUAAAAGACUUCAGUACCUUUUCACUCAGCAUGAUCUUAAUCUUCGUCAGAGAAGAUGGUUGGAAUUGUUAAGUGAUUAUGAAUGCACGAUUGAGUACCAUCCGGGUCGUGCAAAUGUGGUAGCUGAUGCUCUGAGUAGAAAACCUCAAGGGAGACUUAAUGCUUUGUAUGCCAGUCGUGUUCCUCUUCUGGCAGAGUUGAGAUCUACUGGAGUAGAGUUAGAAUUGGAAGAACAAAGUAAAGCUUUUCUUGCCAAUUUUCAAGUCAAGCCAGUCUUAAUUGAUCGGGUACUUACAGCUCAAUCGUUGGAUGAAGAAAUUCAAGAAUUGAUCAGUUUAAGAAAUGAAGGAAAGAAGAAAGAUCUCAGGAUCCGAGGAUCAGAUGGUAUGCUUAUGCAAGAGAACAGGAUGUAUGUACCUAAUAAUGAGGAACUGAAGAAAGAAAUCUUAGAUGAAGCACAUUGUUCGGCUUAUGCUAUGCACCCAGGAGGAACUAAAAUGUAUCAUACCAUUCGACCAUUCUACUAUUGGCCGGGUAUGAAGAGGGAGAUUGCGGAGUAUGUUAGUAGGUGUAUUGUCUGCCAGCAGGUUAAGGCUGAAAGAAAGAAGCCAUUUGGGAGAUUGCAACCACUUCCCGUUCCCCAGUGGAAAUGGGAGAAUAUAACGAUGGAUUUUGUGUAUAAGUUGCCGCGUACACAAAAUGGUUUUGAUGGCAUUUGGGUGGUUGUAGAUCGACUUACCAAAUCAGCACAUUUUAUUCCAGUAAGGGAGAAGUACUCUUUAAAUAAGUUGGCUCAGUUAUUCAUAUCGAAGGUUGUAAAGUAUCAUGGUGUCCCAGUGAAUAUUAUUUCUGAUCGAGAUCCAAGAUUUACUUCUAAGUUUUGGACAGCUUUUCAAGAAGCUUUGGGUACUAGAUUGCUUUACAGUACAGCUUAUCAUCCACAGACUGAUGGUCAGUCAGAGAGAACUAUUCAGACACUCGAGGAUAUGUUGAGAUCCUCUGUGAUGCAAUUUGGUGAUUCUUGGCAUGAUCGCUUGGAUUUGAUGGAGUUUGCCUAUAAUAAUAGUUUUCAUUCGAGUAUUGGAAUGUCUCCAUUUGAAGCACUUUAUGGUAAAGCUUGUCGUACGCCAUUAUGUUGGUCAGAGGUCGGUGAAAGAAUACUUGAGGGCCCAGAGAUUGUGGAUGAGACUACUCAGAAUGUUCAGGUAAUUAAAUCUAACCUGAAAGUGGCCCAGGAUAGACAAAAGAGCCUAGCGGAUAGACAUACCACAGAUAGAAUGUAUAAUGUGGGCGACUAUGUUUUUCUGAAAUUAUCACCUUGGAGAGGUGUGGUUCGCUUUGGGAAGAAAGGAAAGCUAAGUCCCAGGUACAUUGGACCUUAUGAGAUUACUGAGAGGAUUGGUGAAGUUGCUUACAGGUUGGAGCUACCUCCAGAGUUGUCUAAGGUACAUAAUGUGUUCCAUGUCUCGAUGCUUCGACAUUAUGUGUCAGAUCCUUCACAUGUGAUUCCUCCUCAACCAUUGGAAAUUAAUCCGGACUUGACGUACGAUGAGGAACCAGUGACUAUUCUGGAUUGGAAAGAUAAGACCUUGAGGAAUAAGACCGUGAGCUUGGUAAAAGUAUUGUGGAGGAACCAUUCAGCGGAAGAAGCUACUUGGGAGACAGAAGAAAGGAUGAGAGAUAUGUAUCCGAGACUAUUCUAUGAGUUUUGAUGUUAUGGUUGGUGACUGGAAUUUCGGGGACGAAAUUCUAUAAGGAGGGGAGAUUGUCACAGCCCGUCCCGGAAUUUUAAUUCCGAGGACGUGAAAGUACUAAAUUAUCCCUAAACGGGAUUAAGGUGCGUAUUUGUACGAUAAUUGUUUUACCAAAAAUUCUACACUGUGUUAUUUUAUUUUGUAUUUGGACUUAGGUAGGGUCCUACCUCCCGAAUUCCUUCCCCAUUUCCCGUUUUGUGGUCUCCUUCUCUCUCUCUUCCUCAUCCCUCAGUCACUCUCACACUCCCUCAGAAACACUCUCUCUCUCUUACUCUCAUUCUCUCUCAAACUCUCGGACAAACACCAAGAUCAACCAUAAACGUGCACCAACGUCCAAUCUAAGAGCACUAUCGUGAUCUUGGGAACUUCACGAUCACGGAGGUAUAAGUUUUAGGUAAGUUCUAUUUCAAAAACCCUAGUUUUAAAACAUCCCGUGUAAUGGCACUAUUCACAAACUUAAAUAUGGUUGUGUUUUAGGUUAAACAAAGAUCACCACGAGUCUUAGGAAGUUCCAAGGAGGCUCGGAGUGCCUCGUUUGAACAAAAUGGACGUCGGGAUCGUCGGGUUCGAGUUUGGCCGAAAUUGAAGAAUUUUGAAAGGUUUGAUCUUGUUGUUUUUAGGCCUUAAAACCCUUCCAACGUGAUUGUACAUGUUAAAUGCUUCAUUUUGGUAUAAAUUACGUGAAAAAUGGACGAAAAACGAAGGAGAAAAGUCGAUUUGAAAAUUUUCCAGAAACCGGCGACUCGCCGGAGAAGACAGAGAAUAUUCCGUCAAAACUGACGGAAUAUUCCAACGCCGUUACCGUUACCGUUGGAUACUUAACGGAAUAUUCCAGGAAUAUCCCUAACGCCGUUCACUGUACCGUCAGUGUGCCUGGCACGUGGCCGCGCGUGGGGGGCGCAUAGGUCCGUGCCACGUCAGGCGCGUGGGGGCGCGUGGGACCUCCAAAAAUUAUUUUAAAAAUUUGGGGAUGAUCCUGAGGUUGUGUAGGUCACGGUGGUAUAUUCAUAUAUACCCAAUUUGAGCAACAUAUGAAGAAUUUAUUACCUAGUUUGGUUUAGGUGCGUUAAAUGUGCGUUAAAUGAUUGUUUUAAGUUAUUUCACUUCUAGGUGGAACCUUUAACGAGGACGAGCACAUCCAGGGGCGUCAAGGGGGUUACGACCCGGCGACAUACCAGUGAGUGGGCAUUGCUUUCUAUAUAUAUACUUAUAUACUCGAUUUCCCCAGAAAUCAAAUUUAAAUGAAAAGUAUAGUGAAAUGAAAUGAAAUAUGAUUUGAUUGCCAUGCAUAGAAUGUUAUGGAUAUUAUGAACUGUCGUAUGAUGCAUAUAUGUAUGAUGGUGCUGUGGAAGCACAGGUAAGUAUUUAAUUAAUAUUAUGAUGAUGAUGAUGAUAUAUUGAGCUCAUAUCCUGCACCAUGGUUUAGUGCUUAUAGUAUUCACCGCAUCGCACGCUCGCCUUGGAUCCAAGUAGAUGCUGGUCGUACAGUCCACGCGGAGUGGGUACGACGGGCCAGUCGUAGAGUGUUAGUGAGAUUAUGACUGGUGGGUGACCUUAGGUUAUUGUAUACAGAUGAUUGAUGAGAGAAGCACUAGAGCGAAUAUUACCAUGAGUCGUUCAGACUGCAUUAGGUGGUUCCGACUUAUGUGCAGAAGGCCGGACAGGUCACGCGGAGUGACUCCGGCAGAGUGAGAUUGAUAGAUGUUGAGCUCUAGGUUCAAUCGUUCAGGGCUAUUAGAGGGCCUCCGAUUGAUUAUUUGUUUUACCUGAUUAUAUUAUGUUAAUGCAUUCAUACUAAACUGUUGAAAUUGGCAUGGUACAUUCUUUAUUGAAUCUGUUAUAAGAUUGAUGAUCGAGACAGUUGAGAUAUAUAUGCUAUAUACUAUUUUUCUGGGAAAGUAUACAGGUUUCCAAAAAGGGGUUAUAAAUGUGGAUUCAUGAAAUGUUUUAGAAAAGCUUUAUUUUCGCCCACUCACGUUUUCUGUUUUUCGCCCCUCCAGGUUCUAGUUGAUAGUUGAGGCGUUGAUGGCCUACGAGGACUGCUUCGGCGUUCUGACAAAAUAAAUAAAUGUAGGAUUUCACCCGAGGGUGUUGUAAAAUAGCUUUGUUCCUACUUGACUGCACCUAGAUGCUUAUGCUCUGUUUAUGUGUGUUUAGUACACUCUUAUGCACAUAGAAUGCUAGGUUGUAAAUAACUGCAAUUAGUGGUUUUCGUUGACUCGUAUUUUAUUAUUAAAUCGUUUCUGCUUGCGUUAUGGUUACGUCACGCUCACGUGACGGCCAGCACGUCCUAGUCUUCGGGUUAGGGUGUGUCACCAUGCCAGGCAACAGACCAGCCCAAUUUUGACUGACCCAAGAGCCGCCCUAUUUGGCUAGCGCGUGUACAACACUCGCGCCCAGGGCGAGUAGCCGACAAGAAUGCAGAGGGCUGUCAGCCCACUUGUGCGCCAGAUUCCAUGAGUGACGCGGCACGCUCAUAGCCAUUGGAUUUCCAACAGCUAGUUUUUCUAGACCGUUAGAUUUCCAACGGUAAAAAAAAUUUAAAUUUUACUUUUAAAAUAGACCGUCCGAUCACAGAUCAACGGUCCACGUUAAUUAACUAAAUUAAAAUUUAUCAAAAAAUACAGAAAAAUAUUAAAAAAAUACAGAAAAUUAAAAAAAAAAUUCUAUAAAUACCUAACUCUUAUCUUCUACCUUACACCACAUUUCAAUAUUUUCUACACUUUCUACCGAAGCUUUCAUAUACUUUUUGUGUGAAAAAAAAUACCAAAAAGCUUGUGGUUGAAGAAUAAAGUGUAUUUGAUGAGUUUAUGUAAUUUCAUUUUAGUGUGUUUUUUAUAGUUUAUUUGAUGAGUUUAUGUAAUUUAUUUUAGUGUGUUUUUUUUAAGUUUAUUUGAUGAGUAUGUAAUUUUAUUUUAGUGUGUAUUUUUUUUAAGUUUAUUUGAAAUUUUAUCUGAAAUUGGUUAAAAAUCUUAUCCGAAAUAAACUUAAAAAAAAAACACACAAAAUAAAUGCGCUAGGUGCCAGCGCAUUUUUUUAGGGAUGGAGAUGCAUUGGCCUAUUACUGUUCACUCCAGUCUAUUACUGUUCACUUAAGUGGAUAAAUGCGCUGGGUGCUGGUGCAAAGUCCUUAGGGGUGGAUUUGCUCUAAUAGGAAUGCUUUCACUCCUCCCUUUCUCUCUCCUCACUUUCUCUCUCUAAAUACAAAUUUCUAUACAUGGAGUACAAAAGGAGACGACUUGUGUUAAGCGACGUGUCUUAAAGUGUCGUGCAUGCAUUUUAUGCAUCUGUUGCUUUGCAUGCACACACUCUCUCUCUCUCCCUCCCUCCCCCUCUCUCUCUCUCUAAAUGCACGUUUUUUCUCCUGGUCUUACCCAGACAGACCCCAAAAACCCCACUCCCCACUAAUUACGUUUGUGAACGGUAAAACCCGGCUGACUAAGUUUUGACUCGUUUCUUCUUCAUCAGCUCAUUGUAUCGAGCUCGCCACCGCAGCCUCCGCCGUGGCUGGUUGGUUUCCAGAGUGGGUUUCAACUCUGUUCUUGAAUGACUAGUCGUUUUCGAGAUUUGGGUUUCGAUUUGGGUAAAACAAGGUUUGUUCUUUGCUAAUUUUUUAAUUACGUAUUUGUUUAAUAAUUGCCCAAAUCUCAAAUGUUGUGUAUGUUGUGUUUAAUGCUGGGGUUUUUGUUUAAAUUUCUAGCUUUUGAUAAAAAGAGCUUUAGGAAUUUGGGUUUGAUUACUCUGUUUUGUUUGAUUUAAGGGUUUGGAGAGCUUGAUUUUGGGGCGAUGGAGUCCAAGAUUUGCAUGAAUCCUUCGUGUAGGAUGGCCAAUACGCACGAAUGGAAGAUGUUGUGCCUUGGCCCGUUUAUCAGUGCCGAAACGAGAUUCAUAUUACAACCUAACCAAACCUCACUCAGUUGAACAUAAUAAAAUACAAGAAAUAAAGACACCAAGAAAUUUACGAGGUUCGGCAAAAAUCCUGCCUACGUCCCCGAAGAGAUAUUGCUCUUCACUAUGAGAAUAACAGUACAAGUACACAUAAGUUAAAUCAAAAUAACCCAAUCCCAAAUCCCUUGCACACCCACUUAUAGAAUUUUCCCAAGAGCCUCACUCUACCCCAACAGUUCUUUCACUAGAAUACUUUUCACUCUAACUCUCUUGAUUUUCUCUCACCCGUGCCCAUGCUUUCCCAUGGGAGAGCCGAAUGCUCUCACCACCUUGGGUGCUUCUCGCUACCUCUCUCCUCUUCGAUUCUUAGCAAAUAAAUAGCAAAAGAAAAAAGAAUAAACUUUCCCUUUUUCCACAAACAUCCUCAUUAAAGUAAAAGCAAGCAUCAUCAUUAUGUCUUUACUCAUGAUGAUGUCCACCAAACUUUUGCUUUUACUUUGUCUGCAACUUUCAUGCAACCCACACCAUGUGAUUUCCACCGAAAGCAAACACAGGUCACUUCAUUAUUGUUAACACAUGACUCAUAAUUACUCACAAAUGUAUGAGCCAAACACAACAAUCUCCACCUUGGCGAAUACACCAUGCAAAAAUCCUUGCACCCAUCACCAAAGUCCAUUGGCCUUACGUACCAGCAUGCACACUCUGAAUCCACCUCAUUGGUCCUGUUCCGAUUCAGUCACUGCCAAUGCAUGUGCAGCUGCUGCAAGCUAAAAAUCACAAUUUAGCUUCAGACAGGAUCUCGACACAUCCUCGUCUCCUCCAACAGGUUUUCCUCCUCUUCAUUGUCUGCAACCUGGAAACUCGUCAGCGCACCCGUUUCCAGCAACAACCCAUCGAGCCAGACAAAAUUCCCACACUUCCUCCUACCUCAAGACCAUUUGAUCACCUGUGAAUCCUAUAGCUCCACCUGCUGCAAAACCCCUGCAACACUUGAGACUAAACAUCACUAGGAGAAGUGUUGCUUCGAGUACCUAGAGGACAUACUCAAAGUCUUCCGCCACAAACUUGCUACAACCCGGCCUUGCACUCGUAACCGGAUCUGAACCGGUUGUCUCUCUCAGAUCCUCUUUCCAAUUUUCUUUCACGAUUCCAACCUUGAACAACUAAAGCAGUCUUGUGCCCACCAUCAUUCAUGGUCAUCUUCUUUUGUGUAUCAUUCCACACCAAAGAAGCUUGCACCUGCUCCAAACUUACUGUAUCUUUCCAUGCAGUCAAGUUUCACAAGGUUCUCGUACGAAUCUGAAAGUGAGGUAAGAAGAAAGAGGCCUUUGUCUUCUUCCUCAACAUCAACUUUCGCAGUUGAUCUAAGCAUCUCUGAACAUAGCUUCAAUUUCUUCAGGCUUCCAUUACUCUCCUUUACCAAGAGUAAAACCGUCUCUCCCAUUAAAUUGCUCAACUGAAAAAUUCAUGGUGAACAACAAAUCUAAACCUCCAACGAACCAAAGCCUCCAACAAUGCUCUGAUACCAAUUGUUGUGCCUUGGCCCGUUUAUCAGUGCGGAAACGAGAUUCAUAUUACAACCUCACCAAAUCACACUCAGUUGAACAUAAUAAAAUACAAGAAAUAAAGACACCGAGAAAUUUACGAGGUUCGGCAAAAAUCCUGCCUACGUCCCCGGAGAGAUAUUGUUCUUCACUAUGAGAAUAACAGUAAGUACACAUGAGUUAAAUCAACAUAACCCAAUCCCAAAUCCCUUGCACACCCACUCAUAGAAUUUUCCCAAGAGCCUCACUCUACCCCAAGAGUUCUUUCACUAGAAUACUUUUCACUCUAGCUCUCUUGAUUUUCUCUCACCCGUGCCCAUGCUUUCCCAUGGGAGAGCUGAAUGCUCUCACCACCUUGGGUGCUUCUCGCUACCUCUCUCCUCUUCGAUUCUUAGCAAAUAAAUAGCAAAAGAAAAAAUAAUCAACUUUCCAUUUUUCCACAAACAUCAUCAUUAAAGUAAAAGCAAACAUCAUCAUUAUGUCUUUACUCAUGAUGAUGUCCACCAAACUUUUGCUUUUACUUUAUCUGCAACUUUCAUGCAACACACACCAUGUGAUUUCCACCGAAAGCAAACACAGGUCACUUCAUUAUUGUUAACACAUGACUCAUAAUUACUCACAAAUGUAUGAGCCAAACACAACAGAAUAAAGGUUGGCCUUUGCGUACCGGUGGAUUUGCCCAUCUCUGCUACAAGUGCGGGUAAAUUUUUUCCCUCUUUUUAAUUUUUGCUUACCAAAGUUUGGAUCUUUCAGCUGUUCAGUUGUUGGUACGGUGUUGGGGGGGGGGGGGGGGCAUUAGUGGUUCUUGGCGUGGGAUUUUAUGUGUAUUGUGGGUUAGGACUAGUUGCAUUGUUCACGAACUGCUUCUAUUUUUAUCGUCGGCCAUGAAGGAAUGAGCGGAAUUGUCGAUGAUCAACAUAUAAUCGGGUUAUAAUUAAAAUCCUUAAUAGAAAUACUAUAAAGCUCGUAGCUUUUAAUUGAUUUGAUGUAAAGGAGAAAUUGCAAGAAAAAGAAAAUUGUCUACUUUUUUAUUGCCUUAGAGUAUCUUUGAUAGUGUGCUGAGUUUUUGCUAUCCUUGUGGUCCGGCUAAUUUAUGUAUUUUUUUUGUACCCAGUGCACAAGGCUUCUGCUUUACACGGAGUCUAGGAAAGGUGGAGGUAAAUAAAUUGUGAAAUUAUUUAUUCCCAAGUAAUUGGAGCCGAAAUUAUAUCAGCUAACCUUUGUAGAACCUAACUUUAGCCAUAUUCAUCUUAAUGUGGGAGUGCUUAUGUUUUCCUAUAAGUUGCUGUUGUUUCAGAUGUUACAAUAUUUUGCCUUUUUUAGUACUUGCAAUUGUAUUUUAUUGUUUUUACACGGAUUGAAAGUUUAACGGGAACGGAUGACUUCACUCUCUUUUGAACUGGAUAUUAGUCUUUCAGAAGCUACUUGAUAUCAGAUGUUAGUAUCGUGGAAAGAAUUAUCCUCUUUUGAUUUGUUUGUUUGCUCCCACAUUAAUAUCUGAGACUUUAUGUUGUAAACAUGCCAUAUCAUUAGGGUUGGCUUUUUUUUUGUAUACUCGUAAAUACUUACAUAUUUCCCCUGUUGGUUUAAAUAUAUUUCCGUUGCUGGUCAUGGCAUUGCGUGUACUCCAGAGUUGAGUAUGAGAAUUCAGUUUACUGCAAUACAUUCCAUUCUGGGGAAACUGGUUGGAGGGACUGCAAUUUGUGCCACAAGGUUAGCUUGCAGUUUGGUCAUGUAAAAAAAUAGUAUUCAAGCUCUCUUCACACCACUCCGUUACUCUCUCUGACUUUACUUUAGAAAAUUAUUCAAUUUUGUGCAGCCUCUCCACUGUGGAUGCAUAGUCUCAAAGACAUUGUAUGAGUACCUGGAUUUUGGAGGUAUAGGGUGCAUUGGCUGUGCUUCUCAACCUCACAUGGUAUGAACAACUUCGGUUUUUGGUUAUAAUAUACCCCUUAUAAGUCACUAUCUUUAUCUCCACCGUAUCAUUUGUUUGCAUUAAACUCUCCCAUCUGCUUCCAUGGUUGAUAGUUAACUUCAUCCUUUAGAACAUAGAUUAUAUAUACACAUAUAUGUAUCUUAUUUCGUACUUACAUAUAUUCAUAACAUUGAUUCAUCUGUUUUCACUUGCUCAACGGCAAACCUAUUCAAGUAGAUGGAAAAAUAUUAUGGUUGACAUACUGUGAAAUGCUCACAGGUUCCCAAUAGUAUUUUUAGAUAUCCUCUAUCAGUAAUCAUUGUAUAUGUAAGCAAUUGGUCUUUAUCUGUCACAAUGUAUCCGUCUGCAUCUCUCACUCUUGCUCACAUACACACAAAGAUGACCUAUAGGAAUUUCACGGAUUCUUAUUUUCUUAUGUGCAGAUACAGGACGGUGAUGUUUUAAAUGGGUUUGUUGGAUUGAAAAUAAGUGAUUCCGGUGAUCAGCAAUCAACUGUUCCUCAGAAUGGAGCAUUAAGUGAUACUGCUAAUGAGGGAAAACUUUUGCAAUUGUGCCAAGUCAUGGAGGCUAAUGAAUCCAACCUUUCGUCUCAAUCUCAGAGAGGUGAAAUAAAUGUAUCUCCUGUGCAAACCAAACGAGAAGAAGUUACUUAUCCAAGGGGGGAAGUUGGCCCAGGAUUUUCAAGUAUCACCACCAGGCCAUCUUUUGGAUCAUUAACAUUUGCCAAACCAGACAAUGGUAGAAUAAUGAUAGAGGUCAAAGAUAUGAAUAAGACAUCCUCUGAGCCGUGUUUGAGUAUGACUUUGGGAGGCCCAUCUGCAACUCCCAACUUUGCUCAACCCUUUACUGGGGGAAUUUUGGAGAGAAGAGAUCAGAGCAAGAUGUCUCUUCCUUCCAACAGGGGCAAAAAAUUCGGCCUAUUUUUCCCACACCCUUGAGACCUCCCCCUCCUGUUCAUCAUGUGCGUGUUGCAAGGCCACCUGCUGAAGGGCGAGGGAAGAGUCAGUUACUUCCUCGAUACUGGCCAAGGAUUACUGACCAAGAGCUGCAGAAAUUAGCUGGAGAGUAUCCUUAAUCGCUUUUAUAUUUCUAUUUGGUGCUGAACACUUCUUACUUAAUAUAUAUAUAUGCUUUUGAUUAUCUGUCAAUAUGAAUGUAGUAUUUUCCUUAAAUGCUUUUCAGUUUGAAUUCUACUAUUGUGCCAUUGUUCGAGAAGGUACUGAGUGCCAGCGAUGCAGGUCGAAUUGGUCGUCUGGUUCUCCCAAAAGCAUGUGCUGAGGUAAAAAUUAACAAGUUAAUUUCUUUGAAGGCAUUUUAUGAAUUCAAGAUUAUGUUAUUUAUUAGUUUUGGGAAGUUUAGGUGGGGUUAAUUUUUUUUUUUCGUUUCCUUUCCUUACAAUUUCCCCAUGUUUGUGUAUGUGUUCUUUCCCUGUAGAAUUUUUUAUGUGUAUUUCAUGAAGAAACAAUUACAAAUGAAACAUAUAUAUAGGAAAAGAAAGUAGACAUAAGCCUAACUUGCCUAACUUGCCUAAUUUCCUAACUUGCCUAACUUGCCUAAUUUACACAAAGAAUGUUGACUAGCCUAACUUCACUAGUCAUCCAACAUGUUUAUUUCAUGCAUGCAUUUUACACAAAGAAUGACUUGCAUGCAUUCUUCCAACACUCCCCCUCAAGCUGGAUCGAGGGGAUUCACUGAGCCAAGCUUGCCCAAUAACCGAUGAAACUGAGAUGAUGCUAGUGCCUUUGUAAAAAGAUCUGCUAGUUGAUCAUGGCUUCGUGUGAAUAUGGUCCAGAUGAUUUGCGUUUGAACUUGAGCUCUGAUGAAAUGACAAUCCACUUCAAUAUGUUUGGUUCUUUCAUGGAACACAGGAUUGGCAGCAAUGUGCAUGGCUGCCUGAUUAUCACACAUAAGCGUCAUAGGAGUAGAACUAGGAAACCCUAAGUCUGAAAGAAGCCCUUUAAGCCAAAUGAGUUCACACGCAGUGGCUGCCAUGGCUCGAUACUCAGCCUCUGCACUGGAACGAGCAAUUACCUAUUGCUUCUUACUCUUCCAUGUGACAAGGUUUCCACCAACAAAUGUACAAUAGCCUGUGAUUGAUUUCCUAUCAAUUGCAUUACCUGCCCAGUCUGCAUCUGUGUAGCCACUAAUGACAGUGGACUGAUUGUUAUGCAUUGUAAUUCCUUGCCCAAUUGAACCCUUAAGAUAACGAAGGAUUCUCUUAACAAGGUUAAGGUGAUCAACAGUGGGAGAGUGCAUGAACUGACUAGCGAAGCUCACUACAUAUGUGAUAUCUGGACGAGUGAUAGUGAGGUAUAUGAGCUUGCCUACUAAUCGUUGAUAGUAGCUUACAUCAUGCAUGGCUUCUCCAUCUAUGCUGAGCUUCAGUUUACAAUCAACGGGAGUGAUAGCAGGCUUGCAGUCAAGCAAUUUUGCUUCUUGAAGGAGGUCCAAUACAUAUUUCCGUUGAUGUAGAAACAGUCAUUUUGAAGAUGUUGCCAUUUCGAUCCCCAAAAAAUACUUUAACCUCCCCAAAUCUUUGAUAGCGAAAGCUUGAUGUAGUGAGAGUUUUAGUGCCUCAAUCUCCACGGUAUUAUCUCCGGUGAUGAUAAGAUCAUCAACAUAGACGAGGACCACCAACUUCCCCCUGGUGCCAGUUCUUACAAAUAACGAAGAAUCAGCAUUACUUCGCAUGAAUCCAGCCUUUUCCAGAACAGAACUGAGCUUGGCAUACCAAGCUCUUGGUGAUUGUUUCAAUCCGUAUAUUGCCUUGUGCAAUUUACAAACCAUGUUGCCUUUAAUACCAUCAUAGCCUGGAGGAGGUUGCAUAUACACUUCUUCCUGCAGCUCGCCGUGAAGGAAAGCAUUCUUCACGUCCAUUUGGUAGAGUGACCAUCCACAAUUGAUUGCAACUGACAGUAAAACCCUGACUGAGUUCAUCUUGGCCACCGGUGCGAAUGUUUCCUUAUAAUCUACACCAAAGGUUUGGGUGAAACCUCGAGCAACAAGUCUAGCCUUAUGUCUCUCGAUAGAUCCAUCAGCUUUGAAUUUAGUCUUGUAAAUCCAACGACUUCCAACAGCCUUUUUUCCUGGUGGUAGUUGAACUAGGCUCCAGGUGCAAUUCUCUUCCAGUGCACGAAUCUCUUCUUUCAUGGCUUGGUUCCAUUGUGGGAGAAGAGAAGCUUCUUGAAAGCUUCUUGGUUUAUAGUGCUUAUCAAUUUCACUGAGAAAUGCAGCAUGAGAUGUUGAGAACUUACUAAAGCUGAUACAUUCAUUGAUUGGAUGUCGUGAGGCAUAUGUAACAUAGUCCUGCAACCUAGCUGGAGGUUUUCUGAUUCGAGGAGGAUUUCUUUUAAUCACCUGAGACUCUGUAGAGGGCGGAGAAGGAUCAGAGUAGGGCUCGUCUUCACUCUCACUGGCAGUAAUUUGGUCAGUUUGAACUUCUUCACAAUCUGGACUUACAAUGACUGAUCUCUUUUCCAACAUCGGAUAAUUAAAGUUUUGAGGGAGUGAGAACAUGUCAACUAAAUCCUCCCCCUGACUUGUAAAAUAGGGAUAGUCUUCUUCGAACUUCACAUCUCUUGAAACUGUGCACUUCUUAGUGACUGGAUUGAAGCACUUGUAUCCCUUUUGAGUGGUCGAGUAUCCCAUAAACACACACUUGGUUGCCCUGGCAUCUAGUUUGUCACGGUUCAAGGUUUGGAUGUGAACAAAACACACACAACCAAACACCUUGAGAUGUGUCAAAUCUAUUUUCCUCCCCUUGAGAACUUCAUAGGGAGAUUUAAACCCUAGCACACGACUUGGAAGUCGAUUGAUGAGAUAAGUGGCAGUAAGGAUGGCAAACGACCAAAAUUUCUUUGGAACGUGCAUGUGAAUCAUGAGAGCACGAGUUUUUUCCAAGAGAUCUCUGUUUUUCCUCUUGGCUACUCCAUUUUGUUGGGGAGUCCCCACAUAGCUGGUUUGAUGUAUGAUACCCUGAGAACUUAUGUAUUGAAGCAUGUUGUUGGAUAGAAAUUCAGUGCCAUUAUCUGACCUUAAAACCUUAAUGUUUGAUUGAAAUUGCGUUUUAACAUGCAUGUGAAAGUCUUUGAAAAUGGUAGGGACUUCACUUUUUGAUUUCAUAAGAUAUAGAAAACUUGUUCGAGAGAAAUCAUCAACAAAUAGAACAAAAUAUUUAAAAUCUUCCAUUGAUUCAGUUGCAGGUCCCCAUACAUCGGUGUGUACCAUUUCAAAAGGUUUACUUGUCCUAGACAUUGAAUUACCAAAAGGUAGCCUAGUAAACUUAGAAAAUUGACAAGUAUCACAAGUAGGAUAGAGGUUACAAAAAUUUGGAAACAGUUUCGACAAGACAAGUUCAGAGGGGUGAGCUAAUCUCCUAUGCCAAAGUUGGUUUUCAUCUAUGGACUUCGAUUGAGCUUGAAGAGCCUGAGUGAAACAUGCAUUCUUGCACAGGUAGUAAAGUCCAUUUAUGAAGACCCCUUCACCAAUCAUCUUCAUGGUGAGAACAUCCUGAAACAUUACUUUAUUUGGUGAGAAAAUAGCACGGCAGUUUAGGGUGUUGGUGAUCUUUCCAAUUGAAAAAAGUUGGAAGGGAAAGGUUGGUACAUAGAGGGCAGUGGAAGGUGUUUUUUGAGAGAGUAAGUUUAUUUCUCCUUUUCCCAAAACUAAGACAUUUUUUCCAUUUGCAACAGACACAUGUGAGGGGCUUGAAAUUUUUUUAAAAUGAUGUAAAUUUGUAAUUUUGUUUGUCAUAUGAUAUGUGGCGCCUGAAUCAAUUAUCCAACAAUCAAUUUCAGUACUAGUUAAUAGGGCAGUAGUAAAGGCUUUGAGUAUACCUGAUGCUUCUCCCUUUGGAACUUUCUCAUUUCCAGCAAGAAAUCCGGCAAAUUGUCCCAACAUAGCUGUGUGACUACCCUCUUCAUUGCAAUGGUGUUGGUCAUGAGGAAGACAAGUGUUGGGAACUUCAUCCUGAACUCAAGCCUAAGUUCAGCAAAGAUGGAAGGAUGAUACCAAGGUCCUCACAACAAUUUCAACCUCAUUUCAAGGCACAACUUGCUAAUGCUCACGCUCCUACUAUCUCACAAGGAUCCAUGGAGUUCACUGCCAAUCCAUUGUCAUUGACCAAUGAAUUUGCAAUAUUUGCAUUUUAGAUGUGUGUUUCUUCCUUUGUAUACCUUGGCUUCUGAGUUCUUGUACUUUGAUGCAUAUGCCCGAGUCUCCGUUAAUCUAGGAUUGUGAUCAACAUUCAUAACCUUCUUCCUUGCUUCUUCUCGUUGGAUAGUUGCACAAACAUUGUUGAAGGUAGGCAGGUCUUGACUCAUCAAGAUGUGACUCCUUAGGUCCUCGUACUCAGAGCUCAAACUCCCUAACAGCUGAUAAAUUUUGUCUUCCUCAGCUCGUUUUAGGAGAAUGGUAGGAUCUGUGGUAUGAGGGAGAUAUACAUCCAACUCAUUCCACAUGGCUUUGAGGCUCCCAAGGUGUUGAACAAAUGCUUUCCCUUCUUGUUGAGCACUGGCAAUGUCCUUCUUUAAUUGGAAGACCCGUGCAUAGUUGUUUUGAUUUCCAUACAUAUCCUGCAAAGCUUUCCAAAGAUCAUGUGCGGAAUUGGAGUAGCUAAAAAUUUCAGCAACAUGUUUCUCCAUGGUGUUGAGCAGCAAGGACAUGACAAGUUGAUCUUUGCAGAGCCAUGCAUUGUAUGUAGAGGAAGAACUGUCUGGAGCUUCCACGCUUCCAUUUACAAACCCUAACUUCCCUUUGCCUCCGAGAGCUAGUGAAACAGCUCGGGACCAAGGAAGAUAAUUGAACUCGUUCAAGAGAACUGAACACAAACGUUGAUUGGUGUUAACCUCAACGUCUGAGAAGUUUGGAGAGAGAUUGUGCCGGGUUUCCUCAUCAUGGUUCACAAAACUUUCUUCAGUCAUGACUUAGACUUUGAAAGAAAGAAAAAAUUGCAGCAGCAAGAAUGGCAGAGACAGGUUAUAAAUGAACCUGCUCUGAUACCAUGUAGAAUUUUUGAUGUGUAUUUCAUGAAGAAACAAUUACAAAUGAAACAUAUAUAUAGGAAAAGAAAGUAGACAUAAGCCUAACUUGCCUAACUUGCCUAAUUUACACAAAGAAUGUUGACUAGCCUAACUUCACUAGUCAUCCAACAUGUUUAUUUCAUGCAUGCAUUUUACACAAAGAAUGACUUGCAUGCAUUCUUCCAACAUUCCCCUUUGCCACAUUUGUAUGAACUGGAAGUGAAUGCAGGCAUACUUUCCUCCUAUUUCUCAAUCAGAAGGCCUUCCUAUAAGGAUUCAAGAUGUCAAGGAUAAUGAAUGGACGUUUCAGUUCAGAUUUUGGCCAAAUAAUAAUAGCAGGAUGUAUGUUUUAGAAGGAGUAACGCCUUGCAUACAGUCUAUGCAGCUUGAAGCUGGUGAUACUGGUAUGCUUAACUAUAUUCUGGCUUAGAGGAUUAAGAUAAAAAGUCCACAUAUUUUCAUCUUUCCAGUUAUUUCAUUAGCUUUCUCAUUCCUUUCACCAUAGAAAAAGACCUCCCAGCUGAAGUCUAGAUUUGGAUGUGAUUCUUUUUGCAGUGACAUUCAGUCGGAUAGAUCCCGGAGGCAGACUUGUAAUUGGGUUUCGUAAGGCAUCAAGAUGUUUAGAUGUGCAGGUCAAGUGUCAUAAUUUCAUAUUUCUUGAAAUUCUUCAGCCUCUUACUUUCAUACUGUGUUUUUGUUCUUUUGUUCUGAUGGAAUCCGACAUUUCUAUGCAAAUGUUAAAUAAUUAGGAAUCCCAAUCAUCUUUCCUUCCCAAUGGAACUCCUGGGGAAACUUCCUGUCCUAGCGUUGUUGAGAAUCUGGUAACAGGAAGUGGUCACUCUAGUAUUUAUCAAACGAGUACAGGAAGCAAAGACCCUUACCUAAAUGCUCUAUCAGGACAUUUGCAUUUGGCUGAUGGGGAUACGAGUUUGCAUAAUAAUGAGAACCAUAGUCACUUUACAAGUGAGGAUGUACUUCUGAGAUUCAAUCCGUUAAAAGUUACAAACUCCAUUGCGUUCUUUGGUGAGUUGACUGAUCAAUGUUGUUCAUUUCUUCCAGGAGCCCCCAGUUUUUGGGAAGAGAUCUCUAUUCAUUGCCGAAUCUGAGUCAGUACUUCUGAGAUAUAAUGUGUUAUGUUACUUUUAUCAUAUCAAGAAAGAGGGCUGUAUUUAAUUUAUACCUAGCCACCUGAAAGAGCUUCUUCAAGUUUCUUGAGAAAAAAAACCACUAUUAAAAUGUAGUGAUCGAACCUAUUUUGCACAUGAGCAUGCGCCUGAUAAGUAGGCCCUCUACUGUAAACUGAGGACUAACUUUAUCCUUGCAUUGUGAAAUCUGGAACUUAUAUCCAGGAGACAGGAACAAUGGGCUCGGAUUGACGAUUGCUCCAAGUGGCGGAGGUUGCCUGUCGACGUUCUUCUUCCUCCAAAGUGGACGUGCUCUGAAAAUUCUUGGGAUGUAAACAGGUGCAACUUAAAUCUUUAAUCUUUGUCCAUGAGAAUAUAAGAUCACUAAGAUGCAAGAUUGAUGUGUUUAUUUUUAUCUUUGCAGGUGCUCAUGUUCUGCACCAGAGGAGGUGAGCCAAAAGGAAUUGGAUAAUCUAAGACCAAGCAAAGGUAUAAUUUGAACCUUUGUGUCCCUUCUCUUUUAUAUAAUACAUUUAUCAAACACGCAUGCAUGUAUCGUUCCCAACCACAUCCGUCAAAUUAGGCAUUGAUAAAUUUUUGUUGUUCUGUUUUUCACUCAGAUUAAAAGAAGCGAAGAAUCAUAGUGAACCAUAAUGAAGCCCAGGAACACGAACCUUCUGGCUUGGAUGCCCUGGCUAGUGCUAGUGCCACCAUUCUGGGAGAUAGUGUGGAUUACGCUGAUGAACAAUCAGUUGGACCCACAACCAGACCUCCCUGUCAUCGCCCAGGUUGCACUUGCAUAGAAUGUAUUCAACCCCCAAGCGGGAAGGGCAAGCACAAGUCAACAUGUACAUGCAACGUGUGCAUGACAGUAAAACGGCGCUUCAAAACCCUGAUGAUGAACAAGAGGAAACGCAAAUCAGAACGUGAAAUGGAGAAUGCCCACAGGGAUAAUAAUGACCACAAGGACGAAUCAGAAAUGAAUGGCAUGUCAACAGAGAUUGAGUUGCAUAUGAAUCACUCAUCGGAGAAUGGAAGCAGCUGCGAGAAGAGAAUUCAAGCUGACGUGGCAGAAAGUUCAUGCGCUGGACAAAUUGAUCUGAAUUGUGAGCCCAAACACAAUUAUGUGCAGGUUUCAGGAUUGACCUUGUUGAGACUUGCUGACGCUGUUGCUCAACAACCAGUAACGAACAGCACGAAGGAAAGUGGCCUAACAAACAGAAUGUGCGAGCCACAGAGUCUUGGUUCUUCUUUACAUUCACAAGAUACUGUGGAGACUGAUAAACUCUUGUGUAAUGAAGGCAGCCUUUCAUCCGUAGCAGCGGCGUGGGACUUGGAGGGUAGAGGUAAUGAGGACUGAAACAAUCCGGCCGUGGCCCUUCUUUUUUGUCGGAAAUAUAUCCUUAUUUGGCUUUAUUUAUAGAGGGCAGUGCUAUACAUCUUUACGAGUCUUCUUUUAUUCUUCGGUGUUUCGUUUCCAUCACCUAUUAACUGUUAAUGUCGGGUACAAUUACAACUCGAUUUAAAAGUUUCCUUUUGUUCUUCGGUGUUUCGUUUACAUGCAACUCAGAUCUAAAUGAUUUGUUGGGAACUUAUGAGUAUUAACAAUGUAUGGGGUAUUUGAGUCUUUUCUUAUGUAUCUAUACACAUCAGCUAAAUGAAGGAUAUUAGAUUACUUAGUCAUUAAGUUUGGACAGCUGCUAUAUAAGGCUGGAUAAGGGUGUAAUUGUUUAGUUUUUGUUCAGUUAAUACAACAACUUCUUUUGCAAGUCACUUUUCUAUCUCGUUCUCUCUUCUUCUCUUUUCUUCUGCGAUUUCCAUAGUUUCUUGCAUUUAAGCUUUUCUGAAUGUUUCAAUGGCUGAACAUGCCAUUGUUAUGAUGGUAUCAAGAGCUUAGGUUUGGUGAAUAUGUGAAGAGGAUCCUGACGGGCUCAUCAAGCUUUGGAGUUUUUUUUUCCCGCCGAAUCUGCGAGGCGGUGGUUUCUGCUUUUGUCGACGGAGUUUUGGUUUCGGUUCGUCGGUGCUGACUCAGGUUAUAUCCACUUGAUUUUGGUGUUUUCUGGUCCAUAUUUUCUGGCCUUUGUGUUUAAUUUCAUGGUAUGGCUAUGGAUCUACGAUUUGUUGAUGUGAUACAUGUUAGGGCAUGAAGCCUAUUGUGGUUUGCUUACUUGAUGUGUUUUUGAGCACGAAGCUCCUUACAGUUUGGGCACGAAGCCUUGAUUUCUUCUAAAUUGCUGAUUGUUUGGGCACGAAGCCUUGAUUCUUUCUGAAAUUCUUUUUGCCAUUGCUGAUUGUUUGGGCACGAAGCCUUGAUUCUUUCUGACUUGCUGAUUGUUUGGGCACGAAGCCUUGCUUCUUUCUGAAUUGCUGAUCGGCACGAAGCCUAUUGUGAUUUGCUCCUGUUUGUUUCCUUUCUUGGUUCUUGUUGACGUCUCGAUAUGAAUACACUCAAAGUGGAAAGUCUUCUUGGUAUGUUCACCAUUCGGCUGCAAGAUGAUAAUUUUGUCAAGUGGUCUUUUCAAUUUCGAUCGGUGCUUGAGGGAUAUGAUUUGUUUGAUCACUUUGAUGGCACAUCGGUUUGUCCACCGAAGUUUGUGUUCACUGAAGCUAAUGGUAUCACUACUGAGAUUACAGCAGCUUACAAGGAAUGGAUUAAACAAGACCGCGCUCUUGUUAGUCUUCUUCUUGCUACAUUAGGUGAUGAGGCUGUGGAAUAUGUUGUCGGUUGUAAAACUGCACAUGAAGCUUGGAUGAAUUUGCAGGACAGAUAUGCUACUGUUUCCAGAGCACGGGUGAAUCAUCUCAAAACUGAAUUGUUGACUAUCAAGAAAGGGUCUGAUAGUGUUGAAAAAUAUAUGUUGAGGCUUAAGGCUCUUAAAGAUCAGCUACUGGCGGCAGGUGAAGUAGUGUCUGAGAAUGACCUUAUUGUUGCUGCUCUUGCGGGUUUACCGGCUGAGUUUAAUAUGAUUCGUACUGUGAUUGUGGCUCGUGAAACUCCUAUUUCUUUAAAAGAAUUCCGAGCACAAUUGUUGGCUGCUGAGAGAACAGCUGAUGAUUCGCAGUCUACUUUGCAUUUUCCUAUGUCAGCCAUGUAUUGUCAAGGAGAAUCUUCUAAUGCUCAUUCCUCACAAGAUCAAGGAGCUUCUCAGUACUUCUCUGGUGGCUAUGGUUUUGUCACUGAAGCUACUAAUUCUUCUCAAAGUACUGCUCACAGACCCACUGGUGGCAUAGUUUCUCAGGCUUCUCUGCCUCAUUUUCAUCAACAAGGAAAUGGGAAUUUUCAGAAUCAUAGAGGAUAUCAGCAUAAUGGUGGAAACAAUGGAAGAUUUAACAAUAGGUCCAGAUACAAUGGGAAUAAUAAUGGCAGAUUCUCAGGCAAUUCCAAUGGUUUUCCUGGAGGAUCAAACAGUAAUGGUUUUUCUGGAGGAUCAAACAGCAAUGGUUUUCCUGGAGGAUCAAACAGUAAUGGUUUUUCUGGUAGUUCUAAAGGAGGUUCAAAUUGGCAGAAUUGGAAUGGAAAUAGUGGUUUUAAGCCAACAUUGAUUCCUGAAUGUCAAAUAUGUCAUAAAAGAGGCCACACCGCUACUAAUUGCUAUUCAAGGUAUGAUGCCAGCUCAAGCUCUGCUCCUCCAAUUCUGGAGUGUCAAAUCUGUGGGAAGAAAGGUCAUUCUGCUCUCAAUUGUUAUCAUCGAGGAAAUUAUGCAUAUCAAGGUGCUCAACCUCCUUCUUCUUUCAAUGCUUUCACUGCACAAGCUCAUCCAAACCUUCAUUCUUCUUCUCAACAAAAUUGGGUGCUCGACACAGGGGCUACACACCAUAUGACAGCUGAUCUGGAUCAUUUGACACUUAUUACUCCUUUUGAAGGCACUGACAGGAUCACAGUGGGCAAUGGAGAAGGUUUACCUGUAGCCAAUACUGGUUCGGGUUCUCUUUUAACUUCUUCCAAACCUUUAACCCUUCAAAUGGUUUUACAUGUUCCUCAAUUAGCAGCUAGUUUAUUAUCUGUGUAUAGACUAUGCAAAGAUAAUCACUGCUAUGUUAUACUUGAUGAAUUUGGUUUCUGGGUGCAGGACAAGGCAACAAAGAAAGUUCUACUGAGAGGAAGGAGUAGUAGUAGUGGCUUGUAUUACAUUCCUCAGCAGCAGUUUUUCAACUAUUCUCAGCUAGUAAAUAAUACACCUCAAGCUCUUUUGGGACAACUUGUGACGACUUCAAUUUGGCAUCAACGACUUGGGCAUCCUACUAAUGAAGUUCAGUUGAAAAUGUUGAAGGAGUCUCAGAUAUCUGUCUCUUUAGAUAACAGUCCACAGUUAUGUUCAGCUUGUAUUAGGGGUAAGAUGACUAGACAACCAUUUCAUUCUCACUGUAAUAAGUCUAGUGUUCCUUUUGAGAAAGUGCAUACUGAUGUAUGGGGACCUUCACCCACUGUAUCUCUUGAAGGUUACAGAUAUUAUGUAAUCUUUGUAGAUGAAUGCACAAGGUUCACUUGGAUCUUUCCUCUUGUUAAUAAAUCUGAUGUCUAUUCUGUGUUUGUUAAGUUUCAUGCAUUUGUUUAUAAAUCAUUUCAAAUGCAAUAUUAAAACACUGCAAUCUGAUGGCGGAGGAGAGUAUAUGAGUAGGUUGUUUAAACAAUUUCUGGAUACAAAUGGGAUAUUACAUCUUGUCUCUUGUCCUUAUACCCCUCAACAGAAUGGGUUGGCAGAACGGAAACACAGGCAUAUUAUUGAGACUACUGUGACAUUAUUGAGUGCUGCAGGGUUACCUCAACAGUUUUGGUUUCAUGCUUGUAGUCAUGCAGUGUUUUUUGAUUAAUAGAAUGCCUUGCCAAAACUUAGAAAUGGUGUCUCCCUAUGUUAAAUUGUUUGCCCAAUCACCAUCUCUGAGUUCCUUAAAGAUUUUUGGUACUGCAGUCUAUCCCUACUUAAGACCUUAUAAUGUCAAUAAGUUACAAGCUCGAAGUGAUGAAUGUGUGUUUUUGGGCUACUCUAUUGGAUAUAAGGGAGUGUUGUGCUAUAAUCGGAAUACACAAAGGUUAUUGUUAUCAAGGCAUGUCAUCCAUGAUGAGAAUGUGUUUCCUUUUAAGAAGUCUCAUUCUUCUGUCCAUAUUUCUUCACCGGUUGUUUCCUCACAGCAAGAGUUACCAAGAAUGAGAUAUAUUGUGGUUCCUAAUUCCUCUACCCCAACAAGAGAAGAAAUUGGUGGAAAUGAUCAAUCUGUGGAUAUGCAUUCUAUGGCAUCUCAAUCUUCCAGUCUCUCUUCAAGUCCAGUUCUGCAUUCUUCAUCAGAUAUACAAGCUACUACACUACAUCCCUCUCCUUCUUCCUCUCAAGUGUUGCCUGUCCUUGAUCUUGACCAAAAUCAGGUAUCUUCAUCUCCUGUUAUACAUACUUCUUCUGAGCAUAAUAUGGUUACACGUUUAAAAAGUGGAGUCCUGCAGCGAAAAGACUACUCUGCUUAUUAUGCUUUUGCCUCAAAUACUUCUGUUGAUAAUGAUGUGAUGUUUUGUGGAUUCACUGCGAUUCUUAACAUUCAUGAUUCACUAGAACCUUCUCAUUAUAAACAAGCUGUUCUUUCUGAGGAUUGGAGGAAUGCUAUGAAGGAAGAAUUUGUGUCUUUACAAAAACAAGGUACUUGGGAGCUCGUACCACCUCCGGUUGACAGAAAUGUCAUAGGGAGCAAAUGGGUGUACAAGAUCAAGAAGGAUCAAGAUGGCAAAGUGUCCAGAUAUAAGGCACGUUUAGUUGCUCAGGGUUAUAGUCAGGAACAAGGAUUGGACUAUGAUGAGACUUUUAGUCCGGUAGUAAGACAUACAACAGUGAGGCUGGUUUUGUCUCUUGCUGCUAUGCAAGGAUGGGAAUUGCGGCAGUUGGAUGUCAAGAACGCUUUUCUUCAUGGUGAAUUACAAGAAGAAGUUUUUAUGAAACAACCUCAGGGUUUUCAAGAUCCUCAGCAUCCUAAUCAUGUGUGCAAGCUUCUCAAGUCCUUAUAUGGUCUUAAACAGGCUCCAAGGGCAUGGAAUGCCAAGUUUACAAGUUAUUUACCUUCUUUAGACUUUCAGUCAUCUCAUUCAGAUCCUAGUUUGUUUGUGAAAGUGUGUGGGAAUGAUGUAGUGAUCUUGUUGUUAUAUGUGGAUGAUAUCAUCAUCACAGGUUCUUCAUCUUUCCUUAUUCAACAAGUGAUUGCUGAAUUGAGUAGUGCUUUUGAUAUGAAGGACAUGGGCAAGCUUACUUAUUUUUUGGGACUUCAAAUCACGUACAAAGAUAAUGGUGAUAUAUUCAUUAAUCAAUCCAAGUAUGUGACUGAUCUACUCCAUAAGGCCGGCAUGAUAAAUUGCAGACCUUGUUCCACUCCAAGUAAACCUCAUACUCAAUUGGUCAAAGAUGAAGGAGAACCAUUAGCUGAUCCUACAGUUUACAGAAGUUUAGUUGGUGCAUUGCAAUAUCUCACCUUUACACGCCCUGAUAUUGCAUAUGCGGUCAACUAUGCUUGCCAAUUCAUGACAACUCCAACUGAAGCUCAUUUCUGUCUCGUUAAAAGAAUCCUCCGGUAUUUGAAGGGUACAUGGCAAUGUGGAUUAACUUACUCUGCUCAAGCCAAUAUGGAUUUAUUGGCUUAUAGUGAUGCUGAUUGGGCAGCAGAUAUAAAUACAAGGAGGUCGACUACUGGUUACAUUGUUUUUCUGGGCUCAAAUCCUGUGUCCUGGCAGUCUAAGAAACAAGGCAGUGUUUCUCGAAGCUCAACGGAGGCUGAAUAUAAAGCCUUAGCUAAUGCAGCAGCGGAUGUGGCUUGGAUCCGAUUAGUUCUUAAGGAUCUCCAUAUGUUUCUUCCUUCAGUACCAUUGGUACAUUGUGAUAAUCUGUCUACAUUGGCAUUGUGUUCUAAUCCAGUUUUUCAUACUAGGAUUAAACACUUAGAUACUGAUUUUCAUUUUGUUCGUGAACGGGUGCAAAAAGGUGAUCUGCAGGUACAGUAUAUUCCCACUGAGGCUCAGAUUGCAGAUGUCUUAACUAAAGGAUUACAUAGUCCUCUGUUUGUUCAUCAUUGUUCCAAUCUCCGACUGGGAUAUCCCAGCUGAGAUUGAGGGGGAGUAUUAACAAUGUAUGGGGUAUUUGAGUCUUUUCUUAUGUAUCUAUACACAUCAGCUAAAUGAAGGAUAUUAGAUUACUUAGUCAUUAAGUUUGGACAGCUGCUAUAUAAGGCUGGAUAAGGGUGUAAUUGUUUAGUUUUUGUUCAGUUAAUACAACAACUUCUUUUGCAAGUCACUUUUCUGUCUCGUUCUCUCUUCUUCUCUUUUCUUCUGCGAUUUCCAUAGUUUCUUGCAUUUAAGCUUUUCUGAAUGUUUCAAUGGCUGAACAUGCCAUUGUUAUGAAUGAGAAAGGAAAGAACGAAGCAAACAAGAAAAUCCGAGCUAGGUGGUCAUGACGAAGUAUUUUUAUGUCCCGUGCUAGGAAGCAUUACUCUUCCCUUUCAUUCCAAAUUAACAAUAUGGCCGAUACGGUUAACUAGUUUGUGUGCCUCUCCUACUUUUUGUAUCCCAUUCCCCCGGUUUUUCGGAUACGUUUUGAUCCUCCUACGCCAAAUCUAAAUUUGUGAAAAAUAACAUAAUUUAUGCGCACUAUUUCUCACUUUUUUAAUAUUCUUGUGUAUUUUUAGUUAGGGAUUUUAUAUUAACAUCCUACAAAAUGUUGAAUGCACCCCAUAUUAAAAUAUAAUAUUAAAUGACUUAUUUACUCUACCAUGUAAUGACAAUUUUGACCUUAUUAGGUUUUAAAAAAAUAAAGAUUUAUAAAUACACCCCAAAUCACUUUUAGCAUAUUAUUUAUCUUCUCAACUAUCAAACAUGUUGAUUAAGAAAAAUUAUUUUUGACGAAUGGAACAUGAAAUCGAUGUUUCAGGAGCUUCACAUGAGGUAAGACUUCAUAGUUUUCAUUGUUUUAGUGAUUUCGAUGACAUCGAUAAUUAUUUAAUUUUGCGUUUGCUGCAUUAUUUAAACUUUUAUAUUCAUAUUCAUCUUUUAGUGUUCAUAUGGUUAGAUUCAAUCCCUGAAAAUUAAAAAUGAGUGUUAUAAGAAAAGAUAUGCUGAAGGUGAAAAAAUGUGUCUGCCAAGCCCUAUACAAGUGUCCCCUGUCAAAAUUUUUCUUUUCCUAAACUAUUACGUUAAUCUUGAUAAAUAUUACAAAUUUUCAGUGAAAUUCACAAGUGCUUCUCUUUUUUCUGUUUGCUCAUUCAUACUCAUGUUUAAUUUUCUCUUUUAAAAUGCUGCUCCAUCUUUGAAUCCAAACAGAUACAAAAUGCAAUAAAUCAUAGUUUAUUUGUCCAACGACAAUAUUAAACGGCCAUUUUUGUUUCAUCAACUAGGCGUUAAAAUUCAUUAAGCAAAGAGUGAAGGCUUACAAUUGGCAUGAAGAAUACGAAUUGAUAAAUUACUGGUGGAAUCAAGCUUUGUAGUCACAGUUCAUUUAGUGUUGUAAGGUCCCCUUGUUUUGGUCUGUCGAGAAUUGCUUUCAAGAUUUUGGCAAUGCAAACUUCAGCAUGUCUACAGACAGAAGAAUUUUGUGGCAGACAGUUUAGCGACCUAUAGUUUUGAUUUAGAUUUAGGUAAUUUUUAUUUUGAUACUCUUCCUUCUUAUUCAGUAAGUUUGUUUGGACUCUUGCUUUUAGCCCCGCUUUUCAAACAAAAAAAAGAGAGUGAAGACCAAUGUUUUGAUACCAGCACACAUUUUAUUACUGGCUGUAGUAGGUGAAAAACAAAAACAAUAUUGGCCGGCCACGGAUUAGUUAUUUUUUUCUUGGCCGGGUUGAUCAUAUCCGUUAUCCAUGUUGAUUUAUAUCCAAUUUUAUUGUUUAUUUAUUUAGUUUUUUCUUCAAAUAAUAGAAACAUGGGAUGCAGUUCAUAAACUAAAGGUUUAAGAAUCAAAUUUAAACCUAAAUUAUUCACGAUGUAUCAGAUUUUCUUUGAUUCAAACACAAAAGAAGUCUUUAUUUAAAAUCGAGGAAGAAACCAUCGCACUACGAGGGUCAAUAUUGGUUUGUUUUUAUUAGCUAAGUCAUGAAAUGACAAUAAGUUUUUGUCUGCUAAUUUGCUUUGUUUUAAUCCCAACCUUAUACAAAAUAGAGAAUUUUAACAAAAAAACUCCUGAUACUGUUUACUUUAACGAAAAACCACAUUUUUACACUAAAAAGUCAAUCAUGUUAUCAUUCACUUUACCUUUUAUUUUGUCCUUAUCGUUAAAACUCAAAAUUUUCAAAUUUUUUUCAUUAGUUCUCCUUACAAAAUAACCAUUCACUUUGCAACAUUCAUAGGCUUUUUUAGACAGAUUUUAUACGUAUACACGCAUUCUAAACUACUCUAAUUUAUGGGAAUGAUUUGCACUUAAAUGCAACCGGACGAACGCGCUUUCUCUUGCCAACUGAUCUAAUCCAGCUUAACAUUCAAACCAGUUAAAUAGUGUAGCAUGGGGAAUAAUUAGUAAUUUAUAUGCGUCAAAGUUGAGGGCCAAUUCAACCCAUUUUUAUGGGGGGUUUUGUAAUACACAUCACAAUCCUUAAUACCUACCUUGUUUCAAUAUGGGAGAAAAAAAUUAUGUUCAAUGUCCACGACCGGCCCUUCAGCUUGUCCUUUUAUUACCGUCUUCGUUCUCAUUGGAACCUAUUAAACCAACUUAAUCUCCCAUCUUAAUUCCAACCACUAAUUCACUCUUAAACAUUUGGAACCUAAACAUCUCUCUCUCUCUCUCUCUAAAAAACUGUAGAGAUGGGGGACAAGGCAACAUUAAGCAAGGCAAGAAUGGAGCUUGAAGACAUGUACCAAGGCAUCCCAGAUGAGUCAGUUAACCUAACUUUCCAGGACUUUGCAGAGCUCAAACUACACCAAGUUACAUCAGAAAAGAAAAAAAAACCUACUCCAUUAUUAUUGAAUCCAAUUUCUCAACUCAAAUCCACCGCACAAGCAUCCUCCCCCUCUCCUUUGACCAAACUCCCCAGCCUUGACUUCAACCGUGCCUUGCAAGCAUCCAGAGAUAACCACCACAACAACGAAAACAAUGUCCCUGUCGGUCCAUAUGACAUUGGUAGUAACAAUGAUUAUAAUCAUCAGCAUAUUGAUCAUCAUAUGAAUAGUCAUCAUGGUCAUCAACGUGAAGUCAACCAUGACAUGCAGCAUGGUCAUGGAGGUCACGGUCAAUAUAUGGGUGGUGGCGACCAUCAUCAUAACCAUCAGAUGCAUCAUGGGAUGCAACAUGGUCAUGAUGGCCAUGCAGUUAAUAAUGGUCAUCAUAUGAGUCUGAAUAGUCCUGGUCCCACGUGUAAUUCAGGUAUGAAGCAUGGAUUGGAGACUAGCUUGGGGGCUUUUGAUCAUGAUGUGAGUGGUGUGAGCGGUGUGAGCAUGGCUUCCAUGUACCAGAAAGAGAGAGGAGGAAUAAGAAGGCCUGGGAUUCCCCACUCUAAUAUCUGCACCCUUUGCAGUACCUACAUCUAUAUUUUCCGCCACCGUUGCCUGGUACGUGUUAUUUGUACAAAUUUACAAUAUCUAAUGCUUGGUUUAUCUGAUAAAAUAUAGAACACAUGUAUGGAAAUGGCGAUGGAUCAGAUGGUAGUAAUUUAAUUUUGUGUGCAGGUAUGUGGAAGAGUGUAUUGUAGACAAUGCGUGAUUGUAGGGAUGGGAGAAAUGACAGAAGGUAGAAAAUGCAUCGAGUGUUUAGGGAGGAGAUUCAGCCAAAGGUAUGGUCAAGUUAAACUAUGAUUUAAGUUUUUUUCUACUUAGUUGAAUUCCUAUCACAUACAAUUACUAGAUAUUUAGAUUCAAGUCAUGAGCUCAACACGAUUAUUACCUACGAGUAACUUUAAAAUGAUUAAAUUUUCUUAUUUUAACCGUUAUUGGCAUUCUAUGAAGAUAAUCAUUUAUUUAUUCUAUAAAGAAAUAGAUUAGCGAAAUUGUACUUUAUGAUGAUUAUAAAGUAUCAAUAACAGUUCUUUUUAAGUUUUUGGCAUGUGGAAAGUUUUUAUAGAAAAUGACCUACUACAUGGUUAGGUUUGUGGUGAAAAUGUUAUUAAUUAAUUAUGUAAAUAACAUUAUGAGACCGAGCUCUUAAGUGCUUAAACACUGCCCUAAAUUUACUAAUUAUUAUGUAGUUAGUGGUACUUUCGCUUUCAGUGUUGAAAUGCGUCUCAAUUAAUCUGAGUCCUCUAUCUCACUCCCAUUAAUAAAAAAAAAUAUCACAAAGAAUAAUAUACCAUUUUCAUGGAUUGUUUUCCACUCCUAAACCAUAGAUUGGACGAUAUGGUGUCAAACACUAGAAAAAAUGGUAAUAGACUAAUAUAUGCUCAAGAAAAACGAUGAAAACCAUUAUAAUGUUGAAUUUUUUAAUACAUCAAUUGUCAUACAUGUAACGAUAAAUUACAAGCAAGCUACACAACUAAAAAACAAACAAGAAAACUGAAAAAUAAACAAGGGCCGGCAAUGAGGUUGUUCUAACCGACGGGGCCGAUAGUAACAUAUAAAUUACAACAUAUAAAAUGUAUCGUAGCGUUGCUGUCCUUGGUGUUGAGAGUUGUCCCACAUUGGUGAGGGACAAGAUUUGUUAUGUGCUUAUAUGGUCUUGAGCUACUCUCCAUAUAGCCAAUUGAUUUUAUGGUGGAAUCAAUUUCAUCACUUGGUUCUUCAUACUUGGUACUUCACAAACGGACAGUGGCCUAAUACAAGAAGAAAGAAACUCCACAACAAGAUGUUUGGAUAAAACAAUAUUUUUGUCUCAUUAUUUAUUUUAUGACACAAGUAAAUUGGCUUAUAGGUACAUACAAAGAGCAGGGAAGUUUAGGUGUUGGUCAAGGUACCCUUCCAGGGUGAAGCAAGCAGAGCUCAAGUGGGCUGAGAAAGGGCCGAGAAGAAGUACCGGCAACGGAGGCUAUGGCCGGAGCUCGAUGACAUCGCCAAUAUCAAAAAGCCCAGUGACGCCGAUGACUCCGAGGACCCCAAACAGAGGCCAUGCUAGUGGCCCAAAUUCUUUUGUCAUGAAUAGUUCAUCAUAUUCCCCAUAUUCACCAAGUCAUCGCCACCACCUUCCACUCUAGAGAGUUUGGAGACCACAAUUUAUCCAACAUUCUCAGUUUUCUUAUGGUCACUGAAUUAUUUCCCAAACAUUAUUCUUCCAGUGGUUGGAUUUUUCUUAAUUAAUUCAUCAUUAUAUAUAUAUAUAUAUGUAUCUUCAUUUUGUGUUAACAUUUUAUAGAUAUCAUAUAUUACAUAUAGAGGUGGCAAAUCAACCUAUUGUGUUGUUAAUGGGUACCUGUUAAAAUCCGUUUAAUUUGAAAUCACCAUAAUAUUAAAGGAAAAAUUGGUAGUGACGAUGAUGGUUUAAGGUAAAAUCAAACUAAAUGGUUGUCCAUUAACAAUCUAAAUGAUUGAUUUUUCACCUCUAAUUCCAUAGCCUAGACUUUGCUAGGCUGGGAAAUGUGGGCUUUAAAAUCCCUGGAGGCAGACAACUUGAAGAAACGAAAGCUUGUAAUAUAUGAGGCAUGAGAUAUGCUAUGAGAUUAGCAAUCAAAAGAUAAAAUGAAAGUCCUGAGUUAGCACAUCUGGUAAGGAAGAGUAGGUAAUCAUUACAAACAAAUUAAGAGAUGUUUGAAGUUCAAUUCUCUCAAACGCAUAACUAAAAAAUAUUUACGGAUAAAUCAUUACAAAAAGAAGGAUGAAAUGAAUAGAAAUUAAAAUUAAAAUGAUUCAACUAAAAAAAGACGUUGCGGGUAACACUUUUUUUUUUUUUGGGCCAAACAAUAGAAGAAUUGGGGUGGAAGGGAAUUUGAAAAUGACCUUAGAUGCAGAGGUAAAUGUUCUUACCAUUUGGACUAUAAGUCCACAUUACAAACCCUAAUCCGGAUGUGAACAGGAUUGAGCAAAUAAGGCUAUAGUAAUCCGUAAAAAUUGAGGGAAUAAAGUAAGAUAUAUCAAGGAAAAGAGUUAGGUUAACCCAACUUUAUUUUAUAAUGCAUUAAUAAUUUCAUGAAUUCAUACAAGAUUUUCUUUUGAAGGACAAACGAAUAUUAUCAAACACAAAGCAUGAGGCAUAAACAAGCAUUGCACUAAUUAAAGCUUUCUUGAUUUGAUCUUGAUUGGGAGACCCAUGGAUGGAUAUGGCGCUGGGUUAGGUUACGAUUUAUCGGUUCCUCAAGGUGCAACUUUGACCACUUAAAACAUUUUCACCAAAUUGUGGAUUGUAACAAGUCACUAUAUAUAAAAAAAAAAGUCUUUCAGUCAUAACGAAAGUCGUGAUCGAAAGUACAAAACGUUGUGACUAAAAUAUUUAGUCACAAAAAAACUCUGUAAUUGGAUUGUGACUGAAAACCUCGUGACUAGUUGAUUUAGCCACAAAAAAUAAACAUUGACCGACUAAAAUGUUUAGUCACAACUUGUUAAUAGAAAAUUAAACCAAAUCCUGACUUUUAGUCACAACAUCUUUUAGUUUCAAUCACUCUUCAUGACUAAAAGAUUUAGUUACAAGCCCUUAUGACUAAUAAGUAUAUAGUCACAACCAAUUUUCAUGAUGGAAAAUCUUAAUAAAGCCAUGAGAUGCAGAUACAAAUGAUCAAUUCUUUGCAAGGCAUAUAAACAAAGCCUUGUGUAGUAAUUAAGGCUUCCUUGGUUUGAUCUUGAUUGGGAGACCCAUGGAUGGAUAUGGCAUUGGUUGCCUGGUGAUAGCUUCAUCAGGGUACACCGAAGACCACUCAUACAUUGUCACCAAGUUGUGGAUGAUAGUGAGCACUUCUACUCUUGCAAACUCAUUCCCUAUGCAAGUGUGGAGGCCUCCUCCAAAUGGAAUAUAAGCAUAGGGAGGGAUUGGUUUUGAUGGGUUCUCAAACCUUGAUGGAUCAAACUCUGUAGGCUUGUCAAAUAUCUCUUUGUUCAUAUGAGUUCCAUGGGCCACCCAAAACACCUGCAAAACCAAAAUUCACAUGUUAAUUCUCAUUCUCAAGAGUUGAACUCGACCUUCUUUAAAAGUGCUAGUCCGAAAACUAGGCACAAACUAGGAGUGGCUUGGGUGCACUCUAGGAGAGACAAACUAUCUUGAAACUAAUAUAUUGUCCCGGUGUACAUAACCAGUGACAUAGAUGAUUGUCAUGUACAUCAUUUGUCAUCUAUUAGAUAGUUGCCAAAUGGUGUCACUGAUUACAAGAUAGAAUCUCUCGUGCACUAGACACCCCAAGUAAAAAAGUCCUAACAAAUAGUUUAGUUCUAGGUUGUUGAUAUGAUAUUUGAAGAUGAUGAUAUAAAUAAAAUGUUGUUACCUGCCAUCCCUUGGGGAUAUCAUAGCCACCAUAUUCAAUGUCUUUAAGUGCUUUUCUAAAGCUGCCAAACACAGGAGGGAUAAUCCUCAUCAACUCUUGUGCAACUCUCCAUGUGUAUUUCAUCUUUUGUAUCUCAGCCCAAGUCAGCCUAUUUUCUGCUCCCUCCUCCCUCUUCCCUAUAAUGUCCAUUUGUUCUACAAGCAAAGAAAAUACAGGCAUACAAAUUUAGUGAGAAAUUUGGGAUGAUCAAAAAGGAGAUUUACCUAAUGCAAUAUUAUACCCUCUAAAACUUUGUUGUAUAUCUCAGAGUCUUUGGACAGCUUCCAUAUCAUCAGGCUCAGAAGAAUGGCUGAAGUGUCGUGACUAGCUACCAUCAAUGUGACAUAAUUAUCCACGAUCAAAUCAUCUGAAACAGGUUCUUCAUUUUCAUCUCUUAAUGCUAGCAAUGAUGAGAAAACAUCGCUUGUAGGGCUUAAUUUUCCUUUUGAAAACGCCUCCCUUCUUUGCUCAAGUAUUGGCAAAAUCUGGUUAGCAAUCCUUGACCGGGCUCUUAGGCCUUUCCAGUAAACAGUGCCAGGGAAGUUAACAGGAAGAGACCAAACUGCUUUGAAUGCUAAAGAAAAAUCAUCAAACAAAACCUCCCUGGUGCGCUCAUCAUCGAUGCCGAAAAGGAUGCUGGAUGCUAUGGUGAAUGUAAAUUUCUUCAUGGUGACCACAACUUUUAUGGUGUCCUUGUUUUCGGUUUCUUUUAGUAACAUGGUCUUGAUCAGUCCAUCCAUUCGUUUAAUAUAGUUCUGUAGACUUUCUGGCUUUAAGAAGCUCACCAUUGCUCCCUUUACCAAUCUGUACCCGCAAUACGCACGAUAUUAAUUAUUCGUCAUCCUAUUGGACCAAAUUCGUGACAUGCAUUUGUUAUCAGACUGUAAAUCUUAAAAUAUAAAGUGUUUGACUUUUAGAUAAAGAGAAAAAUCUCCCGAAAACAUAAGACGAGGGCUUAUUAAGUACCUUGAGCCUGUAAGUUCAAAUAUAUUUUGCUUUCCAGAAAUGGCUACCAGGGUGACAGGUUGCUUGGCGGCAAGGACAUCAUCCUCAGCACCAAGGACGAACUUGUUACCCGCUUGACCAACAACCACCACAGUGGGGGAACCCAUCAAGGAGGUUUUGAACAUUGGUCCAUGCUUUGAUGUUCUCUCUUCGAGCCAUUCGGGUCCUUGAUCUUGUUUCUGUGCUUGAAGAAAGCUGAACGUCUCUCCGAUUAAGGGAAACCCUAAAGACCCUCCUGGCAGGUUUUUGGUCUGAUCCUUAAACAGAAAUUUUGAAAGGAAAAAAGCGAUGAACAAAGUUAUUACAAUUACUGCAAUGAAAGCUGCCAUGUUUGUGGAAGAAUGCUAUGAUCAGAGAGACAUUGAACUAAAUGAAUAUAUGCUCAACCAUGGCCGGCUGCUACAAACAAACCAAUUGAAAGUGAUGGAAAUAUUAUAAUGGAUUAUUAACUAAAUUGAGUAAACGGCAACAUGCACAGAAGCAUGGCUGCAUAUUCUUCUUCCUUCAUUUUGAAUCUAAGGGCCUUCAAAACUCUGACCUGAUCUGAGAGCAGUCAUCUCUUUAACUUUUCAACAAACUUGCAUGUGUUUCUUAAGAAAGUUAAAGUUUCACCAUAAAAUUUAUUGGUAAUAUGAGUAGUAGUCCAACAUCUUAUAAGCAGUCAGUCAAUAUGCUCUAAUAACAUAGAGAAAGUUGGGGUUCCGUCAUAAAAUCAACUAGCAAGCCUUUGCAAAGUUUCUCAUUUCACCGAUGUGAGACUUUUUUACCUUCACAUCCUCAUAGUUUUAAAACUUUUAUCACUUGCAUUUUUUUGUUUUAAAAAAAAAUCAUGAAGAUGAGAACCUCAACCAAUAAUAAAUUAACGUUUUAAAUUUUACACUCGAAAUUCUAUGUUCGAUUCUCACACUUCAACACACCGUUUUACAUCCUAAACUUCUAGUCAUUUUCAAAAUUAAUUCUCUCAUAACAAGAAAUAUGAGUGAACAUUGUUCGAACCUUUUUAAUUAACUACCAAAUACAGUUAGAUUGUGAUUAGUUUAUAAUUAAAAAAGGAUUAUUAUACAUAUAAUUGAGCCAUAUGGUUUGGGAUAACAAAAGUAAACGAUGAACACUAGACCCUUUCAUUUUCAGCAUCGAUCGUCACAAUGGUUUUUUAUUAAUUAACGUAUCUAAUUAAGCAAUUAAUAGACUCUUUCCACAGCUGACGGAUAUGUAAACAAACAUGAUAGAGACAUGCAUGUUAUUGGCACUUAAAAUGUUAUUGUGUAUUUCUUCAUGUACAUUUUCUAAUAGGGGUACUACUUGUGUCUCUUGUGAUUUCAUAAUGAGUUCUUUGUGCAAACUUUCUUAAUCCUGGUGUAGCAUUUGUCCCCUUAUCGAUAAUGGCGGAGCCACCCACAAGGUUUAGAUGGGCUGUAAUCAGGAGGGUUUUUUUAUAAAUUCAUGCUUUAAUUGCUUAUGUUAAUGCAUGUAGUCUAUAUAUUUCUUUCAAUUUUAAUACAUAUUAAUAUUUAAUGUAUACUUAUGCAUUAUAGGUAAUAAAUAAUACAUUUUAUGCUAAAAUAAAAUGAGUUCUCUCUCUAUUUCCCAUCCUUUUGCAGUGGUGGAGAAGAGUGUUGUCUUCGCACCACAGCGUGUUGCCUAAUUUAACAUCUAAUCUAACAAAUCUAUCGUUUGACCCAAAAAAAAAGACUAUUUACCAUAUGCAAUCUAGCCAUUGUGAUUCUUACUUAAGAAAAGAAAAAGAUUUUGUUUUAAUCAACCAUUAAACCGCAAGCUCCGCAAUUUCCUUACCUUCCGUGGAGAUUUUCCAAUGAAUGUCACAUUUGGUACAUUCUUAAUCUCUUUAUUUACUAUUCUUGAUUUAAUUAGUAGGUUUAUUAUUUAUAUGGUCCUUGAAUUUGUCGAUUAGAUUACAAUUUUGAGAAAAGUUUAUAUUUCAUUGUAGUUGUUUCAUGUUGAUUAUUAUAUAAUUUUAUAUAGGUAAAAAAAUGAACAUAUUAAUUUUGUGGUACUGCUUUCAGCUAUAUAGCCCACUCAAGAAAAAAAAUUAUAGCUCCACCCAUGAGAAUUGCAACAUGCUAAUAUGGUCAGACUUUUAAACAUGUGUCGCAGUUCUAAGAAAGGGGCAAUGCCACACUAGAAUUAAGAUUUAGCAAAAACGAUUCUUUUAUAAAUGAGGAUUAUGACAUUUUUGAAGUGCCAAUAUAAAAACUAGAGUAAAUUACAUAGUAGCCCCUCAGGUUUGAGGUCAAUUACAACCUCAUACAACAACUUUAAAACAUUUCACUUUCAUACAUCCAGUACCAUUUUAUUUCAAAAUAACACAUCCGUUAGAUUUUCCAUCCAUUAGUCUGUUAAAUGCUGACGUAGCUGCCACAGUUGUGCCACGUGGCUGCCAAAUUUAUGCCACGUGGCAAAAAAAAUAAUUUUUUAUACAUUUAAAAAUAAUUAAUUAUAAAAAAAUUUCCCCAUAACCCAUCUUCCCUCCCCGAGACUCACUUCCCUCUCCUGCUCCCCACCCACCCUUCCUCCCUCCAUCCCCUCCCUUUUCUCUCCACAGCCGACGCCUAGGACUUACACCCAUAAAAAUGGCGCCCUUCUCCUCAGAUCCCACAGAGCCCCCGUCUCUUCCCACAGCCAGCGCCCUCGUUUCCCUCACCUACGUCAGAACCCCCGCCGGUAUGGCCUCAUUUUGGCUCUUCUCCGACGCUAAGCACAACGACAGCAGCUCUCCCACUGCGUAUUCCAUCACAUGGUCCGAGAUGGGUUGAGGUUCCGAGAUGGGUUUUUGAUUGGAAGGGUCCGAUUGAGAUUUGGAUCGGGUGAAAGUGAGAGAGAGAGAUGAACGAAGUUGGGAGACAAGGGCAAAGAUCUGGUGCGGCGGGGGUGCACCACCAGCGACAAUACUCUGAUAAUUUCUUGGAGACUUCGUCCAACGAAAGGUGGCUCCAGUUAACUGGUCUUCAACACCUUCAGUUUUCCAACUCAUCUGGUUCUCCUCCUCAUGUAUUUUUUUUGCUUUCAUCCGAAUUUAAUCAAAACAUUGUACCAAAUCUGAAAUUUGGGUGCAUUGUAAUCAACAUUUAUUGUUUUUUCCCUUGAAUUUUUUAAUUUUUAAACUUUUUUGGGUAUAUUCUGAUCAAACCCAUAUGAGAUUUUGAUUAAAAUGUUGAAGCUUUGAUCUUUGUAAAUCUUAUGGUAUACUUUUGUAUCUAAAAUGUAGAAGCCUGGAUUGGAUUUUUUGGGGUUCUGUCAACGAAGGAGAAGGGGUGGGGAAGGUGAGGUAGGCGACGGCUCUAUGGGAUCUGAGGAGGAGGGCGCCAUUUUUAUGGGUGUGAGUUCUUCUGGGUGUUAGUUGUGGAAAGGGAUUGUGAGGGAGGGAGGGAUGGAGGGUGGGUAGGGUGCAGAGGUGGGGGGGGGGGAUGAUGAAGAUAGGGAAGAAGAAAAAAAAAAAAAGGGUCCGAACCCAGAAGAAGAAGAAAGAGAAAGAGAAGAAGAAGAAAGAAAAAAAAAAGUGGAUAACAAGUUUUUAAAAAAAAAUAAAAAAAAUAUUUUAUUUGCCACGUGGCUGACAUUUGGCAGCCACAUGGCAUACAUGUGGCUGCCACAUCAGCAUUUAACAGAUCCAUGGAUGGAAAAUGUAACGGUUGUAUGAAAUUGAAAUAAAAUAGUACUUGAGGUAUGAAAGUGAAAUGUUUUAAAGAUGUUGUAUAAAAUUGCAAUAGACCUCAAAUCUGAGGGGCUACUAUGUAAUUUACCCUAAAAACACACAUCUUUUGUUCCAUGCAUAUUCCAUUUUAGUCAUGCCCUUUAAUUUUGUUUACUUUAUUUAAUUUGAUUACAUAAUUAAAGAGGAAUACAUGAGAAAUUAAAAUGGCCGUGUAAAUAUCACUUCCUUUUAUUAUUCGUAUAGAAAAUAGAAAUGGUCAUUGUUGAUCUGUAUCUCCUAGCCCCUAGGCAACAAUCAUACAUGUCAUAGCUGUUUGCAAUAUCUUGUAAGCUUUAUCCCACUUGGAAAGGUACGUGACAACAAUUAGAAAUUGUCUUCCCCACUUUAUUUAAAAAUAUUGCUCGACUCCUCAAUUAUAUUUUUUUAUGAGAGGAACUCCUUAAUUAUAUUUAAACACAUGUCAUCCAUAAAUUAAACUACAAGUUGAUGAGAUAUGUCAUCGAACUAUAUUAUAACAAGUGGUGGAUUUAUAACACAUAAAAAAAUUUAUGCUCGUAUUAAUUGUAAUUUAUUUGUAAUGAAGAAUGACCACAAUAAUUCUAUGCAGUGUGGCAAAGUAAAUUGAGAUCAUGUCCAGAUCCCUGUGUCCAAUGAACCUAAAUAUUCAUUAGUCCAUCUCAUUGAUUCGCCACACACAAUUAAGAGUUCGAGUCUUUCUUUCCCUCGCAUAAGUAGCUCGAAUCUCUGAUUCCAUUGACUCUGAACUAGGGAUGGACAACGGUUAUGGUGGGCGAGUAACCGUGGUUAUUUACCCAUAACCAUUCAUGUUCAUACCCGCAUAACCGUUUACCCGUUGGGUAAUUGCAUAAACGGUUAUACCUAUACUCAUAACCGUUUAUAAACGGUUAACCAUACUCAUAACCGCAUACCCAUUUAACCGUAACCGUUUAAUACCCGUUUAUUCAUUUACCUUUUUUAACCCGUUUACUUUUUUUUCACCAUUACCUUUUUUUCACCCGUCUACAUGCUUUUUAACAACUUGAAAAUUUUAAAAAAUUGUCAUAAUUUUUUUUUUGACAAUUAAACACCGUUAUAGGUACAUUCAUCAUACAUUUCCGUAUUUUAAUUUUUUAAGUCCUUAUACCAUUCCAAUAAUUGAAAUAAUAGUUUACGGACGAUAUUUUUAACUGUUACCAAUGAAGGUAAAUAUAAUAUUUGCUAAGUAUUAUUGGGUUAUAAAAAUUGUUUAGAAGACAUUUCUGUCAAAACAUUUCUAUCAAUUUCAUGGUUACCCACAAGGAAUUUAAAUUAAUUUGGCGAAUUACUUGAUGAUGAGAAUCAUCAUUCCUGUAGCAGUGUUAUUGAGAGAAUGACCGAUGAAUUCAUUGCUAAUUUAUUGGGCGCUAAGUAUUAUUGGAUCGAGAACAUGGUUUGUGUUAGUUUUACAUAUAUAAAAUAAAUGGGUAAACGGUUACUCGUUUAUAACCGUGGUUAGUACCCAUAACCGUCCAUUUAAAUUUCACGAGUAAACGGUUAUACUCAUAACCGUAACCGUUUAAUUUAAAUGAAUGGGUAACCGCGAUUACCCAUAACCAAUGGAUAUUUACCCUUCCCUAAACGUUGAGAUCUAAAGAGAAUCUCGAUUCGUGGCAAAGUAUUUUCCUUUCAUUUGGUGUCAUCCUCUUUAGUGGUAGCCAAUGGACCCAAUGAGCAGAAACUGAACCUUGUGUGGCCCCUACACAUGGACAAUGGUUCGUCCACUCAAGUUCCAUCCAUGCAUAGCCAGCUUGCAUUUUUUUUAUUUGAAUCUUGUUCUUGUUGACUCCGGUAACUAGGCGGAGCUUACUAAGUAAGGGGGCAAGGCUUAUUCUAUUUCUGAAUUUCAUUCAAGUAAUUUUGUUCUUACUCAUGAUAUCGUUACGUGAUAUUAUUGUUUUACAUAAAUUAUUAAUAUAUAAAGAACGUCGUUUAUUGAUAUUAUAAUGUAACAAAGCUUUUAUUCAGAGAGGUUCUCAUUUUUUUGGUAAAAAUAUAGACUAUUUGUGGGAUUUAUUAUGAUACGCCUUAAUCUCGACGUGUCCACAUACCAGAGUAGGCACGUGUUGGUCGACACUCGAAGGUGAUGAAGCCAUUUUAAAAACAAGCAUACCGAUAAAACAUGUAAUUAGAAAGAUAUAAACCAAUGCAGAACUGUGUUCAGAGUAUACAACAAAGCAAGAAUAAUGUGAAAGAAUUUUUAGGAAAAUAUACGAACAAAGGAAUGAUACCUAUACUGAGAAUACUCCAGAAUACCUAUGCAGAAGUGUCCUGACACCAGAAUCAUGUUCCUUGAUCCUAACUCUUGAGGCGGCGCCAAAAUAGAAAAUGUGAGUGAACCAAAGUUUAUAAUAAUAAUACUAAUAAUAAGAAAACAUUUUAUUUUUGAACAUACUAACCCCCUAUUUUGAAAACAUAUAUAAUACUACAUAUAGGUUUUAUAAAAAUCCUAGCAUACCACGCAAAAACUUCGUAAAACAUGUAUGUGUAAAACCAUGCUCAAUAAUGCUGAAAACGUCGCCCGAAGGCAAAUCCGUAAAUCUCAUCAAUGAAGUACUCAACUAGGCGUAUCAUAGUCGCCCGAAGGCAGUACCUAUCCAUCACCCGAAAGUGAAGCUGAAUAACAUGUCCAUCACCCGUAGGUGAAGUUGAAUAACAUGUCCAUCACCCGAAAGUGAAGUUGUAUAAAAUAGCAUACAUCUAAGUUGUCCGACACUGCUUUCAGUAGUGAAGCUAGGGUAUAUAAUAUAUCAUAUCUCACUCCUCCAUCAUAUGUGUCCUAUGUGAAGAGCAAGUUACCAUUGUAAAACAUUAGUGUUAGUCAAGUUAGUUAGUUGUUAGAAUAGUUACAAAUAGUUACCACUGUAACUAUUCUCUUUACCUGUGUAAAUCUAGUUUAUAUAAAUACCUCAGUGUAACUAAUUAUAAAUGUAAUGAAAUCAUUUCUCAAUAUGGUAUCACUCGCUUAAGUCCACCGACUUCGAUCAUCUUUCUGCUACUUUCUUGCUUAUUUUCUUACCUACCAAACACCAUAGCUUCUGUCUGCAGAUCUUCGAUCUUGUUCAUCAAUGGCAGCAAAUUCUUCGAAUUCUUCCUCUCCUGUGGCUGCGAAUCCUUCUUCUCCGGCGAUCGCGGAUCCUUCCUCUUCGCUGCCUCCACAUCUCAAUCCUUCUCCAAUGAACCCUAACUCCUCCUUUCAAGCUUCAAUCAACUCCAUCACGAUCCAAAACAUUGGGAGUAUGAUUCAAACAAAACUCAAACGUCAUAAUUACCUUGUUUGGCGUUCUCUGUUCGAACCGAUCUUCCGCCGCUACAAGCUCACCGACAUGGUUGAUGGAUCUGAACCGCCACCGCCUCAGUUUCUUGCUGAUCUUUCUGGAAAUUUGUCCUCGAUUCCGAAUCCAGCCUUCGAGAUCUGGUAUGAAAAGGAUCAAAACAUCCUUAUUUGGAUCAAUUCCACUCUCUCUGAGGAUUUGAUUCCCUUUACUGUUGGUGUUCAAUCUUCCCGUGAACUUUGGCAAAAUCUUGAGAAGCGAUUCGGUGGAGUCUCUCGUUCUCACAUUCAUCAAUUGCGAUCGAAUUUUCAAUUGAUGUUGAAAGGCACUUCCACAAUAUCUGAAUAUUUGCAACGCAUCAAAGAAGUUUAUGAUGCUCUCGCUGCUGCCGGUGCCCCAGUUGAGGAGUCAGAUAUCCUUCACCUUAUUCUUAAUGGCUUGUCUGAUGACUAUGAUUCCUUCGUGGAUUCAAUUCAAUUUCGUCUUGCUGAUACUACUGUUGAUGAUCUACAUGGAUUUCUUCUUAGCAAAGAAAUGGCUCUUGCUCGUCGCAAGCAAUCUCAAGGUUCCUCUGAACCGUAUCAGGCAUUCACCUCUAUUCCAGCAGCUUCCAAUGCUCCUCCUUUGCUUCUUACACCUCCACCACAUCAGGCCUACAAUGCUCAGUCUAAUGGUUCUCAGAAUUAUUACCCUAGCAAUAAUCGCGGUAAUUUUCAGCGGAACACUUCUCAAAUGACCUACAACAACCGUCAUCGUUCCAAUCGGUUUAAUAAUUCCUCAACUAAUCGUGGUGGAAAUCGAGGUGGAAAUCGUGGCUUCCGUUCUUUCACCUCUGCAGUCAUUCCGUGUCAAAUUUGUGAGGACACUGGACAUCUUGCCAUUGACUGUUCCCACCGCAUGAAUCCAACUUUUCAAGGCCGUGUUCCGCCAGCCAAACUUGCGAUGUAUGCAUCUUCUAGUACUUCUUCUCCACCACCAUGGCUAUUGGAUUCCGGCGCAAGCUCACAUAUGACCAAUAAUAUUCAUCAUCUUCAGAAUCCACAGCCCUAUACUGGUCCAGAUAAAGUCUACAUUAGAGAUGGCCAAGGUUUGCCAAUUCUCCAUACUAGUUCUACUUUACUUAAAACACCUUCUGCAGAUUUUCAAUUAAAGAAUGUGUUACAUGUUCCCCACUUGAAGCAUGAUCUUCUUUCUGCCAAUAUGUUCUUGCGUGAUAAUUGGUGUUCAUUAACCCUCAAUCCUUUUGACUUCCAUGUCAAGGAUCUUACUACGGGGAUGAUGCUUUUUAGAGCUCCUGUCAGCAAUGGUCUCUAUCCAUUUUAUGCUUCUUCUUCACCUGCACCGAAGGUUCAUGCUCAUUCUGCAAUAAGGACCUCUUCUCAUGUGUGGCAUCAACGUUUGGGCAUCCAACGUUCAAGACUUUUCGAUCACUGUUAUCAAAGUCUAUACUGCCUGUUUCUAAUAAUGUUCAACAAUUCUUCUGCUCCAAUUGUGUUUUAGGCAAAUGUGCCAAGUUACCAUUUCAAGAAUCUCUCUGUACUACUUCUAGGUCUCUUGAAUUAGUUCAUGCGGAUGUUUGGGGGCCAGCUCCAGUAUGUUCUGUUAGUGGCUAUCGCUUUUAUGUCAUAUUUGUAGAUGAUUUUACCAAAUAUACUUGGCUGUAUCUUCUCAAACAUAAAUCGGAAGUGUUUCACAUUUUUGUACAAUUCCAAGCUCUUAUUGAGAAUCUGUCUGGUUACAAAAUUGGCACUUUAAGAUCAGACUCAGGGGGUGAGUUUACAAGUUCUAACUUCAAGCAUCAUUUGUCUUUCCAUGGCAUUCAGCAACAAUUCAGUUAUCCUUACACUCCAGCAAAACGGUUGUGCUGAAAGGAAGCACAAACAUAUUGUUGAGACUGCUCGAACCCUCCUUAUUGCCUCACAAGUUCCUCACAAAUUCUGGGUUGAAAGUUUUCUUACUGCCGUCUAUCUUAUCAAUCGCCUACCUCCAGUCAACAAGUCUUCCCAUUGGGAACAAUUUUUCAAGAAAGUUCCAGAUUACAAGUCUCUUCGGGUAUUUGGAUGUCAAUGAUUUCCUUGGUUAAAACCAUACACCAAUUCCAAAUUAGAUCCCAAGAGCAAGAUGUAUGUUUUCAUUGGCUACAGCUUAGCUCACAAGGGGUAUAGAUGUCUAGAUCCCUUCACUAAUCGGGUUUAUCUCUCUAGACAUGUUCAUUUUGAUGAACAUACAUUUCCCUUUCAUGAUCCCCACCUUCUAAAGUCCUCCACUCCCCAUACCCCAGAAACUUACUCACAUUUUUCCCUUACCUUUCCCAAUCUUUAUUCUCCUAAUUCUUUCACUUCCCGUGUUCCACCACCCAUAUCUUCCUCACCUACUCAACAUGCGUCAGUUACUCAACCUGAGCAAGUUACUCAACCUGAGCACGUUACUUCUCCUGCUCCUUGUCCUGCACCUCUGCAACCUCCCUCACCUCCCUAUUCUCCUCUCCCAGCCUCUUAUUCUCUACACCCUGCACCACAUCUUGUACCACGUAUUUCCUCUGUUCACCCAAUGCAAACCCGCUCUAAGUCAGGAAUAUACAAACCUAAGGCCCUUACUGCCACAACACAUCCUCUGCCUUCUCAUUUUGACAGUGAGUUUAUACCUACUACAUAUCUCCAGGCUUCCAAACAUUCACAGUGGAGGGCUGCUAUGCAGGAUGAAUUCAAUGCUUUACAAAGUACAGGCACUUGGCAGCUUGUUCCUUCUACCUCCACUAAUAAUUUGGUUGGCUGUAAAUGGGUUUUCCGAAUUAAGAGGAAACCAGAUGGCUCUGUGGAUCAUUACAAGGCUAGACUCGUUGCAAAAGGUUACAAUCAGCAAAAGGGCAUUGAUUAUGGUGAUACUUUUAACCCGGUUGCUAAACCUGUGACUAUACGCAUCAUUCUCACCCUCGCCGUCCAAUCAAACUGGUUUUUACACCAGCUGGAUGUAAGUAAUGCUUUUCUACAUGGUUCUUUGAAAGAGAAUGUAUAUAUGGCUCAACCACCUGGGUUCAUUGAUCAGGAUCAUCCUACUCAUAUCUGUCACUUGAAGAAAUCCUUAUAUGGCUUAAAGCAAGCCCCUCGUGCUUGGUAUGAAAAACUUCAAUCUGCUCUUUUCUCCAUGGGAUUUCAAGCUUCACACUCUGAUCAUAGUCUGUUUGUGCUGCAUAAACCUACCUUGGUUUUGGUUCUUGUGUAUGUAGAUGAUAUCAUAGUGACCGGACCUUCUUCUAGUGUCUGCAACACCAUCAUUUCUCAGUUGAGCUCUAACUUUCCAAUAAAGGAUCUUGGCGAUCUUCAUUACUUUCUAGGUCUGGAAGUUCAGAAAUCCACCUCAGGAGCCUUCAUUCAUCAAUCCAAAUACAUAUUGGAUCUUCUCAAGCGUACCAAAAUGGAUGGGGCAAAGCCAUGUGCCACUCCCCUUAGUUCUGUCAAGCUUGAUCACACUGGUUCCUUGUUGUCGAAUCCUGAGGACUAUCGCUCUAUUGUUGGCGCCCUCCAAUAUCUUACAUGGACCCGGCCUGAUUUAUCCUUUGCGGUUAAUCUGGUGUGUCAGUUUAUGCACUCUUCCCGGAAGCCUCACUUUCAAGCCGUGAAACGCAUCCUCCGGUAUCUAAAAGGGACACUUGGAUUUGGCUUAUAGUUUCCCAAAACCACAUACUUCUAAACGCCUACUCCGAUGCUGACUGGGCAGGAUGUUCGUGGGAUAGACGUUCCACUGGUGGUUUUUGCAUCUUUCUUGGUCCUUGUCUAGUUAGUUGUAGUGCAAAGAAACAGCACACAGUUGCCCGAUCCUCUACCGAAGCUGAGUACCGCUCCCUUGCACAUACCGUUGCUGAGAUCACUUGGAUCUGUCAACUCUUCUCUGAUAUUGGAUUCAAAUUGUCCUCUUUGCCAUAAAUUUGGUGUGACAAUGUUUCUGCAAUUGCCUUGGCUUCAAAUCCGGUUUUUCAUGCUCGAACAAAGCAUGUUGAAAUCGAUUAUCAUUACAUCCGUGAGCUUGUUUUGGCUAAGCUUCUUACUGUCAAAUUUGUUUGCAGUGCGGAUCAAUUAGCGGAUAUUCACACCAAAUCUCUGCCAAGACCACGUUUUCUUCAUCUUCGAUCCAAGCUUUCACUUCAACCUUCUCCGUUAAGCUUGAGGGGGUGUGAAGAGCAAGUUACCAUUGUAAAACAUUAGUGUUAGUCAAGUUAGUUAGUUGUUAGAAUAGUUACAAAUAGUUACCACUGUAACUAUUCUCUUUACUUGUGUAAAUCUAGUUUAUAUAAAUACCUCAGUGUAACUAAUUAUAAAUGUAAUGAAAUCAUUUCUCAAUACUAUGGCCAUAGACAUUUGUACCCAUGGUGUGCGGAUGUGCCGUAUGAUAACCCUCUAGGUAAGUACCAAAAACAUAACUCAAAAUCUCAUAUCAAACAUCGAAGCUCACUAGCUCAAAGUCUCAUCUCAUAAAUCCAAGAUAAAUUGUAUUCAUGAAAUCAUAAUUUAUGUUCAUAAAACCGUUAUAUAAGUCAUAUUCGAGAUCAAUAGAAAUCCAUAUAUGCAAAUCAAAUAAUUCAUAACCGUUCGUAAACGUAAUUUCGAUAAAAUUAUGAAUAUUUCGUAAACCGUAAUUAUGGAAGUUCAUAAACCAUAAUAUAAAACAUACUCAAAUCAUGAAAUACGAAAUGCAUGCUAGGCAACUAUUUUAAGAAAACAUAUAAGUUAGGAAGGGGUCCACUCACAGAUUUUAUUGCCCAAGAACCGCUUGAACUAGCGAGGAUGACAUCGCUUCUCGCCAAUGCGCCUAAACACAAUUAGGGACAUUUUAGCAAAACUCUACUAAAACGUUAUAAUUUGGAAAAACGAACGGUGGAUUGGGAUUCGGCAUGUCGAAAAACCUAAGAAGAGACCUCGGGUUUUCCCCCAUGUGCCGACGCACAUGGCGGACGGCCUUCCCGACUCAUCGGAAAAUUGAACAACUCCAAAAAUUCUAAAAUUUUACAGGAAUAAAUAUCUCAAUGAGUGGAGCAAGUUUCAUAAUUGUGACUAAGCCUAAUUUGGCCGGGAAAGACACUAAUUUCCCUCGAUCUUGCUGGAAACCCUAAAAAGAGUGGGUUUCGAUUUGCCGUCAUUGGUGCUUCGCUACCCCUAAGGUUGUUUGAGCCUUGUUCCUAGGCUUAAGGGGAGUCUAAUGGUGGUGGAGAUUGAUGUGAUUGUCUUCAGAAAAAGAUGGAUCGCCGACGAAGGGCACACGGCUACUGUCGUAACUCGCCAUAACACGGGCCAAAUUCCAUCGUUUUGUGGGUGGACAUCGAAGAAGAAGGGUCGUGAUGAUGGAUGCAAUUGAUGAGGUGUCCCAAUUCGUCAUAGAAAUGGCGCAAAACCAUCGGAAAAUCACACGUGGAGGUCGGGUUCUAACCGGGUCACAAAUGAGUGUUGGAGCAUAGAAAGAGGGUCUGGUUCGCUGGGUCUUUCCUCCCUCCCUUCUCUUCUCUUUGAUUGGUCACUCUCUCAUCUCCCUUCUCCCAAUUGGGCAUCAUCCUCUCCUUAUUCCUCAUUUUCUCUAUUUCUUAUCCAUCCACAUCCCUUCUUUAUCUUAUUUCUUUUCCAUCCUAGCCACACAAGUGGCUUUCUAGAUUUGUGCUCCAACAAUCUGGAGCCUUCUAGAAAAUGAGCAAUGACCAUUUUGUCCUCAACUUUGUUUGUUAAUAACUCAUUCGUUAUAACUCCAAAUUGCGUUCUGUUUGUGCCCACGCAUUUGUAGCGACGAGUACUAUUAGGAUACAUCAAGAAAACAGAUCUUACGUGACACGACAAGACGGUCAACAAAAGUCAACGUAUUUUCCUCGAAGAGCAUUUUCGUAAUAUCACAUUUUAAAAUUAUAAAAUUCGUAAUAAUCGGGGACUGGUCGUUACGCAUUAUACUUCGAAUUUUAACUAUUCAAACCGCCUAUAUUUAAGUCUUCAUUCAUAGAUCAUCAUAUCCAGAUCUCUGUGUCCUGAGCCGGUUAACUUAGAUAUCCAUUAGUCCAUCUCACUAGUCCGCCACACACAAUUAAAAGUUCGAGUCUCUCUUUCUCUCGCGUAAGUAGUUCGAAUCUUUGAUUAUGUUGAAUCCGAAUGUCGAGAUCUAGAGAGAAUCUCAAUUCGUGGCAAAGUAUUUUCCUUUCAUUUGAUGUCACCCUCUUUAAUGGUAGCCAAUGGACCCAAUGAGCAGAAACUGAACCUUGUGUGGCCCCUACACUUGGACAAUGGUUCGUCCACUCAAGUUCCAUCCAUGCAUAGCCAGCUUGCAUUUUUUUUAUUUGAAUCUUGUUCUUGUUGACUCCGGUAAUUAGGCGGAGCUUACUAAGGGGGCAAGGCUUAUUCUAUUUCUGAAUUUCAUUCAAGUAAUUUUUUUCUUACUCAUAAUAUAGUUACGUGGUAUUAUUGUUUUAUAAAAAUUAUUAAUAUAUUAAGAACAUCGUUUAUUGAUGUUAUAAUGUAACAAAGCCUUUAUUCAAAGAGGUUCUCAUUUUUUAGUAAAAAUAUGGACCACUCAUUAUACGUCGAAUUUCAAUUAUUCAAACCAUCUAUGUUUAAUUCUUUAUUCCAAAAAAUUCAAUAUUUCUUAAAAUAUAAUGUUUGUCAAUUUUUUUGAACAUAAUUGGAUGUCCCAAACAUUUUCGAUUUGAUUAAUAUUCUACAAAGAUGAUGUAUAGACUAUAACUUGAAAAAAAGACAGUUCCGAACAUUAAAGUUGGAUGUAAAAUGAGCCUUAGGACUAGUCCUUAAUUUUACUAGAAAAAUAGAAAUUCAUUUGAAUAAACACCAGUGUCCACCAUUGGGUACGUUGACAAUGACAAUGUGAUUGACACAUUCCACCAAUCAAGGCAUCAAGAUCGGUGUUUUGGACUGUUUGAUCACCGGUCUACUUUGCAGUUGUGUUAUCGUCAAUCAAUCAUGCAUGGUACGUGACAAAAAGUAUAUCAAGAGGUGAUUUUACAUAAAAAAAAUGUUGAUCUCUCUAACAUUACUUUUUCUCGUUUUUCGUUCUCUCCGACAAAUGGUAAUGACUUAAAUUUUACAUUGUGUUUCUUGCGAACGAGGGAAGAAAGAAAGAAAGAAAACAAAACAAAAGAAGUCAAAAAAACAAAAACAGAAACCGAACAGAAGACACAAAGUGGAGCGAAACACAUGGGAGGGAGGGACAAACAAACCCACAAUGUCCACAGAAACCACCACCCCGCCGAUGCACCAAGAUCAACACCUCCUCCAACAACCCAACCCUAACUCUAAUUUCUUCACCUUCAAUUCAAAUCCCAAUCCCAAUCCCAAUCCCAAAUCCAAUCCUAUCCCACCGCUCCCCAGAAGCGUUGGCAUUAGUGGCAAUGCCAAUGCUUCGGGACUAGCAGCGGCCGCCACGUCCUCGUCUUCAACCUCGUCCACCACGUCUACAUCCCUGAGCUUGGCGACAAUGCUGGGCAAUUCUGCCUCCCCUUUCAUCCGGGAAGAUGCGGACGGGUCCCACCUCCACCACGAUUACGGCGGGAGCCACAGGAGGGCCCACUCGGAGGUGAGCUUUCGGCUGUCGGAGGACAUGGUGGAUAUGUCCGCGGCAGCGGCGGAUCCGUUUAACGGCGGAUCGUCGACGGCGAGUCUCGAGGAGAUGGGAUCGGAGGAGGACCUGUUCUCCACGUACAUUGACCUCGACAAGCUUGGCGGGUCCAAUAAUUCGUCGGAUCAGAAUGGCGGCGGCAACGAUGGGCCCAAUGGUGGGCCUAAUGGUGGGUCCAAUGGGAAUGGCGGUGGCGGUGAUGGAGGAGGAGAGAAGAAGCUGUCCAGGCACCGGUAUAGCAGCUCGGUGGAUGGGUCGUCCACGUCGACCGGCGUGUUUGGGGAGGUCAUGGAUGCCAAAAAAGCUAUGCCUCCUGAUAAGCUCGCGGAGCUCUGGAACCUUGAUCCCAAGCGUGCCAAAAGGUCUGCAAAAUGCUCUGUUUUCUUCCUUUUUUUUCUUUCUGGGUUGCUUUGUUUUGUUGCAUUCUGUUUGGUUGCUGAGAAAAUGUGAAAUGUGAGAAGGAAUCCUAAUUGGGUUUUGGGGAUAUGGAAAUCGCGAACAUAUAAAUGCUGAAUUUAAUGAACUGAAUUCCAGAAACUGCAAAUUAGCAUAAAAAAAAUAUUAGUAACUGAUGUUGCCACAAACCAGCUAUUUUUCUGAUCAAAGGCUUUGCCUUUGCUAGAAUUCACUACUAGAGGUAGGUUGUUUCUCGGUUUUCAAGACUUUCCUUUUCGACUGAGAUCGAGUGUUAAUUAGAAUUGAACUGCAUGAAGGUUCUAUUUGGAGAAUAAUAUUUUAUAAAAUUUGGAAAAGUAUGAAUCCAUCGUCCUCCUAUUUGAGAUUCAUUCAUAUGCAUCAUAGUUUUCCUUUUCCUCAAGUUAUAUAUGCUUUUGCAUGCAUGAAAUGGAUACAGCAAUAACCGUAUUUUGCGAGAAUGUAUCAAUGGAGUACUUUCUCUCACCCAAGCAAACCAUUUAGAUUACUGCUGUACGAGUGUUUUGUACAUUCAAAAACUCAUGGUGGCAUGCAAGACUUGUGUGCCUAGUUGCCUACAAACUUCUUGAACUCUAUUUGUUUCCGGUUAAGGGAUUUUUGGGAGCCUUACAUUUUGGUUGUCAUAUAUAGGAUACUGGCGAAUCGGCAGUCUGCUGCUCGCUCAAAAGAACGGAAGGCACGCUAUAUGCAAGAACUUGAGCGCAAAGUUCAGACCCUUCAAACAGAAGCAACCACUCUUUCUGCCCAACUUACGUUAUUCCAGGUUUGUGUCGGUGUAUUUUAGCAGCUUUCGUUAAAUGUACUGCAUGUGCACAUCUUUUCUGACAACACUGCCUUAAAAUCAAACAUGAAAUCUCUGUUCAGCCAUUUUUUGUGAUCUAACAUUGCUAAUCGCUCUAUGUUAUGCAUUUUUAAAUUGAUAGAUGACACGUAGUAUGGAAAAAAAAAAGGUAUUCGUCAAUCAAAACAAAGGAUACUUGGAGCAAGUAUUUUAAUAGAAUUUCAUCAAUUCAUCCUUUGCUGCAAUGUUCUGUUAAUAUUUAGCCUUCAUUUGGUUCUGGACUGUGUUGUUCUGCUCACUUCUUACGUAUAUACACAAAUGUUUGUUAAUUGGUUAAAGGUUAUGACUUUUUUUGUUUUUUGUCACUUACAGAGGGACACAACAGGUCUGAGUACUGAAAACACAGAACUUAAGCGUCGGUUACAAUCUAUGGAACAACAAGCUCAGUUGCGCGAUGGUGAGCAACAUGCCAACUUUUAUCAUAUUUGAUACUCAAAACUUUUCUUAUUUCUGAAUUAUAUCAGAAGAGAAUGGUCUUAAUCCAACUGGUACUUAUUUUGUUUGAAAUAUUUCGUGCAGCAUUAAACGAAGCACUGAAGAAGGAGGUUGAGAGGCUCAAGAUUGCCACAGGGGAGAUGAUGAGUGCUUCUGAUUCAUUCACCUUGGGAAUGCACCAGAUGCCAUACAACCAUCCAUCAGCUUAUUUUCCGCUUCAACAACAACCAGGACCGGCUAGUCACCAGACCAUGCAUUUGCCACAAUUCAAUCAUUCCCAGUCUAGUAUGCCAACCCAACACCUGCAUCAGGCAAAUUCUCGUACUCAUCUUUCAGAUAUGUUGCAGAAUGGUCCUGUCGGUCAGUUACAGGGACUCGACAUUGGUAGCAAAGGAGCACCUCUCGUGAAGUCUGAAGACCCCUCGCUUUCUGCUAGUGAAAGUAGUUCUACUUUUUGACACAAACUGGCUGUCGAGCUGCUCGCCUGCUGACUUGUCCAUUGCACACGCUGUCUGGUAGGUUUGUUCAUAGAUUGAUAUCCGAUCAUUUAGAGAGGCUACUCCAUAUUUAUUUCAUUAUUUAUUGAAUUUGUGUCAAGAAUUUAUUCUUAAUUGUUUAUUCUUAGGGCUGUUCCCCAAAAGUGGGAGGCACCCUUUUCAUCUGUCUGUUCGAGGUUGAUUUUUUGUGUAUGGGGGUGCUAUAAAUUCUGGGAAUGGAAGGUCAUUCCCAUGGGCGUGGAGAUGCUGUCAAUUCAUGGCAGCAUUCUCAUCCUUUGUAUCUUGUUUGUUAUGUAAUACCUUGUAACUCUGUGUACUACUGCCACAUUUUUCUUUUUCCUUUCUGAUAUAUUCAUGCUUUUCUGAAAAUCAUAUUCAUAAAAUUUACUCAUCUAGUUUUUCAUUUUAUUUUAUUUUAUUUUUUAUUUAACUUAUUGAAGUUCGGUAGACGUCCGCCUUCCGACCCUUGCAAAGUGGGGAGUCUUAUUGGCAGGGUCACCCGUUACUUAUUGAAACUUGGCACACUGUGGUAGCUGUAAACCGGAUGUAUUUACUUAUCGAAUUUGAAAUAGACUCACGAACAAUGUCAUCUAGAGAAUACUUGACAAAAAAUUAACUGAAGUAUUGUUUUAUCAAAACUAGGCCGACCUCACUUAGUGGGAAAAAGUUUUGUUGUUGUUUGUUGUUGUUAUUGUUUUAUCAAAACUGAAAAUAAAAAUGUCAUAGAUAAAUUGUUCAUACAUACAGACAAUGCGUAUAUUUUGUGCAGGGCCGGUCCUGAGAUUAUGGGGGCCCUGUGUGAGACUUUAACGGAGACCCUUAAAUUGUAUAGAAUUUUCAUUGCUAUGUUUUCUUUUACAUUUUAAUUUUUAUGAUUAUGAAUGAAUUGAGAUUAAAAAAAAAAAAAUUUAGGUGGUGGACCGGUGGUUAGGUACUUAUUUGCAUCCCUAUGUUUUUGAGUUCGAAACUCCUUAUUUAUAAAAAUAAAAAAUAUAUAAAAAAAGAGAAUAAAACCCUUAAAAAGUCUAACAUUAUAGUUGCUAUGUUUUCUUUUACAUUUUUAAUCAUAAAAAAUAAUAAUGUAAAAGAAAAAAAAAAUUCUUGGUGUGGUAGCUAGUUGCCUAUUUGCCUCCCCUAAGUUUUUGGGUUUAAAACACCAUGCUUUUAAAUACCAAAAAUAAUUAAAAUAAAACACAAAACCAUGCUUUUAGAUACCAAAAUAAUUAAAAAUAAAACACACAAAAAUACCACCAUUGGGAGGACUCGAACCCAGUUCCUAGGUUAAGGAUAAUACGCUCAAGAGAAUUGCAUUGAGAGAACAAUUGAUUAUAUCUUUGCACGUUUAAAUUUAUAUAUGAAAUAUACAGAAAAGUAAAAUCGUAAAUCGAGGCCUUUGGGAGCUUUAUGCGGUGGCACUACUUGCACACCCUCAGGGCCGGCACUGAUUUUGUGUAUAAAAGGGGAUCAUUUUAUUAUUAAUAGAUGGUAAUGGAUUACGUACAAUCCUUAUACAGAACGAUUCGACCCUUCCAAAUUAUUAAGUUCCACAAAAGCAUUGUGAUUUAAACAACUAAGAGGUCUGUCUAGAUAUAUGGCUUCGAGGAAUAGUCUUCUCGGAAGCUUUAUUCUCCAUUCUCCAAUCCUCCUAUGGAUUCAGCUUACCCUGAAAAAAAUUGCACCCAAAUAUACAAUUAGUAUGCUAUUGCUUUUGUUUAUUAAUUAUCCAAUGCUUCCUAAACUAUCACAAUAGUAUCACUCUAUUCUUUGUUUUUUUCUCCUGAACUUUUAUUUUGCGUUUCACGUUGCCCUAUUUCAAUUUUCAUUAAGUGAAUCAUUACCUUUUUCUUAUGUGGACCUCAGCGAAAUAUGACCUUAGGGAUUAGUCCACGUAGGCAUCAUGUAAGAAAAAGUUAAAAGUUCACUAUAAUAAAUUAGACUAAAUAUAGUAAUUUGAGACGCAAAAUGAGUGCUCAUGAGAGCAAAGUGAUAGAGUCGCCAAAGUACGUACGGGUAAACUUUAGCAAUAGUUCAAGGGGGAUUUUGAUAAUUAAGCCAUACUUUGGUGGUAUGUUUACAAAAGUUAAAAACAUAAAGGAGGCUGAGGCUUACGCAGAGCAAUUUGUAGAGGGGUAAACUUUGUAAGGACAAGGAGAGCCACAGACAUCACCAAGAGUGUUAAUCCGGUCAUAAUUAAUCCCGGGGAUUGCUGCAGCUCCUUCCUGAAUGCAACUGCAAGCAAUUCUCCGGUCCAUCGUCGUGUUUUGUGCAGCAUUCAGCUCUUUUAUGCCUUUACAGCAAUCUGGAGGCACUGUGCCUCCAAACACUCCAAAGGGUAUGCAUGGAGUGAGCCAAGCUACCACUUCACCACAAGUUAUGGUGGCAUUACUGACAAAAGGAGCUAUCACAAAUAAGAACACUAUUGCCACGAUGACCGAAAACCUGGCCAUGGUUAGCUGCCUUUGUUUGGGUUUGGGCAGGAGUACUACACAUGUAUAUGGGGCUAUAUAUAGAGUGUGAUGUUAUGAACAACAGCUUGUGCGGUUGUGCCAUCUCAUCAUGUAUCGAAUGACUUAAACACUAACUAACUUGUUUAUAAAACUCGUUGAUCUAGUAGCAUUCCUCAUAAAAUCCAUGACAUGUCCUGACCCACACUGACUAAUUAGAACAAAGCUGACCUAACUGAGCACGUACUAACUAGACAAAUUAAUUAACUAGCUAAAUGACACGUGUUUGAUGGUGUAAGCUAAUAUGAUCUUAAUGUUGAUGUCAAGGAACGGCAAAUUAACCCAAACCACAUUCUAAUUCUGUGUUGGGUUUAAGUAGGGUUCCCUUUCGUGCCAAAAUUGUCACCCUUCAAAGUUAAGUAUGCCAAACUAUAUGUUGACACGGGUGGCCUGGGAACAAGAUAGGGUUUGACUGUCUGUCGUUACUUAUGGAGGUCAUGGGGCUGCUGCUAGAAAAUUCAAUCUUCCUUGAACAGAUGGCUCAAGAAAAUUAUUGGAAGGAAAAUUCAACGGGUCUUGAGCCUUCUUGUGGAUAAGGAUGCGUGGCUAAUCAAUUCUUAUUACUUGGAUAGGGCUCAAUAAUGUCAAAGACUAAGAUUCUUAGCGUGACCCGAGAUAUAUCCUCCUCUUUCUGUCUCUCCCAUCACAUAACUGUAUGCUAAAUCCCCCGUUAAUUAUGAAUGUUUCAACUAGGUUUGAAUUUUCCAUGCCAAAUUUAAUCCAAGAUUCAAGGCGUCAACAAUGCAAGGUUCCAACUUCUGCACAGUACACCGGAUUGACUGUUUGUUCUUUCUUUUUUUACUUGUUUGAUUGAAUUCUGUUCUAACUUCUAAAGCAUUUCUUAUUGAAAUUCUUAAAAUUGGAAUUGGACCUAUGUACGUAGGGUUGAGAUACUUUCUUUAUGAUGUGCUGAAACCUGCAUUGUUCUUAGAAUUAUUUUGUACCCGAGUCGCACCAUGUAAGGAAAAUCUGACUUAAUAGAGAAUAAUACCACUAAACCGUAAUGCUAAGUGGUCAACGAAUUAAAUACUUUGAAUUCCAAACAUUCACUGGGAGCUUAUUGAAUUAUAAGUCUUAGUUAAGUACAUUUACUAUUGAUAUAACGGCAUCGCUUUGUACAUCAAAAUUAAAAAGGAUUACAAAAUAGUUGUUUACCGAAGUUAUUUAUGAAAUUUGUUAUUACUGGCACCCCAAUUAUGUCAUCCUGGACUAUAUUAUUCAUCCUCUUGUGAAUAAAUGGGGCGCGAAGAAACGAAUCCUCCGAUUUCUCCACCGGGAGGAGGAGGAGAAGUUAUAGUGCAGCAACGACAUUAGGGAAUGUAAAGUCCACGGACUUUCUUAAUUAUGCAAGAACCACUUUGCCCGCAUUCCUCUAGACAAUAAUAAUCGCACGAUGUCGGCUUGCAUUUUUUAAGGUAAUCACGGCAACAUGGUAUUUCCUGGCAACAGUCUUGAUAAGCUUCACCUCGAAAAGCUGUAAAACAUCAAUUGAGCUCUUUUAGCUAUACGAUACAUGGUUAAUUUUAUUGAUUUAUUGGUCAGUUUUAUGUAGAUUGGGACAUAUGAAUUGAAACAGGAUUAGGAUCGAGAGACAUACAUUGUUUUGACAUACAUUCUAACGCAUUUUCUUAGGUUCCACUAAAAAUUAUAUUUCAAGGAUUUGAAUCGCUUAUUUUUUAGAUAUUUAUUCAAAGAUCAUUUCAUAAAAUCAACCGAAUUCAAAACUAUAUGUCGAACUGUAUCCGUUCAUUUUUUUUCACUACAAAUGAAUGUUUUAAUGGUUUUGGGUUUGUCUUUGCAAGGAUGAUCGAUAAAUUGAAAUAGACAUUUGCAUUUUUUGAAAGAGAUUACGUAGUGAGCCCUAAGAAAAUAUGUCAAAAUGUUUGUUAGAAAAAUAUGUAUCCCGGAUCCUGACCAUAUAUAUAUAUAUAUAUAUAUAUAUAUAUAUAUAUAUAUGUUAAUGAAAGAAGAAAGCUAUAGCGUGAACCAACAAAGCUAUAGCAUUAUACAGACCUGUGCAUAAAGCAUAGGUGACAAUACAGAAAAGCACCAGCUCUUGUGCUAUGGCCAUCUUUUAAUCUUCUCAAAUUUCUGUGGACUAUUUCAUUUAACCAGCCAUGAUAUAUAUAUAUAUAUAUAUAUAUAUAUAUAUAUAUAUAUAUAUAUAUAUAUAUAUAUAUAUAUAUAUAUAUAUGUGCAUAUGGUGAUGUAGUCGGAGACUCCUUUAACUGGAUUUCCUUUUGUGGAGGGAGAAUGGUGUAUAUCUAGGAAAUCAAUGCCCAUUUAAUUUAGAGGUUGAAAGUUAAUUACCACUUUUGAACCAUUAAUUAGGAUAUGCUGCAAGGAUUAUUAAUAUUUCCUUUUCAGAUCCGGCGUGAUCGACAGUGAAUUUGUUGAAGACUCUUUAAUUUAUUUUUUUUUAAGUUAAGGCUGUUUAAUCAUUUUGUUAAAAACAAAAAAACAAUAAUGGAUUGUGGAGGACUUGAUGAUGGAAAGUAGGCUUAUGUUUAGCAAUAACUCUUGUACUCGUUACCAAAUUUCAUUUUAUUUUUUGGGAAAUUUUAUUUGAAUCCAUAUUUUGUAUCUCAACACCCAACUUACUUUUUAUAUCCACAUUGUAUUUACUUUAUCUAUCAUUAUCUAUUUACACCCAACAUUAUUUCCUAAACCGCCAUUACUUAUCAAAACUCAACUCAAUCAAACUUCUUUUUACAACCAACUCAAUAUACUUAAAAAUAAAAAAUAAAACCCUAACCAGUUCAUCAUCUCCAUGGAGCAAAUCCCCUUCUCUCCCUUUAAAAAACCCUUCCAUCUCCCAUGGUUGUCAUUUUGCACCCCCAUCUACUCCUCCGUGGUCAUCCAAACCUCUUCCUCUUCCUUUUCUUCAUCAUUUGACAUCUCUAAAUUUCUAGAGCACUAAUUAGCUUAAUAAUCGAUAUGAGCUUCUGCUUAGAGUGUUUAAUGAGUUUGGUAUGUUUCAGUUAAAUGAGAAUCUUCUAGGCUCUAUAUUCUUAUUUGUGGUAGAAAAAUGGGUACGUCCAUGAUAACUUUUUGUCGAAACCGUGGAUAUUUAUUAGGUACAAAAGUUGCGGACAACAAUUCACAUUACAUUGAACUGUGGCUAAAAAGUAUAUCACCUUUGCAAUUUUUCUAGGUGAACUCAUAGCUAAGCAUUUUUUAUUGUGAAGCAAAACUUCGGGAAUUGAUCUAACCUGGAUGUGUAAUUGAAUUUAUGCAUUUUAAUGAUUAAACUGAUUAAUACUUCAACCAUAUAUGGAUUUGAUAUCGUAGAAUCUUUUAGCCUCUAUAUGCCACAAAAGUUGCGGAAAAAAAAUUUACAAUACAUAGAACUGUGGUUAAAAAGUAUAUCACCUUUGCACGUUUUAUAGGUGAACCCAUAGGUAAGCAGUUUUAUUGUUGACCAAAACUUCGGGAAUUGAUCUAACUUGAAUGUAUCAUUGAGCUUAUGCAUUUUAAUGAUUAAAUUCAUAAAUAUAUCGACCACAUAUGAAUUUAAUAUCGUAUUGUCUUUUAGCCGCUAUAUUGGUAUAUGUGGCAAAAAAAUGGGUACCUCAAUGAGAAAAUUUUGUAGAUCGAUGAAUAUUUUCAAUCUAGAUAUUUAUUAGAUACCAGAAAUUAUAAGUCUAUUCGCGAAAGUCUAAGUCAAUGCCACAUACAAUAUUUGUUAAGACAUAUUUAGAGAACUGUUAUUAGCACUCCAAAAAUCUCAUUCUACACUCCGCAUAAGUGUAUUUUUCUUUCUAAUUAUAGAAAGUUUGGAGUGCCAAAUGAGAUUUUUUAAGUGCUAAUAACAAUUUUCUAUAUUUAUACAUUUUAUUUUAGUUUGGAAGUCGACUUGCUUUUUUUUUUCUUUUCUUUUUUCAAGUUGGGAGUAUCACUAACUGUGACUCUGUGCAACUAGUUGUUGAUUCGUUUUGAAUAAUCAACAUUAUUUCUUACAAUGUCUUGGGCGUAUGAAUAACAGAAAGAAAACAGUCAUGAUACAAGCUUAAUAGUAGUAAUACUAAUUAGUAAACAACUUGUGCAUGAUGUUUGCUAACAACCAAGUGGCAUGAAGGGAUUGUUUUUUCUGUUUGUUUCUCGGGAAUAUUUGCAGGCCCACCUGGUUUCAUUUCUCUGGUUGUUGGAUUCGCAAGGUAAAGUUUUAUGGAUGCAUGAUGUUUGCUUAUAACCAAGUGGCAUGAAGGGACAAAUGUGUAUGUUUCAUGCAUGUAUUAGUCGUUGAGAUAUUUUGCAUCAAUUUGUUUUUGUUUUUAAUAUGUAUAUAUUAAGUUCUAUUUUAAUGGGAUUGCUCACCACCUCUAAGUUAAGAUAAUGCCUUUAUUUAUUGUUGUUAAGUGAGUUUAAUUAAUACUAUUCCAAGUCAUGCAUGAAACAUACAUAUUUGUCCCUUCAUGCCACUUGGUUAUAAGUAAACAUCAUGCACAAUUUGUUUACUAAUUAGUACUACUCUUAUUCAGCUUGUAUCAUGACCAUUUUCUUUCUAUUAUUCAUAGCCAAGACAUUGCAAGAAAUAUUGUUGAUUUUUCAAAACAAAUCAACAACUAGUCGCAUAGGGUCAUAGUCAGUGAUACUCCCAACUUGAUAAAAAAAAAAAGGAAGUCGACUUCCAAACUAAAAUAAAAUGUAUAUAAAUAUAGAAAAUUAUUAUUAGCACUCCAAAAAUCUUAUUUAGUACUCCAAACUUUCUAUAAUUAGAAAGAAAAAUACACUUGUGCAAAGUGUAGAAUAAGAUUUUUUGGAGUGCAAAUCACAAUUCCCUAAAUAUAUGACACAUCCCGACCUAAGUCACGGCGUGCUGGCCGUCACGUGAGGGUGACGUAGCCAUGUGCACAGUGCAGAAACGAUAAGGAUAAUAGAUAUACGAAUAAAUAAAAAUCGAAAGCUACUAAUGUGCACUAAUAAAGAGGAAGUGCUAGGAAUGAGAUACAAGUGUAAAUACACCUAAUCAGAGCAUAGAAAGUCUAGGUGCAGUCCUCAAAUGCCACCAACAACAAAUCAACCUAAAACCUGGAGGGGUGCAAAACAAAAAACGUGAGUGGGCAAAAACAAAGCUUUUCAAAAUCAUUUCAUUUAUCAAAUGCUCUAACCCCUCGCCGUAAAACAUGUAUAAUUUUUCCUAUAAAUGAAAUAUAAAUAUAUAUUUACAUAUAUAUUUCAAUUCAUGCUUCACAUAUCCAUAAUCAUAAGUAUGCCAUGCCAAAAAUAUAAAACAGAAUAAGUAACUCAGGUGAAAAUAAAUUCAUGGAAAAUAACAUAUUAGCCGGAACCCCCGCAAAGGUUCAUAGCUCAUUUAUCAAUCUAGCCGGAGUCAUCGCCAGUGACCUAUACGACACUACAUCUGCACACGAGUCGGAACCACCUGUAGUGGUCUGUACGACAAGACUGAGUGUGAUAUAGUUUUGCUCAAUGCUACGCUCUCAUGAUACUUGUGCAAUAAAUCGCUAGUCAGUUACGAGUCGGAACCACCUAUAAUGGUCUGUACGACAAAACUGUGCACCUAAAUUGGAUCCCAUGUGAGCAUAUGGUGCGGGAUGUGACAUUAUAAAUAGGCAUGUGCUAUAUCUCUGGCUAAAUCACUAACACUAUGGUGCAGGUUUAUGAGCUCAAUGUUUCUCAAUUAAUCACAACCGUUAUUUACAUUCACAAUUUAUAAACUCACCUGGGCUUACCUGAGCAUCCACAGCACCACAAUUAUAUAUAAUGCAUCAUAUACUAAUUCAUAUACUGAACAUAAAUUUAUAUGCAUGGCAUUUCAAGGCAUACUUUCAUUUAAACACAUUUUUUGGGAAAAUAUAAAGUAUAUAAGUAUAUACUAAAAACCAAAAGCCCACUCAUUGGUAUGUCGAAGGGUCGUAGCCCCCGAGUCACCCUUGACUACGCCCGUCCUCAGGAUAAGUCUCCCUAUAUGCGAAACAACUAUAAAAAUGUUAAUUUAAAGCACAUAACCAAUACUAGCUAAUAACUUAUCAUACAAUGCUCAAAUGAGGUGUUUGAAUAUACCAAUGUGAUCUACACAACCUCACGAACAUUCCCAUAUUUUUAGAAAAAAUUUCCAACUCUUCACGUGCCGCCACAUGCAUGGCACACUAACGGCGACAGUUAAUGCCGUCAAGAAUAUUUCGUUUAAUGCCGUCAGGAAUAUUCCGUUAAAAUAUAGGGUAUUCUGCCUAAAAACUAACGGCGUUGCCUUACACCGUUAGCAUAUUCCGUCAAAACUGACGGAAUAUGCUUCUUCUUCCCUGACGAGUCACCAGACACCGGUGACUGUUCGCCGGUUUCUGGAAAAGUUUCUAACCCUAAUUUCUCUCUCAUUUUAACACCAAACUUCAUGAAACUUGAACCAUUUUGAAGAUCUCACCAAGAUGAACAAAACCAUACCUGAGUCGAGCCCUGAAACCACCAGAAACUCGUCGAAAAAAGCCUCGAUAUUCCGGCAAAUCUUAAAACCCGUCGUUCUCGAUGAUUUGACAUCCAAUUUUUUCCAACGAACCACUCCGAGCUUCGUGAGAACCUCAUAAAGCUUCAUGUGAGCUUGAAAUCCCAAAAAACACACGAUUUUACGAUUGCAUGAAUAGUGAAAAAAAUCAGGUUAGGGUUUUCACGAGUUUUCGAAGAAGUUCUUACCUAAAAAUGGUACCAUUCAACUCGUAAGAACCUCAGGAACACAAUGGUGCCCUUUGAAUCCUCAAUCUGUGCGUGUAUGGUUGGUUUUGAAGUUCGUAUGUACGUUUGUGCGGAUGUUCUGAAAAAUCCGAGAGGGAGGAGAGAAAGAAGGCACAGGAAAGAGUGAGAGUUUGUGUGUGUGUGUGGUCCACGUGGGUGACCAACCAAAACCAAAGAAAACACUUUGAGUCCUAAGAUUUUCCAAAACUUAUGAAAAAUUUAGAAUUUGUCCAAAUAAAUUUAAACUUAAACCACACCACCAGAUAAUUCAAUUAUAUCUCAACGUCCAAAGGUAAUUUAGUAACUUCCAUGCCAUCGAUAAUUUAUUUCGGGACGGCUGUGACAAUAUAUCUUAACAAAUAUUGUAUGUGGCAUUGACUUAGACUUUUGCGAAUAGACUUAUAAUUUCUGGUAUCUAAUAAAUAUUCAAAUUGAAAAUAUUCAUCGAUCUACAAAAUUUUCUCAUGGAGGUACCCAUUUUUUUGCCACAGAUACCAAUAUAGAUGCUAAAAGACACUACGAUAUUAAAUUCAUAUGCGGUCGAGAUAUUUAUGAAUUUAAUCAUUAAAAUGCAUAAGCUCAAUUAUAUAUUCAAGUUAGAUCAAUUCCUGAAGUUUUGGUCAACAAUAAAAACUGCUUACCUAUGAGUUCACCUAUAAAACGUGCAAAGGUGAUACACUUUUUUACCACAAUUCUAUGUAUUGUGAAUUUUUGUCCACAACUUUUGUGGCAUAUAGAGGCUAAAAGAUACUACGAUAUUAAAUACAUAUGCGGUUGAAAUAUUUAUCAGUUUAAUCAUUAAAAUGCAUAAACUCAAUUACACAUCCAAGUUAGAUUAAUUCCCGAAGUUUUGCUCCAUAGUAAAAACUAUUUAGCUAUGAGUUCGCCUUUAAAACGUGCAAAGGCGAUAUACUUUUUAGCCACAGUUCAAUGUAAUGAGAAUUGUUGUCCGCAACUUUUGAAUCUAAUAAAUAUCCACGGUUUCGACAAAAAAAAAAGAGCUUUAAAACUUUGAGUUUUAAUGAUGAGGACAAAAUAAAUGGUAAAGUGAAUAGUACCAUGUUUGACUUUUUAGUGUAAAAAUGUGGUUUUUCGUUAAAGUGAACAAUACUGUGGGCUUUUCGUUAAAACUCCCAAAAAAUAAUCCACGGUUAAAAAUAUUCAUUGAUCUACCAAAAGUUAUCAUGGACGUACCCAAUUUUCUAGCACAUUUAGGAAUAUAGAGUCUAGAAGAUUCUCAUUUAAUUGAAACAUACCAAACUCAUUAAACACUCUAAACUAGAAUCAUGUCAUCCUGCACUAUCUAUCGGCACUGAAAAGUUAUUUAUCCUCUGGUGAAUAAACGGGGCGCGGAGAAAAAGAUCCUUGGAUUUCUCCACCGGGAGGAGGAGGAGGAGAAGGUAUAGUGCAGCAACGACAGUGUGGAAGGUAAAGUCCACGGACUUCCUUAACUAUGCAAGAACCACUUUGCCCGCAUUCCUCUAGACAAAAAUAAUCGCACGAUGCCGUCUUGCAUAUUUUAAGUUGAAGGUAAUCACGGCAACAUGUUUCUUCGUGGCAACAGUCUUGUUCAGCUUCACCUCGAAAAGCUGUAAAACAUGAAUUGAGCUCCGUCAGCUAUACGAUAUAUGGUUAGUUUUAUUGAUUAAUUUAUGGGUCAGUUUUAUGUAGAUCGGAUUAGGACAUAUGCAAUUGAAAUACGAUUAGGAUUGAAUGAUACAUUGUUUUGAUACACUUUCUUACGAUCCCUAUACCCUGUCUUUUAGGUAUUUUUUCAUAGAUUAUCUUUAUAAUAAUCAGCCAAAUCCAAAACUAUAUAAUCGUUGGAUUAAAGGCAAUCAUUUUGUGUUCCAAAUCCGUCAGUUUUUUUCACUAUAAAUGAAUGUCUUAAUGGUUUUACAUUUAUUUAUUUUUUAUUACACAAAUGAUCUAGAAAUGAUUGAUAAUUUGAAAUACAUACAUUCACAUAUUUUGAAUCACAUUCUUGAACAAAAGCCCUUAGAAAAUUUGUCAAAUUGUUUGGUUGAAAAGUAUGUGUCCCCGAUCAUGACCAUAUAAGGCCAUCUCCAACCGAAGGGUCCAGAGGGCCAGAGGGCCGAAAAUAGCCCUAAAACCGUCUCCAACUGAGGGCUAGGCCAGAGGGCUCGGGAAUCUGGGAGGGCCCCACGGGAUCAGAGAGGGCUGGAGGGCUGGCUGCUUUCGGCCAGCCAGCCAGCCCCGGUUGGAGACGGAGGCAAAUAUGGCCACUGUAAUAUUAAUAUCUUGAAAAAUCUUGGAGGGCCAGAGGGCUAAAACGAGCCCUCUGGCCAGCCAUCGGUUGGAGAUGGCCUAAUAUGUUAAUGAAACCAACAAAGCUAUAACAUAUAAUAUAAAUUUACUCCACCAUUUGAUGAAAAUAAAUAUGUAUUACACAGACCUGUGCUUAAAGCAUAGGUGACAAUACAGAAAAGCACCAGCGCUCGUGCAAUGGCCAUCUUCUAAUCUUCAGCUUUUUUCUGUGUACUAUUUCACUUAACCAGCCAUGAUAUAUUAGCAUGUAUAUAUAUGUGAUAGCUAUUGUGGAGGGAGAAUGGUGUAUAUCUAGGAAAUUAAUGCCCAUUUAAUUUAGAGAUGAUUUUGUUGUUAAUUAGCACUUUUGAACUAUUAGAGAUAUGCUACGGAUUAUUAAUAUUUCCUUUUCAGAUCAGGCGUGAUCGACAGUGAAUUUGUUGAAGACUCCUUAAUUUUUAUUCAAAGUUAGGUUUUUUUUUUGUUUAUUUAUUUAUUUUAUAUUAAAGAAGGGUUCGAAGCUAUUACAAUAAUUUAAAAGAGAUAAGUGUUCGAACUUAGGAUGAAUGUGUGAAAACCCAACACCGUGUCCAAUAUUCUUUUUCAAAGUUGAGACUUUAAUAAUUUUGUAAAAAAAUAUAUAAAUCAUCAUUGCACUUUUGGGGUGUUGAGGAUGGAAAGUAAGCUUAUUUUUAGCAAGAAUCCAUGUACUCUCAGCAAGUCUCAUUACCUUAUCGAGAAAAAUCGUCCAUUCGAUUGCAUUGAACUCUAAAUCAAUUCUUUUUCCAAUUCUUAAUGUUUUUUUUUCCUACAAAAGGGGAACAACGGGUGACAAACUACAAUUAUGCACCCCUUUCGAGUUCGGAAAGGCUAUGGAGAAUUUCACCCUACUCGUGGUCACAGUCAAGCAAACUCACUAGCCAAAGCAUCAAACUCGGGACCUUCUACAUUUUUUUUGUUUAUUGGGGAGCCGCAGUGUAAUUGUUAACGUUUCAAUUGGGACAUACAUGUUGCAUGCUAAAUACCAAAUAUAUGCAAUUUAAUUACCUUUGUUUUCUAUUCUUUUAUUCAAGUUAAUUUUCUUUUGGUAUAACAGUUGUUGACCAUAUCUUUAAAAUUAACUUUCCAAAUUAAGUUUUUAUACUACAAAUUCAAUGAAUUUUUCUAAUUAUGUUUUUAUUCCAAAUUUAUUUCAAUUGACCGUUUGGACAUGGCAUUUAAUUGUUUCUACUAAUAACCUGUUGUUUUCAAAUUGGUUGAAAACAAAAAUCCUUCAGUUACAUAACAUUGGUUAACAAUUAUAUUAAAUGCAUAACGGUACAAUCUUUUUUAUUUAAUUUGUUUCAACUUUGAAAAUAAAAUAUCGAUCUUGAUUGAAAGAUGUACAUACUUAUGUAAUUUACAUUUUCGUUUGAUUUAUUUUACAUCUAAAUGAGGUGGAAUUCGUAAGUUGAAAAUAAUGAGAGAAGAAGGCUACCACGUGAACUGAGAGAGGAAUCACAUGAAACAUCUCCACGUUUGAGUAAAAAUAAUAUUUACAUUUCCCAAAAUUAUAAAUGAUAUGUAAAUAUAAUUUUCACAAUUAAAACAAAUGCAGAAGCAAUAGAACAAUGACGUCUAUCAUUGACAAUUCAAAAAAAUCAUCAUGCACUUCAAACACAUAAAAACUUAACAAAGCGUCAAUAACAGUUCUUUUAAACAAUAUUAUUUAAAUAAACGUUUGUAUAGUAAAAUGAAAGAAAGAGUUUUUAUUAUCAUAAUUUGGAUUACAUACGAUCCAUACGAUCCAUUACCCAUAUUCAAAUAAUUAAUAAUCGAAUGCGACAAAAUAAAGCAUUGUGCUUUCAAUAAGUGACCCUUCUUGUAGCUAGAUUUUUAGGAAUAGUCUUCCAGGAAGCUUGAUUUCAAAGGCAUUAUUCAGUUUACCCUGCAAAUAAAUUUCAUCCAUGUACUGUUUGCAUGCUAAUUUGUACGUAAAAUUCAGUAACAAAAACGGGAAUGUGUAUGAAUUAACACAAGGCUUACUCGGAGCAGUUAGUAGAGGGGUAAACUGUGUAGGGGCAAGGAGAACCACAUCGAUCCCCAAGCGUGUUAACUCGGUCAUAAUCUAAUCCUGGAAUCAUUGCAGCCCCUUGUUGAAUGCAGCUGCACGCAGUUCUUCGAUCCUCCGCGGUGUUUUGUAUAUCAUGCAGGCCUUUUAUGCCGGCACAACAAUCCGGUGGCACGUCCCCUCCAAACACUCCAAAGGGGAUGCAUGGAGUGAGUAAGGUGACAACCUGACCACAAGUUACCGUUGCAUUAACGGUGUAAGGAGCAGUCACCAGCAUGGAUAAUAGCACGACCGUAAAUGCCGCCCUAGACACCGUCACACCGGAGUCCUUGCCAUAGUUGCUGGGUUUGCAGUUAAUAUAUUUUCUCCUUUAGGUUGUUUGGGCAGGAAACACAUGUUAAUUGCCCUUAUAUACUGGAGAGCAAGGCCGUCUUUGACAUUUUGGAGAUCCUAUGCGAGUUUAAUAAAAAGGCCUUCUUAUUUAAAAAAUAUAUUUUUGGACAAUAUAUUUUACAAAGCUCAACAAUCAAUAUUCAAACUUAAUUGAAAUCAGAAUGUCAUUCUUUCUUACUAAUUAAAUAAUCUCCAAUAUAAAAUCAUGAUUUAUGGUUCAUCUAUAAAAAAAUGGAGCACAACUGAAAGAAAUAUAUGAAAAUACUUUUGUAUUUGUGGAAUAAAGUAAUACACACAUUAAUUUUUUAUUGCUCAAUAGAAAAGUGGAAGAAAGUAAUACACAAAUUUUUUAUUGCUAGAUAAAAGUAGAAAAUUUAUAUGUUAAGUAUCAGUUCCACUUAAUCAAAUUGUAAUAUAGAUAAAAUCAGACAAUUGAUAAUUUUCUUUUCAGUUUAAAACUUUUUUAUUAGAAAUUUAUACACAUAUUUAAUAUAAAGGAUGAUGAAAAGUUUUGGGGCCCCUAAAAAAUUCAUGGCCUUAUGUCACUGCACCUUUUGCACACCCUCAACGCCCCAUCUGCUGGAGAGCCUUGGUCUUCGCUAUGUGCAAGUUAACCAUCACCUGUGUGUGACAAAACGUUAUCUGAUUAUCUGUUAGCAUUGGUCAUAGGGGCUGCAGGAAAAUUCAACUUUUCGUGCACCGAAUGGCCCACGGCCGGAAAAUGAGUGCAGAAAAAUACAAAGGGUCCUGAUCGAGUGAGAUCACGUCGACAAAAGGGUUCCGGGAGGAACUUGAGUAGGGAAAAUGGCCGAGAAAGUGUUUUAGAAAUGCAUGCCAAGGGACAAAGAGAGAAGGGACACUUUCCACAAAAAUGAAGCUUCCGUAUCUCUUCCUCUACUCCGAAAUAUCCCGGUCUCAACAACGCAAGGUUCGAAUUACAGCACGGUACUGUCAGGCUAAUAAAACAGUCGAGGAAGUGUCAGCUUUCGGAACUACCUCGACUGUUUUUGUUGUAUCUGAAAUUACUUGCUUUCCUUGGUCUUUCCUUCUGACUUUUCUGAUGGAAGAAGAAGAGUGGUAUUUCCUGGCAAGAAAAUUCAAAACGAUGAUAACCCGAUUUCGAUUUCAUCUAGUUCUAAAUUCUAAUUCAUCAUAUGCAUUUUUCUUUCUUUGGCUUUGGCAAUUAUUUCUCAAGAGUUUUUCUCUUUAAACACCACCUCAUAUCUACAACUCUUCAACAUAAAUCGUACAUAGUGGAACAAAAAUCAAGUUUCAAGGAAUUAAGUGGCGAAAUUUGAACUCCCAAAGUAAAAUGAGAUUGAAAUCGAGUUCAAUGGGGCACAAAACCGAGCACAAUGAACUUCUAGGAUUCAUAUAGCCGACCCCACUUAGUGGAGUAAGGCUUUGUUAUUAUUGGUAUAUUUACACCAAGGAGCAGAAGAUUUAGGUCAAGCCACAAUGUUUCAAUAUCAAACACGUCACAAGAUUCAAACCUAAAAUCUCUCAUUUACAAGUGAAAAAAAAUACUACUAGCCUAUGGUACAUUAGUACUAGUUGAUAAAAGGACACUACAAAACAUCUUUCAUCCACAUCCUGUAGUUGUACAAAUAUGCAAAAAGUUAAUGUACACGUCCGAUAAGGUACCGGAUGACCAAAACACAACCGAGCAGACUAUUCACAGGUGCCGCUACCCUUCCAUAUUUCUCCACUUGUCCUUUAGAUCAACCUGGAAGGACAUGGUAACCCCAAAAGUCUUAGACACAACAUUGACUGAUGAAGUAGAGACAUUUAAGAUGAACAGAAAAACUUGUUUACGGAAUGUACUUAUGAAUAUAUUACGAAACAUGGGUACCUCAGUUCUCUCUUCGAAUAUAUCGCGGUAGCUAUUCAAGAUAAGUUUCCAGUUCCCUUUUCCAUACCUUCAGUGAAAACGACCAAAACAAUGAGACUCAGAAGCAUACACAAUGUUCAAACUAAUAUCAGAUCCUACUUAUCCAUUCAAGUUGUAAUGAGUAAUGACAGGUAUUCUGUCAAGACAAGGACCUACCGAAUGAUGAUCUAAAUCAUUAAAUUUAGAGGGGGAAAACAGGGAAACAAAAAAGAGGCCAGAGAGAAGAAUGCAACUUACUUCUGUACACCAGUCCUUAAGGUUUCUUCUUCCAAUAAGCUCCAUCUCUUAACUUUUCUUCUCUUAGUCAAUCUGAUAUUCCCAUACUUCUUCAAUGGAGAAACAGCAGUCCUCUUUGGGCUCGGAAGGUGAAGCCUGCCUGCAUCUUUCUUUGUUCCUUCUUGUGACGUAUCUAUUGAGUCCUCCCACUGAAAAAACAAUUUUCAACAUGGAGUACAAAUUUAUGCAACCAGAACCACAAAAUUGCAGCAGGGAAUAAACCAUAAUAGAAACUGAAUAAAAUAACUAACAGCAGAGAAACUCAUGGAUUCAGUAAAAUGUUUACGAGGAAUUUGUUAUGUUCCCCUUGCCAAAGAUAAAAGCAAAUCAGGUCUCACACUCGAAUAAAAAAAAAAUAAAAAAACCGCAUGAACAUAAAUACCUCGAAAGUGCGGGCAGUACUAUUACGUUCCAUCAAGCUAGAACGUGCAACGUUAUUCUGAUUAUUGAGAGAAGCAUUUCUAAGAUUGGCAGCAUCAGUUUGAACAGACUCAGUGCCUCCCUGGUCGACAGGCGGAUUUGGUACAUCCUUUUCUAUUCCACUAGAUUGAGGAUCAUUCUGAUGUCUGGAUGGCAGAUUUCCAACAUUAUCAUUACUAGAUUGAACAGGCCCAGCACCCUUCUCGAUAGAUGGAUUAUCUGCACCUACAUCUUUUCCAUUUACAUGAUUCGCAGAUCUCACUGCCAAACCAGAUCUUAUGGUUUCAGACACUCGUAAUGCAUCUGGAAGUGGAUCAGUCACUACUUCUUGGAGCUCCGAAAUACUGGAUUUAAGUGCUUCUUGUGCUUUGUUAACUUCAGGGGAAGAAAGGGAACCAAAUUUUCCUAUUUGAUACCUCUGUGCUUGAAUCUUCAGCAUCCCCAAUCCUAAUUGGUCCUCUAGUGCGUCUAUGAGCAAGGUGCUUGUGUCUAGGCACAGCACUUUGAUUUUCUACAAGAAAUAAAAAAAAAACAGAAAUAUAAUAAUUCGAAACUGAAGUCUGCAAUAACUAUAUUAUGCACGAGUUGGCAAGUUGUAUAUUUGGCAACGCUAAACAACCCAGAACAAGAUCAUGCACUUCAAAGAACAACAGAUGACAGAUAAUACAAUACAAAACAUUCUCUCACCAUCCACGCACAUAAGUUAAUGUCACUAAAAUUACCUUAAUCUCUGCUAAUGAAAAAAAAGUACCUUUAUCCUUCGUGGUAUGGUCAAUACUGAGAUCCAGUUCCCCAUUCAGACUAGGCGAGCUCCCUGCCCGAACUUCCUUCAAUGGGACGGCAACUAAUAUCGGACCCAAUUCAGACUCCUCACCGAAAUUUAUCGCAUUCAAUUGUUGCUCUUCCAAUGCAGACUGACUGCCCACAUUAGAUCUAUUCGUAGUUUGUGCCUGCCUUUGUGACCGAACACCCUCAUUAGUCCCAUUAACAGUUUGUGAUUCUGGCUCGGACCUAUCAACCAGACUAGCUCCACUCAUCAUUUGUGCUUCCAAUUCAGAGUCACCAGUCACAUUAGCCUCCUUCCUAGUUUGCUCCUCCAAUUGAUCCCCGUCACCCACAUUAGUCCCAUUAACCAUUUGCUCCCCCAAUUCAGAUCCAUCACCCGCAUCAGUCCCAUUCUCCAUUUGCACCUCCAUAUCAGACCGACCACCCACAGUAGUCUCAUUCUCCGUUUCAGCCUCUAAAUCCAACCCACGCACCCCCACAUUUGCCUGGUUUGCCAUUUGAGCAUCCAAUUCAGACCCACCAUCACCACCCACGUUAGCCCUAUUCGCCAUUUGACUCCCCAAUUCAGACACACCUGCCCCCGCAUUAUCCCCAUUCGCCAUUUGAUUCUCCAAUUCAGACACACCUGCCCCCACAUUAUCCCCAUUCGCCAUUUGUACCUCCAAUUCAGUCCUGUCACCCGCAUAAGCCCCCUUCUUCUUUUGCCCCUCCACUUCAGACCCACAACCAACAUUAGCCUCAUUGGCCACUGUAAUCUGAUCAGCUUCCAAGUCGGCAACUUCCUUGGGCACAUUCAAUCUAAUAGCCCAAGUAAUAAACGGAGGUCCCAACAACGCCAAAGCUGCUUUCACAUAAACUGCAAGCAACCUCAGCGCAUCAUUCCUCGUGUUCAUCCUCGACAGCUUCUUCGACACUCUCAAAUCCCAAACCCCUGCCUCGACCUCAUCCAUUCGAUGCCUCAACUCCGCCGAUACCAGCUGGCUCCUCCCAGACCGCUCCAAAACCCCAACCCUCCCUCUCCAAAUGCGAUCCACGGCCUCCAAGUACUUUCCACUAGGCUUUCCCAUAAAACCCACCAAGAACUUGACAGUACACUCAGUGGCGACGGCGCAGUAGGCGGCUUUCAUGGAUUCCAUGGUGGAAAUGCCUUCUCUGAUAUCCAAAUCCUCAAUCAUUUCAAGCGUUUCGAGGAUCGUUUCGGAGACCGAAGCUCGUAUACCUCGCACUCGAUGGUUCGGAGGAGUACCGUCUUCUUCAAGCGAUAGUCUUGGUCCGAGAAGGGUGCGACUGCGAGGACCCUCUUGGCAAUGCAAUCCUUUUCGCGGUCCCGGAGAAGGAGCUCGAUGACCCACCGCGAAACGUCGACGUCUGAGUCCAUUGAACAAGGCAAUCGUAACCCUAAUUCUGCAAGAAGGGAAGAAAAUUGAAUGUCGGAGAUCGAAAAGUGAAGCUCUUGAAGCACGCUGAUUUUGCUUAUUUGGGAAGUUAGGGUUUUUUCGAUGCAAUAAUUGGGAGCGACAGAAAAACGUUAGGGAUUGGAAUUUUUGAAAGGGGUGAGAGUUGAGUUGAUCAUCGAAACGACGAAAGUGAACGUCGUAAAGCUUUGAAUUUGGGGCUAUUUGUGAUGAUGGUACACAAAUUUUACUGUCUAUUAUCUGCUUGGUUUUUUCGUUUCUUGUGUGGGCCAAGACACUGUAAAUUUGGCCUCGGAUUUGGGCUUAAAAUUUGGACCUUUAACUUAACUUGGCCUUCAUUAAUGGUCUUUCUUUUUCCUUCCUUUAUGCAAAUUAUUUUUAGCACUACAAAAUAGUAGGGGUGAUGGAUUAGAAAAACCGAAAACCGAAAAAAAUUGAACCGAAUAUCGAAUCGAAACCAAAAACAUCCGAACCGAAAAAAAAAAUCGAACAAACCGAACGUUCUUGGUCCAGUUUCGGUUUUGGUGAUUCAACAAUCAAACCAAACCGAAUUAAAUAUAAUUAAUUUUAUUUAUUUAUUUGAUAUUUGAGUGUUUAUUUUCCAAGCCAAAUUUAAGUUUAGACCAAAGUUUUAAGUUUUCUUUUUAGACCAACCAUUAACCCAUAAUCCAAGUCCUUUUUUUUCUCCCCACCCAACCCUCUUCUUUCUUCCAUUUUUUUCUCCCCAUCCGACCCUCUGCUUUCUUCCUCUUUUUUUUUCUCCCCACCUAACCUCCUUGCAUCUUCUUUCUCUUUCUCUUUUUUUUUCUUCCUUUACUUUCUAUGAAAUGGAAAAACUGUAAGCAAAGUUGUAGAGCGUAGGCCAAUUUUCAAUUUUUUUUAAAAAAAAUAGGUUUUAUAAAAAAACCGAAUUGAAUCGAAACUGAGCUGAAAAAAUCAAACCAAACUGAAUAAAAACUGAAAAAAUUGAACCGAAUCGAAAUUUCGAUUUUGGCAAAAAACCAAACCGAUUGAAACCGAACUCACCCAUACAAAAUAGUUAUGCUAGGGUUUUGUUUUUUUGUUUUUUUUUUUUUUAAAGCUGGUGGUUUCGAUACAGAAUUUUAUUUUUUUCGGAGUUAGAAAGACUCACAAAGACAUUAAGUGACAAUAAAACAUCCUAUUAUUAUGAAAUCUAAUUUUCAAUCAUGACCAUACAUUCGAUUUCACAUAAGGAAUAAUUUUAAUCAAUAAUGCAAAAAUAUCUCCACCAACCAUGAUAAUAUGAUGACCAUUUGUCUCCUCACAUGAACUAAUAAUAGUGAUUUGAAAAUUUCAUACGCACAAAUAACCGAUAUCAUUAGCCACUUAAACUACAAGUAAUUAAUAAAUAAUUAGUACCUUAAUGCAAAAGUGACCACAUGCUCACUUUAUCCAACUGACUUGACGCACCAAAAUUGCAAUUGAAACCCUAGUGAAAGGAAUAAAUUAAAAUGCCUUGAAGGACCCACAAGAAAGGAAUAAAUUCCACCCCCGUCCCGAAUUGACAACGUGCUCUUCCUCCUCCGAGCUGCUCCAAGACCCCUACCGAGUUUCAAGACCCAUAGCAGUGGAGAGAACUGGGAGAGCUUCCUUCAGCCGACUCCGUACUCUCUCCCUCUCUCUCCGACAAUGGCUCGCUGCACUUUCAAAUCGGACGAUAUCAUAAUAAAGUCCCCGAAUGACAGACGAUUAUACAGGUUAAUCGAGCUCGAGAACGGCCUCUCUGCAUUGCUUGUUCACGAUCCUGAGAUUUACCCAGAAGGGCCGCCGGAGAACUCCAAGUCCGUCGAGCACCGCGAAGCUGAAGAGGAAGAAGAAGAUGAUGAUAUGGACGACGAGGAUGGGGAGGAAGGGGAAGACGGUGAAGGAGAGGACGAUGAAGAGGACGAUGACGAUGAAGAUGAAGAAGCGGAAGGCAGAGAUGGUGAACUGAAGAAGAAGGGGAAAGGAGGAGAUUCUCAUACUAAGAAAGUUGGUAUUUUGAUUUCCAUUGAAAUUCUGAAAUUGCCCAUCUCGCAUUCAAGUUUAUUUGAUUUAAUUUGAUUGAAAAGUGAAAACCCAGUUGGAGAAACUUGAUGAAAUCGGUUUAACGAUGUUAACAAAUUGAUUUUAGGUUGAAAAACAAUAUGAAUUUUUGGUUGAAUGAUUGAUACCAGAUUAUAGGAACUUCAAGUUUUGAACUUUUACUUGGUUACUGCUUCAAGAUUCCACCAUCAUUGUUUUAUCUGAUAAUCUUUAGCUAUCGACCAUUGGUACCUUUGUACAAAUUUCAUUUAAAAUGGUAAUGAAGCUUUGAUAGCAUAAUUCCAAGUGGAACCAAUGUUGGGUACUCCUUUUCUUCGAGUAAAACCUUGGUGUUGUUUUUGGUCAUGCUGUUUGGAAGUCCAAUUACUGAGAAUGGCACUGGUCUUUAUUCUACUCUAAUGAUUGGGAUGAUGUUUACUCAGCUCAGUUAGCAGAACUUGAUUUAUGUGAAGAUGUUUGGUCGUAUUUGCAGGCAGCAGCAGCAAUGUGCGUUGGAAUAGGAAGCUUCUCCGACCCUUUUGAAGCACAGGGGCUUGCGCAUUUUCUAGGUUUGUGUUACACAUGCUUACAUGCUUCAUAAAGGGACGUACUAUUGAGUGUUGAGGCAUGCAUUACUGACAUGUUGAAUGUUUUGCAGAACACAUGCUCUUCAUGGGGAGUACAGAGUUUCCAGAUGAAAAUGAGGUCUGUUUGUACUCGGAGUAUUCUUUUCAGUUUUUAGGUGCCAAUUAUCUUCGUUUUUUUUUGUUUUGGCAAGUCACUUCGAGAUGCACAUGAUCCCUUGUGCUAUGCACCAUAAAUGAGGUGUACUGACCGUAUAUGGAAAUAGUUAAGCCGCAUGAAUUUUCCCUCAAUACAGAUUACUAGAUGUAAUCUCACUAUUUAUAUUUACUCGUCCUUAAGCAACAUCAUGAGCCUGCUUAGUUCUGUUUCUUAUAUAUAUAUAUAUAUAUAAAGCAUCACCAGCUUGCUUGUUCUAUGUAUAUGUGAGUGGGAGGACUUGUUUGUUCUUUUGCUGCCCACCUGCUCGCAGAUGGGUCAGGCUGUAUGGAACAACUAAUUCAGCGUAUGAUUGUGUCAUUUGUGAAAGGUUGCUCCUUUGUGACUGAAAGGUCACGGGUUCGAGUCGGGGAAACGGCCUCCUUGCAUAGUAAGGGUAAGCAGUUGCGUAACGUUCCCCGCCCCCCGACUCUCGCAAAGCGGGGAAGUCUUGUUGGCUUGGGGUCGCCCUUUGACUUAAACCUUAUAGGAAUCGAUGCCAUUUCAGAUUUAUUAUAGAAAUUGUUUAUGGUAGUUUUUAUCUUUUUUUCUGCUUAUUGUUUAAUUGUAAAAUAGAUAUUUAAAAGUAAUCUGUUCUACUUGCUACAACAUUUAUUAAAAUUUCACUCAAGUUAAAUAGGAGAAGUCUGUAUCCUAUGUUUGUGGCCACUCGUUUUGACUCUUCUGUUUGCUAGUAUGAUAGUUACUUGUCCAAGCAUGGAGGUUCAUCAAAUGCAUACACAGAAGCAGAGCAUACCUGCUACCAUUUUGAAGUGAAGCCAGAGUUUCUUAAGGGUGCCUUGAGAAGGUAAACUCUGAGCUCUUCAUGCUUUGAAUAUUAUAAGCUGAAGUCCUUGGUAUUGACUAUGUAUUUUGGUCAAUGAAACAAGGCUAUAGGAUGUAUUUUGGUCAAUGAAACAAGGCUAUAGGUUUUAUUGAUGCUUCAUGCAUUGACAUUGAAUCUUGCAUCUGCCUCAGCAUUUGUAGUUGAAAAUAUCUAUGAUUGUCAUACUUUUGUUUCAAAACGCAAUAUGGCUAUGAAAAGCGUAGGUUAAAUCAUUAGAUUAUGUGUCAUUUUUUUUUUUUUUAUGAUUUUCUGAAUGCAUGCUAAUGAUAUUACUUACGGGGUGCAGUGCACAACCAUAUAAAAAAUGUUGGAAUGGAACUAUGGGAGUGGGGUUUUCAGAUUCAUAAGGUCCAGCAAUAUGUUCCUUUUGGUUCCUCAAUAUCUGGCUCGCCAUAAUUGUUUCACUGGAUAAAAAAUGUUUAUAAAUAGUUUUUAAAUUAAUGUGCCCAGUAAAGCGUUCUGUGUUCGAUAUGUUCCAAUUGCAAUACAUUUAGUUAAUAGGAUGUACUUGGCCCUUAGUAUAGAAUACUCUAGUUAUAUUUUUCUCUUUCAAAAUUUCUGUUUCAGAAACCUGGUUUGUAUUUAUUAUGGCUGUUUGUAUUUAUUAUGGCUCUUUAUUUUGUCAGAUUUUCCCAGUUCUUUGUUUCACCUCUAGUGAAAAUUGAAGCGAUGGAACGAGAGGUACAAGCUAUAGAUUCUGGUGCGUGCAUGUCUUACCUACAAUUCUUGAUUUCCACGUUUCUUAAAAAGUAUCCAAGCUUUUUGCUUGCAGUAUUACUCAUUGCAAAUUUUCUAAUGCUGAAUGGUAUUCUUUGUUGUUAAUCAAAAUGGAAUGCAGAAUUUAACCAGGUUCUGCAGAAUGAUUCUUGCCGCCUUGAACAAAUUCAGUGUCAUACAUCCGCACCUGGUCACCCAUUUAAUAGGUUCUGUUGGGGUAAAACUUUAAUCGAUUGUGCAAUCUUAUUCUUCUCUCUCUCUCUCUCUCUUUAAUUUUUUUUAUGUUUGCUUGAAAGGAAAUAAGAAGAGCUUGGUUGAUGCAAUGGAAAAAGGGAUCAACUUGCGAGAACAAAUACUAAAAUUGUACAAGGAUUAUUACCAUGGUGGACUAAUGAAGCUAGUUGUCAUUGGUGGAGGUGAAUAUACUCCUUUCCUUUCCUUUUUUCUUCUGCUCUUUGUUCUUUUUUCUUCUACCGUUGUUUUUUGGGGAAUGAAUGUUAGUUAAAACCUAUCAAUUUUGUAUCAUGCACAACACAGGGCGUGCUUGAAUGGAAAUAAUGAAACAGUUUCAAUUUGACUUAGUGGAUUUCAAUCACAUUACUUAUCUACUUAGGGUUUCUGUUCUGUAGAUGAUUGUUCUUUGAACUGGUAGAGUUUGAUACUGGUGUUCACUAUUAGUCUAUUACACAUUAGAAUUUCGUCAUCCAUAGUGCUUUAUUGGUGAUACAGCUGUUUUGGCAAUAUUUAUUGGCAAAAAUGUAUAUAUUAGUAGUGAAGAUGUAAUUAUUGUUGGUAUCAGUCUUUAAAUGGUGUGGUUGUGCCUUAAAGCUCAUUUUCUAGGAUCUCAAUCCUGCAUUUACUAGAAUGAUGUUUAGCUUGUAAUUUGAUUUCUGUAUCAAAUAAAAAACCAUUCCUGUGAUACUGUCCAAUUAUUUAUGUAUACAAUUAACCAAGUAGAAUAUUUUUAUUCUGCUUAUAUAUCAGAUCUAUUUCAUUCUAAUUAUAAUAGUUCUAAUUGCUGCAGAAUCUCUUGAUGUACUUGAGGAUUGGGUUGUGGAAUUGUAUGGUAAUGUCAAGAAAGGCCCCCAAGUAAAACUGGAGUUCAAGGCUGAAGGUCCUAUCUGGAAAGUUGGCAAACUAUAUAGGCUAGAGGCUGUUAGAGAUGUUAACAUACUCAACCUUACAUGGACAUUUCCAUGUCUUCAUCAAGACUAUUUGAAGAAACCAGAAGAUUAUUUAGCUCAUCUACUUGGGCAUGGUAAGCUGAUUCAUUAUUACUUAAUUUGAUGUUGAUUAUUAUUCCUCUGCAGAGAACAAAAAUUUCUGUAGCAGGAAAAAUAAAUGUUAAGUUUAGAAUUGUUAGUUUUCAAUUUUUUUUAGUACAAGCAGCAGUUACAACUUCCUAGAGUAGACGUUACUUGAAACUUUGAUAGUAAGAUAUAGUUUUAUUUAAUUUGAGCGGAGCUUAAAUCCUUCAGUUCCUUCUGUCACUUUGCGUCUGUCUCACUGAUAAUUUUUCACCUUGGAAAGGUAUCUGUCAGAGUCAUUGCUUUUCUGCAUUAGAUUUUGUUGCUUUUGCAUUUCAUAUACACUGCAUGUUAUUUAUUAUAUCUCACAAUGGGUUUAGUCAUCUAAGCUGUUUGGCCACCUAUGCCAUGAUUAUGACCUUAAAUUCUGAGAACUAAAUUAUGGGUUUUUCAGAGGGCCGGGGAAGUUUGCAUUUUUACCUCAAAACCAGAGGGUGGGCAACAUCUUUGUCUGCUGGUGUUGGGGACGAGGGGAUGCAACGAUCUUCUGUGGCUUAUGUCUUCCGCAUGUCCAUACACCUCACUGACUCUGGAUUGGAAAAGGUAGCAUCUCAAGUUUAUCCUUGUAGAGAAUCUUUUGGUAGAAGAUAAAUUUUCACAGAUUCAUAGAUUAUGUGUUCUACAUGCGCAUUUACUGUAAGCAUCAGUAACUGUGGAGCAAAGUUUGCUUUUUUCUUUAUUACUUCUCAUUUGCUAUAUGUGAUGCUUAUCUUGCAGAUUUCCGAAAUAAUUUGCUAUGUCUACCAGUACAUUAAGUUACUGCAUCAAGUGUCUCCACAAGAAUGGAUAUUUAGGGAACUUCAAGAUAUUGGGAAUAUGGAUUUUAGAUUCGCAGAGGAGCAGCCCCAAGAUGAUUAUGCUGCAGAACUUGCAGGUUUUCUUUUGUUGGCAAAAUUGUAUAUCUUUCCUUGGUCAUGUUUUACCUAACUGAAAGUAUCCCUACUCCAUAAAAGAUUCUUUAUGAUAUCUAUAUUCUGUGUUUUUCUUAGCCAAAAGGAUAUCCCCAAACUCAUGACCUGUUUAAUAUUGUAAAAUCUUAUUGUUGCAGAAAAUUUACUACUGUAUCCAGCAGAGAACGUUAUUUAUGGGGACUAUGUGUACAAGAUUUGGGAUGCGGAACUGAUAAAAUAUGUUCUUGGUUUCUUCACACCAGAAAACAUGAGGGUUGAUGUGGUAUCAAAGUCCUCAAUUAAGUCAGAAGGUAAAUCGCACAUGCCCUUUUAUGUAAAAAAAGAAAGUAGAAGCAAAACCUAGAAAAAAAGUCUUGUUUCCAUCUUGCAGUAUUUAUGACUACAAAUGUAUCCAUAAUUUUUAUUUGUCCCAUUCUAUAUGUGUUAUAAUUUUGAUGUAAGCUCUAUUUUCUCUAACUGUUUCAGAUUUCCAGUGCGAGCCUUGGUUUGGGUCACAUUAUACUGAGGAAGAUAUAUCUCCAUCUUUGAUGGAUUUGUGGAAGAAUCCCCCAGAAAUUGAUGACUCAUUGUAUCUACCUUCAAAGAAUGAGUUCAUUCCUAGUGAUUUUUCGAUCCGCUCUGAUAACUCGUGCCUUGAUCCUGCAAAUAUAUCUUAUCCAAGAUGUAUAAUUGAUGAACCAUUGAUGAAGUUCUGGUACAAACUCGAUGAUUCAUUUAAAUUUCCGCGGGCAAAUACAUACUUCCGCAUCAAUCUGAAGGGUGGAUAUGCUAAUCUGAAGAGUUGUGUUUUGACUGAACUAUAUAUUCUCCUUCUUAAGGAUGAGCUGAAUGAGAUUGUCUAUCAGGUUCAUGUCUUGUCCUUUAUAACUAAUUAUUUUGUGCUUCAAUUUAUAUAGCUGAUAACUCUUUUGUACUUGAAUACAUUUUAGGGAACACUUGUUCCAUUAAGUUUAUUUAGAAUAUCUCUGCAGUCUCUGUCCAAGUUUGUUCUGUAGAGGGACUUGGAUGUUAUAGUGGCUUACAAUACAGACUAGAAAACCGGUAUAAUUAAUUGUCCAAACAAAAUAUACUCAGUUAACUUUUCAUUAUGUAAAUCAGAAACUACAAAUGGUAAUUCUUAUCCAUAAUGCCCUCUUUCUAAUAUUCUCAAUAUAUAGUAAUUCGGUUGUAAAAAUAUUAACCUAUGCUGCCAGUGUAGUUAUUUAGUUGAUGCUGUAUUUCGCAAAUAUAGGUCUUUUUUAUCCUCAGUGACAUGCCCGACUUAUUUUUUUCAUUUAAAACAUGCAUCUAAAUCUGUACUGAGCACCUUUCUUCUGUGUGUGCAGGCCAUUGUUGCCAAGCUGGAAACUUCUGUAUCUAUGUUUAGUGACAAACUGGAGCUGAAGGUCUAUGGUUUUAAUGAUAAACUUCCAGCUCUCUUUUCAAAAGUUUUGGAAACAGCCAAAAGUUUCAUGCCGACUGAUGAUCGUUUUAAGGUAUGUGUGUUGCUUUUCGUUUCCAUCACUCCACUCUAUGUCUGGUUUAAGUUUAUUUUUGCAUACCCUGCUUGUUUCUUUUGGCUUGUCCAUUGCUAAUUCACACUUAACAGGAUGUUAAAGAAGAUAUGAAGCGAACGUUAAAGAACACCAAUAUGAAGCCUCUGAGUCACUCAUCAUACUUAAGGCUGCAAGUUCUGUGUCAAACUUUUUAUGAUGCAGAUGAGAAGUUGCAUGUUUUGAAUGAAUUGUCUAUAUCUGAUUUGAAGUCAUUCAUUCCCGAGCUCUGUUCCCAGGUACACUACGCACAAAUAUGUAUAUUUGUUAUAGAUUACUGCAGUCAAUUCAUGAAACUCAAGUUCUCAACAUCAUCCUCCAGCCGGGUCUCUUUUCAUGAGAAAUUCAUGCGGUUCAGGCUUCUUGACCUCUUAUUCUUCACUUUAAUAUGUAACUUGAUAAGUGGAGAGUGGCAUUUUCUAGUUAGAGAAUUGGAGAGUGGUUGCCAAAUGUGAACCCAAUAGUUAAUUUUGACUGUUCUUUAAAUUUUUUUUUUUUUACAUUUGCUUUUAGAUUUUUAUUUUAUUUUUAUCAAGGCUCUUAGAAUUAGUUUAAUUCAGGCAUUUUCUUUCAUCUUACCCUCUCCUCAAUAUGUGCAGCUAUACAUUGAGGGCCUUUGCCAUGGAAAUUUGUUAGAAGAAGAAGCAAUUAACCUGUCAAAUAUAUUUAAAUCGACUUUUACCGUACCACCACUGCCUAUCGAAUUGAGGCAUAAAGAGCAUGUUAUUUGUCUUCCUCCUGGUGCUAACCUGAUUAGAGAUUCCAAUGUGAAGAAUAAGUCGGAAACGAACUCUGUGAUUGAGGUAACUCAAAAUGGAAACAUUUUCGAGUGGUUUCCCUAUAUGAAGAUGUACUUUCUUUGUCUUAUGUUGAUAUUCUUCCCUUGGUUGUGGUUUCAUAUUGCAGCUGUAUUUUCAAAUUGAGCAAGAAGCAGGGAUUGAGUCAGUCAGAUUGAAAUCCUUGAUAGAUCUUUUCGAUGAAAUUGUGGAGGAACCACUUUUCAAUCAACUAAGGUGAUUUUAUUUGAGGCUGGUACUUUUACUUACAUACUGGCUAGCAAAAGAAUCUGGGAUCUGAUAAUAAUUUUUUCUAAUAUAUUUGAAUCUAUAUUCAUAUAAUUGUUUGCUAUUUCUGGAAAUAGGACGAAGGAGCAGCUUGGAUAUGUUGUCCAGUGUAGCCCACGGGUAACAUACCGUGUACUUGGCUUUUGUUUCUGUGUUCAAUCGUCUGAGUACGACCCAAUAUACUUACAAGGGAGAGUUGAUAACUUUAUAGAUGGUCUGCAAGAAUUGUUGGUAAGCGGUCAAGUUUCCCUCUUAUUUCAAUGCUCUGGUCUUUUAAGCAUCUCAUAAGCUUUAUAACUAUUGUGCUAUGCUAAGCUGAUGCGCAUAUGCGAUUUUGCAAUUUGAGGAUCCCUAUUGUUAAAUAUAUGAGGAAAUUCUUGUUUGUGGAAACCUUUGCUUGGAUCUGACCUCGUGUUAUUUCUACUUCGAUGACUUGAGUUAAAUGAUUAUUGUUUCUGCCUUGCAAUUUCAGUUACUGACAAUACGUUGACAUUUGCAGGACGGGCUUGAUGAUGAAUCAUUCGAGAAUUAUAAAAAUGGACUACUUGCUAAGCUAUUGGAGAAAGAUCCGUCCCUCACAUAUGAAACCAAUAGAUUUUGGAAUCAGAUUAUCGAUAAAAGGUGCUGUUGUCCUCUUUGGUUUGUCCAGAUUGUAAUUUCCAAAGAUUGCAUUCAAACAUCGUUCUGUUAAACAGAUUUGUGUCUUUAAACUUUCUAAUUGUUGUGAUUCGAUGCUCAUUCUAACUCUAUACUUGUUGAUCACAGGUAUAUGUUCGACCUGUCAAAACGAGAAGCAGAAGAACUCAGCAGUAUUCACAAGAAGGACGUUAUCAACUGGUACAAAAUGUAUUUGCAACAAUCAUCUCCCAAGUGUCGUAGACUAGCGAUCCGUGUUUGGGGUUGCAACACUAACCCGAAAGAGGCGGAAGCACAACCGAAAUCCAUCCAAGCCAUCGAAGACCCUGCAACGUUUAAGAAGUCAUCUAAGUUCUAUCCUAGCCUUUCUUGAAAAUAUGAACCAGCUUUGAUUUCUUGAUUAAAUUGAUCCAUUAGAAACACUGAAUGCCUCAGUUUUGACUAGUUGUAGGUGGACUGUGUGACCACCUGGAAGAGCAAAGUUAAAUUACAAACAUUUACCAGAAAUUUGGGAUUAUAUAUGUAAAAUUACAUUCAUUUGAAUAAAGUGAAAUUUGUGAUGCCAAUUAUCUCUUGCUCUGAUUCUUCGAUCCUGGACCCGAAGCAUUCCUACAAGUACAGGUUCGACAGAAAAAGCCAUUGCGCGGAUUUGUGUUUGGGGUUUGCGACACUAACCCGAAAGAGGUUGAAGCGUGUUACAGUACGUGAUUGGCUUGAAAUAUCGUUAAUGUGACAAUUCUAGAUGCAAGGAAGUUUCUCGGCUUCUAAACAUGUAACUAACAUAAGAGGUCCAAAUCAUAAAUAAGAUGAAGCUAAAUAAAUCUCUAAGGAUUUGUAUUGGGUUCAAAUUUCCAAAGUUUGGUUUGAAAUGCACAUGGUAGGGUUUUGGUUUAUUUGAUUGAAAUGCAUCUAUGAGCUUGUUAAUUUGUAGGGUCCUUGCUGAGCUCUGGUUAAGACCAUGUUCUUAAUUUUCCCUAUCAAAAUCUAAUAUAAAGGUGUCACUUAGUACUACGGUCUAGUGGUAUUCCUCUUUACUUGUAAGUGAGAGGUCUUAGCUUCGAUUCUCGCUAAAGGCAAAUUUAAACCACAUUAUCGUUAACCCAUCGUAAGGUUAAGCCCACCUCAUCCCCUUUAGUGUAGAUAAUAUCGUUUGUUUAAAAUAAAAAAUAUAAAAAAAUCUGAUAUGAAGGUCUAUUAUUUUUCCAUGAAACUCAAUACAAGUCCUUGUCAAGGGCACUUUCAGAGACCCCUAACUAACUGUAAUAUAUAGAUAAUCCAAUCCCUAUGCUCCCUUGUCGAUAUUUCACAAAUCAUGUUCGACCCGACUUUUGACCAAGAAUUAUGAUUGAAAAUGACAAAAAAUUAAGAAUUAAAUUUAAAAAAAGAGUUUUGUGGCUCAAUUUUUUUCAAAUUCCUGCUGUUUGCUAGAUUCGUUAUGUGGUGUUCCAAGGCUAAUGAAGGCCCAUGAAAUUUGUUGUGUUGGAGUAGAAGAUCUUUAGAAUAAGAUCAAAAUACAUUACAUUCAUCAUUUAAUUAAAUUACAUGUUUUAUCGGACGACGUUAAUGAUUGAUAAAAACGUAAAUAAAAAGUGACACUAAAAAAUGUUCUACUAUCAAAAUUUGAAGCAUGCGAUCUUGUUGAAGGAAUGUUCUGUUUAUUAGUAUUACCAAGUGACAAUAACAACCCGGCUCAAGUUUUUUCAAUCUCAUGUUUUGAAAGAUCUCUUGAUGCAUGCACUUCGGAAAAAAAAAGUGCACAACUAAAGAAUUCAAGAAUAAAGAUCCUUUUACUCAUUGGAAGACUACAUUUGGCCGACAAACGAUGUACAAGGUGGCAUACAAGUUGGUUAGAUUGAGUUUAACUUUAACUAAUUCGAUAAUUUGGUUUGAGGAACCUCUAAUGUAAUUUUAGAUUUUCUCAUUGAAGAUAGUAAUCAUUUGUAAUCUAUAAUGGUGGGAAAGCUCUUCUUCUCUUCGUCCGAGUUGAAAUCUUUGGUAAGAUUUUCUUUGAGGCUCACUGUAUGCAUCAUAUCCUCAAUGUUGCACGUAUUCAACUUUUCUAUUAAUGAAUAUCAUAUCUUUGCUAAAAAAGAAUAAAGAUCCUAAGACAAUCUAUAAAGAUCCUAUUUAAGACAAUCCUUAACAAAACGUACACAAUGAUCUGCAGUAAAGAUUGCUAGUCCUGAUGCAAUAUUCCUUCCGGAUUGCUACAAAAUUUAAUUAAAACCCUAAAACCCCAACUCAAAUAUUCCCUUCUUUCAGGCGUGGACAAGAAUUACAUUGAAGGCAUGGGAACAGUAGGGUUUUGACGUGGGACAAAACGGUGGUUUAAGAUGCUUCCUCAAACUUCAUUUCUUGCAGAUUACAAAAAAUACUUUAUAUAUUGUCGUAACUGCUGCAUGGGAUAUACAAUAUUUUUAACUAUUAGGUUUAUGAAUAUAUCAAAGAUUGAGGAAAAAGUGAUGCAUGCAUGCAUGAACGCUAAAGGCCGAAAACACAGAACUUUGCAUGUGCUUCUAAGAUUGCGGACCGACAUGUCUAUGAUAUAUCUCCAACUUUUCAGACUCAAUUUAUUUCUAAUAACUAAUUAAAUAAUAGUUUUAUCUAUGUUUUGUUGGCAUACAAUAAUUUGAUCAUGCAAUUCCAAAUGAGUUAAACUGCAGUGAAAAGUCUGCAGAAAACAGAACCGAAAGCACCAACAAUUGUACUGUUAAUACAUUUACCAUUGCUGAUUACGUACAAACCAUGAUUUUUAUUUAAAGAAACAAAACAAUGCAAUUGCUUAAACGAUCUCGGACCUCUUUAACCGUUACGUACCAUUUGGUUUUCACAAUUAGAAUUUAGAUGCUCACAUCAUAACAAUAUAAGAUUUUGUGAAUUAUGAGUUGUGGACACUGUACGUAUGUUUCACUCAACUUUGUUGUUAUAAGUGUGAGUCUCAUAUUCGAUUCCGCCUUCUUUUAAAUAAUGAAAAUAUAAUAGUUGUCCAAACCUGCCAUGCUGGCACCUAGAUUGAUAUAUAUCCUGCUGCCUUUUUCGCUUUAAAAGGCCCUGGUCGGUAGAUUGAGAGUAAAUAAUUGCAAUUUCUAAUGAGGAUAUAAUACAUAAAAAUAUUUUGUUAAUAAUUUUUCAUGCAUAAGACAAUUAAUCUGAAUCAUUUGUCCUGUUAAUCAUGGUUCAUGAACACUUAAUCUUAAUUGUAGCAGUAUAUUUUUUUGUUCCAUCUCUUAAUAAAAUCUUUGAUUAGGACCAAAUUAAAAUAAAACAAUGCCUCAACUGACAUCAAAUCAAAUAGAGUCAUAGGCUGGUGGAUCCAGGAAAUAAUAUUAGGGGGGUCAGUAAAAAUAGCGCGCAGCGUGCAAAUUUUUUUAUACCAGAAAUAGCAUGCAUAUCGCCAUUUCAUCGAGUCUUGGUAGGCCUAAAAUCAUUUGGAAAUGCAUACUACACACUUGUUAAUGUAUGCAAGGGGCAGCACCUAAGGUAUUCAUGGACAUUCAUCGGGUUUUGGUAGGCCUGAAGUCGGUUGGAGGGCAUGUAUGAAGCCAACUUUAAUCUUCAAAAGGGCAGCAUUCAAGGUAUCCAUGGACAUCAUCGAAGUUCGGAGGGUCAGCACCUAAGGUAUCUAUGAACGUUCAUCCAAGUUCUAGGGGUCAGCUGACCCCCCUGCCCCUUAAUGGAUCCGCCAGUGUGGUGACACCUAUAAUUAGGGUUUUGUAUGUUAGUGAAUUGCUUACUUCCUACAUAAACACAUGCAUGACGAUGAUUUAUAUUAUUGGAGAUCAAAAGUUCGAAACAAGAUGACAAGACCUGAACCCAAAACUCAUGUAAAAAGUUUGGAACCAUCAAAUGAUGUCGUUCAAUGAGUGACAAACUAUUUUAACUGACAAACUAUAUACAUAAACGGAUCUCAAUUUUUUACACACGUUUAUGUGAAAUUUAUUUUAUAAUGUAUUUAUGAAAGAGUGAUAUUUGCGAAAACUAUUUUCAUUAUUAAUUUACAUUAAAUUCUUCUUGGCCAUUUCCGCGGAAAUAUCUGUAAGACCGAUGGAUAUAUAAACGUUCGACCUUUUUCGGCGUAGGUGUUGCAGUUCACAAGUUCAAAGAAAGCAUGCUUCAGAGGUAUUUCGAUGGAUCUGGAUUCUGGAGCUUUUUGCAUGAUCACAUUCACAAUAUCACAUUAUAUAUCCAAAUAUUUACAGAAGACAAAUGCCCCAUGACUCAAAUUUGAGGGCAGUACGACAUCGGUUUGGUCCUAAGCCUCUAAUAACCUCAAAUUCCCAGCUACUUGCCUUAAUAUGGCGGUCCAAAAUUCAGGCAUGAGGGCUCUCACCUAUUCAAUGUAAGUAGGCCAUCCAUGUGACCAAACGCCCAACGAAAAGGGGACAUAUAGUUCCUGUUGUCCCCCAUGCCCACGUAACACCAGAGUUCUUUUUUUGUUUUUCAGAAGAAAAAAAAUCAUUACUAAUUUAUACAAGGGAACUUUAACGAAAAGUUCAAGGUACUGUUUACUUUAACGAAAAAUCAUAUUUUUACACUAAAAAGUCAAUCCUGAUACUAUUUAUUUUACUCUUUAUUUUGUCUUUAUCAUUAAAACUCAAAGUUUUCAAGCCAUUUUCAUUAGUUUUUCUUUUAUAAGGGAAGCUUCACACAUCAUACAAGCAUACAAAUGUAAAUUAAAUAUAUUACAUGGAUAGGAGCCUAGAAAGUUUAUUCUCUUUACUUACACAUAUUAUAUAUAAUACACAAUUAUUUUGGAUCGAACGUUGGUUAUAUCAAUAAAGUGUUAAUAUUAUUAUCCAUAAGAUACAAAAUCCGUCAUUUAACAAAGAGUAGAUGUCCUGCAUAAAUACUUUUACAUAAUACGCAUACAUCAUGGUAUAACAAGGAUUUUAUAUAUUAUGACUGUAAUUUGAAUCCCAUUUAUUUAGGUAUAAUCAAUAUCUAUAAUUGUUUGACAUAACAACCCUCAAUCUCCAUUGUAUUAAACGAGGUCACAUUGAAGGGGUCCAACAGUCCACAAAAGAGAAACCACACCAAUCCAAAUUCAACUUGGAAGUAAGACUUUAAUUUAUUGCCUUUAAUAAGUUGAUGCUAUGUUACUUGAAUGAAGAGAUAUAUGUGUGAGGGUGGGGCAGUGACAAAACAUAACACAUGCACUACCCAAAUCGAAGCACGAAAACGAAAUAAUGGGUGGGACUCGGCCACUUCCCACCAUGAGCAGUACUCAAGACUACUCCAAGUUGCCAUUCACAUUCUGCACAGAUUUGGAACUUCUUCUUGCAAGCUCACAAAUGGUACUUUAUAUCAUGCCCUUAAUUUUGUUUCUCACUUAAGGAUUAAUGUUCAUAAAAAUUGAAAGAAAAAUGGAAAAAGAUUAGAAAGUGAACAUGCUUUGAUUAAGCAAAAUUUUCUCCCAUGUGCAAAGAUACCAUUAUCUGUUAAGACUACCUACCAUUAUUCAACAAAUAGAAGGGGAUUUUCAACUUUCUUGGGCCCCAAACUAAGAAUUAUCACCUUUAUAUUUAAGUGUAAUUAAGCACCAAAAACUAAAAGAAAAUGCUAUUGACAAUUCUAACCAUCAUUCACAUGCCCAUUUGAUGAUAGGAACCAAACAAGAUCGAAACUGAGUCCAAGCAUAUUGUAUAGAGUCUCACCUCUCUAGACGCGAUUUGUAAGAUGUAAUAUAUAUGUUGGAUUGUUGGCCAAUUCAAUGAGUCCUGUUUCAACAUUUAUAAGUUCACUAAUCACCAACCAUGUCAUUAGUCCAAUGUAAUUGUAGUCUACUCUAAAUCAAAUACUCGACUACGUUCAAAGUGAAAUAUUAAUUUGUUAAAAUGAAAUGAUAAACUAAAAGUGUGAAGAACACGAAAAGCAAAUAAGUGCCAUCAAAGAAAAUCAGACUAUAUAACUUAUUAAAAUUUGUAAGAGAUUUAAUGGAUGAGAAAUGCAUGUGGAAAGUUUGGCCCACGGGGAUAUCGAUUGGUAAUCCCAACCACAACCGGCAUGUGCACUUGUUUUCCUCCAUCACUUGUGGCUGUUUUCUGUGAUAUAAUAUGCAGACUAACUCACUAGCCUCCCAAGUUUCCUUAUAAAUAGAGGAACCCUCGUGCACUCUAAGCACAAAACAAACUCCACCUGCCCUACACAAAACUGAAGUCACAAAAAAUGGCAGCUCAUCCAUUGUCUUUGGCAUCUAUAGCCCUCUCUCUUGUUCUCUUCAACCUACAUCUGCAUGGUGUGUUGGCUGUUUAUGGUAGCUGGGAAGGCGCUCAUGCCACAUUUUACGGCGGUGGUGAUGCCUCCGGCACAAUGGGUAAGUCCAAAACUCAAGUGUCAUCAAUUAUUUACCACAGUAAGAAAAAAAGAAGUUUUUAGACAACUAAAAUUGCUUAUAAGUGAGAGGUCUUACGGCGGUGGUAAUGCCUCCGGCACUGAGUAUUAGAGUCUAGCAGUAUUCUUCUUCACUUGUAAGUGAGAGGUCUUCGGUUUAAUUCUUGCCAAAAGCGAAUUUGAACCACAUUAUUGGUAGCCCAAAUCCACUCCCCUCACCUUAGUGUAGAUAAUAUCGUUUGUACAAAAAAAAAAAUUGCUUAUAGAAGUACCGUUUCUAUGUAUUGGAGGUGAUUAAGUUGCAAUAAUAUAUAUUUUAUACUUUUCUAUGAGCUGAAGUGUUUCUUGUAGAAAUAGUCCAAAUGAGUUAAAAACUGAAAGUGUGAAUAACAUUUUAGUAACGAAACAAAACUAUUGAUAGACCCCUGGUUGAACGGCUCACCGUGAUCCACCGGCCGUCUAAAAAGAGUGUUUAAUUUAAGAGUUGGGGUUUGAUAUUAAUUUGAUUUGAAAUUUUGCAGGAGGAGCAUGUGGUUAUGGGAAUCUGUACAGCCAGGGAUAUGGAACCAACACUGCAGCUUUGAGCACAGCAUUGUUCAACAAUGGCUUGAGCUGUGGAUCUUGUUAUGAAAUGAUGUGCAACAAUGACCCGAGAUGGUGCCGUCCUGGAUCCAUUAUUGUUACUGCUACAAACUUUUGCCCUCCUAACUUUGCUGAGUCCAACGACAAUGGCGGAUGGUGCAAUCCUCCUCUCCAGCACUUCGAUUUGGCCGAGCCUGCUUUCUUGCAGAUUGCUCAAUACCGCGCCGGAAUCGUGCCGGUUUCCUUCAGAAGGUAGGCCCUGAAGUUAAUCACGGUGACAUUACUAUGGUUAUCGGAAAUGCAAAGAUGUUAUGUUAUCAGACUGAGAAUCUAAAUGAUUAAUUGAGUGAAUUCUUUUCUGAAAAUUAGUGACUUGAUAACCUAGCACGUCAGAUAUCUGAAGGGCGAACAUUAGCCAACUAUAAUUACAAGUUAACACCUUACAAUUUCUUGGCAGAGUACCUUGUAUGAAGAAAGGAGGAAUAAGAUUCACCAUCAACGGCCACUCCUACUUCAACCUGGUUUUGAUCACCAACGUGGCUGGUGCAGGAGACGUCCAUUCAGUUUCAAUCAAGGGGUCCAGAACAGGGUGGCAACCCAUGUCAAGAAACUGGGGUCAAAACUGGCAGAGCAACUCAUACCUCAAUGGCCAAGCCCUCUCCUUCCAAGUCACCACCAGUGACGGUAGAACCGUCACGAGCUACAACGUGGCUCCUGGUAAUUGGCAGUUUGGCCAGACAUUCUCAGGGGGGCAAUUUUAGAAUUAUUCCACUAGACUAUUGGCAAAAAAUUGUGUAUCUAUCUGUGUCAUUUUUUUCCCUUAAGUUUCUUAGUGCAAAAGAAAGGAGUAGUUGCGAAGUGAAGGUUUGCUGAGGUGAGCUAAAAAACACCCGCUGGGCCUUUCACAUUUGAGAUUUUCUGCAGAAACGAAAUUUACCUCAUUCAGGUUGUAAUCAAUUUCCUCAAUUGUAACCUUAAUGAUAUAUAUAAUAAAAUAUAAAAAAAAGCUUUAUUACGGUCGAUACAUCACUCGAUGGAAAAUAACUUCUCCGCUAUAUUUCUGAUGUCGAUAUUUCAAGUCAAUCAGUCGAUAUGACAUCGCAGUAGUAGGUAAUAUUUGAUAACUUACCUGCAGAGUCCAAAAGAAUACGAGGAAACACAACCCUAUCCACACGAUCACUUUCAAGUUGUUCUUUUUGGCUGUUGGUAGUAAGUGGUAACUUUUUAUUAGAAGUUGGUGUUGUAUCCUUUUCAGCAAUAUAAAAAGGCCCGCAUCUAACAAACAGCAGAACAUGGCCACGUGGACACGGGCAUGUGCUGCAGCAAAGGUUUGUUUUUGUCAUGGGGCAACUAAUUGUUGUGAAGGGUGACAGACAAAUCAGAAACUUGGAUAAAAAGAAAGGAACUAUCAUUUGGAAUUUAUCUAAGUAAAUGGAAUAGAUUUCGUCUUUCUGAGAAAUGUGAUCAGAUGAUCGAUAAAUGUGAUAUCUAAACUCUCGAGAAAGUGUGUUGAAUUAAAGAUUACUUAAAAUAGUGUGGAAAAACUUUUGGGAUUAUUGUCAAACAACGAAUGUUGAUCCGCUGCAACUAAAGGGAUGAGAGCUUCGAUUUUUUGAGAAGGAACAUGGAAGUGCGAAAAAUGAUUCUCGCGCAUGAGUUUGUACUGGAAUCCCACUUCUGCCUGGUCCAAUAAAACACCAAAUCACCCAAGGGAUAUGAAUUAGAGAUAAAGAAAUCAACCGAAUUUAAAUCACUGUUCAUACGAUUCAAAAAUCUGUUCAGAAAUCACAAAUAACCGUAACAAUAUCAGUCCAAAAUCUUCAUAAGGACAAUAUCUUGUGCCUCGGUACCUUGACUCAGUUUCCACCUAUUGGACAUCUUGAGAAAUGCCAAAGCAUGCGAAAAGAAAUAUAGAUGCCACCGAAAACACAACAUAUAUAGUAAGUCAGAAGUCAAAAGUACAAUGUAUUGGUUAAUUAGAAGAGAAGAGGAGGUGGGAGUUUGAAAAGCUUACGUACAUUGCAUAGUCAUAAAAAUAAGUUUUCAAUCAUGAACGUAAAGUGCAAAUUCAUAUUUGAUUUUGUGUUGACUUAAAUAGUCGUAUAUGUCUAUGUAUUUGAUUUCAAACGCUAUAUUUAACUCUUAAUUGAUGUGCACUGAGAAUGAUAUAUCACAGUAGAAUCAAAUUUAACUCCAAAAUUGACUUUAAAGUUUUAACUUUUAGCUAUUAGAUUUAGAGAUAGCCUAACAAAUACCAAUUUGAAUCAUAACAAAAUAAUUCAUCUAAUAAUAAUGCAACUGCCUUGAGCCACUUAACUACUUUUAAUUGAUCUUAACGAGAUUGAUUCCUUUUGCUGAAGUUUUUACACUUUCUGAAAGACCAAUCUAUGUAAAUUGAAUUUUUUCAAACUCGAACACAAUUUAAUAAUUUUGCAAAUAAUAACCAAAAUUCAGGAGCUUAGAUCUGUUUUUGCUACCAAAUAUCAAUCAAAUUAAAGACUUUCUAGUCAUCCAUAUGUAUUUGUAUCGAACAUGAACAAAUUGCCGGGUUUGCUACCAAGUAACAUAUCCAUAAUGAACCGUCCUUUUUCUUUAUACAUGUAGAUUAUCAUAAUCUCUCUCGCUUCUAGAAAAAUCAUUCCAGUUGAAAAGAAUUUGGUGAAGACACAAGAAAAGUGAAAAUGGUUCAACACAUUUAGAUUCACAAGAAGCACUCCCACGCCACUACUCGAGAAACUCUAAGAGUCCUCUGGUACCUCGGAAGUAGGAAGUUUGGAACUCUUGAUUGUCAAUCCAAGCAAAUGAAGAAAAUGCCAUUUGAGAAGAAUUACGGAACACGUUAAUAUUAACAUCACAAAUAAAACAAGUCUGGGCCUGUAGAACCAAAGGUAAUCCGCUGAAGGAUGAACAAAGUCCCCUCGAAUUUGUUGGCAUCGUAUAUUCCUCAGCAACCUCCUGAGACAUUUGAGACGUUACAUGCUCCAACUGAGAUGGCCUGAUAUGACCGCAGCAGAAAAGCUCGCAUACUUUGUAUGUUGCAAUUUUCGCAGCACCUCAACAGCAUUCCCUUUCACCGCUGAGGCAAAGUGAGUUCCAUGAACGAAAACAUCCCUCAAAGACUCUUGAGAGUGAUAUCGAGGUCCAGUGAGCUUGCUGCAAAAUGAACAUUUCAUAUAGUUUACAAAGUAUUAGUAUGUACAGAAGCAGUACAAUUAUAAAAAUUGGGUAACGCGGAACACACAUAGGUGCUAUGCACAGCAUUCUUGCUUAUGAUUUAGUUAUUGUUUGUUUUCACAAAAAAGAAUAACACUUGAAAGUAACAAUCGGUUUAUAUAUUUGUACCAGUGACUAGUAUAUUAUGUAAUAACUGAAAAUUAUGGAAACUACCUUGUUGCACCUGAAAUUUUAGCAGCCUUCACAGGCACCUUUCUACCUCUGGGGAGGCAGGCCAAAACCUUCAUCUUUAAAGCUCAGAUUCCACCCAAAUCCUACAUUCGAACACAUCAACAAUAAUAUCACUUUCGAUAAUUGCUCUUCGACUAAAUUUCUCAUUGAAUCCCAAAAAGUCCCAAGAUCUUGAACGUUCUGCUUGGAAAGACACAAAAAUCAACAAAAAUAUCACCCUCCAUAAUUUCAGCAGUAAAACAGGUACUCAACAGUUAAAGUUACUCAAGCGAUAUCAGUUCGUCGUACCCAGUGCACAAGGCUCCUGCUUUAGGCAGGGUCUGGGAGAGGUGAAUGUCGGCUAGCCUUACCCCCAUUUAUGGAGAGGCUGCUCCCAAGUCUCGAACCCGAGACCUACCGCUCAUGGGCGAAGGCAGUUGCCAUCGCACCAAGUGCGACCUCUACUCAAGCGAUAUCAGUUACAGACACAAAAUUAAUAGUACUCAAAGGAUGCUAAAAGAUUAUAUAUUAUCUAUUGGAAACACAACACAUAUAGUAAGUCGGACUUGAUUACUUGAAGAGGAAAGGAGGUGGGAAUUUGAAAAACUUACAUUGCUUAAGUUCACUGCGACAGUAAAUUGGCGAAGCGUUGCUUAGCCUUGGCAGAGGGUAGAUUCAUCAAAUUAUUCUAAAUCCCCAGCUCUCUAAGGGAUGUAAUGUUCCCCAACCACUCUGGUAAAGCCUCCACUCCCUCAAAUAGUCGAUACAUAAAACAUUUAAAUUUAAUGAGGCAGAGACUUGAGCUUUGUCCACCCUUUCAAAUCUAAUAAUUCAAGCUGCAAUGAUCAACCUUGAACAUCAUGAAUGAAGUUGAUUCCUGCCAGAACCCGCCAAUGGUGAAUUUUAUCAAUUUCGGGGUUGUAAACCUUUUCGCAGAUUUCUUAAAUUCGCCAAAUUAUAAAAUCCCUAACUUAGUUUGCACUGACGAUUCUUUACCUAAUUUCUGCAAUAAUGCAGGUAUUUGACAGUAAAGCUACUUGAGGGAUAUGAAAUGUCGAUUAAAUAAUCAACUGAAUUCAAGUCAUUGUUCAUACGAUUCAAAAAUCUGUUCAGAAAUCACAAGUAAUCAUAAAAAUACCCAGCGCAAAAUCUUCAUAAGAAUAAUAAUAGACGAAAAGCAAUUGCAGUCAAUCUAUAUUUUCUUAUUAUAUGAAUAUGGUUUUACAUGAUUAGAAGCAUUACUCUUCCAAGUUUCUAACCAUGAACGGGUAAUUAAGCUGGUGUUUCAACACUCAUACAAAUGAACUAAAGAAAGUUAACAUAUCAACUGAUGUUGCGGAAAUUAAGAACGAUAACAUGUAAAGGAGAACGCCCACAUGGUACCAAAAAAAGAGGCUUUCUAGCUUGAUAAGCACUAUAACUUAAGGUAUAUUUUUUGUGAAAAGAAGGUAGAGCGAGAAAUUUAAUAUCUUAUGUAUCAGUACCUGUACUCAGUUUGCACCCAUUGAGCAUCCUGAAAAAACGCCACAGCAUGCCAAAAGAAAUAUAGAUGCCACUGGAAAACACAACAUGUGUAGUAAGUCAGAACUCAACAGUACACUGCAUUUAGAAGAGAAGAGGAGGUGCGGAUGUGAAAAGCUUACUUGGACUAACUCCAAUGCGGAAGUUGCGUCCAUGAAUAUUCAACUGUACAUACUUUGGUUUUUCCGCAACUCAUUUGUUGCAGUUUCUAAAGGCGUUGCGUAGCUUCAAUCCAACUGUUGUCCCAGACUCUUAACUAAUUUGAAACAAAAUUGAGAAGGAUAAACAACUUUGGUUAGUUUUCGAAAUUUUUGUGUAGAUGAAUAGAAGAACAAAAGAGAUAAACAUUAUAACAUGUACCCUGCAAUUCGAUUUCAAGAAUUGCAAAACGUACUUGUGAUAUUUGGAAUGUGAGCAAUCUUAGGCCAAUCUGUGCCGUUGUCCCUGGUGCAUUUCUGCUCUAAAAGAGGAUGACAUCCGGAAAUGUCCAGGAUUUGUAAUUUGGUGAGACGUUGCAUAGCUUCGACACUAGGUAAAUUCGACAGAUUCUUGCAAUCUUGUAUCUCCAGCUGUGCAAGGGAUGUAAGGUUACCCAACCAUUCUGGCAAAGUCUCCACUCCGUCAAAUGAAACCAUCAUCAAAUCUGUCAAAGAAGUCAAGUGUUGAAUCUGUUGAGGCAAAGACUUGAGCUUAGGCCAACCCCACAAGUCUAACAUUGUAAGAUGCAUCAAUGAUCCAACUCCAAAAUCAGGGAAGGAAUCGAGCUCCUCCCAGAACGGACCAAUUUGUAAUUUCUUCAAGUGAGAAAGCCACCGUAGCCCCGCCGGCAGAUAUUUUAGCUUUCGCCAGUUUCUGAUCUCCAGAUAGCGAAGAGAAUGAAGGUUGUCUAAACUUGGAAGAAUCUCUAAAUUUGGGAAAUCGUUUAUUGCCAGCCACUCAAGAGAGACUGGGAAUUGCAGCCCGCUCACCCAACUUUCCAAUCCUUCACAGUAUUCAAUCCUCAGUUGUUGAAGGGGUAUCAUUGUGCGCAAAUCUGAAACGCAUUUCUCCUCAAUACUGCUACUUUGGACACCAAACGACGUUAGCUUAGGGCAUUCACUUAUAUACAAUUGCUGAAGAGAGGGAAAGUGUUGUGGAAGAGCAGGUAAGCUCGAUAGUUCAUCGCAAUAUCUGAUUGUCAACUUCUGAAGAGAGGUGAGAGACGCGCCGCCUUUAAUUUCAAUUGAUGUCAGAUUAUUGCAACGCCAUAUAAACAAUUCCACGAGAGAGGUGCAGCCUUGAAGCCCACUCAAUGGGCCUGACAAACCACUGCAGUUAUGAACAACCAAUUUCUGGAGAGAGGUGCAGUAGUCUAACCCACUCGGUAGUCGUGACAAUUGUUCACAAUGAUAAAUCUCUAAUCUGCGUAGAGAUGCCAUGCCCUGUCUAAUUGGAAUCAAUUCUAGAUUAGGACAUCUGUAUAUACCCAGGUACUCAAGGAGAGGAAGUGUAUCUAGCCCAUCCGGCAACUGCCUCAGCUUUUCACAAUUACGAAUAACCAAUCUCUCAAGAGAACCACAAGAACCGAAUAUAUCGGGGGCAAGAUCAUAAUCAAUGACUCCAAAACAUUUUAAGUUAGCCAUUCCGCUAAUCUUAAGCUCCGUAAGAUUAGGUAGAUGGCCAAGCGGUGGGACUUCUUCACAUUUAUUGCAUCCAAAUAACUGAAUCUUCUUCAAGUUGUUGAGCUGUAAUGGUCUACUCAUCAUCCACAAUGGAAACUUAUCGCCCAUGAAGUUUUCAAUACUUAAGCUCUCUAAAUCAGGUUGCGGUCGGAGGCCUCCCAGUACAUCCCCCUCGUCAUUGUUGUCAGUUGUUGACCUAUAUCUCGUCCAUCUGAGUGUCAGAUGGCAUACUUUUUUCUUGUCCUCUAGUUUAGCUUUUUUUGCUUCUUCUCCAUUCUCUACGCGUUCCAGAUUACAAACAACUAAUUCACCUUUCAAUUCUUUCAAGCCAGCCAACUCUUCAAUUCGACGACCAAUCUCAUUACCCACCGAAAAGUAUAGUAUUGUUCUAAGGCAAGUCAAUCGCCUUAACCCCUGUGGAAAUUUUGUGCUCUCAUCAAAAUAAAUAUGUCUCAGAUUGAUCAAGUUUUGCAAUUCUUUUGGAAACUCUUUAAGGGCACAAUUUGUCGCUCUUAACGUCUGUAAGUUAUAGAGCUUGCCUAUAGAGCUGGGGAGUAAUUUGAACCUUGUUUUAGAAAUGUCAAGAUACCUUAAGUGUUUCAGCCUUUCAACUGAAGUUGGAAACUCUUCAAUAUUAGCAUUACUUAGAUUCAAGAUGCGUAAAGCUUUGAACCGUGGGAGAAUGUUAAUAGGAACUUCACCAUCAUCAGAGACCAGUGAUCGCAAUUUUCCAGCGCUUCUUUCUGGAAUUUUUUUCAGUAUAGAAGUAGAAACUCGUGCAACAUGUCGAAUCUCAUCUGUAUUAUCUAUGCCAUGGAAGUCUCCUGUCAAGCUUUCAAAUCUGGAUACAAGUUUUGCCAAAUCAUGCACAAGAUCGUGCAUCUUGCAUUCGCUAAUAGUGCCAUUAUAAUCCAAUGUAGCAUCUUGAAAUAAGGAGCUCUGCAAUAGAAUAUCAAAAUAUUCAUUGCCUAUAUCCUCCAUAUCUUUACUUUCACCAAGUGAAGGGCGGAGUAGUCCUUGAGCCAUCCAAAGUUGAAUCAAAUUAUCUCUUUGAAUUUCAAAAUCUUUCUUGAAUAUUGAGCAAUAUGCAAAACAUUGCUUCAAUGAUGGUGAUUCUAAAUUGUCAAAACUCAACUUCAAGACUGACAUAAUUCUAUCUUCUCCUUUCGGUAGGUUGUUCCAUAUUCCACUUUCUUUAAAUGACAACCAUUCAGCAAUACUAUUUUUAGUGUACAAAAUGCCUCCCAAAACCUGUUGAUUGGAUUAGAGAGUUUCUAUCACAUAAUGAUUUAUAGAGUAUAGUAGUUUGAACUGAAGUUGAUGAAAAAUAAAAAGAAAAAUACAUGAUUGAAAAAAGAGGGUAUAGUUAUAAUCAGGUUCAAAAGUUUCCUAAAACAAUGUAGAAAAAACUUGAGUUAUAACAAAGUAUUCAUCCAAUAAUAAUGCAGAUGGUCCUUUAAUUAUUAUUACGAAAUUGAAUGGUUUCAAUUAUAAAAUUUGUACGAUAUAUCUAGAAAAAGUCUGAGCCAUGUGCAAAAUGUGAUACUAGCUUCCGUGUUUGUCAAAUUCCCGAAAUAUCCAUUAACUAAUGUUGGUUUUUGAUUAAGAAAAUGUUAAGGGAGACCACACAUUUUUUGUAUACCAUCUAAUGCAUAAGUGAUAUGUACAUGUUAUAUCAAGUAAUGAAAAAUCAAUCUACGUAAAUUGUACUUUCAAAAUUGGAACUCAAUUCAAUCAUCUUGCAAAUGAUAUAACUAAAAUUCGAAGGGAUUGACGAUGUUGAUACCAAGUAAAAUAUAUGUGAUAUCAGAUAGCUAAUAUCUAUGAUUUGAAAUGAAAUUUUGUAAUGAUGAUUUUUAAAUGAUAAUUACAAAAAUGAAUGGCUCUGAUUAAUAUGUUUGUCACAAUGCCUUGUCCUAAUUUAUAAAGUGAUCUAUUUUCCUAAUUUAUAAAUAAAAAACAUGUAAAAAAUUAAGUGCAAAUUCCAAGUUAUAUGUACAUAAUAAUAAUACGUACCUUUGCCACCAAUGGAACGCCACCACAAUUUUCAGCAAUUUUCCUUCCAAUUGUCUUGAACUGAGGAACUAUACGAGCACUGCUAUUUGGGAAGGCUUUCUUUUUCAUGAUGGACCAACAUUCAUCCGCAGAAAGUUUUCCCAGCUCAUGUCGUCGAAGUAGUUUUUCUGAGAUUGAUGCAACUUUUGUACUACGAGUAGUGACCAUGAUUUUGGAUCCCCCAGCAGAUUUAAGCUUAAACAAACAUUCCAUUAAAUUAUUCCAUUUUUCAGAAUCUUCGUUCCAAACAUCAUCAAGUACGAGUAAGUAUCUUUUGUCUUUCAACUCUUCAUUAAGGAAGAUAAGCAAAGCAUUCUGGUUAUCUUUCGAAGGGACCUUUGUCGGAUUAAGCUGUUCUAACAUCUGAAGUAGAAUCAAAUUGAUAUCGAAAGUGUUCGAUACACAAACCCAUAUUUUUGCUUCGAAAAACUUGUGUAUCAAAUCCUCAUUGUAAACUGACUUGGCCAACGUUGUCUUUCCGAUGCCUCCCAUUCCCACAAUGGCCAUAACCGCAAGAUUUUCUUGAUUGUAUUUGGAGUCGGUCAAGGUUGUAACUAUUUUUAACACAUCAUCUUCCCUUCCAACAGUUAUUUCAUCUCUGCCAACGAAUGCGUUGGUUUGUCUGUCCCAUGUAUUUCCUCGAGGGGUUGCAUCUAUUCUCUUGGAAACUAGACCAAUGAAAGAUGCCUCACCCUUGAGAUCUACCAAGGACUGGUUGAUGUUCUUAAUUUUAUGUGCCAUUUUCAAACGAAAUGCAAAUGGAUUGGAGAGUGAAAAGAAGUUAAGUACCUUUUUCUUCAUAUGAUUUUGGAGUUCAACUUUACGGCGAACAACUUCGUACUCGAACUCAUCCAACACAUCGUCAGCUUCAUGAGCUAUAGCCUUAAGUUUCCUCACCCACUCCUCCACCACCAUGACCCGAUCUUGUGGUUGAUCGGAAACAGCUUGCAAGAAAUCCUGAAUGGUGAGUAAUGAAUGGUGAAGCCGUUUUAGUUCAGCUUUGAAACCCCAAGCAAGACUGAGUUCUUGAGCAGCAAGUGAUGCCACCUUCGACAGUAUACCCUCAACAGAAAAAGUAAACACAGCUCCUGCAAUCUUCCCUUCCAUGCCGAUCGAUUAAAUUUUCACUCAAUUUUCUCUCGAGUGGAUGGAAGGAAAUACAAAUGAUGAUGUGAUGGCUUACACCAAACGCUUGUUUUUAUUUGGCAUGAUCAGUUCUAUCAGAAUCCAAACCUGCCUGUCAAACACAUAUAAUUUAAUUCCCACAAUAGUCUAAAAAAGCGGCCAAAGCUGGCAAGGCUAGUGCAAGUGGUGACCGAUAUCUCUACCGACUAAAAUUAAUAUCCGCCUUUCAUUCACGAUUCAUAUAAGAAAAAUGCUAUGGUGAUUAUUUUAAAAGAGUGCUCGUUACCUGAUUAAAACAAAAGCGAAGACUCUUUACAAAUUUUUUAUUUACUUUUUGUUUUUUCAUAAUAAUUUAUAAUAUUAGUAUGAAAAUUGACUGUUGAAUUGUAAAGUGAUAAAGAAUAGAUAAAAAAAUCUAAUUUUUAAGAGAGUUUUUUUAUCGUGUCACUUCAUAUAAUUUAUUCAUUUCUUUUCUUUACCAAUUUCUCUCCCCCGACCUCUUCUCUCUGAAUUUAUACUGCAACACGUUGAAAAUUAUGAUUUUAUAUGUCCAUUUCUCUUUAUAUGAAUGUAUCUAAUACAGAUCUAGAUGAAAGAUUAGGUCACUUCAAACUUACCUAAGUUGAAUAAUCCCAAAAAAUUGUUACACUCAUAAUGUAACGCACCACAAUAGUAAAAAGCAAACUAACAACUAUUUAAGCCAGGUAGCUUUUCGACUCUCAUUUUUUUUAUUGAUCUUACUUGGCUGCAUGCUUUUUGCUUAUGUAGACAUCGAAAUUUCUUAAAUAAAUGUUGACCGAUAAAUCAAAGUGUCAACGCUCAUGUAUUACAUAAAUUUUACACGUAGCGUGUGACUCAACGAAAAUUGAAAUGAGUUGGAAAAGUCAUCAAAUAGGACACGUGUCAACAUCUGGCAGAAACGACUUAUUUCAUCUGGGAUAUUAUAUUCAAAAUUAGGCAUUGGAAAAUUCUAUAAAUACAAGCCCAUUUCAUUCAUUUAAAGGGACCAAUUCAUAUUACACCUUGAAGCUCUGAAGCUCUGAAGCUCUGAAACUCCAAAACUCUCAAGCAUCCAGGUUCCCGAAGAAUCAAGAAAGUGUUCUUCGUUCUUCAUUCAUCGUUCUUCCAAGAUCAAGCCUCGACGGCCCUUGGAUCAACAAUCAUCCACCUUCAAGAUCAAGCCCCGACGGCCCUUGAAGAAAGCAUUCUUCAUUCUUCGUUCAUCGUUCUUCCAAGAUCAAGCCCCAACGGCCCUUUGGAUCAACAAUCAUCCACCAAUUCAAGAUCAAGCCCCGACGGCCCUUGAAGAAAAUGUUCUUCGUUCUUCCAAGAUCAAGCCCCGACGGCCCUUGGAUCAACCAUCCACCAAUUCAAGAUCGAGCCCCGACGGCCCUUGAAGAAAGCACCAUCGUUCAUCAUCCGUUAAUCCAAGAUCAAGCCCCAACGGCCAUUUGGAUCAACAACGUCGACAAAUCCACACAUCCAACCGUUCUUCAAGAUCAAGCCCAAAAGCCCUUGAAGAUCCGUUCAUCACUGUUCUUCGAGAUCAAGCCCAAAGGCCCUUGAAGAUCCGUUCAAGCCCAAAAGCUCUCGAAGAUCCGUUCGUCACUGUUCUUCGAGUUCAAGCCCAAAAGCCCUCGGAAAUCCGUUCAUCACUGUUCUUCAAGAUCAAGCCCAAAACCCCUUGAAGAUCCGUCAAUCACCAUUCUUCAAAAUCAAGCCCAAAAGCCCUUGAAGAUCCGUUCAUCCUCGUUCGUCCAAGAUCAAGCCUCGACGGCCCUUGGAUCAAUCGCACAUCCCACAAAUCAACACCUUACGGAGAUCGAAUCAGAUGAUCAAAAUAGAGAGAGAUUGUAAACCAAAAUCAUCAAAAAUACAAAUAUUUGUUUGUGCACGUUGUUCUUGUCUCUUUCGUUUCAGGAAUUUUCUGUGUUCACAGCUUCAUCAUACAUCUCUAUGUGACACUAACACUAGGUUGCACAACACAUCAUAUAUUCUUAUCUUCUUGUAUUUUUGUUCUUAAUUAGAAAAAGUACACUAAGAUUAUUUUGACGUAUCAAUAACAGUUUAUACUUGAAAAAUAACAGUAUAUUAAUAUGAAGUGUGUUGUUUUCUUAUUCGCAUGGCGUAAAUGCACCGAGUAACGCACUCAGUCUCUUAUUUUGUAGCUCAUGCUUUUGGCGUUCCUUUUUGUGAGUUGGUAGCUCAUAGUUUGAAGUUUAAUCUUCGAAAGCAACGUAAAUGUGUUUAUUCGCUCCUAUCUUACUAUUAUAAAUACUAGCAUUUUUGGACAUGUUCAUGUGUAUGCGAAAGAUCUUUUUUAAUCAUGGUGAGCUAUGCACGCAAAUAAAAUUCUAUUUUCUUUUCCACAUUUGUACUCAAUGUAGCUAAUAGGCAAGAUAUAAGAUUGAUUCUUCCAAUCUUGGAGCAAAAAAUAAUUCCAGAAAUCCGUGCUAGUGCCCCAGAGAUUCUUGGAUUUCUUGCAAUAUGAGAUUUAAUCCCAUAACUCUUAUUUUUUAUUUUACAUGCUUUGACGCUCUCCCGCCUCAUGUUUUCCACAGAGUGUUGUGCCAUACUACGAAAAUUAUACGGUUUAGAAGGAUUAUAACUCAUUUAUUUGAAUGAAAGCUCUUGAACAACCAAGUCCCCUGCCAACCAAACUACGAAUUCUCAAUUCUUUGAUCGAUAGGAACCUCGAAAAAAGUUUUGGGGUUUUGAGUACUUAAAAAAGGCUCUAAAAAAACGGAACUACAAGUAAAUCUUAAUAAAAGCAUAUGAUGAGAAAUUAUUUGAGUCGAGCAUUUCCAAGUGUGAACUUUUUUCCGAAGAAGAUAAGAAUUCAUUAAAUAGACAAGGCUCACAAAGAUAGAAAGGGAUCAUCCGGAUCCCUUCCACCAAAUCCACCUAAUCAUCCCAUUCAGACAUUUGAAAUUUGAUGCAACGACUAAAGUUAUUAUAACUUUUAAAAUGACCACCUGUUUUUAGACGUUGAAUCAAAUUUCAAGAGCUCGAAUGGAUUGAUUAGAUGAAUUGGUAGAAGAGAUUCAGAUAUGUUCCUUAUCCCACAAAGAUUUCCACGCGCAAGUCAACAUCUGUGGAGGCUUUAGAAAUUUUUUUUGUUUCGGUCUUUGGUCUAGUUUUUGGUUGUUGAUGCCAUGUCGGUAGGAAUUCAGACAUAGGAGCUCUUAUUCUUUCCUACAACUACCAAAAAAGCGUGGCAAGUAACCAAAUUAAAUAUCACAGAAUUUGGUAAGAAAUCGCUCUACUGAGACAAGUCGCAGCAAAUGGGCCCCAUGCUUCUCCAACCAUACAAAAGAGACACAUGGUGGUGAAGGCGUAAUUAGAGGCCACCCUCCCUUAUGCGGAUCUCUCUAUAUUUUCUUUAUGAAAUUAUAGGGAUCCUUAUAUUUUACCUGUUCAUCAUACGUGUGCGAUCAGUAUUAUUUAUGUUUAAUUUUAAAUAAAAUAAUUUUUUAUCGUACAAUGUAUAAUGAACUAGAAUAUAAAAUUUUAAUUUAUUGCCUUUAAUAAGUUAACAUGCACUGCCCAAAUAGAUGUGUGAGGGAUGGACAGUGACAGAACAUAUCACAUGCACUACCCAAAUCGAAGCACGAAAACGAAAUAAUGGGUGGGACUCGGCCACUUCCCACCAUGAGAUUAUCUCAAACCUAAAAGAGAUCAAAGGAUCAUGUUUAACUCUAUAGCCUUGUAAGAAAUUAUUUUUUUAAUGAACAGUGUCAAACUAUAUUUUAUAUCAUCUCCAACCAAGUGAGUCAAAUGAUCAUAAGCCAAAACAUAGCCCGUUUAAGAAAAAAAACUCAUCUCUAAUCGAAGGGGGCUAUUUUUUAGCCCACUUAAUAAUUUAUUAUUUUAAUUGAAUUAAUAUGUCUAAUUGAAUUAAACUAUCAUAUUAAAAUAAGAUUUUCAGAUAUAUUUUGAGUGUCACUUGUCGCUAAAUGAAUAAAGCUAUGGUUCUCUUAUCUUUAUAUAAUGAAAAGGAUGUGAAAAUUUGGUGAAGAAUUGAAUAAAAUGAUGUAAGAUAGUAUGAAAUUAUGAAAUGAUGUGAGAAAUUGUAUAGAAAUGGCUUAGGUAUUUAUAGGAAAAAAAUUAGAAUUUUUUUUAAAUUUUGUCUAAAAAAAAAAUCGAAUUCAACAAUAACAUGACGUCUGCUAGCCUAGGUUUGGGCUGGUGCAAACGGGCUGGCUGGCUCUUUUUGGCCAACCCGCUGGCCUAGUAGAUGGAAUUAUGGCCCGAUAAGGCUCACAAGCCCUUUGGUCUAGCCUUAUGUUGAAGACGAUUUUUGUAUUAAAACAUGAUAUAUUUUGACCUAUGUCCCUUUGGCUAAUACUACUUAUCUUCCCCAUGGUUGCAGACGAGAGAAAGUAAAGGUGCUCGGUUAUUAGGUGUGGAAAAUGAAAGUGGGAACGGUCCUAAAAUACCAUUAUGGAAGAACAAUGACCUACAAGCUUAAAGCCUGUGCGAUCCUAAAAUACAAGUAUGGAAGAACAAUGACCUACAAGCUUAAAGCAUGUGCGAUCCCCUAAACCCUAAAAAAGUUUAAAACAAACAAAUCGCUUACGCUGGGAUUCUAGUCCUUGACUUUUGAAAACCAAGGGCUUAUCCAAUAGAAACAAUUAGUAGUGGUGGGCACAGGCCGGGCCGGACCCAAAUUUGAAGGGAUCGAACCAGACCCGAGUGUAAAGGAGACGGGCAUGGGCGAGUCGGGGAUUACAUUUUCUUACAUAGGAACUGGACCUUACCUGGCCCGAUUGAAAUAGGCUGGUUCGGGUAGGGUCCACGGGUCCUUGGUUUUGUUUGUUUGUUUUUUUUUUUUUUUUUGAAAAAAAAAACUGGAAUUUGCACAGAUUCACCAAUGUAGCAUAUUAUGCAAUAAGAAACCCAGAUAAUGCAAGAGGAAAGAUUUCGAAAAAUUUCCAAUUCCAAAUGCACCCACUUCCUUAUAAAUUCUUCAGCAUAAACAUCUCCGAACAAAGCAGAUUGAGACUCAGUAAAUCAAUACUCACAACAGAAACCCAGAUAAUAUAAUCCACAAAAAGUUGAAGCGCAUAGCCAAAUUAACAAAGUGUAAAUAUUUAGCAGGUCAUUAAGUAUAUAGGCAUCACAAGAAAUCCAUGAUAAAUAUGAACAAAUCUCGAUAUGAAAGCCCUAAUACGAAGCUAAGAGUGACCUAACACAUAUGGAGAGAUCAGUACUCUUCGGCCUUAGCAUCCUCACUGGCAGUAGCAUCGGUACAUUCCACCGCAGAGCUCGCAGUCUCGGACUUUAUGGGGCCGUUUUGGAGCAGCAGAAGCAACGGCGUUCCUGGACUUGAUGGUGUCGAGCAUGUGCUUUCUAAUCUCCUUGGAGUAAACCUGCAGGAUCUGAAUCCCGCCUCCUCAAUGAAGAGAGGGGACGACGCACUCGAGACGACGAAUGAGAGGUAACAAAUCAAAAAGAUGGGUGGCGGGGUGGCUGGGUUCUAUAAGUCUGGGUCUUUGGGAUGUCAAAUAGAGACGGCGAGAAAGAGGUGACAAAUCGAGAAUAUGGUGGUCAUCUGGGUCGUCGUGCUGUCGGGGUGGUGGAGGGAAGGGGACGACGCACUGGAGACGGCGAGAGAGACUCGAUCGACAGAGUGAGAGUGAUAUUUAAGUUCGAUAGGUUUGAGGACUAGCAAACCUAAAACCAACGAUUCAGAUUGGAUGGAGAGAUGAUUUCUUCAAUCUCAUCCGUCCAUUCUAACUACAAAUAGGCCAGUCCGGGUACCCAGGGUUCUUAUACUUCAGGAACCAGUCCGAACUGAAAAUUUCAAAAGCCUGCCCCGCCCCAUUUUUGUUUUUACAAAAUAGGAACCGGCAUGUACCCGUCCCGAACUGCGGUUCCUAUACUUGUUUGCCCACCCCUAACAAUUAGCAUGAAAUGGGUCCCCAAACAAUAAAAAAAAUAUAAUGAAAAAUGAUCAAAAAUUCAGAGUUUUAACAAAAGGGUAAAAAGUUAUUGUAAGUGAAUAAUACGAAAAAUGAUUUUUUAGAGUAAAAAUAUUAUUAACGUUAAAUGUGAACAGGAUCAAGAAUAUUUCGUUAAGUUUUCCAAAAAAAAUCGACACAUGCUGAUGUGGCGUUAUUAGAGGCCACCCUCCCCCGGAAAUCGGAAUCAAAAAAUAAAAAAUCAACAAAAAACCCCCCAAAAAUAAAUAAAAAUUCAUUUCAUUUUCCCAAUUUUCCAAUUUUUUUUUUCGAAUUUUCACAAGAAUUAAACGAAGAACACAUGCUGAUGAUGCCCGCCAUCAAUGCCACACUCGAUUCUUUGCAAUCUCAGUGAUCGGUGUUUGAUUGAUUUGAUUUGACCGUCCUUUGCCGAUUCCAGCUUCCGCAUCUUCGUUUCCGUACGUUAUUUCUCUCUCCCUCCUUUUCUCGCUUUCUCUGUUGAUUUGGUGUUUCUUAGUAAGAAGCAGAUCUAGAGUUUCAUAAUCGAAAAUUGGAGCCAGUGUCGGUGGCGAUUUGUAAUUGUGUGUGUUUGCCAUUGUUGUUGCUGCAGUUCUGAGCUGCUUUGCGCCUGAAAAAUCUGAAAUUUCGGAUAAUGAGGUACGAAUUUUGAAUGUGGGCAUUUAUGGUAUGUCUGUUUUGUGAUUUUUACUGGAAAUUGAUUGAAAUUGGUUGGAUAUUUCUUUCUGGGAUAUGCUAGAUCCGUGUAAAGGUUUGGGCUUUGAAUUGAGGGAAAGAAUGUGGAAGAUGGGAGAGAGCCCGAAGUUCCAGCUGGGAACCAUUGGGGCUCUGAGUUUGUCGGUGGUGUCGUCGGUGUCAAUCGUGAUUUGCAACAAGGCGCUUAUUAGCACACUUGGUUUCACUUUUGGUGAGUAAUGCACCUGUUUGAUAUGAAAUUUGAUGCACCUGUUUGAUAUGAAAUUUGGCAUAUGUAUAUAUUGGUUUUCUGCUUUGUUUGGGUGGUUGGAAUUCCUUCUAUGGCACAUUUUUUUGGUUUUAAGAUAGUGUUAAAUGAUAAAUGUCGGUAGAAUUUGGUUGCUUCAAUACAUAUAAUGUUGGCAAAAGAUUUUCUAGUUAAUUCGGCUGGUGCAUCUUAAAAGCUUGAAUGUGGUUUACUUUGAUGGAAACCGAAAAGAUGGUUGGUCAUGAUUCAUGAAUGUAGAGCUAAUUUAUGAUAACCACAGAGGGAAAUACGAAAGAUUUGAGUAUCAUAUGUAUUCUCAUUUCGUUUGCUUUUUUUGAGAAUACUUCUGUGUAUUCUCUAAGGUGAUUCAUUAAAAAAUUAUGUAUUACAAAGAUCAUGCUAAUGAUCUUUAACUCAUAUGUAUUCUCUUUUUUUGAGUAUCAUAUGUAUUUGCUUUGUUUCUUGUAAUUAUGUAGUUUCUUUAGCUUAACAUCAUGCUAAUGAUCAUGAUAUUGUACUAUCGCCUUGUCAAUGUUAAUUAAUAUACUAAAUCACAAUAUGGGAUAUGCAGCCACAACUUUGACAAGCUGGCAUCUUCUAGUCACAUUUUGUUCGCUUCACGUAGCGUUAUGGAUGAAAUUUUUUGAACACAAGCCUUUUGAUGCUAGUUCUGUAAUGGGAUUUGGAAUUCUUAAUGGAAUCUCUAUUGGCCUUCUGAAUCUUAGCUUGGGUUUCAAUUCCGUUGGUUUUUACCAGGUAAAGUUCUUGUUAGUUUUGGCUGCCUUCAUCAACUUGAGACAUGCAUUUUUAAUGUUGUACUGUAUGUGAUCCUGUUCGUGCUAUGAUUAUUUACUUCUUUGCCAAACGAUAUUACAUUUUCAUUUUAAAAUCUGUUACUGUUUCAGCAGUUUUAAUGUAAAUUAUCAAUUUCUGAAGAAAUUUUCUUUAUCAGAUGACAAAACUGGCAAUCAUCCCUUGUACUGUUCUUCUGGAGACCCUUUUCUUUAAGAAGAAAUUCAGGUCAGUGUUUAUCAUAGAUCGGUUGUGGGAUGAAUUUGUUUGUAGUUCAAUCUAGUUUGAAUUAAACCCGGAAAUUUUGUAUAUAGGAUGUUAUAUUUGCUUUCACUAUUUACCUGAGUCAUUAUAUUAAGUUUCGAUGCACGAUUUCGUUGAAUUUUCAACUGAUACAACUGCAUACUUGUUCUGACACUCUUUACCUUAUGACAGUCGAAGUGUCCAGUUUUCACUCUCCAUCCUUCUUUUGGGAGUUGGGGUUGCAACAGUGACGGAUCUUCAACUCAAUGCUCUGGGUUCUUUUUUGUCCCUGCUGGCAGUUUUAACAACCUGUGUUGCUCAGAUUGUAUCCUAAAUUGAACUGAGCUUUUCUAUUUCAUUAGAUGCAUUGUACACGUUUAAUGUUUAAGCAAACCGCUUUUGAUAAAAAAAAAAGAAAUCAUAUCAAUAAGAUCUGCAUUAUUUACUGAUUACUGUAUGGCAUUAUCGUAGUGUUUAUUGUUUUAGACCUUAACAGCUAUUUCAGAUGACCAAUACCAUCCAGAAGAAGUUCAAAGUUUCAUCAACCCAACUUCUGUACCAAUCUUGCCCCUAUCAGGCAAUAACGUUGUUUGUCAUUGGUCCAUUUCUAGAUGGACUUUUGACUAAUCAAAAUGUUUUCUCAUUUGCAUAUACCCCUCAAGUGCUGGUGAGUAUUCAAUAUUUCCCCAGUGCUGCCUCCCCAGACCCCUUUCCAACAUUUCUAUAUCCUUCAUUUACCGUGAUAUUGUCUAUGUUGCAGUUCUUCAUUGUUCUGUCCUGCCUGAUAUCUGUCUCCGUAAACUUCAGUACAUUUUUGGUUAUUGGAAAGACGUCUGCAGUAACCUAUCAGGUCCUUGGACAUCUGAAAACAUGCCUUGUUUUGGCAUUUGGCUACAUUCUACUUCGUGACCCAUUUAGCUGGCGCAACAUUUUGGGGAUAUUGAUUGCUAUAGUCGGGAUGGUGCUCUAUUCUUAUUAUUGCACUCUCGAGAGCCAGCGGAAGGCUAAUGAAGUAUCCCAACAGUUACCCCUGGUGCGUCCCAAUUUUUCAUAUCUCAUUCACACGUUCUCUAUAUAAUUCCCAUAUCCUUUAUCUGAAAUAUUAACUUGGCCCAAAUUUGUGCCGAUUCAUUGGCUAAUACUACCUAUCCUCCCCAUGGUUGCAGACGAGAGAAAGUGAAGGUGCUCAGUUAUUAGGUGUGGAAAAUGGAAAUGGGAACGAUCCUAAAAUUCCUGUAUGGAAGAACAAGGACCUACAAGCUUAAACGCCUGUGUGAUCCCUGAGUUCAUUUGCAGUAGAUCAAAUUUAGUGGCGGAAAAACUGUUCCGGCGAUGAAGAUGUUGCUGGAGAGGGGUUUCUAUCUGUGGCAUUGUGGGUUUAUAAUUUCCGUUGUAGAAGGAAGCUUCAGGUCAAAGAAAUGUCUUAUUUUUCUUACUUUAUAUAGCAGUUUUGGUUAUUAACUUUGUCUGAAACGGGUUUGGCAAAUCGGAUUUAUACCGAAAAUUUUGUGUUGUAACCCAAAUUUUAGUUGUAUUAGUGAAAAUUGCUGAACCACAGUAUUUGGUCUGCAGAUUUCAUGAGGUUAGCCCUCUAAAUGUAGUUGAGAAAACAAAAACAUAAUCGCACUUGUACCAGUAUGAGAAAACAAAAGCAAUUUCCUGGAGCAAUGAAGGCAUAAUUGUGAUUAGAUGCUUUCUCAUGCCAUGGUGUCGGGGAAUGUACGGUGUUUAUGUUGUUUGACUGUAAAUUUGAUAUGUAUCAUUCUAUAUCAAAUUUGAUAUGGCUCCAGCACAUGUAGGGCUUGUUUGGGAGUGGUUUUAAGUCAGGAAUUGUUUUAAAUGACUUAAAACACUUUCAGAGAAAAAGUUUUUUGGAUUCUAAAAGUACUUACGGUAGUAGCAAAAUGUUUUUGAGUUUUAAAAGCAUUUAAGUGAUUUUUCAAGACUCGGUUGUAUUUUUAUCAAGAAUUAGUUUUAAAAACAUUUUACAAUCAUUUUAAAAGCAUUAGCAAACGAGCUAGUAUGUCAAUACAAAAUGUAAUCACCAUGGUACAAAAAGAUAGCUGUCAUUCCAUAUUUUAGGAGAGAUUUUUCAGUGUGACCGGUACAUAGAGUGGUACACCACAUGUCAUUAUACAAAUGGUGGGAUAUAUGUGUUAAAAAGUUAAUAACUUAAAAAGUAAAAAUUUUCACUACUUAUAUAAAAACACGUGUUCCGAUCACAAUGAAACAUUUCUCAUAUUUUAGGAGUGUUGGGGAAAAAAAAUGAAAACAACAAGGAAGCAAUAAUUUAUUUUUAGUUUUGAAACAAAUAAAAAGAGAGAAAAUGAAUUAACGGGCCCGGCCCGAAUGGAUCAUAAGCCCGCAAAACCCUAGUAAAAGAAAGCGGACACAAAUAUAUACCCUCCUACCUUAAGAGGCCGCCGAAGCAUUUGGCAGCAGAAGGAGAAGAAGCUCAGAUCGAGAGGGCGGCUUAGGGUUUCACUUCCCUGAAGGCAAAACAGCAACCAUGGUAAAUCUUCUCUCCCCCAUAUCUCCAUCCCCAAAUUACACGAUUAACGAGUAAUAUUUUACUUACCAUUCAAAUUAGAAUUCUUAGUCUCUCUCUGUUUGCAGACUUUCAAGAGAAGAAAUGGCGGCCGGAACAAGCACGGCCGCGGCCACGUGAAGUUCAUCCGCUGCUCCAACUGCGGGAAAUGCUGCCCCAAGGUGUGCUUUUACCUCAUUAUCCCUUUUUGUAUUUUUAUUAAAGUUUAAAUCUUUGGAGGUGAAAGAUUUGAAAUUCGAAGUGGGUUCUGAGUUUCUAAUUAGUUUUUGGAUUAUUUUUAAGUGGGUUCUGGUUUUGAAUUAGUUUUAUGAUUAAUUUAUUGGGUUUGUGUUAAAAAGGACAAAGCUAUCAAGAGGUUUCUGGUGAGGAACAUUGUUGAGCAGGCUGCAGUUAGGGAUGUUCAGGAGGCUUGUGUUUACGAUGGUAAUAAUCCUUUCCCUUUCUGUUUAAUUCCGUAAAUGUUUCUUCGUUUUGUUUUCGGUGUUAUUUUAGUAUUUGAUUUCUGAUGACUGCUGAUAAUGUUUUACUGGGAAUGCUGUUUGAUUUGAAGGUUACACUCUUCCUAAGCUGUAUGCUAAGAUGCAAUACUGCGUUUCUUGUGCCAUCCACUCCCACGUUGUGAGGGUUCGGUCUCGCGAGAACAGGAGGAACCGUGAACCCCCUCAGCGUUACAGGCGCCGGGUAUGCUUUAAACUUCAUCCCCAUAUAUCUUUAUCUUUUAUUUUGUUUUAGUGCUUCUAUGCAAUUUGGCUUAUGGUUCAGUGUGCCGUAUGCUUUCACGUAAGCUGUAUGUUUUGUGUUUGUUCAAUACUUAUGUUUGUUGGGAUUUCGUGUUUGAAAUUAUUUCAUUAUACAUUCCACCUAAGUUGACGAGGGUCCAUCCAUACAAACUUAACAAGUUUAAGAGCAAAGGAGCUAAUGCCAUUUUGAAUUUGGUUAAAAGAGGUUCGGAUGCACCCAACUGUGAAGACUCUAUUUCCUUUGCCUUUAGGACACACAUAUUUGGUAGCUAAACUUUAGACUUAUUAUUUGGUUAAAUGAUCCGUGUACUUCCAUUACUAGUGGCAUUUAGGAGCUUGAAGACUCAUGCUAAACAAUUUUUUGUUUAACUUCAAAAUUGUAUGUAGUAUCGUAGUAAUAUCUCAAUAACAUUUACUGGCUAGGAGUUUCCCCUGCUAAAGUUUUUAUACCUCCGUCUGAUUUUCGAAUCCAGCUGUUGCUUUCAUUCUUUAAUUAAAGGUUUUUAUUUGCCGAUAUUAGGAUUGAAGUGUGGUACUUAUAAAAGCACCCUAUCUGUCUAGUUCAGCUGCAUCCCCUCUCCCCAAUGUUAGCAUUUCACCUUUUUGGCUAGAUAGUUGCUACCCGGAAGCAACAUUUGAUAUAUUUGGUUCACAUUUUGCCGUAAUUUUUUAGUUUGUACAUUUGCUUUCAUCAUUCACUGUCUUUUAAUAAACCUUUCAAUUUCGAUUUAUGCAUUUCAGGAGGAUACACCUAGGCCUGGUGCACCUGGUGCUCCUGGUCAGGGUCCACGCCCUGUUGGUGCUGGAGCGCCAGCUGCUCGUCCAUGAAAAGGCAUCACAUAUGUUGCUCAAUUGCUUUGAGGAUGUGCAUUGAGACUUUUAAUUUGGCUGCUACCUCGCUUUAUUUCCAUUUUAUCUUUGAAUGCGUCUUUGACUCCGUUGUGACUUAUGUGUAAUAUCAUAUAGUGCUUCAGUCUUAUAUGUCGUACUUAUCAUGUUGCGGGAAGGUAUUUACAAAGGGCAGCCGGAGAUUCAAAACCAGAGUCUUUACACUUUCAUAUUCGUAUUAACUUUCAUCAACUUUUGUUGGUUUUCACUUAGAAUUUUAUCUCUGAAGAUUUUGUUACGCUAGUUUUUAUAUCUCUGGGUAUCUCUGAAGAUCAGCCCUCGUUGGCUCCGAAUGGUAAUGGUCCUAUUUCCUAAUCGUUUUUACAGCUCCGAAUGGUAAUGGUCCUGUAUCUCCAUCGGCACCCGGAUGCAGUGUUAAAUGAGCAAGGGGGCCAUAGAAACUUCUUUUCGAACGACUCCACUCAAAGUUGUUUGGGAGCAUAUGCUCCUAUCAACUUUACCCGGGACACACAAAAGAAGUACUUUGAUCCUAUUAGACGGGGGAGGGUGAAGAAGCUAGGACAGAAGGGUAGAGUUCAAGAGAGCAAAAUGCGUUUAGGAACGUGGAAUAUAGGAACCUUAACGGGAAAAUCUAUGGAAGUAGUGGAAGUUAUGGUGAGGAGAAGGAUAAAUAUUAUGUGCCUACAAGAAACUAAGUGGGUUGGUAGUAAGGCAAAGGAUCUAGAAAACUCAGGGUUUAAAACUUUGGUAUUCGGGCACAAAUAGAACGAGAAACGGUGUUGGCAUCAUCGUGGACAAGACCUUGGUACAAGAUGUUGUAGAUGUCAAGAGGGUAGGAGAUAGAAUCAUGGCAAUCAAGAUUGUAAUAGGACAAGAACUUAUCAAUGUGAUUAGUGCGUACGCACCUCAAGUAGGGUUGGAUACGAGUUCGAAGGAGAAAUUUUGGGAAGAUCUUGGAGACUUGGUGCAAGGAAUUGCUCAGACGGAGAAGUUAUUUAUAGGAGGAGAUUUAAAUGGACACGUGGGCAGGGAGACAGGCAACUAUGGAGGUUUUCAUGGUGGCCAUGGUUUUGGGGAGAGAAACGACGGAUGGGGAAGCUAUCUUGGAUUUUGCAAUGGCAUAUGAUCUCUUCUUAGCCAACACCUUCUUUAAGAAGAGAGAAGAACAUGUGAUCACCUACAAGAGUGGGUCGUCAAAAACACAAAUAGAUUUUCUUCUAAUGAGGAAAGGGGAUCGUAUAACUUGUAAGGAUUGCAAAGUUAUACCAGGAGAGAGCGUGGCUAAUCAACAUCGCUUGUUGGUGAUGGAUGUACAUAUCAAAAGAGUAAAGACAAAAGAACAAGACUUGGAAGUGCCCAAGGACUAGAUGGUGGAAUCUAAAAGAAGAAAAAACAAGUCCAUUUUCAAAGAGAAGGUAAUCACCCAAUGUGUGUGGGAUAGAGAGGGGGAAGCUAGCCAAAUGUGGGAUUCCAUGGCUAGUUGUAUCCGAAAAGUAGCAAAAGAGGUAUUAGGAGAGUCCAAGGGCUUUGCCCCACACACCAAAAGGAAUCUUGGUGGUGGAAUGAGGAGGUACAAACAAAGGUGAAGGCUAAGAAGGAAUGUUGUAAAGCCUUAUACAAGGAGAGGACCGAUGAAAAUGGUGAAAGGUAUAGAAAAGCGAAGCAAGAGGCGAAGAAAGCUGUCAGAGAAGCUAAGUUAGCGGCUUACGACGAUAUGUAUAAACGACUAGAUACCAAAGAAGGAGAGUUGGAUAUCUAUAAAACUAGCUAGAGCAAGGGAAAAGAAGACAAGGGACCUAAACCAAGUGAGGUGCAUCAAGGAUGAGGAUGGAAAGGUUCUUGCUACAGAGAACGCGGUUAAAGACAGAUGGAGAGGUUAUUUUCAUAAUCUUUUCAAUGAAGGACAUGAAAUGAGUGCUUCUUUAGGGGAGUUGAGUAACUCAGAAGAGUGUAGAAACUACUCUUUUUAUCGUCGAAUCCGGAAGGAAGAAGUGGUUGUAGCUUUGAAGAAGAAGAUGAAGCAUAGAAAAGCAAUAGGCCCAGACGAUAUACCAAUCGAAGUGUGGAAAGUUUUGGGAGAGACAGGUAUAACAUGGCUCACUGACCUUUUCAAUAGGAUUUUUGAAAACGAAGAAGAUGCCAAAUGAGUGGCGAACGAGCACUUUGGUGCCUAUCUACAAGAAUAAGGGCGACGUACAAAAUUGCAUGAACUAUAGGGGUAUUAAGCUAAUGAGUCAUACAAUGAAGCUCUGGGAGAGAGUCAUUGAGCAUAGAUUGAGGCAAGAGACACGGGUUUCGGACAACCAAUUCGGGUUCAUGCCAGGGCGCUCAACCAUGGAGGCAAUCUAUCUCUUACGAAGAUUGAUGGAAAGAUAUAGAGAUGGGAAAAAGGAUUUACACAUGGUCUUUAUAGAUUUGGAAAAAGCGUAUGAUAGGGUCCCAAGAGACAUUCUUUGGAGGAUUUUAGAGAAGAAAGGAGUACGAGUAGCAUAUAUCCAAGCUAUAAAAGGAUAUGUAUGAAGGAGCAAAGACUGCCGUAAGAACUCAUGAAGGACAAACCGAAAGCUUUCCCAUAACUGUAGGAUUACAUCAAGGCUCAUCCUUAAGUCCUUACCUUUUUUGCGUUGGUAAUGGAUGAGUUAACAGGACAUAUUCAAGAUGAUAUUCCUUGGUGUAUGCUUUUCGCAGACGAUAUAUAGUGUUGAUAGAUGAAACUCAGGAAGGGGUAAAUGCAAAGCUUAACCUUUGGAGAGAAGUGUUGGAAUCUAAAGGUCUUCGCCUAAGCCGAUCAAAGACAGAAUAUAUGGAGUGCAAGUUCAGUGCAAAUGGAGGCCAAAACGAGUUAGGGGUGAGGAUCGGAGAUCAAGAAAUACCAAAGAGCGACCGUUUUCGUUACCUAGGAUCUAUCUUGCAAAAGAACGGAGAAUUAGAUGGAGAUCUCAACCAUAGAAUACAAGCUGGAUGGAUGAAGUGGAAGAGUGCAUCCGGCGUGUUGUGUGACCGCCGUAUGCCACUGAAGCUCAAGGGAAAAUUUUAUAUAGGACGGCAAUAAGGCCGGCGAUGCUGUAUGGCACAGAAUGUUGGGCGGUGAAACAUCAACACGUACACAAAAUGGGUGUAGCGGAGAUGAGGAUGCUUCGUUGGAUGUGUGGGCACACGAGAAAGGAUAAGAUUAGGAAUGAGGAUAUCCGGGGUAAAGUAGGAGUAGCCGAAAUUGAAGGAAAGAUGAGAGAAAAUCGGUUACGGUGGUUUGGACAUGUGCAAAGAAGGCCUACUGACGCUCCGAUUAGAAGAUGCGACUAUGGGACAGAGGUUCAGGGCCGAAGGGGUAGAGGAAGACCUAGGAAAACUUUGGAAGAGACUCUAAGAAAAGACUUAGAGUACUUGGAUCUAACGAAGGACAUGACACAGGAUCGAGCACAAUGGCGUUCUAAGAUUCAUAUAGCCGAUCCCACUCAGUGACUUGGAUUUUCCAAGUCUCCAACUGAGAAGUUUUCCUCACUCGGGAAAUUAAGGAACACUACCCCAACCUACAUGCUCCACUCAGAAAGCUUCAACAUACAAGCUUCAACAAAAGAAAAUUCAAAGAACUUAGCGAAGAAGGCUUUGGUGUAUUUAACACAAUACGUUGAAAUGAAGGAAAGCUUAUUUAUUGAUAUCCCCGAUAAGCUACAAAUAUGUACAUAUACAUGAGUCAAAAUAAACACAACAAGAGGGAGCCUUCACAAAGGUUGCUUAGGAGAAGUCUCAGCAGUCGGUAGAGCCCCAGAAAGAGAAGGCACCGGAGGGGGAUCAUUUGGAGCCUCAGUACUGGACAGAACCCUAGAAGGAGGAGGCAUCAGAGGUUGAUCAUUUGGAGCUUCAUUACGCGGUACAGCCCCAGAAGACGAAGGCAAUAAAUGCCUUUGGAACAAACCCACAAAUCUCUGAUGAUCAAGUAAAACCUGACCAUCAGUUUCCUUCAUCUGGUCAAGCUUCCUCUUCAUGUUUGUAGCAUAGUCAUGUGCGAGCCGGUGCAACUGUUUAUUCUCAUGCUUGAGCCCUCUAAUCUCCUGUUUGAGACUCAUCACUUCAGCCGCCAAUGAUUCAACUUGGCGGGUUCGAGCAAAUAGGCGUUGGGCCAUAUUAGACACAGAACCUGCACACUGAACACUGAGAGCCAGCGAAUCCUUAACAGCUAACUCAUCAGACCGUUUGGAAAGUAGUCUGUUAUCUUUGGGAGUGAGAAGGUUCCUGGCCACCACCGCAGCGGUCAUAUCAUUCUUCAUCACGGAAUCCCCAACGGUAAGAGGACCAGUAGGGGAGACGAAGGAUGGGCGCCAUAUGUUGUCUGGAGAAGGCGGGGCUGCCUCUUCAACAAGGUUCAAGUCAAAACGACGGUCGGAGGGGCCAGACAUUUUCAAAGGUGUUGAAGAGAGAAGAGGUCGGACAAAUCAAGAUCUUAGAAGUGCAAGAAUGAAGCUUCUACUGGUGGAGAUUCAAGUGUGCUUUGGAACUUAAUGCCAGCCCCUAUAAAAAUCUGCACUCGACGGAGCUUCAGAAAUCGAAGAGGCGCCUGCUCAGAAAUCGAAGAGGCGUUUGCUUUCUCAAAAGCUGGGCUGCUUAGAGAUCACGAGGGUUGAUCUCAGAAAUCGAAGAGGCGUUUGCUUUCUCAAAAGUUGGGCUGCUCAAAGACCACGAAGGCCGAUCUCAGAAAUCGAAGAGGCGCUCGCUUUCUCAAAAGCUGGGCUCCCCAGAGACCACGAGGGCCGAUCUCAGAAAUCGAAGAGGCACCUACUUUUCCAGCCUUGUCAGCACCUGUCACACAUGCACACUCAGCUUUGCGGAAAUUAUGGGCAUUCUGUCGAAGACUUCUGGGGAAGUAGAAAACACAUGAAUCUUACUGUUCAAUCACCCACUUCCCACACGCAACAAUAGCUCAUGGGUACCACAGAUAACUUUGCCAAAGUUCUCUGCCAAAGUUGAGCACGUGAAGCUUGCAGCUCCCACUACAUCGCUCUGACCAAGAAGGGUAAAAGAAUAGCAAAGAAACAGCACUAACAAAGUUUAGACCCAUAAAUUUUGAAGGUCUAGCUACCAUAUUAUUACCCACAAGGGUAAAGGAACAGUACCACUGCUGGAUAAUUGGAAAGUCCCUGUGUGUCAACCUCUGUGCUUCGUGGCAAGGUAGACUAGCAAACAUGCCCAACUUUUACUCACAUUCGAGAAAACACUCCCAACAAGAUUGCUUGCUCCAAAAUCGAAGAGGCACCGCCCUCCGAAUCUCGAGAGCCAGACUCCCAACAUGAUUACUUUCUCAAAAAUCGAAGAGACACUGCUCCCAGAAUCUUCGAGAGCCAGACCCCCAGCAUGAUUGCUUUCUCAAAAAUCGAUGAGGCAUCGUUCUCCGAAUCAAUCGAAGAGGCGCUUGCUUUCUCCAAAGCUGGGCUGCUCAGAGACCACGAGGGCCGAUCUCAGAAAUCGAAGAGGCACCUACUUUUCUAGCCUUGUCAGCACCUGUCACACGCACACUCAGCUUUGCAGAAAUUAUGGGCAUUCUGUCGAAGACUUCUGGUGAAGUAGAAAGCACAUGAAUCUUACUGUUCAAUCACCCACUUCCCACACGCAACAAUAGCUCAUGGGUACCACAGAUAACUUUGCCAAAGUUCUCUGCCAAAGUUGAGCACGUGAAGCUUGCAGCUCCCACUACAUCGCUCUGACCAAGAAAGGUAAAAGAAUAGCAAAGAAACAGCACUAACAAAGUUUAGACACAUAAAUUUUGAAGGUCUAGCUACCAUAUUAUUACCCACAAGGGUAAAGGAACAGUACCACUGCUGGAUAAUUGGAAAGUCCCUGUGUGUCAACCUCUGUGCUUCGUGGCAAGGUAGACUAGCAAACAUGCCCAACCUUUACUCACAUUCGAGAAAACACUCCCAACAAGAUUGCUUGCUCCAAAAUCGAAGAGGCACCGUCCUCCGAAUCUCUCGAGAGCCAGACUCCCAACAUGACUACUUUCUCAAAAGCGAAGAGAGGGUAGGUAAGGAACAGUACAUUGCUGGAUAAUUGGAAAGUCCCUGUGUGUCAACCUUUGUGCUUCGUGGCAAGGUAGACUAGCAAACAUGCCCAACCUUUACUCACAUUCGAGACAACACUCCCAACAGGAUUGCUUGCUCCAAAAUCGAAGAGGCACCGCCCCCCGAAUCUCGAGAGCCAGACUCCCAACAUGAUUACUUCCUCAAAAAUCGAAGAGACACUGCUCUCCGAAUCUCGAGAGCCAGACCCCCAGCAUGAUUGCUUUCUCAAAAAUCGAAGAGGCAUCGUUCUCCGAAUCUCGAGAGCCAGAUACCACAUACCACUUUUUCAAAGUGCUCUGACAGAGUUAAAACAUGUGAAAUUGGCAGCUCCCACUACCGUGCUAUGACCAAGCAGGGUAAAGGAAUAGCAUUACUACUUGUUGUUAGGGAGACUCCUAUAUAUGUCGACCUCCAUCCCCAACGGACAGGCAGACCUGCAAAAAUGCUCAACCCUUCAUCAUAUCUGAGAGGGCACUCCCAACGAAGCCUUUCGAAAUAUUCAGCUUUCUUUCCCCCCGAUAAUACCUCUGCAAACAAGCUAUACUAGAGCAAGAAUAUCUCAUAUCAUCAGGGUUAAAAGCAAGAGUAUCCCAUAUCAUGCUUUUUCCCUGUCUUUUCCUUUGGCCUUGUUUUUACCUGCAAGACAACAAGGAGAAAGAGAGCAAUCAGUCAGCACUUGGAAUCAAGCUUCCAGCCAGGAACUGACUGCCUGGAACCCCUUACCUGAUUACUUACCUGGCAUUGCUCUCGAGUACUCAUCUUCAACAUCUUAUAUGCUUCCAGGGAAGAAGAUUCCGCAUCUGCUUGAGGAACAGAUAGGGCAAGUGUGAAGGAUACAAGGAAGCAUGUGGAGACAAGCGUAACAGCACACGUGCCGAUACAUCCAUUACUCUGUCAAAAGCAAAAGUAUCCCAUAUCAGCAGGGUGGAACGUACUCUAGAUUUGAUGGACUUGUUUUGACCCUCAAAUUCUUCAGUCGGCCUUAUACUCUGGAGGAAACCAGAAAACCCUCCAGCUCAGUUCAAGAAUAAGCCUGUGGAAAGUUACUUCUUCAAAAGCAAAAGUAUCCCAUAUCAUCUCUUCUCAUUUUUCUUCUCUUUAUCCUUCAUGCUGCCUGCAAGAUGGGGAGAAGGUGAACAAUCAGUCGGAGCUUUGAUUGCUUACCUUGUCUGUCACCUCUUUCAGCAGACCCCCUAGCUCGGCGACUUGGGGGACUCCUACUACAUGGUUUGUAUCGCGCUUGACCAAGCCUGAAACUACAAGUAAGCUUCAAGUGAAAUUGAUACAUUACCUUGUGCAUCUCCACCAGUUAAAGAUACCACCCCUGGAUGGAGGAAGAGUACUUCCAGAGAAGAUGCCACAUCUACCUAUGAGACAGAUAAGGCAAGUCAACGACACCACACUCCGAUACUUAGAAGUUUCGUGAUUACGAGAUCAUUCUCCCACAAUAUUUCCUAAUGUCAUUUGUACUAAAUCAUUCACUUGUACUCACUAAAGGAGAGCUUGAACCCUAUGUACUUGUGUGUAAACCCUUCACAAUUAAUGAGAAACUCUUCUAUUCCGUGGACGUAGCCAAUCUGGGUGAACCACGUACAUCUUGUGUUUGCUUUCCUAUCUCUAUCCAUUUAUAUACUUAUCCACACUAAUGACCGGAGCAAUCUAGCGAAGAUCACAAAAAGCGAUCCGUUUUCGCUACCUAGGAUCUAUCUUGCAAGAGAACGGAGAAUUAGAUGGAGAUCUCAACCAUAGAAUACAAGCUGGAUGGAUGAAGUGUAAGAGUGCAUCCGGCGUGUUGUGUGACCGUCGUAGGCCACUGAAGCUCAAGGGAAAAUUUUAUAGGACGGCAAUAAGGCCAGCGAUGUUGUAUGACACAGAAUGUUGGGCGGUGAAGCAUCAACACGUACACAAAAUGGGUGUAGCGGAGAUGAGGAUGCUUCGUGGGAUGUGUGGGCACACGAGAAAGGAUAAGAUUGGGAAUGAGGAUAUCCGAGGUAAAGUAGGAGUAGCCGAAAUUGUAGGAAAGAUGAGAGAAAAUCGGCUCCGGUGAUUUGGACAUGUGCAAAGAAGGCCGACUGACGCUCCGGUUCGAAGAUGUGACUACGGGACAGAGGUUCAGGGCCGAAGGGGUAGAGGAAGACCUAGGAAAACUUUGGAAGAGACUCUAAGAAAAGACUUAGAGUACUUGGAUCUAACGGAGGACAUGACACAAAACCGAGCGCAAUGGCGUUCUAGGAUUCAUAUAGCCGACCCCACUUAGUGGGAAAAGGCUUUGUUGUUGUUGUUGUUGUUGUUGUUAACAUCAGUUGUUUUGCUUUGUCCUUACUGUAAGUUUGCUAAGCAUUCAAGCCGAAUUUGCUGACCAUCAUACUUCCAGGUGAUGUAGUUUAUGCUACGGAAUUUGGAUUCUCUCGACUUUAGUGUCCGGAGCCUAAGAGUUAGGGAAUCCAGGGUCUUAAUGUGUGGCAAAGCGAAAUUGGAGCCCUUGUGUUUGUGUGGUGGGCUAAUAAAUUGAGUUAAUGGGGUCAGUCGAAUUUAAUUUGAAUGGUUUGAAUUUUCUAGUGUUUGAGCUCUGAAUUGUAAGAUCCGGAGAGUAAAUUUGUCUUAUGCCAGGGACAGUGGUGUUAGGGUUGAUGCUUCACGAACACCACUACCACUAUGUGGUGUAGUGUUAUGGCCAUAGGCGAAGUUACAUAGGGACAGGGAGGGGGGGCCCUCCCCUUGUCGGAAAUGAAGCCCAUGAGCGACGGUCCGCCUCUUUGCCCUCGUCAGAAAACCUGCAAGUCGUGAAGCCUCUCCCUUGGCGAUGAUCUCGACGGAUCGUUCUGCCAGAUACCAACGUCAGUUUAGUGCCAUUUCCUUGUGCGACAGUAGACGGCGGCGGCGGCGGCGGCGAUGAUUCGGUCUGGUGGAAGGCCUCGUGAAGAAGAUGAUUAGCAAAACCCUUUUAAUCUUUAUUACGUCACCGUUUUGUUGAGCGUUCAUUUAAAUACGACCUGCCGUUUUUUAUUUUUGUACUGAAACGACACCACAUUCUAUUCCACAUCCUAUCUUUUCUUGGGUUUAAAUGGGAUUAAAGCCCAACCAUAACAAAACCAUAAAUCCCUCUUUGAAUUUUUUUUUUUUGCUCAUUUAAAAAUAUGUUGCAAAUAUUUUUAUUAUUAAAUAUUUACCAACAUGAUACAAUUGUUCGUAUUGACGUGUUGUAUUGUGUAGUCAUGUCUGUAUUCAUGCUUUAUAAUGCUUGAAUGAAGGCUAUUGUUGCCGUUGUUGUGUUGUGAGUGACCUUUUUUUAAUUAAAAAAAAAAAACAGGUCCAAAACGAUAGAACAACGUCAUUUUGGACAUGAGAAAAGAAAAAAGACAAGCGGCAUCAUUUCAGUGGUUAAGUUUCGCUCUUUUUAUCGACAAUUAUUAGUUUCGCCACUGAUUAUGGCUGGAUACUUGAUGGACCUAGGGCAUUUAACAAAAAGUUGUACGGAGUAUAACACGAGUAAAUUUGCCUUACGUAAAUUUGCAUUUCGUGAAGACGUGGCGGUUAUAUUUGAACAAUAAUUUAUUUUUUUGUAAACAUUGGUUUUGCAUCUUAAGGGGUAAGGAAAAAGGUGGACAAGUCCACAGAGGAGCAAUUGACAGUUGAUGUAGAUAGACAUGGAUGCUGUGGCGGGCGUAGGAAAUGCAUGCCAGGUUAAAGGAGAAUUGACGAACAAGGAUCCUCUCCGGGUCCUCUUUGUGGGGAUCCCAAGAUUAAUUAAUUGUGUCUGUUCAUCGUAUAUUGUGAGAUCAGUUUUCGUUAUAUACUAUUUAUAUUUAAUUUAAAAUUUUAAAAAUUUAAAAUAUUUCUAACAUUUGUACAAUAAACGAACAUGAUUAAUUGAUCAUCCAGAUUUUCAUAAAAAGAAUCCGAAAAUAAUACUUAUCCAGAAUAGCCAAGCGUAGUUGCGUUUCUAAUCGGGUGAGUUUAAAUUUGGAAAUUUUCAAAAGUCAUGAUGGCCAACACAUCUGAAUGUUGAAAGAAACCAUGUGCAUUGCCAUCCAAAUCCACACACAACACAAUGAUCACAUCUUGUGCUUAGCGGGAUGCCACAAAAGACAAUCUUUGAAAUUUGAGUUGUACGACGUUAUUAUUCUUUCAUAAAAAUAUAGAAUUUUGUUAAUUAUAGAUAUAUUUAUAUCCGAUCUUUAAGUUAAAUCAAAUCUGUUUUACAUCUUUUAUAACGGAGAUAAUAGUGACAUUUCUAGCACUUUAUUAGUUUUAAUUGUGAGCCUCAAAACCUAUACCAAAUACCCCACAAAAACACAUUUCAAAAUUAACGUUGAACUCAUCCUGCAGCACAUCAAGCCGCAGGAGCUCGCCCGACCAACAUCAUCAAAAGUGCCAUUCACCCUUGGAGAACGGUGCGAGGGGCCAUCCACCUUUUGCCUUUCGAACACAUACAUGCAUCAGUGAACGAAUGCAAAAUUAGGAAAUAAAGUUAAACAGUAAGAUAAGGAUCCCCAAACGUUUGAAAAAAGUAAGCAGGACACGAAACGACGUCGUUUGACUGCGUCAGCGUGUUGCGGUGUCUGCCUGGCGCAGCAUUUCCUUUGGUAAUAAUGAUGACAUGCUGAUGCGUCGUCGUUUCCUCCGCAGCCUCGCGCUUGCUUUGCAUGGCGUCGCGUCGCUAUGCGGCAGACAUGUGUCCUCGUGUGGCCCACAACGACCGAAAAUCCCCAAAAUUAACGCUAAAUUUCACUAGUAGCCCUCGUACUUUUGUUGUAUAUUUUAUUUGCCCCUAUAGUUUUCCUUACAUUUUCAUCCUCCUCCAACUAAGAAAUCCGUCUUUCAAUCCUUUCAAGCACGUGUUUUAAUUUAUUUCAUGAUAGAACAAUGUGCACAACUAAGUUGGUGUUAAUUUUGCCACUUAGUAAUACAGUUUAGUGACAUUCAUCUUUACUUGCAAGUAAAAAGUCUUAGGUUUAAUUAUCGCCACCUUCCCUUAUAAGUAAAAAAUCUUUGGUUUGAUUAUUGCCAAAUGCGAAUUUGAAUCACAUUAUUGUUAGUUCAUUAUGAGAUUAAGCCAAUUAUUUCUUCCUUAGUGUUAAUGAUAUCGUUUGUUAAAAUAAAAGUUGGUGUUAAUUCCAUUAAAGGUAGACGUAUAUCAUAUUUAUUAGAGUGAAUCUACCCUCUAAAUGCAUUUAGUCGAUAUCCUCAUUUUUACACUAUGGAUUAGUUAAAGCAAAAUCUCAUUCAUUUAUCAAAAAAAAAAUAGUGUCAAUGCCAUUUUAUGACGAUGAAGUCAUUUUUAACUGAGUAAACUCUAUGGUCUAGUUGAAUUUUUCAAAUAAGAAGUACCCAUAAUUUUUUUAUUGCUAAAAAAUCGAUAAUAAAUUGAUAUUGAAAAAGAUCUCAACUCAUGAGGGAGAAAACUUUGAUUCGAGUUACAAAGAAGUGCUCAUAAUUAAAUGAAAAUAUAAUGGAACCAUAAGGAUGAAAGUGUAAGCAAAAAGAUAUUACUUGAACGAAAGUGAAAAUUCGACGGGUCUUUCGUGAAAAUUUAAUAAAAAAAAAAAAAAAAAAAUUAAGAAAGAAACAGAAGAAGGAGGGGAGAGAGAGAGAGAGAGAGAGAGAGAGAGGAGGAUUUUUGCCGCUUUUGCGUUUGGGUUUGGGGGGGUUUUUAAAAGGUUUUUCCUCACACCACCGAAAAACGAAACUGGUCUUCCCUUCCAAUCACACCCUCUGAUUCCUCCUCCAAAUCUCCGACCACCGUCUGUCAACCACUCCCUCAACGGCGCCGUUUCGGCGUUUCCUUCCUCUUCCUCCUGUCAUUUCCUUCUCUCUUCUCCUCCCCCAAUCUUGCCUCCGUUGAUCUCAUGGCCCGUCUCCUCUGUUCGGCGCUGCCGAACAACGUCGUCUUCCGCGAGGAUCGACCCUGCCCUUCGCCGCCCUCGCCGUCAUUGCCGACCACCAACCCCGAUCCCUCCGUCAUAGCCACCGAAUCUUGGGCCGGAGCCGAGGAGGCAACCCAGGAGAUAGUCUCAAAGAUUCAGCCCACUCUGGCGGCCCACCAGACGAGGAAGGAGGUCAUUCAAUAUGUGCAGAACCUCAUCACAUGUAACGUCGGGUGUCAGGUAAUUACAAUUCUGCCCAAUUACAUUUCUUUCGAAUUCUGUUUUGCCAUCUGGGUUAGUGUUUGUUUUGUGUAAUUCUUGUGCAAUUAGGUGGUAAUGGCGAUGGUUUAUCUGCUCAUGUCCAAUUUAGUUUUUCAAGGUAAUGACUUUAAUAAAUGGAAUGGGAUUUUCUCGUGUUUUCCUGUUCGAUUUCUGUUUAGCAACGAAAUGUUGGUACUUGGUGCAAACCGUGAAGCAAUAUCGUUUUUCGAGUUCAUUUUUUUCUGAGGAAUCGGUGAAGUUAUAAUGUUGUUUCUGUGUUUGUUCAUUUCACUGACUUGCUUAUAAGUUACGAUGGCGCUUUUUGUAUUGUUAUCUCACAGGUUUUUCCUUAUGGGUCAGUUCCUUUGAAAACGUAUCUGCCUGAUGGCGAUAUUGAUAUGACGGUAUUUGGCAGUGCAAACAUUGAUGAAGUCUUUGCAACUGAUGUGUAUGCAAUUAUGAAAGGCGAGGAGAAUAACGAAGCUAGUCCAUUUCAUGUGAAGGAUGUACAUUACAUUGAUGCCGAGGUUCUUCCCCACUCGAUGCCUUAAUAUUUUGUUGGGAACCUUCAGUCUCUUCAGUUGAAAACAUUUAUAAUUCCAUAUAUUAUUAGAGUUCGAGUCUUUGAUGUAGGUAUUAUCGCAUUUUUCUUUUGUUCGCAUCGACAUACAAUACUUGUUCUUCUGUGGGAUUUCUUUCCUAUAACUUCGUCAUCUCUUUUUGUGGUAAUGUAUGUUUGGGAGUGUUGAGAUUGAUGUGUUAUAUCUGACCAAGUUUUUCUCCACAGAUACUGUGGACUUGUCCUGAGUGUAGAAUAGAAUAGAUAUUAAUAAGCCGGUUAGCAAAAUAAAGUUAUUUUGUUAAAUGUUCUCAAUUUUCUCUCGAAUAUUGUUUCUUCCGAACUUUGUCUAGAACUGUUUAUGUUGGUUUGGAGUUCUCCUGUGGCAUAUCACCCCCUUUUAUUUAUACAACAAAAACUGUUUAGCUUUUCUAUUUGCCAGGUUGAAUUUGUUUGACUUUACUUUAUUAAUAGGGUAAGUUCCUGAUAUUCAUGAUUGGAUAUUGUGGAACUCAACAUCUGCAGGCAUUUUGUUGAGUGCUUUUACUUUCUUGCGUUUUAACAUCAGUGCUUCAUGUUCAUUGAUGACGCUCCUAGGUUGAUGAAGAUAUCAUAAUUUUCUUUGUUAGACAUUUUCAAUUUCCAUUUGCGAGGUUACGUUAUCUAAAAUUUGGAGCUUUUCGUUGCAGGUUAAGCUUGUGAAGUGCAUUAUACAAAAUAUAGUUGUAGAUAUAUCCUCCAAUCAGUUAGGAGGAUUUAGUACACUGCACUUUCUUGAACAGGUAUUAGCAAUUCAAAUUUUGAUUAGCUACGAUUCAUAUUGUAUAACUGAAAGUUCACUCAGGUUUGAUCUUUGGGUCAUAUUUCUUAUGUUGCUUCCUUUGCAGGUUGAUAAUUAUAUUGGCAAAAAUCAUCUGUUCAAGCGGAGUAUUAUUCUGGCAAAAGCCUGGUGCUACUAUGAGAGUCGUAUUCUUGGGGCCCAUCAUGGUUUGAUUUCAACAUAUGCUUUGGAAACAUUAAUCCUAUAUGUUUUCCAUUUUUUUCAUUCGUCACUGGAUGGCCCUCUGGCAGUGAGUACUCCCAAGUCAACUUUGAGUCCUUAUUUCAAAUACAUAGAUAAGUUUAAGAGCCUAAUUGUUUUUCAUUUUUAUAGGUCCUUUAUAGAUUUUUGGAUUACUUCAGCAAAUUUGACUGGGAGAACUACUGUAUAAGUUUAAAUGGACCAGUAUGCAAAUCGUCCCUGCCUGAUAUAGUGGGUAAGAGAUAUUAUUGUUUGUUUGUGAUGUUAGAUGCUUUAUUUAUGUUUUCUUGCUCUGUCUCUCUCUGACUCUCUGACUCACUCACUUAAAAACUGCAGUUGAGGCACCAGAAAAUGGGAGAGAUGAUCUACUGCUGAGUGAAGAGUUUAUUAGAAAUUGUGUGGAAAUGUUCUCUGUUCCAUCAAAGGGGCAUGAGACAAACUUGCGAGCUUUUCCCCUGAAGCAUCUUAAUAUAAUAGAUCCGCUAAAACAGAACAACAACCUUGGGCGUAGUGUCAGCAGAAGUAUGCAUUCUGUCUCUCUCUUUCUCAUGCUGUUGUGGAGUUUUAUCGUAGUAUGAUUGAUGGGUUUUGUACAGGUAACUUCUAUCGAAUAUGCAGUGCUUUUAAAUAUGGAGCUCGCAAGCUCAGUUGGAUUCUUUCGUUACCAGGGGAAUGCAUAGCAGAUGAGCUGCCCAAGUUUUUUGCAAACACUUUGGAUAGGCGUGGAAGCAAUGGUCAGACAAAUGUGCACAAUAAUGCGUUGUCUGGGGGUUCUGAAGCUUUGAACAUUUUGUUGGAGCUUGGUGGAGAUUUUGACAGUCAUGGAAUGAACCUGCAAUAUGGUCCCUUUUUCCCUGGAUCUGCUACAUCACCUCCUUUGUUGCCCAGUCCUCCCUUGUCACCUCAGCCAUGGAAAGAGAACCCAUGGGGAGGUACGUCUGAAGCCCUUCAGUUCCAUCAGCAUAUUAAUUCUCAAACUAACAUAAAUGGUGUUGAUUGGGGAGUACAUGCGUACCAAGCAAAUGAUUCCAUUAUCUCCGUUGCUGCUUUCAGAGGAGAAAAAAGGAAACCCCGAGGGACUGGAACCUACAUCCCCAAUGCGGUAGUGCCAUUAUGUUUUCUAUAUAAUCAUUUUCUCAGACUGCAUUCAUGUAAUUUUAGAUUCAUGAGCUUCAUAUUUUUGGGUUUAUUUUUCUACAAAGUCAUUCUCAGAGGACUACAGUCCUGGUUUUCAUAAUCUCAUGGUUAUCUGCUUACAGUCUUUUCAGUGUUACCGUCCCUUUAAGGAUAGGUUGCCUGGGAGGGGAAGGAAACAGGCACCAGGAACUUGUUUUCGAUUUCAGAGACACGCCUUUGGUUAUGGCUUCACUGUAGCUCCUCAAGAGUCAAUCUCCCCUAAAGAAUGCAGCCGAGAGCUCUCAGAAGUGGAGUACCCAAUUCUAGGUCAUGGAAACUCUGCGACAUUAGAUUACCAUCAACCUCACAUGCCUCUUUGGAAAUCAUUUCAUGGCAACAGUUUCUCCAACUUGCCAGCGAAACUCGAAUCUAGAUCCUCAUCCCCUCAGUUAUGGGAGGAGGCACCCAUGCCGGAAUUGGACCAUCAAGCAGAGUUUUUUGGAGCCGAUGAGGAAAGGUAGUUGGAUUUGUUAAUUCGAAGUAGUCCUGCACAACGGUUUUCUUCUAAAGCUAAAAAGCUCUCCUGUUGUUUGUGUCUUCAGGAUUGAAGAACAAUCAAACCUUUUGAAAAAUGAAGAUCAGGCAUUCCACCUGAAAAAUGAAGAUGAUUUUCCGCCGCUCAACUCUCGAGUGCCGUUGAAGGAAGGAUUAUGCGUUGGACAAUGAAGACACUAGACUGAGCUUCCGGGAAGACUUGUCCCCCUCACCUUCGAUCUCCUUGGGACCUCCGUUGUUAGUUGUUUCGAUAUAGCAUACACAUAUUGUACAUUCUGGUUCGUUUUUGUAGUUACAUAUCUACGCGCACAGUCGUGCGCUUUCAUUGGAAGGGGUGGAUGAUGUAUAUACGGGGUAAAGUUGGCCCCUCGGCUUGUCAUUCCCUCCCAAAGUUUCUAGUUUUAAACACAUGAUGAAAUCUAUAAAUGUAACUAGGAAAGUUUUGGUUAUGUGGAUUUUUUUUGGUCGAAUGUUAUUUUGAAUCGAUGAAAGUUAAUUGCAGUGAAGUUGAGUUUAUUUUGGUGAAGUGGUAACAGUUGCAGACGUGGGUUUAAUCAAGUUGCUUAGAACAAUGUGUUUUUCUCUCAGCAAUCAUGUUCAAACCUAAGUUUGAUCAAUUAGAACAUCGUUGUACUAAAAAAACACAAGAAUUCUACAAAGGUUACCAUGCAGGAACCUUAUGCUUAAGAUGAACAAGUUGUCGCACGUAAGGGCUCGUUUGGUGCCACAAUUCAAUUGGAUUAGAGGGUCAAAGUGAAUGAUUUUUGUUUUAGCAGAAAAUUAUAAGUGAUUAGAGAUAAAAGAAACUCUCACCUGACAUCGUUUUACGUUUUUGUGAGAAUUAAGUAAUUCUUCUACCUUCAUGUUGGGCAAUAUUUAUUCAUUUCUUCAUGCAACGCACAUUGAACGUAGCAAGUUUUCUACUACAAUUACAUUCUUGGGGUUGCACCUUCAAUUAGGCAUUCACAUUAAUUACGUAUUUCUCAGGCAACUGACCAAGAAGGCACCAGUGGUCUAGUGGUAGAAUAGUACCCUGCCACAGUACAGACCCGGGUUCGAUUCCCGGCUGGUGCAUCCAUUUUUUUACUUUUUUGUUCAUGAGAAAGAGAUUUAUCUCUGACCUUUUGCCCUUUGAUUUUUCAGAAAAAUAAAUAAUGAAAAGGAUAGUUUUGUCUAGUCAUAUUCCAACGUGGCAACGGAUUUUAGGGAAGAAACCAAUAAAGUCGUACUUGGGCGGCACUAAUUAAGUAAAGAAGGUGGGAAAGAGAUGUUCUCUAGAUUUUUAUAUCAAAUUCACAUAAUCAAUGAAUUUGAAAUUUUAAAAUUUGACUUAAUGGAUAAAGUUAUUAUAACUUUUAAUGAAUUUUCAUUUUUUUAACAAAUUUUAAAAAUCCAAAUUCUUUGAUUAUGUGAAUUUGGUGGAAAUGAUGAUUUUCAAAAAAGAGCAUCUAAAUUGCCUUCUCCUCACAAUGAUUAUUCUUAAUUAAAUUAUUAAUUAUUAUACAAAGACAAUGCUUAAAUUACUUCAACUGUAUAAAAAUUGGCUGAAUUCAUGUGAUCUGUCCAUUUCAUUUCAGUUGCCUGCCUCCUUCCUUCAACGUCACAAUAAAUCUUUCGAGCCAAAAACCUCUUGCUAAUUUCCACAAGUUCAGGUUCAAGCUCUGCGGACCAAGCAAAAUGUGGGCGGAUUAAUUAACUCAAUAUGUUUUACUAUUUGACGAUUAGGCAGAUCAUGACGUUCGUGUACGCAUCUUUAAUUAAUUCACGUAGAAGGUCGUAAUACGAGAAAGGUAAGCUAACCAUAAAAAAAUCUAUUUGUGUCGAUUUACUAUUAGUUAUCACGUAUAAUAAAAGACAAAUCUCUCUAUCAAGGUUAUUUAUAUAUUCUAAAAUAUGAUCGAUAUGUGAUUUGAGGGAUUAGGAGGAACUUUUGCAUGUCAUUAGGUCGUAUAUAUAUAUUCCCGUGCAAGUGUAGCACUCGUACGAAGACGUAUGACAUCCAAGUCUUCCUACAGUAUUAGAGCCACGGUUUUUCGUACCAAACUACUCGAAAAACAGAUAAACAUCGAGAGAUAUCAGGAAAUAAUACAGUAAAACAAAGGUAGGUAUAAAACUGUAAUUUUUUGUACCUGUUCAUCCUACUUUUUGUUGUUAUUUACGCACGUAAAGAUUUACAUGCCAAAUUAAUCAAUGGGUACAGAGCUGCCUAUAUAAUAAUACUUAACUAUAAUUACCCGCACUAUAAUAUAUAACCAUAUAUAUGUAUAUAUAUAUAUAUAUAUAUAUAUGUGAAACAAUCAUUGUGUUUGACUGUUUUCCCGUUCGUAGUGCAUGAACGUACAAGUCAUGACUUGUUUCAUUAUAAAAAAGAAAGAAAACGGUGUGCUGUGUAAACCACAUAAGCGAAAGUUUAUCCAUUUAAACUAUGAUACCAUUUGUUCUUUGUUAAUUUGUACACUACAACCUACAACAUGUCUUCCCCAUUCUCACCUGUCUGAAUUAGUCCAAACGCAUACUAGGGUUUUCAUAUAUUUAUCUUGUAAGUUUUAUCCGCAAGUCUUUUAUGAUUGUAAUUUAUUGCAUAGAAUAUGACGUUGAACUAACUCUUUAUUUAACGAUAUAUUAGUGACUCUAUCAGUUUUAACCCAAUCUCAUUAAACUUAUAAUUCAAAUACUUAACGGACUGUGUACGAUAUUAUCAAGUAUCUUGUUUUAUUAGAAAAAAAAAAAGUGUGCUGAGUUACUGAUCAGACAUGCAUUAUAAAACCACAAAAUGAAACAUUUAUUUAUUUUAAUUAUGACAUUAUUGUUGUUUGCUAAUUUGUACACUACAACCCACAGCAACAAGCUUCCCCAAUCUUACCUGUCCUCUUUUGGAUGAGUUCGUCCAAACGCAAACUAGGGUUUUCAGGUUUUAAACUGUUAGUUAGUUCUAUAAAACAAGUAUUUUGUAAUGCAUUGCAAAUUACGGACCGCGAGGCGCAAGAUGGCACGUCUGCAUGCAAGACUGGUAUGCUCAACCAAAUUAAAUUUUAUUUUCUAUAAGGUAUAAAAAUUCUGGUUAUAAAUUUCACAGACUUCAUGCAGCAUUUAUAAUUUAUCUGAGACAGACACAAACAGUUAUAUAUUGAAUUGAGAUCCUCUUCAAAUCUUUAAGAACUAAGAGAUUUGGGUUGUUAAACCGAAGAGGAAGAAAUUCGGAUCUUUAAUUUAUGUGAGUAUGAACCGGUAAAAUUGAUUAAUAAGAAUUGUAAAAUUUAAAAUAAGUUAUCUGAAUUUUCUGAUGCAUUAGUAUCGGAUAUAAAGAUCUGGAGAGAAAUGGGGACAAAUAUAAAGAAAAAAAUCAUUGAGAAAGAGAGGAUAAGAAUAUAAUAGGCAGUGGGGGGACCCAAUGAAAAAUUGAAAAUGCAUGAAAAGACAAGUGAGAUAGCGAUUGAUUUGCCAACCCACUACUAAAUAAUUGGAAAAAUGAGGUGGGAGGAGCCCUCAGUGGAUUAACACAGCCGGAGAUGAAAUUUUCAAACCAAAUUAAAUUAUACGUCACUAAAAUACAAGAAAAUCUAAUUUAUUUGACAAAAAAAUGAAAGAUAAAGUGAAGAGCAUCAAAUAAUAGUUGAUUAGAUUGCUUUAGAAAUAAUAGUUGAUUAGAUUGCUUUAGAAAUAAUAGUUGAUUAGAAAGCAACUACAAACAAAAUUGUUAGACAAAUAUAAGAUACAUGUCUAUCGACUUAAAUUCUUCAAUGUAUUUUCUUCUUCUUGUCUCAAGGUUCUACAAUUGCAGACUUGAGACUAUCAAAAAUUUCUUACACAGUACACAGAAUGGGCCGAAACCACUCUAGGCUCUUAGUGGCUUGACUCAUGCUAACUUAUUAAACGUCAGGAAAGGGAGGUAGAAUAAGUGAGAUCAAACCAGUACCAAGACUAUAAACAUUAUUACUUUUUACUACUAUAGUAAAAUGCCGUUUGCCUUUAAAAUGUAAUCAUAAAAACAAUAAAAUUACUUUCGGGUCUCCAACAUGAACUUUAAGAAUCCUCGCAAAAUUGAGGUAUUCACAAGAUUUUUUUUUUGGUGAACAGUAUUCACAAGAUCUUUGGCGUGUGCAAUAGGUACCGUUUGGUACGUAGGACGGGACGGAACAGAGUGGGACGAGGCGUUCCGUCCCACGUUUGGUGCGCCUAAAACGGGUGGAACGCGCUGUUCCACGGGAUGAAUUUUGGGUGAAUUUUCGUUCCGCCUCACCUUCUGGAACGACUUGUUCCACAUUUGUGGAACACAAAAUUAUAAUAUCUCCGUCUCCUUCUUCUUCCUCCUUGUUUCCAUCCAAGGGCAUCUUUACUCCCUCUUCGUUCUGUCCCGUCCCGUUCCGUUCCGUUCCGUCCCGUCCCGUCUGCAUGCCAAAGAUACCUAAUGGAACUGUCUUAACUCACUUCAAAAUGAUUUUUAUAAUGAUUUUUGUUAAACUAUACAAACCUGAUAAAAAUCAUGAGUUAUAUAAGGCUAUAGCGAAUCAGUGGCCAAAUUAAAAUUUUAGUUUAAGAAGGGCUUAAUGUCUCAAUCUGAAACUCUCUCCUUAUUUAUAAAAUUUAUUUUGCAUGUGAUAAGCAACCAACCAAUGUUAUUUGGUUUUGGUAUGUUGUUGUCUUCAUCAUUCUCUGUCUUAAACCUAAACCUCAAGCCUCUAUGACUUUCUUUUUCUCUCCAUCCAGUGAUCUCUAGACCAAAGUCUUACUCAAAGCUCACAAGCAAUAAAUUGUCUAAACUCGAUAAGAGCCACUCACCUCAAAUCAAACUUGAUGUAAGAAAUUAAAGUAAAAAUGUCGGAUUGGGAGCUUGAGCUUACGAAAAAUGUUAAAAAUCAUAAGCAUAACACUAAACUUUUUUAGCCAAAAUGGUCUUUAAGAUUUGCAAAACUCCUCACUUUGGUCCAUGAGAUUUCAAAUCAUUUGGCCCAUUGUUUAUUAAAUUGAUAGUGUUUUUAUCAUUUUGGUCCCUAUUUAAUAUAUUUUUUUAUGGAAUGAUAAAAUGAUUGAUGUUGGAUAAAUUCAAGAACCUUUUUUAUUGAUUUCAAUUCUCAAAGACUAAAAUGAUGAGUUAUGCAAAUCAUAUAUACCAUUUUGAUUAAAAAACCAAAAAUGUUAGAAUGGACAUGGGAGCUUCGUGAUCCAUUAAUUGCUUCGCCUCUGUGGCCAAUUCAAUAAGUAAAAAAAAAAAAUUAUUAAGAUUACCAAGACCGUCAGAUUUGUUUAGCAGUGAGCGUACCUUGACAAGCGCUAAACAAACCGUGCUUUGCCUACAUUUAAGCUAAACACAUGUGCGCAAUCAAAUCUAUGACUUUGAAUGCAUAAAAAAAUACGCUUAACAACUUAAGAUACAAAUAUCUUGCAUAGAUCUUAUUUAUAUGUAUUGUUUUUUAUUCUUUUUUUUUUUAUUUUUAAUUUUUUUAAUUUUUUUAAUUUUUAAUUUUUUUAAUUUUUUUAAUUUUUUAUAAAAGAACUUCCAGUAGUUUCGUGUCAACUAUACAAUAAUGAUACAUCAUCAUACAUGCAUGUAAGCUUAGCUUGGCUGUGGUAUUUGUGUGAUGUCACGGGUCAUGUUGUGUCAAAUUUGUUAUCUUAACAAGUGAUUUAAUAAUGAUUCGAUUCUUUACUUAGUCAUGUCGUUUCAUGUUAGAUUAAUAGGUCAUGCAAAAAAUUCUCACGCUUAAUGUUGGAAUUUGACAAAUGAUAUCUCAUUAGGUUCUUAACGAAUGAUGAUAGCCACCCGACAUGUCAACGGGUUAUCCAAUAACCACCCGACUAUUUAACAUGUUAACCUAAAACUCGUUAUUUUUGUAUUAUUUUGUGUCAAAUUAACGAGCCGUGUAAAACAUUGACAGCCAUGCAUGUAACAUUACCAACAGAAUUUCAAACUACAAAUGCAAAAAAGCCAAAGCAUUUGACGCAAUAAAAACAACCCAAACAGUCCCUAUGGAGUUGCCGCCACCACCACCACCACCUCUCGUCACACGGGGACCACACUUAUACAUCUCUUCCUGUUCGGUUUCCCUGUUCUAUAUUUACAGCUUUUACUUCUCUCCCUUCACUUGAAAACUCAAUUGCUUUGCCCACAAACAACAACAGCAACAUCCCACAAAAGUGCUUUUACAAUUUGGAUUCCUCCCCUUUCCCACAAAUGGUACUAACAAAGUGUAGCCACAGAUUCUUCAAGUUUCGUACCCCAUCUUCCACUACACCACAAUCUCUUUGAUUCUUCAAAACUUUUGACAAUUUCUCAAACUGCCCCUCCCAAAAACCCACCAACCAUUCCCUACUCCUCAAUUCCCCAAACAAACACAACUCUCCCUUUCCAAGUUUCAAACUUUCUUUCCAUUUGCCUCUGAAAUUUGACAUCUUUUUAAAACCCAAGUCCCAAAUGGUUGCCAACAAGUACGAGGGGGUCUCUCGCGCCGUGGUAGUGGGUAUGGGUUGGAUUAUGCUGAGGAUUGACUACUCGAGGCUCUUCUGGCUCUUGUUUGGUGUCUUCUCUUAUGAAAACCACGAGGGAAAGCCUCGGAUUUGAUUUCCCAAAUUUCUCAUUUAAUUUUCCCACCACACCCUUUUGAUAAUUUUUAGCAACCUUUAAUUUGUUUCUAGUAAUCACCUGCUCUCUGGUUUGUUCAUCAAGCAAAAGAAACAACGUUUGCUUGGGAAGUCAGUAGCUGGAAUCCUCGAACAUGUCGAUGGCAGAUAAGACUGGCUAUGUUGAAAUGGAUCCUACUGCGAGAUAUGGUCGGGUAUGUAAUACUAAUAUGCAUUUCACCAUUAUUAUUAUUAUUUUUUUUUUGAAAUUAUGGACGUUACCCAGUUGCCGGAAUUGAUUGUUUUUGUGGUGGCUCAAAGUGUACUACUUGCUUAUACAUUUUUUUUUUUAAAUUUAUUUAUUUUGUAUAUAUAUUAAAGUUGGUUACUAUUUGUUUCUUGAAAUUAUUUAAUUAAAUGAAUUUUGAGAACUAUCUGAAAAACCAUGGAAAUGCUUAAACUUUGGAAUCUCAGAUCAUCAGAUAUUUGAGUUUGAUCAAAUGGUUGGUUAGCAUGGAUUUCUUGCUCGCCAUGACUCAUGAGUAGGUGAUCAAUAUUGUAUUGUAUGUGUGUGUGUAUAUGUAUGCAUGCAUGCAUCCAUGUAUGUUCUUAUACACAAGUAGAAUAACAUUAAGUCUGGUUAUAGAAUUUAGAUAGUUUUGAAGGAUGGAAUAGUUUAUUUGGUCAAUCUUGUUUAGUGGGUGAGUCAUUGUCUAAUUCAUCAUUAAGUACUUUAGUUUAAGCUGGAGUAAUCGCCAUCCGGGUGAUCCCGAUGACCUUGAACUCUAACCCAUUAGUUCCCUAGUUUUUUAUUUAUUUAUUUAUUUUAAUUUAUUUUUUUAUGACAGUUGGUGUAAAGAAAGAUUGUUAAUUUAAUACAAGAUGCUAAAUCUUCUCUUAAAUAAUAUUGGUUUUCAAUUAUGUUAGGAGUUGAGAAAUUUUGGGAAAUAAAUUUGAUUGUUUAAUUUGGUGCCUCAUUAGUUUAGAUGUAAAACAAGCGUGGUGCUAUCCACACACCAACUUUUACCCCUUACACACUCCUCUUAAUUUCCAGCCGUCUGAUCGAAAGAACUGAACAAGAUCAAUGGACAAAAAUUAACAAGGGUGUGUUGGAAGUAAAAUGAGGUGUGUGAAUAGCACUCCCCUAAAACAAAAUCAAAAGGAUUUCUUGGCCAGCAAGCAUCUUGGUCGAAGUUUUAUUCAGUUGUGCUUAUGCUAUCUAUAUUAUCUCUUAAGGGACAACCUUGUAAUACUAUUAGAGUGAGAACUUCAAAUCCGAUUAUUCUCCGAAUAGUACUCUUUAACUAAAAGUCAGUUCCUGACUCCUGAGCAUAUGGUUAAUUAUAGAUUCAAGAGUAAUUAACCAUAUGUUGAAAAUUUCAGUGAUAAUAAUAGUCAAUGGAAAUUAAUAGAAUGUUGAGUCAAUUAAUUUGUUCUGGUUUAUGUAUGGAAAUAAAUAAACGGAAAUGAUAUUUUCGAUUGCUUUUUGAAGUGACAAUAGCAUUUUCUUUGUGUUAGUUUGAAGAAGUUCUUGGCAAAGGAGCAAUGAAAACAGUGUACAAGGCAAUUGAUGAGCUGCUUGGGAUGGAGGUGGCAUGGAAUCAGGUAAAACUUAAUCAAGUUCUUCGCUCACCAGAGGAUUUGCAACGGCUCUACUCAGAAGUUCACCUCCUAAGCACCCUCAACCACGACUCCAUAAUUCGGUUCUACACCUCCUGGAUCGACAUUGAGCACAGAACUUUUAACUUCAUUACUGAAAUGUUCACAUCGGGGACACUAAGAGAGUAAUCUUCUUUCCAACUCCAGUAUUGCUAACUCUAGUUCCUCAACUUGCAUAUCUUUUGAACUAGGUAAAACACUGGAAAAUGGAGAAAAUGUAACAAUAGACCCUAAUUGUAGCCUCUUCUCUCCAAAGUCGUCUCUUCGUUAAAUCUAUGUUAAUGAGAAGGACAAUGUGAUCAACAGAUUGGGAACCGUUGUCCUUGAUACUAAUUCUUAAGCAUGAAAUAGGAUUCCUUAUUCAAUGCAUUUGACUCAAUGUAUUGAUAAACUACUCUAUCUUUCAUAUGCAGGUAUAGGAAGAAAUAUAAUCAGGUAGACAUCCGAGCCAUAAAGAACUGGGCCCGCCAGAUCCUUCGGGGUCUUGUAUAUCUGCAUGGACAUGAUCCUCCAGUGAUCCAUAGAGAUCUUAAGUGUGACAACAUCUUUGCUAAUGGGCACCUUGGGCAAGUCAAAAUUGGUGAUUUAGGGCUUGCAGCAAUUCUCCGUGGUUCCCAAUCUGCUCACAGUGUUAUAGGUACUCGUUUAUCUCCAUUAUUAGCACAUAAAUUCUGGCACUUAUUUCCACUGGAAGAUAAUUAUCUGUCUCUAUACUUUUAGGCACUCCAGAGUUCAUGGCACCAGAACUAUAUGACGAAGAUUACAACGAACUAGUCGAUGUCUAUUCAUUUGGCAUGUGUGUAUUAGAGAUGCUUACAUCUGAAUACCCAUAUAGUGAGUGUGUCAACGCUGCACAAAUCUACAAGAAAGUGACAGCGGUAAGGUGAAGUUUCGUAGUCAAGAUUAAUAGGUAUCAGUGAACAGAACCUUACCCCUUGCUACUGUUUUUCUUCAGGGGAAGCUUCCAGGAGCAUUCUACCGGAUUGAAGACUUGGAAGCACAGCGAUUUGUUGGCAAAUGCUUGGUAAAUGCUUCAAAGAGAUUAUCAGCUAAAGAAUUAUUGCUUGAUCCAUUUCUCGACUGUGGUAAAGAUGAAUCAUUGCCUUUGGGAAAGCUUGGACGCCCAAAGCCAUUUUUAAACGACAAAGAAAUGGAGAAGCUGCAAUUGAGUGAUCAUCCAACCAGGACUGACAUGACAAUCACGGGGAAGCUAAAUUCUGAAGAUGAUACCAUCUUUCUCAAAGUUCAGAUCGCUGAUAAAGACGGUACUAUUUAACUUCCUCUGGCUGUUGUUGUCGCUCAAGUGAACUAGAGAUUCAAAUGGUGAACGUUUCUUCAACUGUUUUCUCAUGCAGGUUCUCUUAGGAACAUAUAUUUUCCUUUUGACGUAUUAAACGAUACACCAUUUGAUGUUGCAACGGAAAUGGUCAAGGAAUUGGAGAUCACUGAUUGGGAGCCAUUUGAAAUUGCUAAUAUGAUUGAAGGGGAGAUAUCUGCUCUGGUACCAGAUUGGAAACCUGAAGCCUACCACUCAUUUAAGUAUCAAGAUGAUGACAAAGAUGGACCUCACCGUCCUUCUAACUCUCACUCCUACUCAUCAUCUCGCUCGUCAUUAUCUGGCUUGAUCAAUUCUCGUGGCAUUAAUGGAAUGACAAAUGGCUGUGAUUUGCUCCAAGGUAUGAUUCAUAGAACUCACUAAGUUAAUUUGAACUGUGACUACUCACUAUUAUUUUUGGGCCUUUUACUCCUUGAACUUAAAAGCCUAAUGGCUUGACUUUAGCCGUCUUUUUCUGUAUGCUAGUCUUUCCUAGAAGGACAUUGCCUAUGGAGGCUAGUUGUAGUCCAUUAGAGAUCAAGGGGGCUAGUUGCAGUCCUGUUCCAUUUCUUAUAACACAUCCUUGGUGAAUAAAGGAUUUAAUCUGGAGUCUAUAAAUAUGUCAAGAAACUUUACCGAACUGACCAGAACAUAAAUCACAUGAUAAUAUGUUGAUUAUGAGCUCGGGUUCAUAAGUAACACCUGCAAAGGCUCAACUUUGCAAUAGAUAUGCCCUCCAGCUGAGGCUGAUUUUGGGCAUAUCAGAAUAUGUCUAAACCGCGACUAAAUCUAGUUGGAUGAAGGCUUGAACAUUGGGAUGGGUGUUUUGAGUGUGGGCCGGUUGACUAUUGUUGUGUGCUACUCCUGAAGUCUGAUCCACGUACAUAUAUGAUGCAUUUCUAACAAAGUUUUAUAGGCCAGGCCUUUAGGGCUGCAUUUUCCUGCUAAAAAUACUGACAUGGGGAUUAAGCAAAGCCCCGUCUUAAGAUUUUGAGUCUUACAUUUUAAUUGCAAAUGAUUGUAGUUGCAGAUGAUUUGCUUGACGAGACCAGCUCACAAAGCUCAUCACAUUCGGUAACAUCUCCCAACGUAAGUUUCAUUUCUGCCAAUGAGCAUGGGACUAAGAUGUUCCCCGCAGGAGGAGACAAACAUCCCAUAUCAAAAUGUCACAAGUCCACAAGGUUUUGUCCCGAAGAAACACGCAAUGCUGGGAAGUCUAUAGCGAAAAAAUAUUUCGAGAGAUGCAAAGCUUUUCUAGCAUCUGGUUCCAAGGAUAAAAGGAUCAUGGAUAGCCGAAAAUUGAUGAGGAAUAGGUCAUUAGGAGACACAAGAAGCCAACUACUACACCGGUCUGUGGUUGAAGAGGUGAAUAGGAAGCGCUUGUUUAAGACGGUGGGAGCUGUGGAAACUAUUGGGUUUCAAGCGCCUUGUGAGGUUUCAAAGAAGUUGUAGAACCCAUUAGGUGCUGUUUGUUUUGUUAUACAAGAACCACAAGAAAUGAGAAUGGUAAAUUACGCCAGUUCCUUUUUACAUUUCUCAUGAGCAGUAAACUCACUAAGGGAGGAGUGGAAAUUUUAUUUCCCAAUCUGGAGAUGCAAGAAAUGACAGUUUACUGUCUUGAUUGCUCCUGAUAUGGCGGGAAUAGUUGUCAAGCCACAAGCAAGGACAAAGUUAUACGAAUGAAUUUGUGGACCACUUCAAGAAUCUAGUGACUUGUAUGUUGUAAAAAAUUUUGUGCAGACAGAUUGUAAUUAUGCUUCCAUAAUGUCUUCGAUAUCAGGAUAAAUGGCUAGUGUUAGGUUCUUAAAUGUGUUGAUGCCCUUUUCUUUUAGUGUUUGCCAUAAAAUAAAUCCUAUUUAGUUUAGUCUUGACAACUGAUUAACGUUAAUAAAACACACUUAACGAAUCAAACUAUAUACACAGAAUUUCGUCACCUAUAGUACUACAACAGUUGGGUCUAGAUCAGGUGUUCUAAAAUGGAGUUUUGAGGGAUGUAAGGAAAAGUAAAGUGCAUGACAAUACAUGAUGGGUUUGCGAUAUUGCCACAACUAGUAUCCCGAUGUAGGUAAGUUUUUAUCGUUUGGAAGGAACUCAGUCCUAACCUUUACAGCUAGCAGGCUGCAAGUGCCAAAUAUGCCAUUUUGCAUUAUAAGAUGAUGGUGAACACAGAGACUGAUGUGUUUUUGGUAUGAGUAGUCCCUGCCAGUAUUAUCUAAUUCAUAGUAAACACAAAGAUUGAUAUGUUUUAGGUACGGGUUGUUUGGACGGGAACUUACACAAAUUACUUGUAUCCAUAAUGUUGAAUUAUUGAAGAUAGGGUUUGGUAAGGUAGCAGGUUUAGGAAAUGUUUCUUGAUGGAUGUGUUUUGCCAAUUUUGGAUACGUGAAGGCUGUAGACUUGUUGACAUAUGCAAAAUCCAAACAGUCUUUACCCGGGAAUCCUGGAUUGCACAUUUUUUGUGGGUUUGAUGAAUAAGAGUUUGAUCAUGUUCUAACUCACGAGUCCUUCUACCAUACAUCAAUGCGUAUAAUAUUAUCUUUUAGAUGGUUCGUGUCUAUCUGUUUAAUUCUUUUGAAUAAUUGAACAUACAUCUAGCAUUUGAAUUCAUCAAUGCAUGCCAUACAUUGUACUCCAAAAAUUUUGCUAACUUCAUGCCAAUUCACAUACAUUUGUUAGUUUUUAUCCAUUGAUUUUCUUUAAUUCAUUCGAUGCAAGUGCAACGGUUGAAUGCUAAGAGGGGUGUGUGAGAUAUAAAAGUAAGUGUGUGGAUAAGACCAUCCUUUCAAAUAUUGUAAUGAUUGGUCCCAUGUAAAAUAAGGCCAUGCCCUUAUAAUUAACUCCAUUCCAAAAUUACAUGAUUAAGAUCUUUUUCAUGCAACUAUAAUUAGGGACCCAAUUGGAGUAGGCAAUGAGUUGUAGUGAUGAGAGGAUUAGGUAGCAACAGCAUGCUGUAAUUGUUUGAUAAAUCAUCAUAUACUUACCGCCCCAUAUCAUGUUUUUAGUGAAUCCUAUGAAAUGAACUCUUACAAUACGAAAAAGAAAUAUUUAGCCAAUACUUUUUCUUCAACGAGUUAUUAGGAGUAAAAAAUUUAAACUUAAAACGUCUUCUAAUAUUAAAAUAAAAAAUACUAGAAAUUGUUUGAGUUGAAAGUAACAAAGGCCAAAGAGCAAUCUACUUUUUGAAAAAGGGUCGAUCAAGCGUGAGAUCAUGGGAUUCAUUCCCGGAGAUGAUUAUGACGGUCCUCUAAUGAGACUUCCUUCCUGAAUUUUUUGUGGUCCUGAUUGGAUUUUUUUUUGCUCAGUUUUCAAAUCUGGUACUUCUUUGUUCCUUCGUCCUCUUGCAUGUUACGAUGUGUCCAAAUUCGUUAUCUCGUCAUGUAAAGUUUGCUUGUCAUACUGCACAGUCGCAAUUGUUAGAAAUACCUUCUUUCUUAAAGUACGUAUUACUGAGUGGUUGUAUUGUAAAACUACGAGUUAAAUCUUGCAUAUGAUUUAAUGAAAGGAAAAUUAAUGAAAAUGACUUAAAAACUUUGAGUUUUAACGAUAAGGACAAAAUAAAAAGUAAAGUGAAUAGUAUCAUAAUUGACUUUUUAAUGUAAAAAUGUAGUUUUUCGUUAAAGUAAACAGUACCGAGAGUUUUUUGUUAAAGUUUCCCUUAAUGAAUCUUUACAUGGGUGAAAUUUUGUAUAGAAUUCGCACGAGUAAGUUGAACGUAGCAUUGUAGCCAGACCCAAAUAGAGAGAACCAAUAUUUGACAAAGUUAUUUUCUCGCUCGUAGCUAGCUUAAGAGUGAUUAGCAAUCUAAUGACUUCAUAUGUGGGUCGACUAGUUUUCCAAAAAGAGGAAUGCUAUCUACUUUUUCUUUGCCUUCCCCUAUUUAUUUUUUUCACUCAUCACUUGACAUGUGUAUUUCACUAACAAAUUAAAUUACAUAAUUAAUGCAUUAAAAGUGUAAAUUCUAAUUUUCGACCUUAAAAGCAUGAAUUAUGUACUUUAGUUUGUUAGUAGAAUACAUUGUCAAGUGAUGAAUGAAAAAGGUAGAUAGGGAAAGGCAAAUGAGGAAGGUAGCUACAUUCUUCUUCCGAAAAUGCUCUUUAGGUUAUGCUAGGUUAAUAAUUCGAUUUCAUUCUAGUAUUACCCAAAGUGAGUGCUAACAACAUUCUCACUUGCCUUCUCAUUUAAACCUUCUCACUUUUAUUCAUACUAUUACUACGUGUGUUACACUAGCAAGCAAAGCUAAACAUUUAAUUAUCCUAAAUGUCAUAUGAACUUAUACAUCUUUUUUAAGCAAUUUGUCAUAUCAAUUUUCCAAAAUAAUUAAUUUGUCAUCUCACUUUAACUCUGUUAUUCUUUCCAUCCAAAAUAAGCUACGUAGAUUGCACACUUAUUUACAAGGUUAUUUUGGACGUUUCAACUCCCCACUCCCCUUCAAGAUUAUUUCUAAAAUUUCAAAGUUAUUUUAGACAUUUUAGCUCCAUUUUUUUUAAUAGACAUGAAUGGCCACGUUGAAUUCUCAAAACUUGGAAUUAGUUAAAUUCAUGUUAGUGAACCUAAUGUCUUUUUUAGUAGUUAACAAUAAGUUUUUGAAACAAACCCGACAUGUUCUUUUUACCAGCCAAAUGUUUUUUGUUUGUACAAAAGAAAAGUAGAGAACUUGUAAAUAUGAGGUCAAAAGUCCUAAACUAAUUUAUUCCCACCCCAUAUCUAUGAAAAGGUCUCAAAAGUCCGAAAUAACCCUGAACACAAGUCAUGUGCAUUGUACAUGAUUUCUUUUGGAUGAAAAAGGUGAGAUGACAAAUUAAUGAUUUCAGAAAAUUGAUAUAACAAAUUGCUUUAAAAUUUAGUUCAUGUGACAAAUUAAAAAAAAAGUAUAAGUUCAUACGACAUUUCAAAAAAAAUUCCUUAUAUUAACAACAACAACAACAACAAAGCCUUUUCUUACUAAGUGAGGUUGACUAUAUGAAUCCUAUAACGACAUUCCCUUAUAUUAACAAAGGAAUAAAAAUAGUGGGACUUUGACAUGGUUAUAUUUUAGGUUUAAGUGCUAGUGGAGUACAUAUGGCAUGCAAAGAAGUGAGAAGGUAAGUGAGAAAUUCACCAUACAAGCACGGAUAAGAAAUUUACUUUUAUAAAUUGAUAACGCUAAAGAGAUCAAAUUUUUAAAUUAAAUUUGCAGACCAAAUAAUGCGUAACCAAGAGGAAAUAUGUAUGUUAAUCAACACUUAAGUAAUAAUUCAAUCAUCAACCACUAUAUUAUUUGAUUUAUAAAUUUGAUCUCCUUAGUAUUAUCUUUUAUAAAUAUAUACCUUUUUUACAAACAAAAUAUAAACAUUUUCUUUUUUUUAACUAUGAAGCUAUGUAUUUAUUUCCAAGAUUCAUAAUAAUUCAGUCUUUGGUGAAACAUUGGUGGUUCUAAAUUACCUGAUUACACCCUUAAAUAUCAACCUAUUAUCACUAUGAAACGAUGACGGUUGUUAUGUUUUGGGCAGAGUCCGUAGUCAUCGGGAAGAGAUCUCCUCCGGAUCUCUCACACCAAAGCCACACAAUCAAUUAAUCCGGACCCUUGAAAUUUGAUUCAACGGCUAAAAUUAUUAUAAGUUUUAAAUAGACCCUGUUUGUAGCCGUUGAAUCAAAUUUCAAGGAUCCAGAUUAAUUGAUUGUGUGGUUUUGGUGGAAGGGGAUCUCUUCCCGUAGUCCUCGACCUUGAUCUCCUCUGUCAUCAAGAAAACAGCACAGUAACCCCAAAUCUACGGAAAUUAGGUUGAAUUUAUAUCAACCCUCGUACUAUAUGCUUAAUUGUGUGUCAAAAUCAACAAGUCAAAUGCAUUCGGAAUGAUGAGUCCUUUUGCCAUUUCCACCUAAACCAUUCAUAUAUAGGCCAUAGGGAGCUGCCACACAAUUGCAACUUAAUGAGCAGUAACUGGUGGUCUGCAUCACUCUUGCAUUGCCCGCGGUACGUGGAAUGGCAUGUAGUCAUGUGGAAACCCUAGCUAUCACAAGUCUUGUGCGUUGUGACAACGUAGAACAUUGGUACUCUAUCUACAUAUUACGUCAUUAAACUAUUAAUUUAAAAUUGCUACUUAGUAUGAAUAUAUGUGUAUCUAAAUAUACAAGUUCUUUGAAGUCGCCCUUUAACCUUUAUUCUUAUGGAGAAGAGAUUCUAAUAACCCCAGAAGACAGAAAACUUCAACCAGACUUCUCUAUCACGUAAGAAGUUGAAUAGUGGGUAUUGUUCGAUUAACGGGUUGUCAUGUGUUAUAAUAUAUUAAUUAUUAAUAAAUACAUAGAAAGAGGUUUUAGCAUGAUGAUAUAUUUAACCUGUUACAUGGCAAGAUAGUCUAUGCAGAUAUACAGUUCCAUGACAACCACAUUGUUUAAGACUUUCAUUUAGUUCAAUUUUUUAAUAUGUACAAAAUAAUAUAUACAGCAAAGUUUUCUCAUCUGGCUUGUGCUUUUGUACAGUUUCUUUCCUUUGGAUUACACUACUGCAACUCAUGAUCUAGUACCAACUAGUUGAGCUUGUUUCCAGAAACAAAACCUGGGGGAACAGCAAUCUUUCUCAAAAUUAUCCAGACAAGAGCCAAGCCAAAGCCCUCAAACAGGAAUACAUGUUUAUACUCUUUUGACAUGGUAAGGCCUACCAUUUUUCAUGACGUUCGGACAUUCAACUUUAACAUUAUGUCAAAACACUGUAGUUAAAUUGAAACAAUUAAUAGUCUAGUAAAUUGUGGACAGAGCUAGAUGUGGCCUUUCAUUCCUUAGGGAGUGAGAAGACGGGGAAAGGGUGGGUGGCCCCUUUGUUUUGAGGUAGCGCCGUUGUCACACAGCAUGGGAAGGACGCGUGGCGCCGUUCUUAGUAGUAAUGUGCCGGCGCGCAAGCGGUUCUCCUUAAGAUAUUCCCCAAAGCAGAAUUUGUGCUCUACCUUUUGUAGGAUCUUAGUAGGAAGAACCAUCGGAUGAGAGAGGCACCAUCCAAGUGAAUGAAAAAAAAAAACCAAUCUACUUUGAUCCACUUUUUGUUUUGUAAAAAAUUAGUUAUUAGUUCAAUUUUUUUUGCAUAUUAGUGUCUCUUUGUUGUGAAUUUGGUGGGCACUAUAUAGACGAUAAGGGAACACAAAAUUGUGGCCUAUAUAAGAGCCUCAUUUUUUAUUUUUUUUUUAGAAAAUCUUGAUAAAUUUUAUUAAUAACAAAAAAAGAUGUACACCUAUUAAGGAAACAUAAACCUAACCUCUUAUAAUACAAGAAAGAAGGAUAAAAAAAUACAUAAAAAAGAAUGGGAAACAUAAUCCUUACCCUUCUAGAAACAAAAAAUAAAAAAAUAAAAAAACAAAGAAAAGAGGAAGCGACAUGAAACAUAACACCUCUAAAAUCAAACCUAAAUGUCUAAACAUGCAAAACAGAACAAUCCACGUCAUAAGGUUAAGAAGAUCAAAUCAUAAAAAUUAAUAAAGGAUGAGCAAAAAAGUAUGUGUGGAUAUAGUUAAAUAUUACCUUGCUAAAAAAAAUCAGUGAAUCCAGUUCUUUCAACAAGCAGUACAUGCAUGCAGCUUUUUUGAGGUAUCAAGAUAUUUUCUUAGAAACCCAGAAGUCAGAAAGUAGCCAUCGUAAUUUAAAUUAAGAUUAUAUACAUGCAUUGGCAUUUAACAAUCUAAGACAGUAAAAAAUGUUACAUUUUGAUGCGAGCCAUGUCAAACCAGAUUUGCUCAAAGGCCUUGACAAUGAGUUCAUGAUAUUCCUUUGAGUUGAGUGAGAGAUAGCAAGCAAGAAGGUCUUCCAAAUCCUUAGCUGCCCUGAUAUUGUUCUCCACAAUCAUCUCCAUCAUUGAAUCUCUGAAGUCCCUCUGUGGAUCAACUGAGGACUUCACAACCGCAAAACUCUCUGAAAGGUGCCUGUUCUUCGACUUCAAGCACGACGAUGGUGAUGAUGGCACACUCUUUCUACCACAUGGCUGAGCUUUCUUCUUGCUUCCAAGUCUUGGAGAGUUGCCUCUAAGUCUUAUGCCAGUUGAACUGGCAGAAGACUUUCGAACCGAAUUCCGGGCAACUUUCCUUUGGUUACCCUUCCUAAUGCUUUCCUCCUUGACAAUUUUGACAGUGAGAGACCUUUGUCCUUGUAUUUCCUUCACUUUUGAUGAACUUCUCUUGAACUUGGUGGCCUCAUCAAAUUUCAGUGGCUUUGUUAAAAUUGGAGGAAGCUCUACCUCUGAGAUCAGAUCAGAAUCAAACCCAUCAAGCUUCUGAUCAUGGAUUUUUCUUGUUGAGCCUUCAUUUUUCAUGUCAGGAAAUUUCAGGUCACAUUCAAAUUCUGAUGGGAUUAAUUCGUGAAAGUCAGGCUCACUAGAACUCUCACUAGAAGAGCCAAAGUAAUCGGGAGACCGAAUAUUUCUGUGGCGCUCAUCAGUCCAAACCGAAUUAAUCUGAGCAUGACAGUUGCAAUUUGAUGAGGACUUUGAGACAGAUUUGUUAGGAGAAGGCUUGUAAACAGCUUUUCUUUCGGAUCUUCUGGUGGAUAUUCUUCUGGGGUUUUCGGGAAAAUGUGUGUCUGAGGCUUUUGGGUGGAUAGGUGAAUUGGAGAACUUGUUUUCUAUGUUGGGUUGUGUAGAGAAGUAAUAGGAGUAUCUUCUUGUUUGAGAUAGGUGGGAUUUUUGGGGUGGUGAGAAUUUAUUUGAGGUUGAUUUCUUCUGAUCGGUGGAGUGAUGAUGGUGCUGGGAGGUGUUGUGGUUUUUGUUUCUGGUGCUGCUCAUGUCUUUGAGCUUGUAAAACCAAGCAUUUGGGAUCAUGUCUGAAAAUCUGAACUUGUAAUUCCCCAUCAAGAAUGAAACAGCUAGCUCCUCCCUCCCUCUCCCUCUCCCUCUCUCUCUCUCUCUCUCUCUCUCUCUCUCUCUCUCUCUCUCUCUCUCUCUCACUGACUCGUGUGUGUGUGUAUGGCUCUCACUCUUAAAAGAGCUGAAUGUUAUGGUCUACAUCGAAGGUUGAAAUUGGGGUCCAAUACUAGAAAAAUUUAGUACGAAAGCAACAUGUUACAAGUAAAAUGAAUAUAUAAUUAGCAAAUGGCCCUCUAACACAGUAGUGGAGAGGAGUAUUGUCCUCGCACUAUGGUGUGGAUUCGAAACCCUUAACUCUUAAAUUUAACAAAUCUUUCGUUUUACAAAAACAAAAAAAAAACAAAAGAAGAAGCUCUUCAUUGCUAUAACUAGUGAAAAGUUAAGUUCUAACAAGGAGAAACACUUUUAUGCAAAGAGUUUUAUAUUUAGCCCUAACUAGGGUUAAUUGUUUGGUUUGUAUUACUUGGCACAGUCCAAUUAGUUCACUGUUUAUGCAUGGUGAUAUCUUGCAAACACCAAGCAAUGAUCGCUGUGAUUAGGUAGUGCAUCUUAAGCUUGAAGGAGUCUAAUUUCUAUAUUAUUUAUACAUAGAAUAUAUGAUACGAUAUCGUUUUUACUCUUUACCAUAAACAAUGAAGAAUAUAAUUAGAGCUUGAUUUAUUUGAUGCUUUCAGGCUCCUGCAUAUAUAUAUAUAUACCCCAAAUGCGUUGUUGUCCCCUUCUUUUACAUUUUAUCUCAUCUGGAUCCUCCUCCUUUUGUUUACCUAAAGCAGCCAACAUUAAUCAUGAUUCUAGUAACAGCUAAGACCCAUCUGUCUACUAAGUGCUGUAUAUCUUCCCAUAAUUUCUUGCUUUACAAAUGAUGAUAUUCCACGCCUUUUCCAAAGUGCUUAAUUUCCACAAGGCCCGCAGGCUCUCAAAGCUAAGGCUGGAUAACCACUGGCUGCUAGUUAUGGCAUAAUUGUUUUCAGUAUUUAAACGUUUAAAAAAUUAUUGUAUGAUAUUGAAAUAUUGUUAUACGAUAAUAUCUAAUCUACGUACCUAAUAUAAAAUAGUAAACAGCAUGGAUAACCUAUGAGUUUAUACUAUAGGAUAUCAUGUCAAUCCAAUAUAAUUAUAAUACUGAUACAAUGUCAAUCCAAUAUAAAUAUGUUCAGUUGCUCACGUUUCAUGAGUUAUUUCUUACAGUUUAUGUUUGUGGAGGAGCUCACAAUAGACUAACGUUAACGGUAAGAAUUUGGGCUCGGUAUUGGCGAUUAUUUUCUUCUCGUCCUUGGUUUAGACUAAUGCUUCAAUCUCUUCUUUACACACUAGGGACCGCAAGCGUGUAAUUGAUAGAUAUGGAUUGAAACUGAACCUCAUAUAUUACAAGAGAAAAUGUUUAGAAUAAAUCUUCAAUUGAUAAAAGAAAAAACUUUGCAUGUGCUUAUAAGUAGUUGAGUUAUUUUCUAUAUUGUCAAUUGGUUUUAUGGAGGAACCUAACUUUCUUCACAAUGUUAGAGCAGGUUGUUUUACGUGUGAAGAACAAUGGUCACACGUGCUCCACGUCACCCGAGUUGUGUUGUCCACAUGUUAGACUCGAAAAUUCACCACAUAUGGAGGGCAUAUUGAGAAUGAAGCCCAAAUUGAUAAGAGGAGGGACGUUGCAUUUGCUUAUAAGUAAUUGAAUUGCUCCCCAUAUCGCCCAAUUGAUUUUAUGGUAAAACUCAACUUUCUUCAAAGAAGAAGAGUGAUGAAUUUCAUAUAUACAUAUGUGACAUAAACCCUAAAGUUACAUUUAAGAAAAGACCUAACAACUAACAUGAUAUCGACUAAUACGUGAAGAGUAAAAUGAAUGUGUGAGCAUUGGGAUAUUAAAUGAUAGAGACAAUGAAAUAGGAACAAAGUGACUUUGUGACAAGUGACAUUAGCUCAAGACAGAGAUAUGAAAAUAAGUCCCGACAGACAAACAUUAUUUUCAUCCCCAAAAUUGUAAGAUUAGUUUUUCCUUCAUGUCAAAUCCUCUCGAUUUGAAAAAUUAUUUAUGUAUACUUUCAACAUACUUUGAAUGUAGUUGUUUAUCCAUUUUAUCCAACCCCAAGAUAUCAAAUGAGAUUGUAAGAAGUCAUUCAUACUUGUUUGUAAAUUGUGCAAGUCGCAGUUUUACACGUACUGAUAUACAUAAACAUGUUACUAAAACCACAAACAUAAAAGUUUACACACACGUAUUAAACUUCAGUUAGUAUGUUAAAACGGCAAUUACUCCUUACAUGUAAAAAAUCGAAUUAAUUUUCGUACAUACCAAGAAAAACAGAAACAAUCGGGACCAGGAGGAUCAAUGGUCCCAACUUUUGAAUUAUGAGACACCUCUCGACAAACCAUUCUACUAUUUCUUUUUUCUUUUUCUUUCCCUCGUGGUCGUGGGUUUGUUAAUAGGCCCGUAAAAUGGGUCAGAUCUAGCCCAACUCAAUUAUUAGUCCUGAAAGGUCCAAAUUUACCUGGCUACCAUUUCAGCCCAUGGAUUAGUUGGGCUAGACCGGACUAUGCUAACACUAGGCACCCUAUUAUUGGCAGCCAAUAAUAUUUUUAUUUUUUUGUUAGUUUUUAAAAUUGGUUUGGGUCACAUUUUUGUCCAUUACUUUUUUGUAGCGAUAUUCAAACUCUAUUUUGUUAAAACAAUUCAUAUGUUCAAAUCUCGAACAAAACCGAAAAAAGAACUUAUCGUUGAGCAAAAUAGAGUACUCUUAUCAAACAAGACCAUGUCAAAUUUGAUCCACACAAGUGCUUGGCUUUUUGCUCUCCAAUUUUCUCACAAACUUUUAUAAAUAUUAGAGUCUAUCUCCGUCUCUUUAUCUCAAAUGUUGAGAUAUAAAUUUCACACGUAAAAAUUAUGUUUACAUCUCAUUUAUAUUUUAGUGAACAAUGAAUACAAAUUUUUCAAGAUUUGAAAGAGAUGAGCUAGCGACUAAUUACUAACCAGACUGAUAUUGUCUCACUUACAUACUAUCACAUGCAUAGCACGAUAUGUGUUCCCUAUCCUCAUAUACACCUUCGACUAAAGAUCACUCCUAAAAUUUCAAGGUCCAAAGACCACGCGUUAACCCAGCUGUUCACAUUGACACCCACUUAAAGAACUUUGGGGUUCGCUUCAUUUCCCAAUUUCAUGGUAUCCCACUUACUUUGACUCCAAUACGUGAACCCCAUCAACAUUAUUUAUCACCCAAUUAAGAGAAAGCACAGAACUCUCUCUCUCUCUCUCUCUCUCUCUCUCUCUCUCUCUCUCUAUAUAUAUAUAUAUAUAUAUAUAUAUAUAUAUAUAUAUAUGUAUGUAUGUUACACCAAACGUUAUUGCAACAGCAAAACUCUUAAAAGUGAUAAAAAGCAGCAAAGUCACCAUCCUGCACUAUCCCUAGCUUCAAUCACACUGCUUAUUCCAAUCAUUAGCUAUGAAGUUGAAAGCAUCAGUUGCCUUGAGAUCCAAGCUACUCAAACCAUGCAGAAAUUUCUUACAAAUCUUCAGAUUCAAGCUCAAAAAACCAUUCUUUUUAAGAGCUCUUCGUCUCCGUCGAUCUCCUUACACCCAAGUUAAAGACGAUAAAAAGUCUCUGAAGAAGAAGAGUCGGAUAACUUUGUUCCUAUCAUCUUUCUGUUCAACCAGGAAGCCGAAAGGAAUGGACAGACUAGCAGCACUCAAGAGCUUCUCCGAAAGAGGGGGUGACGGAAAUGGAAUAAUGCACUAUUCGUCACCAGUCACACCGGCUUAUUUGAAGGCUAUGUCCGGAGGAAGGGCGGCGGCUUCGGGUCAUGACGAGGUGCAAGAUGCGUGCAGGAGUUUUGAGAACUAUUUGGUGGAGAUGAUCAUUGAGGAAGGGAAAGUGGGGGACUUGAUGGAUGUGGAAGAGCUUCUGUAUUGCUGGAAGAACCUCAAGUGCCCUGUUUUCAUUGAUUUGGUUGGGAGAUUCUAUGGGGAGCUUUGCAAGGACUUGUUUUCCCCUACCAGUGAUCAAAGUUAGUGUGAUUUUGCAAAAAUUGAAUUCUUUGUUUUAAAUGCCAAGUCAUAUUUUUAUUUUUAUAAUAUAAGGUGUAAGUGCAAAAAAUGAUUCACUAGGCAUAAAAUCCUCUAAAUGGGGAACAAUUUGAUGACAGAGUUGGGUAUAAAUUUUCGGAAUGGAAAUGGAAUCUUGAAAUGUUAAAUCUAAAACAAUCAUCGCUAAUGACAUGUUUACUUACUUAGAAUGACGAUAAUUAUGAAUCGAGAAACUAGGAAACAUGGGAGAGAAGGAAUGAAAAUGGGAUCUUGAUUUUACAUGUACUGGAUUACUGAUCUCAUAGUAGGAGCCACAUGUUUUUUUGAUUCAGUACGAGAUAUCAAACAUGUGAAAAGUCAAAAAUCGAAAUAAUUCCAAUACACAUGUUAAUAAAUAGGGGUAAGGUUAGCCGACAUUCACCUCUCCCAGACCCUGCGUAAAGCGGAAGUCUUGUGUACUGGGUACGACCUUUACACAUGUUACCUCUCCCAGACCCUGCGUAAAGCGGAAGUCUUGUGCACUGGGUACGACCUUUACACAUGUUAGUAAACACAUGAAAAGUCAAGAAUCGAAAUAGUUCCAUUCCAAUCCAAGUAAACGAGAGAUAUUUUAAUAUACCAAGUACACGGUACAUCAAAUGUCAUAAUACAAGUGGUUGCCGAACGAGCAAUGUGUUCCCCAAGUUGCAGAACAGGGGCCAUGAUUAAAUUGUGGAAAGAAACAUUAACCAGAUUCAUGCAGUCUACAACAUACUCAUCUAGGAUUGGAAAACUCCAACAAUUGCUCUCGACAAAUUGAACUAUUAACAUUUUCAUAACAGAAGUUAGGUUCAGCUGAAUUACCAGUUAGCCAGUAAACUGUAAACAUUACCAAUCAAUGGUUACAUUUUUGAUUUCGAAACAUACACCCGAGACCUCACAAUUGUCUCUCCAAUUCUAAAUCCGGGCACGACCAUAAACCCCACCAGUCGUUCACCCCAGACAGCUGCGCCUUCCCCGUCUUCCUCCACGGACUCCAUAUGGACAUCCGAGAAUUUACUUCCUCUUUCGACAGCGAAUAUUUUUGCUUCAGAAUCUAUCAAAGGUGCAGUGCCACGUAACACCCAAACCGACCUUGCCAUUCUCGCGAAUAUUUGGUAGAAUGAAGUCCUCGGAUGCUUGCCACUCAAUACAAGAGUCCUGUGAUCCAGAUGCCCAAAAAACUUGGCUUCCAUCGUCGGAUGAACAACCAAGAGAUACUUUUCUCCACAGAAUCUUGCAAAAUCGGAAUCUGGGUUCUCCAUCAGGGCAUCGAUCGGGUCAUCAUAUCUCAUAAUACCAUCCACAUUAUGAGAUAUCAAUGACAUUCCAUAAAACAUUCUCCUAGCAAUGUAGGCUUCAAAUGCAUAUUUUUUGUGGGCCCUUUUUGAAUACACAGCUUCCACUUCCACUGUCUUUGCCGCAAGAUCCAAAUCCCAGCCUGAAGCUUUCAUCAAGCUAAUUAACGGCUUUGCAAAAUCAUGAAUAGAUUUCGACGCAGCUCUGAAAGCAUCCUGAAAUGUCGCAACGUUCCACACCCUUACAUUCUUCCUCUGCAAACUUACCUGCCUUACCUUUUCAGCCAGUGCCACAUUCACCAAAUCCAAAUCCCUGAGCUCUUUUUGCAAGCAGAGUAUAUCAGAGUUCUUAACUUCCAUUUGAAACUUCAACUCGUCCAGUAGCUUCUCAUUCAGUUCAACUUUCUUCUUCAAGAUAUCUGAACGAGAGGGAUCAGACUUCAACUUUAUACAUUGCUUCUCCUUAUGUGCGCGCUUCAUCUUGCAGAGCGCUUCAAGCUCAGUCAUAAAUUGUUCGUCCGCAGCUACAAUCUUCUUCGGGUUAUAGGGCAAAUGAGCUUGCUGAAGCUGAACGUAAGCUAAUUUCAGAGCUGAAACAAUGUCAAACAACUUGGAUAACUCUGCAUCCCCACACUUAUCACUUGCUCUAUUUACUUCCACGGGUUGGGGGUGGAUCUUCACCCCAUCACACUCCGUCUCCUCUGUCACAUCGCUGCUAUCCUCACCCAAAUGUGCAUUGCUAAUGUUGGGGUUGUUGGGUUGAUGGUUAUGAUCCGGGUUUUCGGACGAAAACACGCCAAUGGAUCUCAACUUGCAAACUUUGGCAAACUUGGAGACAAUAUCAGAUAUGUUUGAGGAGGGUUUAAGGGGUUUGGCAGUAGCAAAUUCCAUUUCCUUCCUUAAAGAUUCAAAAACCCUAAUCAGAAACUAGCACUGCAGAUCCAAUAAACAAUUUCACUAAAAGCACUUUUGCUUCCACAAAAUUAAAAAAACACGAAUCUGAUAUAACUUGUCUCUCAAAUUGGGCAGAGAAAAUCCAUGAAACCCGGCUUAGAAAAAGCCCACUAACACAAUAUUAUACUCAACAAAAACCCCAGCAGCCAGCAGAGACCCAAAAGCACUUUUGAGGAUCAAAAACCCCAAAUCAAACCAAACCCAUAUACCAAAAGUUCAACAGGAACAAACCCAAAAGCCCUUUUACAAAACCCAAAAGCCAGAAAUCAACAGAAGCGAUUCUACAGUAGAAGCAGGGCACAUGCAAAGCAAGAACAACAGCAUUUGGGAUUCACAGGAAACUUACAAGCCAAAGUGAAGCAGCUAGACGACGGCGUUUUGGCGUAGAGCUAUCUCCUUGUUCUGCAUUCUCCAAUGUCCAGUCUCAGCGAAAAAUGGGUUUUGGUGGAGAUGCCAAUGUAAUCAUAUUUUAACAUUUUCAUACCAGUACAAAUUUUUUAUUUUUUGAGAAAUUGUUUGGAAAAAUGUGAGGGCUAUAAAAUUUGGUGACUUUUUAAAUUAAUAUUAUUCAUUUUUCUGGGAAAUGUGCUAAAAACCCAGACCGCGAAUCUCUAUGGCUUCUGAAUAACCUCCUGCCACCACUUUGAAAUUCCUGCAUUUUUUACUUUUUCUGCUUUUUUUUUUUGGAAUUUAAAUUUAAAUUGUUUUUUAGUGUUUAAUUUUUGGGAUUUUUUUUUGUUUUUUAGAGAAAGAAGCUCCAAAAGAAGCGCACGUAGUUACCAGAAAGUUAAUUGUAAAAAAAAAAGAGAGGAUCGCACGCGAGUUUCUUUUAACGUCUAUGUCAGAGACUCAGAGGGACUCAGAGCGUCGACGCGCAUCCCGAGAUCUGCUCUGUAAUUUUACUGCUGGUUUGGGAUUUCCAGUUUGAAUCUGUACCGUUGAAAUACAUGCUGUGGAAUGUGGGAUCGCAACCGAAAAAGUAACGAUAGAGAAAUUAAAUUUAUACAUAAAGUUUUGAAAAUUAAAAUAUAUGACAGUUGAUGAUUGAUGUGUUUAUUUUUAUUUGUGACAUAUUAUUUAAUUUGUAAACGUAGCCUUUAAAUUUGACCUCUCAAAGCAUUACCCCAACUAAAAUAUAAGACACGAUGGACAUGUCACAGGCGUUUAGGGAAAUGGACUCGUGUGUAGAGAGAAAUUUUUACGUGCGCCGGAACACUCUUCAUAAAUGGCUGUUACAUAUUAUAGUUUUUUUUUUAGAAUAGUAAUAUCACAUAGUGUAUAAAAAAUCUCUAAUAGUUAAAUUAAUGUUGAGUACGCGCACUAGGUUGGACAUUUAAAAAGGAAAAACCCAAAAAAGCCGCAAUCAAUACGCUUUUCCUAAUUCUGGAUUUCCAUAAAGGAAGUACAAGUUACAUGCGAAAUUUUAUAGUUCCAAACAUGGUUCUUAUCUCUAAUAUUACCGAUAUGUUCUAACUUAACUACUUAUUAUUAUGUAUUGAAUUUUAUAAUAAAAAAUAUCGAAGAUAUUAAAAGUGAAAACUCUCAUUUGAUACUAGAUAUGGUACAAAUAUGAAAAAUCUCAGCUUCCCUUCUAGUUAACCCUAAGGCAAGGCGUUGGGGAAACCAAACUUAAUAGAACGAAGGGCUUAUUGUUUCAGAAACUGUCAAAGUGCAGAAUGUAACUGGAAGAGCAGUUGCCUUGUUGAUAUGGGGUGAACUGGAAAGCACAAUCACGUGAAGAAUCUAUCUGAACAGAUGAGUUGGUAAUAUGCAAGCUUAUAAGGGACAAGAAGUGAGUCCAAUAUUAAAAAGAUAGGGAGAGACACAAGCAAACACAAAAACCUGAAAAGUUUAAUACUAGAGACUUUGCAUGGAGCCAAGAUCGUGAAAACGACAUUCAAAUUGAGGAAGAAGAAUGGGGGACCGUUUUUUAAAUCGCAAAUAUAUUGAUCCCAGUCCCACUUGUAAUACUGUUAUACUACAUGAAAACAGUGACAAUACCAACCCCAAAUCUUUGCUACCAUAUUAAAUUCUACAUGUUAUUGUCCCCUUAAUUUGUUUCUUCUUGCUGUUUUCACAUAUGCUCAUAAAUAAUUAAUAGUUCUCAUGACAGUAUAUUACUGGAACAAAAUUAUAAGAUAAGGGAGAGUAAAGUGUUUCAAUCUUGCAAUGGGAUUAUUAUGGGCGUGAAACAUAAAACCUAGUUCAUUUGCGCUUAUCGCUUGUAUCCUUGCUCUCAACCAAAUCAGUGUACUUAACUAAAAGAAGUUGUAUGUGACCAAUAUGUCUGAGAUGUGAGAAAGACACAUAUAAGUUAUAUAUGACAUAUAAAACCUUGUCCGUUUGAUAUAAUUUUAAUGUUACAAGCACUACUCCUCCAAAAGAGUAGAAGAAACUUAUGAAAAGAUUGUAGUUUAAUUGUUUCCACAAACAACUAUAAGAAUGGACAAGUAUGGCAUGUUUGAAUUCAAACUACAAGCAUGGUAAAAAAACUAGUUUGUUUGAGUUACAUCUGAUUUAGCUUGGCUGCGUUUCUUGCGGUGAAUGAGUAGUUAGGGUUUCUAGGGUUUGUUCUGUUUUGGGCGUAUUUCCUUGUUUUAGUCCCUUUAUUUUGUUGUUUGGCUGGUCCAUAUUAUUUCUUGGUGUUUCGCUUUGUAUUUGGACCAUUCUAUGUACCUCUUUUUUUUAUUUUAUAUGAUAAUGAAUUAUAUUUCCAUAAAAAGUAGUAGUUAUAUGUCUUGGCAGACCUUAAAGGUCCUGUUUUCUAAUAGACAAGAUGGUGUACAGCUUUUUUCAAUCUAAUAUCAUGAACCGUUUGGAUCAAGAAGAGGAGACAUAACACAUAGAAGAAAAUAAAUAUGGAACCCUCAACCCUGUAAAUUUGUAUGGAGCUGAGAGUACAAACAAAAAAUAUCCGAAAUGCAAUUAUAUUUUGCACUCUUCUACAGUGUAUUGGAGUGCAUAAAGGGAGUAAGAAUAAUAUCCAUUAAUUUCAAAGUCCUAUUUGUUGUUGGGUUAAUCUAAAGAGAAUUUCUAAGCAUUCGUCCAUGCACAACAAGAUCUGACAAUUCUCAACAGUUGAUGCAAUGCAAUAUGGGCUUUACAUGCAUAUACGGAUGAGAUUGCAUCAACAAUUAAUAGUCACACGAUUGUAUGUUGGGAAAUUGUCCUAAGCACAACUUAUUCUAAGAAGUCGAUAGUUGAUACCUUUACCAUUGUGGACACGAAGCUUUUUAUCAUUGUUUAGUCAAUUAAUUGUAACAAAUAGAUAAACAGGUAAUCAUUCUGUUACCAUAUCCACCAUCUAUUUUUUUUAUUGUUCGAUGACUAAACGAUCUCAUAUGUAAAUUUUUUUUUUUUUAAGAUUAAGGAGGAGUUACUCCUCAAGAUACUCUGUAAAGAUCAUCUCUACCAAAAAAAAAAAUCAAUUAAAAAUAAGAUUGUUUAGUCAAUUAACUGUAACAAAUAGAUAAAUAGGUCAUCAUUCUUUUACCAUAUCCAUCCAUCUAUUUUUUUAGGGAACUUUAACGAAAAGCAACCGAUACUGUUCACUUUAACAAAAAACCACAUUUUUACACAAAAAAGUUAAUCCUAGUACUAUUCACUUUACUCUUUAUUUUGUCCUUAUCAUUAAAACUUAAAGUUUUCAAGCUCUUUUUCAUUAGUUUUCCUAUUUUUUUAUGGUUCGAUGACUAAACGAUCUCAUAUGUAAUUUUUUUUUUUUUUUGUAGAGAUGAUCUUUAAAAUAUGCAAUUUAUAAUAUGAACGGUUCUAAUCAUAAUCAUAAAAUUUUGUAAAUCAGCCACGUAAUAAAUUGAGGAGCUUAAUUACUUUACUAAAGUAUGUAUGAAAACAUAUCUUAGAUGUGAACCCUUACAAUUUUGGUAAUGUAUGUGUAUGAUACAUACCACACAAUAGGAUCGAAUCCUGACCAAAUAUCUUAUAUAGCCGCUAAAGUGUCCCUGAUAUGAGAAAGGCAGCCACAGCUAUCACAAACAAUUAUUUAUGAUCAUCAGAUCAAAAGAGAGCCCCAUCUGUCAAAAUCAAAAUCAAAAUAUAGAGUUGUCAGCUUUGUUCAAAAGAGAGUCCCACCCUCAUUUAACCUAAUGCAUUUCCCACACCUCUAUCAAACUCUAAACCUAGCUUUGGUGGGACAACGGUCAAAUUUAAUUCAAGAUUGAAAUGUUCACGUCUGGCUAAGUGGGUCGACAUCUGUAGAGAUGUAUAAUACACACACAUAUAUACAUGUGAGACAACGACUCUCUGGACUUGGUUUCUAUUAGCAAAGAGGAAGGCCAGGAGGAAAGCAAGGGGCAUCAGAACCCUAUCGAGCAGAAACAAAAGCAUGGAAACAAGAACAGGUUUGCAAUAUUUGCAGAGACUUGCAAUAAGUUAGUUUCCUUUUCUCCACAUCUGCACUUUUCCCAAAUGCCCACGCUUGCUCCAAACAACUUAUUCAUUGCUAGGGACGAUACGAGUAAUUAAGUCGAACAUGUGUUUCUGUACAUUUGGUUUUUCUGUGUCUUUACUUCAUGGCGCAAUAAUAUAUUCACUUUUAUCGUGUUUCAAAACCCCACUGUUUUAUCGUGAUUAAUGCCUAGGUGUUUGAAAAUUAAGAAAUGACGCCUAGACUUGUUGAGGCACUUGCCCAGACCGCCUAGGCACCCACCUAGCCCGCCCAAACCCACAUAUACACCUGCCUAGGUUGCAACUCACUUAAAUAGAAAAUAGAUAAUUUUCCUUUUACAUUUUAUUGUUUCCAAUAAAUUAUAAAAGACUUAUUGAACACUUAUAUAAACACAUAUUAUAUGUUUGGUCCUCAUAUUUUCACUAUGUUCCAAUACUUCAUAAUAUAUAUGUCAUUUUAUUUUCUAGUUUACAAUGAAAUUAUAUAUAUUUUAAGUAUAAACAGACACUUAUUUACACGAAAUACAAUAGAUUUACUUAAAUCCUUCUAGUCCGCCUAGGCGCCCGCCUAGCCGUCUAGACGCUAGGCCCCAGCCCGCCGCCCGACUAGCGCCUAGCGUUUUUUAGAACCUUGCAAAACCCUAAUGUGAUUAUAAUUCCGGACCCAUUUGCCCUCUUGGCAUUUUUUCAUCUCACCUAGGGCUGGUUUGGUAUUGCUGUGCUUUGAAAAAAAGCUGCUGUGAGAAUAAGCGGCUGUGCUGUGAGAAUAAGCAGCUGUGAAAUAAAGCCAGUAGAGUGUUUGGUAAACUUUUUUGUGAAAGUGCUUUUGGAAAAAAAAGCAGGAUGAUAGUGUGUCUUUUCAUUAAAGGAGCACUGUAGCUCCAUGUGCUUUGAAAAAACUGGCUUUUUUUCAAAGCAGCAAAUAGCAGCUUCAGCUUUUCCUUUGAUUUUCAGCUUAUUCUCACAGCAGCUUCCAAAAUAAGCCUUUUUUUUCAGUUUACCAAACACAAAAAUGACCCUCAGCUUUUUUUCACAGUGGCUUUUUUUAAAAUCACCUCAAUCCCAAACGGGGCCUAGCCAAGUGAUACGUUAGAAAUGUAAAUGCUUUCAGAUGGAAGGAUAGUAUGGUAAGAGUGCAAGGCGGGCUGCAGAUGAUUAGGUUAUAUGUUGAAUAAUUUGUUCAUGAUUUAUGUCGUUGUCUGUUGUCAAUUCAUGUUAGGAAAAAGAAAAACACAGAGGUCUGUCAUUUCACCAUCUCUUCCAAGAGUACAUAAGCUUAUUCUAUCAUUAAUUUCGUAAGCGUGAGAUGAAGGAUUUAGCUAGCAAAUAGCAAAUUUAUCUUUUUUUCCUGAUAGAGUAAAUGAUCAAAUUUAGCGAAAGCUAUUACUUCAUAAUGCUGCAAUUAUUUCUUUGUAAUGUCUCAUGGAUAAGCAAAAGUAACUUUAAUUUCCCCAUUCAUGUUUUAUUUUACUAUUAUUUUUAUAUCCAUGUUAUUUCUUGUUCAAGUCCGAAAUUAAAAAGAGCUUAUGAGAAGUAAAAAUGAGUGUGUGGAUAACACUACCCUUUUAAGUAAUGUAUUUAAAGAGGUUUACCUUUUCUGCUACAGUUAACAUUCUCUAAUUAUAAUGCACAACGAAAGAUUCAUUCCUACUUAUAUGUUAAUCACAAUUGUUCAGAGUUAAUUCUUGAAUUAUCGGGGAAGAGUGAGAUAUUGCAUAUGCGUAUAAGUAGUUGGACUAGCUACUCCCUCUAUAGCCAAUUGAUUUUAUGUGGAACAUCAAUUUUCCUCAUGGUAUAAUUAGGUUGUCUCUUGUAUGAAAGCCUAAAGGCUACACGUGUUCCACAUCACUCAAUUUGUAUUGUCCACAUGUUAGGCUUGAAAACACCACACGUGAAGGAACGUGUUGAGAGUUAAUCCCACAUUGGGAAAUGAGAGACUUUGCGUGUGCUUAUAAGUAAUUAAGUUGGACUCCCUAUAUAGCCAAUUGAUUUUAUGAGAUGAAACUUCAACUUUUCUCAACAAUAUGUAUACACAUAUUUAUUCAUUAGAAACAUGAAAGAAGAAGGAAUGAGUCCAUAUACGUAGGGAGUACUCAAACAUUUUCCUUCUAAUGCACUCCAUAUCAAUAAUUUGGCUCUUAAAUUGAUUCGUUCUCGGAGAUUUAGCUAUAUAGGAAGAUGACAUGAGAAAACCCUAUCAUGUAAAAUAGAACCUCUAAGGUAACACAACAGGGUUAGGUAAAAUUAGAGAUUAUAUGUGCAUUUUAUGAAAAUUGAACAAUGGUUUAAAGAUAUCCAUUAAACAAAGUCUUGCUUCAUUGUUAAUGUUUUUAUUAAUAUUUUUUUUUUUAAUUCAAGAAAAAGUUGUGUAUUGACACUAGGAAUAUUAAUCAUGGAUAGAAAGAUUAUGUACAUCUUGUCAAUGAUUUUUUUUAUAAAAUAAUCGGAGGUUACAUUAGGGCGCUUAACGGCCAAAGAUUAGAAUUGCUAUUGAUCUUAAAGAAAGAAACCACUAAGAAAUGAAACUACACAUAGAUUAAUAUUUAGAGUAGAACAUUCAGAAAAUCUUGAACUUAAUAAGAGAAGUAGAAAGUUAUAAGCCAUGUGAAAGAACAAGUAAACUGUCAAUUAUCCAUGCCCUACAUCGGGCAUUUCCAAACCCAUCACCAAACCCACCAUUUUCUUGCUGAUUUGUUUGGACAAUUUGUCCACACCUGAUUGCUUCGCGAAUCUCGAAGUUUUCAUUGCUUAGGUGGGUCCAGUGGAGUGGCCAGCCAAUUUGAUGGUCAGAUUCUGUGGCAUAUUGCCAUGACAUCCCAUCCUCUUGUGCCCGAAGUGUCACAUAUUAACGGCUUGGGGAUUGUUUCACGGCAGUUUGAUUAGAUGCUAACAGUUUAAUCUCACCAUAGACCAGAAAGAAAAUGCUUUCCUUUCAUCCCCAAAGGUCCACUGCUGCAUGUUACAGGCAGUGUGUACUUCUUGUUUUUCCCAAAAAUCCAAAGCAACAGGGUAAAAAGGGAGUUGUGAAUUGAACAAACACAUCUAAGCCUUGAAAGAUGGUUGGUGCAUAAUAAUGCUUCCCCGAUUUUUACAAGUUGCCAAUUUACUAUACACGACUCUAUACAAAUAAGUUUGUCGAUCAAAGCAGAUUUCGUAGUAAAAAGUACUGUUACAGAAAGAAAAACAAAUACUCAUACACUCAACUAUAUAUUAUUUCACCUGACUAUUGUUGUAUUAGAUAUUUAACCUCUGAUAGGUUUGUUUCUAAGAUGAUUCUUAAAGUGUUUUUUAACUAAUAUUCAGUAGUAUAUUUUGCAAUAUUCAACCGAAAGGCAAAGGAAAAAAAAUACAAACAGUCUAGUGAUAUUUCUCUUCACUUGUAAGUGAGAAGAUUUAAGCUUGAUUCUCGUUAAAUGUGAAUUUGAAUUACAUUAUUGGUAGCUCAUUGUGAGUCUAAGCCCAUCUCCUUCUUUUUAAUGUAGAUAAUAUCGUUUGUUAAAAAAUCACCUCUAUACUAACAUGGAUAUCACAUUUUUUAAUAAGAAAAGUAAACUUACUAGAGAAUCCCCAACGAAUAUAAAAUAACUACUCCCCAUGACCUAAACAUCCUUACAGUAUCAAUUAAGUCAGAUCAGAUUAUCAUCAUAUUCAAAGUCUCCAUUGAUAUUCUAUCAACUACAUCGAAUUUUAAUAACUCAUUCAAUUCACAGUCCAAUUGAAACAAAAAUGAUAAUAUACUUAAUUUAAGAGCUAUCUUAUUUAAUAAUGUAAUUAUUUUGGUACUGACAACCGCACACCCUUAUCCAAAGGAAAACUAAUGAAAAGGACUUGAAAACUUUGAGUUUUAAUGAUAAGGACAAAAUAAAGGGUAAAGUAAAUAGUACCAGGAUUGACUUUUUAGUGUAAAAAUGUGGUUUUUCGUUAAAGUGAACAGUACCGGGAGCUUUUCGUUAAAGUUCCCCUUAUCCAAUAGUAUGAGUUAAUACUAAUACAACACAUUUUAUACCGGCUUUAAAAACAAAUUAAUAACAAAUUAUUUAAUUGUUUUCAACCUAAUCAUAGAUAUAGGGUCCUAAGUAGUUAGGACCCAAGUAAAGUUCUUGUGGGAGCCAAAAAAAAGUAUAGUUCUUGUGAUAAUAAAAAUAUAUAUAUAUCUAAUGCAACGAUACGUGUUAAAGAGAUUUUUUAAUAUGUAUCGGUGUAUACUACAUUGAAAUUUGACUGUUAAAUUCCUAAUUAAUGUAUCUCUGGACACAUAUUUAACCUUUUAUUCAUUCAAUGCAUGAGAUACACUAUCUCACUAAGAGAUAGAAGUUUGGUUCUAAAAAUUUAAGAAGUGGAAAGAGAUGGCAGAGAAUAAAAAACAAAGAAGAUAUAGUUAAAGAAGGGUGGGGGAGUGAGUAAGAGUUGGCUGAGGGAAAAAAAGGAAAAAGAGGAGAGUGGAUUGUGGAUUGUGGAUUGUGGAAAAAAGGAGGAGGUGUAGAAGGUAGCAGAGCAAUAGUUGUUUUUACAUUUCUGGGUUUGGGAAUUGUUGAAAGACAGUAGAGGAAAAAAGCCUGCAAGAGUAUCAAACAACCAAACAUGGCAAUGCUUAGGAUGUGACGGCCCUCUUAGAUUCACACUUUCUUUUUUCCUCCCUCUCUCUCUCUCAAACUUGCUUAAAUAUACCAUCCCUCUUUUUCAACCUCCCACACAACCACCCUCACUUAAGGGCUGAGCUGACAGUUGCAACAAGGGAACCUAGUUAAUCUGAAAAAGGUCCAGAGAGAAAUAUAGCCAGAGAGAGAGAGAGAGAGAGAGAGAGCCCAGAAAAUAUCAGAUAAAGUUGCUGUUUUCUUCUGCCAUUGGUGGGUUUCUUGAGCUUCCAUCUUGCUGUCCAUGGAGUUGAAAAGACUUCACAGACUAAUAAGGUUCACCACCAUCGGCAUUUUCUCAAUUUAUGCACUUUUCACCACCAUCAGCUCCACUUCCACUACAUGUCCAGGUGAAUUUUUUAUGUUUUUUUUUUUAGAAAAAAAAAAUUUUGAAUUUUUCACUGAAUUAAUAUUCAUUUAAACCGAAUUUAAUUAUCUACUUGUUUCUAAAAUGCAGAUAACAACUGUGCCUUCACGGGCAAACUGGAUUCAUAUUUUCAGGUAGGUAGUUCCACUAUACCUAUCAUCUUUUAUGGACCGUGAUUUUAACACUCCUUUAGCUUCCUGCUGGCACUUACGAAGUGCCGGAAUUUAAAUAUAGAUCACUAACCAGGAGUGCCAAAAUCUCUACCUUAUCUGAUACUUCAACAUUCAAUGAGCACUAAUGCUUCUUUCUUAUGUUAUUUAUUGUUCUCCACAUCAUUCACAUCAAUCACAUAUUAUGACCUUACAGCAAGUCUCUAGUAGCUUUGACUAACUUUGACCCAAGCUGGGUUUUUGAUAAAGACUGCAUAUGCAUGUAUGAAAUUGAAAAGACAAAAUAGAACCAUAUUAUUAUUGUUAUUACUGAUCAAUCCACCAGCCACCAUGGUGCUUUGAUAAGUAGCACACACUGACUGAAGGACAGGGUGGUCCUGCUGCUGUUUACCGGGCCUGGUCCAUACUAAGAAAAAUGGUCUUGUAGUACGGCUCAGCCUGCCUAAUUAAGAAGCACACAGCACCACAGGCGUAGUUUAGCACAUAGCUUUGGGCUUGGAGGACACCUAUUUUUAUUUGGCUUUUCAGAAGCAAAAGAAAAAUUCUACUGCAUCUUGGUAACUUGCGCCUGCUGUGCUCAGCGCCCUACCCGCUCAAACCAUGUUGUAUAGUGUACUCCCGUGAGCUAAAAAUUGUUAUGGGGGCCGGCGAACAUUAGCAUUGGUAGGCGCACUUUAGCACUAAGGAUGUAUGUUGACAAGUCAGCAGACGUUAGCAAACUGUGUGCGCAGAGGGGUUGGUGGAUAAUUGUGUUAUAUAUAAUUGCUAAUUUUGGGGAGAUUAACUAACUUAAGUGGUGCAGGAAUUUGGGAAGCACAGCGACAAAAUGAGGGAGCAGAGGAUGAUGACUUUGAGCUUGGCUAGGAGGUACUUGAGUGGACCUGGAUCGUCGCCCCCUCGGUGCACAUCCAAGUGCGGCAGGUGCACCCCUUGCAAGCCGGUUCACGUGUUUGUGCCACCUGGGACGCCGGUGAUGGCGGAGUACUACCCGGAGGCUUGGAGGUGCAAAUGUGGCAACAAGUUGUACAUGCCGUGAAAAUAAAUGAAUAUGAUCAUCAUAUGCUUUAUGAUAUUUAUUUUGUUUGUGUUAGUGUCCCAAAAGUCUAGCUAUCUACUUUUCUAGCUAAUCAUAUGAUUAUUUAGUCAGAAAAAAGCAUAUUUACAGGACUUAAAUUUCUGUAGAAAUAUAUAUACACGUUAACGGAGAGUUAUAUAUGAUCAGUAUGGAGAAUAUAUAUUGUGUUAAAUAUUUGGAAAUUUAUGUUCAUAGUAAUUGAAUGGUUGUUUCCUUCCCUGUAAACCUUCUUGUCAACGACUACUAAUAUGAACUCAUUCCUCCCCCCACACCUUUUUUUUAGGGCCAACUGGAUAAUCAUGGAACUAGCUAAGCUAGGAAAUAGUAGCACCUGAACUCGUCGAGGUUCUCUACGCUUGGAAAGAUUCUUAUAUAUCCCGAUAAGUUAGGAAGAGAAACUCACAUGCACAUGCCACGGUUCCCCCUAAGUUUAAAGAAAGAGAAACUUCACUUGGCCCUCCUCCUCUUCACUUUCGGUAGACUCAUCAUAAUGACACACACACACACACACACACACACACAUAUACAUAUCUCUCUCUCUCACAAUAACACAAAAUCUCAAGCUAAUCCAUAAAGAACGAAGAAAGUAAUUGGCCUUUUUCUUUUUGGGUAGAGACAUUGACAAAUAGUGAACAACGAAACAGGCUCCGCCUCGCAUACAAUUUGAAAACUAGUUCCCCAUCAAACAUUGUUUUAAAAAUUACCGCCCAGUGCCACCUGGGCUCUAGGCGGCUGGUCACCGUCCCGAUUAGUCCUUAGACAUUUAUAAACUAAGAAAGGGAGCCUAGACCCGCUUUAGAGUCUGCCUAGCCCUCCUAGGCGUCCGCCUAGCCGCGUAAACCCGCCUAGGUCGCGACUCCCACUUUAGACAGAAAAUCGAUAACUUUCAUUUUGUAUUUUAUUUUUUCAAUAAAAUGUAAUAGACUUGUUGAAUACUUGAAUUAACACUCAUUAUAUGUUUGUUCUUCAUGUUUUCAAUAUAUUGUAAUACUUUAUAUAUGUAUAUAUAUAUAUGUCAUUUUAUUGUGCAAUUUAUGUAUCUCAAUAUAAUUAUGUGUUUGUUUCAAAAAAAAAAAAACUUACGUGUUUUUUUAAGUAUAAAUAGGCACUUAUUGAUACAAUAUGUAAUAAGUUUACUUAAAUCCGCCUAAUCCACAUAGGCCCCCGUCUAGUUCCCAUCUAGCCGCCUAGGCGCUAGGCCUCAACCGCCGCCCAACUAGCACCUAGUAUCUUUAGAAUCUUGCCAUCAAGUACUAUAAGAAUACAAAAGAAAACGUGUAAUCUGUUUUCUAUGAAUCAACAAUUAUUGUUUGAACUCAUGACGUCUUUUAUAGAAGCAGAAAUUAUGUGCCGCUAAAUCAAACAGCUAUUAGCAAUUGUGCACAUUGUCUAACUUGAAGCUUUGGCCACUACAUUCCUUUUCGUAAUAGUUGAUCAUGCCAUUAGCAUAUAACAAAUGAAUUUGAUUGUGAAAUAGAUGUUGCAUACAUACGUUGCCUGCCUAUACAUUAAUAAUGGAUAGAAUUGAACCAUAAACGUAUUUCAAUUCUAACUUAUUAUCGCACCCUCGUCAAUUAGACUUCUUAACAAAGUUAACAUUACAUUAAAUGUCUAACUUUUCAGUGAAGGAAGGCAUCUAAUUUCAAGUAAGAACAUUGUGGGCUUUUCAUGUCACAAAAGGUCAUUAUGGGCUUUGUCUAAUUUUAUUUUGUGAGCUCAAUAUCAAGUUCUACUUAACUUUAGGAUAAUGCUAGGGGAGUAAUUAUCGUUAAUAGUCAAAAUUUAACAUCAAAUUUCAUAAAUGUCAUUUUUUAUAAAAACUUUCAAAUAUAACAAAAAACUCACGUGAAUAGACCUAAUUACCCUCAAAAUUCACAUCCAUAGAAGAAAUUCAAGAAAGUUGGGAUUCAAGAUUGCAGUCAUUGUGUAUUCCUGAUGCCUGGAAUGAAUUGUUGUUUCUCCAUUUACUCCAUUAGCAUAUUUGCAUCAUGAACAAGCGCACCAAUUCUAGUUUGCAUGCCAAUGCAUCGUGUUUGUGCCAUACUCAGUGCAAAAAGGUGUUAAAACAAAUGGUAAUCAAUUUUUUUUCUACAUAAUGAUAACAAGAUAAGCGCUGAUUAAUACCCAAUUUUUUUCCCAAAAUUCCAAGGCUCGGUGUUGCUGUUCUCUCAUAGUUGAAGCAAGAUUGGGAUCCUGCAGUUCUGAAAGCUCCACCUAUAACAGAUAUGGAGCAGAAGCAAAGAUAAUCAUGAAUAAAUUAUCCAAAAUUUUUACAAGUUUUGAAACAAUGAAUAUUUAUGUUCUGUAAAUUAAUCUACCUCACUAGCUAGAAGCAGACUAGGGCAAUCAUCUGCAUUGGGUACGUAGAAAAACACCGUACAGCUGCCAAAAGUUAUCUUCCUUAUCAAAUGCGUAUAUAAGAAGGAUUGCUAACCUCAUAUCUCAAUCCAUCUGCCAUUGACUAUUUUUCCUCAUUGAAAAACUAUGUAGUUAGAAGAGGCCACAAUUCAGAAUUUUUUCAUUACAUUACCAACUACAUUCUUAUGUUUAUUUGGUUUUAAUUUUGAGGGUAUUUAAGUCUAUUUAAGUGGGUUUUAUGUUAUUUUUGAAAGAUUUUAGAAAAAGUGACAUUUAUGAAAUUAGGUGCUAAAUUUGUAAACCGAUGUCACCAAAUUCAGUUUAUUUAAUUAAAGACUUAUUUUAUAAUACCAGGGUUAAUAUAUAAUCAAAAUUAUUAUAUUAAUGCAUAGGAAAUGUUAGGGUGAUUCUCUCUAAGUGGGACUCUCUAUGGAGAUUCUGUCACCUUAUAAUUUAACGUUAAUUCUCAUGCAAACAAUAUAAAAUAUUGUACAAAAAACAUAAGGUAACAAAAAGUUUAUAAAAAAUCGCAUUAUGUAAUGAUAAGUGAUCAUCAUUGGUUUUGGAGUAUGAUUGAAGCCUCUGCCCCCUAACAGAUGCUCCUAAACUCCUCUUUGUACUUGCUCCCACCACCUACCAAGGCAUGGCCAAAAGCUUAUAUAAUAAUGCUUCAAGAUUAGUCGUCAAUUGUUACAUUAGUUUUCUGGAAGAUAUGUAAAUUAUAUUUGUGAGUCUGCAACAACUUGGAAGUAAAGACGAACGACUGGUUGGUGAACAUUAUUAUUCUCCAAAAUAUUGUGUUUUAUAAUUUGCUAGUGACAUAUUUGUUUGGUUCGGUUGUUAUUACCUAGCCAGACUAACAAAUUUGGAACAACUCAAAUUCCAACCUUAGCUUGGCCAUUCAUUCAAAUUCCAACCUUGGCCAUUGGCCAUUCAUCAUUUCUUUAGGUCCCAAGUAAUUGACCCCUUCAUAUAUAUAUGGUUGGUCUUACAAUUAUCAUUUAAUAUGCUGCUCUUGAGUAAAAAAACUGUUUGGUAAGAUUAUUGAUGUAGCACUUUACCUAAAAAAUGUCAGUUUUUGUUUGUCAUUGAAUAUAUGUUUUCAUUAUUGGCCAAAUUUCUAUAUUGAAAUUCGAAAUUUUGGACUAUACUCAAAGCCUCAAUGUAACCAUCUGUGCACUAUGUCAUUAUUUACCGGCAAACUCUAGAAAAAGUCUUAAUAAAUUAGCUAUUGUGUCAUAUGUAGGGGUGGGUUCGGUACGGUUACCGUACCAAAACCCUUGUACCAAUUACCGUACCAAACUUUCGGUUUGGUAAAAUCUAUUACCAUUACCGUACCAAACUUUCGGUAUACCAAAGUUCGGUAUUGCCAAAAGUUUGGUUGGCAUGGUAUGGCAAUGGUAAUUGCCAUUUUGUUUUGGGACAAAAUAUGUUUUUGUUUUUUUUAACCCAAUUCAAGGGCAAAACUUUUUUUUUGUACCUUUGUCUCAUACAUUAUAGAUUAAAUUCAUCUAUUAUUCAUCAUUCACAAUUCACACACAUAAUAAUUCAAAUGAAGCAUCAAGAUUCAUCAUGAAAAUUAAGUUUACAAUCCAAAUAGAAGUUACGAAUCAAAACAAAUAGAAGUUAACAAUCCAAAUAGAAAUUAAAGUUUCAAACCAAAUGAAAAUUGGAAGUAAACUUCAAGAAGGAGAAUUCAUUGAUCAGUUAUUCAAGCUUGAGAUGUCGAAGCUUUUGGAGGAGGCAUUGAACUUGUAGAAGAUUGAGUUUGUAUCAAGCUUACAUUACAAACAAAGAAAACAUAUUAAUUAGUAGCAAGAAGAAUUAAAGUUGAAAACUAUUUAAUAACAAAUUUACUAAAAAAAUUCAAGCAUAUCUUUCUUGUUUUCUCUUCUUCUAUUUCCUUGUAAAAUUGAAGCAUAUCUGCCGUUGGUCCUUGUAGAAGUUUACUUCACUUGCCCUAAGCCAACCACUAGUACACACUAGUGCCUCAAUUAUUUUAGGAGUCAAGAAUACCCUAAAAGGGUUCACAACCCUCCUCCCUAGACUAAAUGCAUUUUCACUAGCAACAGUAGAAGUGGGGGUUACAAAGAUAUUUUGGCUAUUUGUGAAAGAAUUAGGAACUCUUUUGUGUUUGAUUUCCACAAUUUUAAGAGAUCAAAGUCACCAACAACAUGCUAAUAUAAGUAGGGUUUUAUUUUCAAAUUAUUGGAAUAUUAUAAAUAUGUGUUAUAUAAUUAUGUAUUAUAUAAAUUAUAAAUUAUAAAUUAUAUUGUAUUUUCGGUAUGGUACGGUAAUACCGUGGUAAUGGUAUCCGUUACCAAUACCGUACCAUGAAAUUUUGGUACGGUACAAUACCGUACCAUUACCGAUUGGUACAAAAAAUUUGGCACAAAAUCGGUAUAGCACGGUUGGCAAUUCGGUUGGCACGGCAAUUUGGCAAAAAAAUCCACCCCUAGUCAUAUGAUAGAACAGCCUUCGCGUCCAACAUUAACAAACAGUCUAAUAAAUUAACUAUUGUGUGCAAUGUUGCCAACUUGCCACGGGUAAGAUUUUGGGACAAAAAUUGUCCGCCCUCUCACUUCUCGUGCCCUCCUAUACCCUUCUGUUUGUGUGGUCACGGUUAAGUCAUGUCAACACUUUAUAUUACUAUUCAUUUUUGUUUUAUUAUCUCUAUAAAAAAAUAAUAUAAAAUGUUGACGUGACUUAACCGUGACCACAAAAACAAGAAGGCACGGAAAGUGGGAGGGCAGACAAUCCUUGUCCAAGAUUUUGUCCCUCUAUUUCCCUGCUCUUUCCUCUCCUCGAGAGAAGCUCCUCUCAUCUCACACUCUUCAUUUUGUCUCUCUUUCUAAAAAAGUUAUCACAAGAGUUGACAUGACUUAAUUGUGACCGUUCAAAUAAAAUGAGAGGGAAGUGGAGGGAACAAAAAGAUAUUGAUGACGUGUUUAUGUAACGGUAAUGAAAAUAUGAGGAAUUGAAUUGAUGAUGAAUUGAAUUGAGAAGAAGUUGGAAUAAGGAGAAGUCAGAAUCGGAUUCCUGUUGAAGCUGUUUACUUAAAUGUUCUGAAAUCGAAAUAGAAUUCCAUAAAGCUGUUUACUAAUUCAGUAGAAUCGGAAUAUAAACUAGUAUGAUUACUAAAAUGCCUUUGUCCUAAAUCAAAUAUUUUAUAUACUGUAAUUGGUUUAUAAAUGAUAGUCUUGGAAAUAUAAAAAAUAAGUGAGGGCAUAAAAUGAACAAAAGUGUCAUUCCGAUUACCCAAACAAUCAGGAAUUGGAUUACCACCUAUAUCUAGGGGAUCCAAUUCCACCAAUACAAGGAAUUGAAUUCCAAAUUUUGUGUGGGCCCCACUGCUUUUUUGGUUCCUCUAUGUUUAGUAAACACUAGAGUACUCCGUAAUCGAAAUUCAAUUCCACAUUUUUAUUCCGAUUACGGAUACGUAAACACGCCGGAGAAUUGUAUUCCGCAAGUUUUAACUGAUGGUAACAAGAAUGGCAGACCUAGUUUAAUUUUAAACAGAAAUAUGAAAAGAGUUGCACAAUGAGGGCGACUUUAAGAUUUUUUGCCCCUGCUCCAUAACAGGUAAGAAGUUUUCUUCCACUUCAUUUAGGAUAGCUUAUGAUUCCUCCUUACGGAAUUAGAAACCAUACAAAUUCGCUAAAACGGCAACAUAAGCCCUAAGACUGUAUAUAUCUUGCUAGACUUAACAAAAAUAAACGAAUACAAAAGUCCUAUGUAUAAAGAAAACUACAAUAAACUCUAAUACUUAACGGGCAAUAAAUUCUGGAAAGAAGUGUUACAUAUAUGAUAAUCCAUAUAGUUCACAAAUCUAAUAACUAACCGGCAAUAUAUUCUAGAAAGAAGUGUUACAUAUAUAAUCCAUAUGGUUCAUAAAUCUAGCAACCUUUGAUUUGUCAAACAUCAAAGGUUCCUCUAUGUGGGAAUAUGACGAAUACGUAUAUACAUGUGGACGGUGUGUAAUCAACUGUUUAACAAAAUUUAUGCUCUCUGUAUACACACCGUCCAAUUGACGUCCAUGUUGAUUGUUAGUUUGCCAGUAAUGUUAUUGAAAACAGUUGAGAUUUUAUCAUAAAAUUAAUUGACAAUAUUAGGAGUAGCUCAACUAUUUAUAAGCACAAGUAAAGUCCCUCAUCUCAUUAAUGUAUGAUUCAUUCCCAACAUGUCUCCUCAUGUGUGGUGAAUUUUCAAGCCUAACACGUGGACAACACAACUCGAUUGUCGUGGAGGGCAUGUGGUCCUUGGGCUUCACACAUGAGACAAUCUGCUUUGAUACUAUAAAGAAAGUUGAAGUUCAACCAUAAAAUCAAUUGACAGUAUGAAAAAUAGUUUAACUACUUAUAAGCAUAUAAAAGAUUUUCCAUCUCGUCAAUGUGAGAUUUAUUCGUACCUAGGUAGACAAACAAAUUUGCAGCAGCCCUUGGCUCUUCAUCAUUUCUUUAGGGCCUAAAUAAUUGACCCCAUCGUAUAUUUUAAGGUUAGUGUUGCAAUAAUUUAAUAAGCGUGUGGUUUUUGUGUAAACUUAAUUAAUUGAUUGAAUAUAUCUCUAUAUAUAAAGCCAAGCUCAAAGUGAAUAGUAUUUUUGAGGUCACAAGCUUCAUCAAAAAAUAAGUUGAAAAAAAUGCCCCUAAAACAAAAAAGUUCAAAAGUUACCCAAAAUAAUGCAUCAAAUGUGGUAGGAGUAUUUUCGUCAUUUUAACAGUGUGUUUUUAAUAAUUAAUUUUUUUGUACAAUUUUAUUUUAUUUUUUCAAAUAAUUAGUACCUCACAAUAGGCUAACAAUAAUGUGAUUCAAUCAGUUGUUCAUUAAAUAUUAUUUUUUCAAUUUUGAAACAGUUCAAAACAUCUUAAGAGGCUGUAAUGCCGGUUAUAAAAAAGAUCAUUCUCAUGUGGAUAAUAAUGUGACUAAUUAGUUGUCAAAUGAUUGUUUAUUUUUUUUAACAAACGAUAUUAUCUACACUAAGGAUGAGGGGUGCGCUUAGCCUCACAAUGGGCUAGUAAUAAUGUAAUUCAAUCAGUUUUUUUUUAUUUUUUGAACAAACAAUAUUAUCUACACUAAGAGGGAGGGGAAUGGGCUUAGCCUCACAAUAGGCUAGCAAUAAUUUGAUUCAAUUAGUUGUUUAUUAAAUAUUAUUUUCUCUAUUCUUAAUAUAAAUUCAAUAGAGACUAAUUUUAUUAUAUGGAUUCAGCUGCUUUAAUUAAUUUAUGAGGGAUUUCUUCUAGCAUGAUCUAAUGUUAUUCAUUUACUUCAAAUAUUUGACUUUUCUUUUGUCAAUUUACGCAUAUAAAUACGUUGAAAACGUGUAAGUCACGUGUAGCAUACCGUGAUUCAAAAAAUAUCUUCUGCAGGCGCAUGAGUGCUUGCAUGAAGGCUAGUGAAUCAUAAACUAAACACAAUAGUUUAGGAUGUAGUUGGACGUGCGUGGGUGAUUGGUGAAUCAAGAAACUUUAUGGAUCUGUGAUACCCAACAGCCAACACGCAUACAAUAUAAAUUAGAAAUGAAGAAUGUCAUAUCAUUUGUCUAUACCAGAAGAUUUUUUGGCAUCUAGAGGAUUAUUCUUCCAUAGAAAUUUCAAACUAUGAGAAAGUUGAACUAAUCAAAUUUCAACAAGUUUGAAAAAUCAACUAUUUAUAUAUAUAUAUAUAUAUAUAUAUAUAUACACACACGAGGAUCCUAAUUGAUGUGUUACGUUGAUUUGAAUAACGAUUAUGGACAUUCAUUUAAAAUUAACAAAAAAACGUAAUAUUUAGAAAAAUGGUUGUCUAAAUGGUGGAGUACUCAUUGAGACAUGGUCUAAAAUAGUGGAAAAAUCAUACAGUUUACUUUUUAAGUCUUUAAGGAAUAAACGUGGCAGGUUCGAAGUUGGAAAAAUGCAAUUUUCAUCUUAAGAAGCUGUAAAGUCGAUCAUAAAAAAUGUAUUUCGCACGCGGAUAAUAAUGUGAUUAAAUUAGUUAUCAAAUGAUUGUUUGUAGUUUUUUUUUUUUAACAAACAAUAUUAUCUACAUUAAGGGGGAAGGGGUGGGCUUAGCCUCAUAAUGGUUUAGCACUAAUGUGAUUCAAUAGUUGUUUUUUUUUUUUUUUUGAACAAAUAAUAUUAUCUACACUAAGGGAUAGGGGAGUGGGCUUAGCCUCACAAUGGGCUAGCACUAAUGUGAUUCAAUCAGUUGUUUAUUAGAUAUUAUUUUCUCUAUUCUUAAUAUAAAUUCAAUAUAGACCGAUUUAUUAUGUGGAUUUAGCUGCUUUAAUUGAUUUAUGAGGGGUUUCUUCUAGCAUGAUCUAAGAUUAUUCAUUUACUUCAAAUAUUUGACUUUUCUUUUAUCAAUUUACGCAUAUAAAUAUAUUUAAAACGUGUAAGUCGCGUGUAGCAUGUCAUGAUUAAAAAAAUGCCUUCUGCACGCGCGUGAGUGCGUGCAUGAAGGUUAGUGAAUCAUAAACUAAACACAAUAGUUUGGGAUGUAGUUAGACAUGCGUGGGGGCUUGGUGAAUCAAGAAACUUCAUGGAUUUGGGAUACCCAAUUGUCAACACGCAUACAAUAUAAGUUAGGAAUGAAGAUUGUUGUAUCAGUUGGCUAUACCAAAAGAUUUUUUGGCAUCCGGAGGAUUAUUCUUCCAUAGAAAUUUCAAACUAUGAGAAAGUUGAACUAAUCAAAUUUCAACAAGUUUGAAAAAUCAACUAUAUAUAUAUAUAUAUAUAUAUAUGAGGAUCCUGAUUGAUAUGUUACGUUGAUUUGAAGAACGGUCUUGAAGUUAUGGAGUGAGACAUUCAUUUAAAAUUAACAAAAAAACGUAAUAAUUAGAAAAAUGGUUGUCUAAAUGGUGGAGUACUCAUUGAGACAUGACCUAAAAUAGUGGAAAGAUCACACAGUUUACUUUUUAAGUCUUUAAGAAACAAGAGUGGCAGGUUCCAAGGUUGAAUAAUACAAUUUUCAUCUUAAGAGGUUGUAAUGCCGGUUAUAAAAAAGGUCUUUCGUACACAGAUAAUAAUGUGUUUAAAUUAGUUGUCAAAUGAUUGUAUUUUUUUUUUUUUGAACAAACAAUAUUAUCUACACUAAAGGGGAGGGGGGUGGGUUUAGCCUUAUAAUGAGCUAGCAAUAAUGUGAUUCAAUCAGUUGUUUAUUUGGUUUUUCUUUUUUUUUGAACAAACUAUAUUAUCUACAUUAAGGGAGAGGGGGUGGGCUUAGCCUCACAAUGAGCUAGUAAUAAUGUGAUUCAAUCAGUUGUUUAUUAAAUAUUAUUUUCUUUAUUCUUAAUAUAAAUUCAAUAGAUACCGAUUUUAUUAUGUGAAUUUAGCUGCUUUAAUUGAUUUAUGAGGGAUUUCUUUUAGCAUGAUCUAAGAUUAUUCAUUUACUUCAGAUAUUUGACUUUUCUUUUAUCAAUUUACGUAUAUGAAUACAUUUAAAAUGUGUAAAUCACGCGUAGCAUGCUGUAAUUCAAAAAAUACAUUUUGCACGCGACGGAUGUCAUGAAGGCUAGUCAUUCAAUUAUUGCAUGCACCCCCUUUUCACGCUAUAAAAAGUUAAACCUACCGACGCUUGUUGUCUAUCAUACCAUCCUCCAUUUCACUUGUAUUGUAAUUUGUAUCCAAGAGACAAAUUAAACACUGUGAUUAGCUGAGUUGCAGGGAAUUGAAGGAAUGGCAGCUGAAGCUGUGGUUACUUUUGCUGCGGAGGGAAUACUGAAAAAGGUGCUUUCACUUGCUGAGAAAGAAUUCAGUCUUGCAUGGGGUUUCAAAGCUGAACUUCGAAAGCUUAAAGAGUCAUUCACUACCAUUGAACUUUUAUUGAAUGAUGUUGCCUACAAACCACAAGGUGGUAUAUAUUUUUUAGGGUUCUUUAGAGAAAGGUCCUUGAAAUUCCUAUUUUUCAAACAAAAACCCAAUUAAUAUUAAACAUUCAAAUAAAACCCAAAUUUCAAAUAGACUACCAUGUAGAUAAAUAUAUAACCAAUUAUUACAACAUAUUUACAAAUUAUGCCACAAAACCCUAAUUAUGUUAAUAAAUAUUAUUACUCACCCUAAUUAUGAUUAGCAAUUAACCCCACCUUUUUUGUUUCAUAAAUAUUAUUAACAUAUAUAUAUAUAUAUAUAUUAAUUUACCCAUAUUCAUAAACAAUUAUAGGCAUAUUUUUUGUAUAAAAAAAAAGGAUCCUUUGUAUAAUCAGUUAUUUUGCAUCAAAUAAUAUUGUUUGAUAAAUAAAAAAAACAAGAAUCAAUUAACAUUCUUUUAUUUUGUAGGUAAAUUAUUUUACACAGAUUAUUACAUACAUUAGCCAUUUUGAUUUGUUAUUAUAUAUGCGUAUCAAAAAUAUUUUAUCUAUAUUUAUAUGUAAAGUAUAAGUAAAUUAAUUUUUUAUAAGAAUUAAAUAAUAGGUAAAUUAUAUUGUAGGUACAAUAUGUUUUUUUUUAAGAAAAAUUGAAAUUUAUAAACAAAAAGUAGUACAUAUAUUAUAUUUUCAAUCAAAUUACAUUCCUUUAUUUUGUAGAUAAUUUUUUUUAAAGCAUUGUUACAUAUACCGGGCACAUUUUAGUACUAAUAUAUAUAUAUAUAUAUAUAUAUAUAUAUAUAUAUAUAUGUGCAAAUAUAUAUUAGUUUUAGUAGGAAUUAUAUAUUGUAGGUACAUUACAUUUGUACAAAAAAAAAAGGUAAAUUAAAAUUCAUAAAAAAAAGGUAGUAGAUAUAUAUAUUUUUUUAAUCAACUUACAUACCUUUAUUUUUGUAGGUAAAUAAUUUUACAUGCAUUAUUACAUAUAUUGGGCACAUUUGAGUAAUAUAUAUGUGCAAUUAUACUUUAUUAUAUCAAAUGUAGAUAAAUUAAUAUUGAAUCAAAUAACAUUUUUUUAUUUUGUAGAUAAAUUAUUUUGCAUGUAUUAUUACAUAUACUGGGAAUAUUUUAUUACUAACACAUAUGUCCAAAUAAUUUACCUAUAUUUUUAUGUAAAUUACUCCAUAGUUCUCUUUCAGUUUCCAUUUGGUAAGAAAAUGACAAGAUUAAGUUAAAAUUUGUUAUUUAUUUAUUUAUUUAAAGGAAAGUAUAACAUUAAUGUUUAUUUAUUUUUUGCCAGAAGCAUUAACAUACAAUUUGUUAUGAUAUAUUAAUAUACAAUGAAUUUAAACAUUAAUACAUUUUAUUUCAUUAAUCCCUCCCUUCAAAUCUGCAUAGAAUUAAAUGUAUACAUUAAAAUUGUAAUUAAGGGUAUUUUAGGCAUCUGAAAGAUGCAAAAUGUGUAAAGUCAAACAGAAUUAAUGAAUUUGCUUAUGUGGAGCCUAGUCAUUGGGUUUUAUUCAAGUAAAAAGACUAUGUCGGGUUUUAUGUAAAGAAACUUGAGUUUCAAGGGCUAAAAUCAUAUUUGCAGUAUUUUUUAAUUCUCUUAUAAUCUCGCACACACAUGCUACAAUGACAAGGUAUUUUAACUUGUUUUCAUUCUCUAACAGCUCCGCCGAUAGAGGAAUGGGUGAAGAAACUCAAAGGCGUAGCUCAUGAUGCUGAGGAUGUCUUGGAUGAAUUCAAGUACGAAGUUGAUCGGUGUAAAGUCGAAAUCCAAAACCAUAUGAACAAAAAGGUUCUUAACUUCUUUUCACUCUCCAAUCCACUUGCAUUUCGUCUUCAAAUGGCGCAUAAAAUUCAGAAGAUCAAUGCAUCCUUGGUGGAUCUUGAGAGGAAAGCAACUCCUCUUGGACUAGUUUCCAAGAAUAAUGAUGCAACCCCUCAGGAGAUUAGAUAGGACAGACAAACCCACUCACUAAUUGGCAAAGAUGAAAAAACUGUUGGAAGGGAAGAUGAUGUCGAAUAUAGUUAAAACAUUGACCGACUCCAAAACCAAUAACCAAGAAGAUCUUGCGGUUAUGGCCAUUGUAGGAAUGGGAGGCCUCGGAAAAACAACUUUGGCCAAGUCAGUAUACAAUCAGGAUUCGAUACGCAAAUUUUUUGAAAAGAGAAUAUGGGUUUGUGUAUCCAACACUUUCGACGUCACUCUCAUUCUUCGUCGGAUGUUAGAAUCUCUUAUCUUGACAAAAGCCCCUUCAAAAGGUAAUCAGGAUGCAAUUCUUAAAAAACUGCAAGAAGAGUUGAAAGGUAAAAGAUACUUACUCAUACUUGAUGACGUUUGGAACGAAGAUCUCGAAAAAUGGGAUAAUUUAAUGGAAUGUUUGUCAAAGCUUAAUUCUGCUGGGGAAUCCAAAAUUAUUAUCACCACUCGCAGUGACAAAGUCGCAUCAAUCCCGAAAAAGCUACUUCCACGAUAUGAAUUGGGAGAACUUUCUGUCGAUGAAUGUUGGUCCAUCAUGAAAGAUAGAGCUUUCCCAGUUAGCAGUGCUCCUGAGUUCGAAAGCAGUGCUCCUGCGUUCGAGGCAAUUGGAAGAGAGAUUGCUAAAAUUGUGGUGGUGUUCCAUUGAUAGCAAAGGUACGUACUAUUAUUAUGUAUCAUAGCAUGCAAUUAGCACCAUUUUAUUUUUACUUUUUUCACACGUUUUAAUUUAUAAAUUAGGACAAUACCUUCAUUUACCCCAUGAGGUUCACCACCUUACAAUUAGGACAAGGCCUUUUGACAAACGAAUUUUGAUCGUACAAGUUUCAUAAUUAAAACCAUUCAUUUUCGUACAUUAAUACAAAAUUUCAUUUCAAAUUAUAGAUAGUAACUAUAUGAUAUUUGUUGGAAAAUAAUAAGUUUAGGAUUUGAACCCAGCUCGUUAAAGAAUUAUAUUUUUGUUUAGAGAUUAAGGUUUAGUUUAUUAUAAAUAGUAUGCUUGUUAUUCACUUGUGUAUAAGUCGGUCACAAGUCUUUAAGUAUAGUCGUCUCGACAAUCUUGUUUCUUUUUUUCCACUAAUCAAAUAAUAUUCGCAGUUUGUAAUCUGUAUGUUUGUUAUGCGCACUAUGAUAUUCAACUUUGUAUCAGAGCAAGUUUAAUCCUUGUCGGAUUUGAUAUGCUUUGGUUGGUAUCUAGCUCUCUACCUAUAUCGUUGUCCGUGCUUUAUCAUAUGUCAAGCCCAUUAGUUUGAUUCAUCAAACCGCUACCUCUCCCCCUUCCUCCGGUGCUGGCUUUUGAUCUGGAGAAGUAGCACGAAAUACAAUUUUGAGUGUUUUUAGCUCAUAUAGAUUUCCAUAUGUACCUAGAUUCGCCAUUGGCUUCUCAUUUUACAAGUCAUCGUCAGAUUUUCCACAUAUUUUUAUUUAUAAUUUAUACUAAUAUUCUUUUUAGUUUUAUUUUGUAUCCAUAAUUUUGAAUUUUUAAUAUGCACCCAUUUUUUAAUUUAAUUUGUGCCCCUAUUUUUUUUGUGAAUGCACCAUGCUAAUUAUAUGUAUUUAUUUUAUGUUUUAAAUAUAUUAAUAGUUAUUUCUUAUUAUAUAUUGAUAAUUACAUGGCUACAUUAUUUUAUAGCUAGAGCUAUGGGUAGAAUAACAUUACUCUAUUAUGGAUUUCUUUGAAUUUUUAAGUAAUUGUCAUAUUGUAAAAAUAUUAUUUGACUGCCCGCUGCUUAACCGCCUUUGAACCUCCGUGCCCUGUCGAAGUCUGCUUGCUUCACGCCUGCAAUCGUGCCGUCGCCCCACCAUCUGCUGCCGCAUGAACCCUCCUUCAACCCCGAUCCAUCACCGUCUUGCUGACUGUCCUCAAACCCACAUCGCACUGUUCACUGUUGCCGCAAAACCCACUUUGUCUUCUGCCAGUAUUACUACUAUUUUUAUUUUUGAAAGUUGAAAAAGUAUUAAAAAGUUGCUUUUUGUUGGACCACUUUAUUGAAUUGGGACGAGAAAAUGAUCCCAGUAAUGAAGUUACUUCUGUUUGAACCAUUUGUUGCUAACGUUGGCCCGUGCCUGUGUAUGGAAUCUAUUGGUCUGACACAACGAUUGCAAGUAGAUUGGAGCCACUCACGUAACGUUGAGUACACGUACACGAUGUUAAGUUGGAUCGUCUUGUUUGGGAAAUUUUUGAAAAAUAGCCAAUUUUAAAAGCAUGAAUUGAAUUUUAACCAAAGUUUCUAAUUUUUUAUGAUUCUAACCAAAAAUCCAGAUAAAAAGUCUUAAUUACCCCUAACAAUCCAUAUCCUUUCCGUUUGGAGGUGUAGGCGAUAGUAUUACCUAGCCUGAUUUCUGUGUAUGCCACCCGGAAAACAGUCUUGGCUCCGACUUUGGCCUCUUAGGACUUUAUCAUCUUCUAAGUUGAUAAUUGGAGACUACUUAACUAAGAACAUGAAUGAAUGGUACCCAACACUACCUUUCGUGGUUGGUUUGCAAGAAAAUUAAGAAAUUUUGAAGGAGAUUUCAUAAGCCUCCUUUAUUUGGAAUUCUAUAUGAUCAUGUCUGUAUAUGUGUGAGUGUGUUACUUGCAGUUUGGAUUCGGGGUUUUCUUUUUUUGGGUUUUGUGAUGGGUUCUGCAUUGUGAAGUGACAGGGAAGAUUGCUUCGUUUAAAAUUGGACUUGGUGUGUGUUUCUGUGACUUCUUGUUUGGAUACAAGGUUUUCCUUUUCUAGAUUUUGUGUUGGGUGACUUGUUUGGAUACAAGGUUUCCUUUUAUGGGUUUUGUGUUGGGUUCUGUAAUGUGAAAUGAUAGAACAGGGUUUUCUCUAAAUUUGGGAAAUUUCUAUUAUUAGGGGUAAUUAAAACCUUUUACUUGAGUUUUUGGUUAAAAUUAUAAGAAGUUAGUAAGUGUGGUUAAAAUUCAAUUCAUGCCUCUAAAAUUGGCUAUUUUCAAGAUUUCCCUUAUCUAUUCGCAUAGCGAAACCUGCUUGUUUACAGCUAUGAGAUCAUGUAUCCACUUUUGUUUGCUGACAAACUCAUGUUGUUUACAGCUAUGAGUUUGACGGGGGCAUUGGAAAAUAAUAAGUUAAAGAUUUAGGCUCAAUCCGUUAGAAUUAGGCCUUUGUUUAGAUAUUAGGAUUUAGUAUACUAUAAAUGGAUGUUUGUUAUUCAUUUGUAUAUAAGUUGGUCAAAAUGAAGUCUCUAAGUGCAGGUUGUAAUUCGUUUGUUCUUCUGUUUGUUAUGUGCUCUACCAUGUUAAACAUGGAUAUUUUACUUGGUACCAACAUCAUCAAUUUGUUCAAUAUAUAUAGAUGACUAAACAAUCUCUAAUUUGGUUUAUAUUUAGUAGCAAACAAACUAUUCCAAGCCCAUUGAAUUUUAGUUAUAUUAUUUGCAAAAUGAUUGAAUUGUGUUCAAAUUCGGAAACCUCAAUUUACAUAGAUUGGUCUUCUAGAGGGGAAACACAUAUGAACCGGAUUCACAACUAUGUAGCAUUUUUUAUCUAAUAAUGUAUUGUCAUAUGCAAGUAUUUCUGCACAUAGCAAUGUAUUACUGGAUAGGGACACCAAGUGGUGGUGAACCUGUUUCAUGUAAGUUAUUCUCUUUCCAAAAAGUGUAAAAACGUCACCAAAAGGAACCAAUCUAGUUAUAAUCAAUUAAAUUACUUAAGCGGCUUCAGCCAAUUGCAUUAAGUUAAUCUAGUUACUAACUAUUCCUUUUUUCAUCUGAUAAAAAGGAUACGGUGGAGAUAUGUUGCAUUUCACAUAGAUCCAAAAAAUCGUUAUAGUCAUAAGUAAAUUGCUUAAUGAUAUUUGAUAGAAACUCUCUAAUCCAAUUAACAGGUUUUGGGAGGAAUCUUGAGCACUAAAAAAGGUAUUGAAGACUGGUUGUCAUUUAAAAAUAGUAGAACAUGGGACAACUUAUUAAAAGAAGAAGAUAGAAUUAGGCGAGUAUUGCGGUUGAGUUUUGACAAUUUAGGAUCAUCAUCACUGAAGCAAUGUUUUGCAUAUUGCUCAAUGUUCAAGAAAGAUUUUGAAAUUCAAAGAGAUAGCUUGGUUCAACUUUGGAUGGCUCAAGGACUACUCCACCCUUCACCUGGUGAAAGUAAAGAUAUGGAGGACAUAGGCAAUGAAUAUUUUGAUAUUCUAUUGCAGAGCUCCUUAUUUCAAGAUGCUACAAUGAAUUAUGAUGGCAUUGUUCGAGAAUGCAAGAUGCAUGAUCUUGUGCACGAUCUUGCAGAAUUUGUAUCCAAAUCUGAAAUCUUGACAAGUGACUUAAGUGGCAUAGAUAAUACACUUGAGAUUCGACAUGUUGCUUGGGUUUCUACUUCCGAACUAGAAAAGAUUCCAAAAAAAAGUGCUAGAAAAUUGCAGUCAUUGUUUUUGGACGACGGUGAAGUUCCUAAUAACAUUCAUCCAUGGUUCAAAACUUUACGCGUCUUAAAAUAUGGUAAUCCUAAUAUUGAAGAAUUUCCAGAUUCAAUUGGUAGGCUGAAACAUUUGAGGUAUCUUGACAUUUCCAAAACAAGAUUUAAAGCACUCCCCAAGUCUAUAGGCAAGCUCUAUAACCUUCAAACGUUAAGGGCAACGAAAUGUGCCCUUGAAGAGUUUCUAAAAGAACUGCUAAACUUGAUCAACCUGAGGCAUAUUCAUUUUGAUGAGAGUACGAAAUUCCCACAGGGGAUAAGGCAAUUGACUUGCCUUCAAACAUUACCUUACUUUUCAGUGGGUAAUGAGAUUGGUCAUCGAAUUGAAGAGUUGGCUAGCUUGAAUCAAUUGAAAGGUGAAUUAAUCAUUUGUGGUUUGGAGCACGUAAAGAACGGACAAGAAGCAAAGAAAGCUAAGCUAGAGGAAAAGACGAAAGCAUGCCACUUGACAUUCAGAUGGACGGGAUAUAGGUCAACGACUGACAACAACAAGGAGGACGAUGUCCUAGAAGGCCUCCGACCGCAUCCUGAGUUGGAGAGCUUACGUAUUGAAAACUUCAUGGGCGAUAAGUUUCCAUUGUGGAUGAUGAAUGGGUCAUUGCUGUUUGAGAACUUGAAGAGGAUUCAGUUACUUGGAUGGGACAAGUGUGAUGGAGUCCUACUGCUCGGUCAUCUACCCAAUCUUACGGAGCUUGAGAUUAUUGAAAUGGCUAACUUGAAAUGUGUUGACGGUGAGUUCUACAGUUCUCUUGAGAGAUUGGUUGUUCGAAAUUGUGGAAAGCUGAGGCAUUUGCCGGGUGGGAUACACACGUUCCAUCUCCUUAAGCACAUGUAUAUAUCAGAAUGUCCAAGUCUAAAGUUGAUUCCAAUUACACAGGGCCUUAAGUACAUGUAUAUAUCAAAAUGUCCUAGUGUAGAGUCGAUUCCAAUUACACAGGGCAUGGCAUCUCUACGUAAAUUAGAGAUUGGAGAUUGUGGACGAUUGUCACGCUUACCGAGUGGGUUAGAGAACUGCACAGUUCUUCAGAAUUUGAUUAUACGGAAUUGUGAUGAAUUAUCAGGCACAUUGAGCUUAUGGGCCUCUCUCCUAGAAGUGAGUUUAUGGAGUUGCAAUGGAUUAUCAGGCCCAUUGAGUGUAUGGUCCCCUCUCGUGGAAUUGGAUAUACAUUACUGCAGUAAUCCGACAUCAAUUGAAAUGAAAGGCAGCUUGUCCCUCACCGCCUCUCUUGAGAAAUUGACAAUCUGGAAUUGCCAUGAAUUAACAAGCUUACCUGCUCUUCCACAACAAUGUCCCUCUCUUCAGAAAUUGUGGAUAAGUGGAUGCCCAAAGGUAUCAUCGUUUGGUGUCAAAAGUAGCAGACUUGAGGAGGAAUGCAUUAGUCUACAAUCUACUUCAGACUUGCGAACCAUGACCUCCCUUCGACAUCUGAGUAUUGAAAGAUGUGAAAGAUUAGGAAGUUGGGUGAGCAGCCUGCAAUUCCCACUCUCUCUUGAGAC
rnacentral:lncRNA from 1 species